rnacentral:lncRNA from 1 species
UCCGCGAUCGUCGCGUACCGUAUUAUUGUUAUUAUUAUUAUUAUUAUUAUUAUUAUUAUUAUUAUCGUUAUUAUUAUUGUUGUUACUAUUAUUGUUAUUAUUAGGUAUAAUCCACCGGGCGCCUGUGCAGCUCCUGUUCGAACAGCGUUUACGGACGGACGGACGGGGAUUUGUUUGAGGUACGUAAACAAUUAUAGCAGUACUGUUUGUUAAUAUAGCAUUAUGAUCGUGAAGUUUUUUUUUUUUUUUUUUUUCGGUUUUCUCGCGCAGUAUGAAAAUAAUAUUACACGCGUAUACGUUGUAUGGGUGUAUAAGCGCCGCUGGUCGCUAUAAUACGUUUUUCGUGUUCCGCGUAUGCCAUGUCUAAGAGCAACAAUCCUAUUUGAUAUUUAAUACUUCCUUGAUAAUAAAACUAUUCGAAUGUCACGAUAAAUAAGUAAUUAACAAUCAGCGUAUAUCCAACUCUAUUUCAUUUUUUUUUCUCGUAAGUUUCUCACGGUUUUAAUUGAAUUCAUCACAAUAAUAUUGUGAUGUAAAGUUCACGGCGAUUAAAAAGAAAAAAAACAUUUCCAAAAAAUAUAAAAUGAUACACAUGAAUAAAUAAAUAAAAAAAAAAAAAAAUCUCUUUUUGAAAUUUAAAUUCCGAUAAGGCGACGACGACUCUGAUUUACAAACGGGAUAAUUUACAAUAUUUGCAUAUUAUUAUAUUCGUAUUAUCGUUACGAAGCCAAAAAGUCUACACUACUAGCGGUAAUCAAAGUGGAAUUAAUUAAUGCUAAUAUGAUCAAUGCUCGAUGUGGUUUUUUAGUUUUUAUGUUUUAUGUGCCGAUGGAUAAAGUGAAUUUUUUUUUCACAAAAAAGGGAUUUGGCAUUUCGAUUAGCCGAUUUACCGUCGGGACGAUUAUUAUAAUAUUUAUUAGAGUAAAAUAGUUAUUUGAGCGUAGGGGUAGGGUUUUUUUUACCUUUGAAAAUAUAUAAUUUAUUAUAUUUUCCAAUUUAUACUUCCUAUAAUUGACGUAUUCAUUUAAACCUGUGCAUUUUUUUUUUUUUUUUUUUUUUUUUUUUUGUAUGUUUUUUCGAAAUAAAUGAUAUUUCGCGUUGAUUUACAGGUGGACGAAGGCUAGGCGUAUUCGUUCUCUCUGUAAAAAUAUUAAAAAAUUCCAUAAACAUGGUUCCAAUCUAAAAGUAACAGAAAAAAAAACCGAACGAACUCCCCGUAGUGUUCUCGGUUUUUUCGAUAUAUAACUGACAUGUAGAUGAAGGUAUUACAGAUUACUUUAUGUAGCCACUCGUUGUACCGUGUUUUCGAAAUUCGAAAUAACUCCGAACAAUGACUAUCGAUAAGCGAAAUACUGCGCGGCCGCCCCCGGUUGACUUUUUAAUCAACGCGUUUCGACUUUUAAUAAUAUACUGCAAACAACCCUUCGCCUCUGAGUCGAACGAUUCACUACUACCUAACCACGAACCAAUAAACAAAAAAAAAAAACGUUCAAUUCCCCCCCCUAUUCCUAAAAAAAAAAAAAAAAAAAACACCGCCUAUUAUUAUUUAUCGUUUGUCGAAAAUAAUUUUAAAUAAAAAAUGAUUUCAAUAUUUUCGGAAAAGAAAACAAUUCCAUAAAUUGUUUUACCGACAACGCUCGUCUCGAGCGACAACGAGAUAUUACCUAUAAUAAUAAUAUAUGUACAGUAUAUACAAUAUAUGGUGUUUUAUUAUCGGGGGUGUACAAAUGCUUCGGUGUAUAGCUAUUGUAAUAGGUAAUAUAUAUAUAUAUAUACACAAUAUACAUUCAUAAUACAUAAUACAUAUACAGGUGUAACAGAACUAUUUGCCAUUUUUACAUUGUAAUUACAUGUAAAAAUGUGAAACAGUCCAGUUACACCCUGUAUAUGACGACGGUGCCAAUAGCUUUGUGGCGUUUAUGAUGCGAUGUCAAAAAGACAAUAUUUAUUCUGUCGGGCAAAUAAUAAUAAUAAUUCGCGUGCAUAUAUGAACUACUCUGUAUAUAUAUAUAUUUAAUACACGCACACACGCACACACACACACACACACACAUACAAACAUAGUAGAGCACACUCUAAAUAUUGACGGGAAAACAUUGAACGUUGACACAAUAAUAUUAUAUAUGGAAUUCGCGGUUUCUUAGUGGCAAAAGCGUAAAUAGUGAAAAUUUUAAAAGUUUAUUGGAGUAUAUAUUUAUGGUAUAAAACAUCGUGCACAAAAAAUAAUAACAAAGAAAACGGUAAAGCCGAGGCCUGCCAUAAAUAUUUGCCGUUUUACCUGUAAUUUUGUUUCGGGUUUUUCUAAUUAUUUUGAAAACCCCUUGUAUAACCAAAAAAAUUAUCUCUUUAAUACAUCGACUAGAUAAAAUUAUUUUUCCGAAAAAAAAAGCACACAUCAUAAUAAAUUGAAUAGUUGCACGCUGCACUCCGAAUCUAAAAAAAUGUAUACAUAAUAAUUAAUUUAAUUUAAUUUAACUGUUGCUAAUGACUCAAUUAUAAUUUGAAGUAAGUUAAUAUUUAAAUCGUGAACAAAUAAAAAAAUAAGUAAAACUUUUAAAAAUUGGUUACGCCUAUUAUUAUAUUACGAGUACGACGAACUACUAUAUCUACAUAAAUUUUAGCUACACCGCGUACUUAAAACCGAUUUCAAAUGCAACAGGAACUCCUCUAUUGAUCACGUACGAUAAUGUGAAAAGGUAAUUAAAUUUGAAAGUGCUACUUUUACUAGAUUUUUCAUAUUUAAUAAUACGAGUAUAUAAAUAAUAUAUAUUUUUAGAUUCUGAGUGAAGCGAAGAAUGUAUUGGUUGUAAGAUAAGACUUGAAAUUUGGAAAAAAAAUUUAUAUUUACCUUUUCUAGAUGUGGUAAAAUUUUCUAAAAAUUCAAGCCAAUUUUAAUUUUAGGCAAAUAGGCAUUAGUUUUGUACGUAAUUUUUAUUCGUUUUAUUUGUAUAGUUCGAAAAAAAAAAUUGAAUUUAAGGUAUUAUUUUUUAUAAGGGAAUUUUUAUAUCAAAUUUUGACGAAAAUCGUUUGAGUAAAAAAUUAUGUGAAACAAAUCUAAUUUUUAAAUUUUUUUUUCUGAUCAAAUGUACAUUGCCGAUUUAAAAACGAAGUCUGAAUUAAGAGACUAACUAAAUUUCAAAAUCAUAGCUUUUUGAAGUUUUAGUAUUUUGCGGAUAUUAUAUGUUAUGUUAAAUAUGUCUAUAUUAUCCUUCUAAAAGCAUAUUUGUCGUGAUCUAAUGGUUAUUCAUGCCUAUUAUUAUCCUAGGAGAUCCAAUUUCAAACCAGUGUUUCAAAAAAUAUUGUUUGCAUUUUUUUCCCUUUUACCUAAAACAAGAAAAAACAAAUGCACAUUGGAUAUACCUAGAGACCCAAGCCAUCGCCCUUGGACAAUUUCAAUCGCAUUAUACCCCUCAAUUUGUUGGGAAAACUUUUUACUAGAAAUCUUGCUUCGAUGUAACAAAUGUUGCUUAUUUUUUAAAAGGAAAUUUUAUCUUCAUGUUAAUUUAAAGAGUUCAUUUUUUGGUUUUUCAAACGUUUUUCAUAAUAACUGUGAAAAACUGGGAUAAAAUUUCAGGAAAAACGGAAAAUGUGUAAAAUGUAGGUAUAUGUAGGUAUUAGUAAAAAAAUAUUCUGGCCUUUUUUUUCUGUGUACAACUUUUCUACAGCAAAUUUUGUUCCGAUUUUAAAUGAUAGAACUUUUUCUAAAAGGAAAUCUGGCUGAAAAGGUACUUUAAAGAAGUUAUUUUUCAACUUUUCCAAUAGUUUUCUAAGCAAAUGUGAUAAACCGAGAAAAAACAUGGGAAAUCUGGAAAAUCGGUACAGUAUUAAACAAAUAUUGUUAAAGAAAAUAUAUAAUGCCUAUUUAAUUAUUUUACCUUAAUAUGACUUAUAUAUUGUUUACAAAGCAUCACUAUCAACUCUGCUUAGAAUCGUUUUUUCGUUGGCUACGGUUAUAGAUACACAUUUAAUUACCCAUAAUAGGUUAGGAUGCAUCAGUCUUCUUUAUCCUAGGACGUAGUUUUAAAAGAAACGCAUUUUAAUUAUAUUUUAUCCAAAAGAAAUGAUACUGAUGACGGGAGUGGCACUGUUGUAGACAGAAUUUUAGGAAAGUGAGAUGUACACAAUUUUUUACUUAGAUCAAAGAAAAAAAAACUCCUCACUAGAAGGUUUUUCGCUCCAGUAGUCAAAAGUUAUGUAUACCUACGCCAUUGAUUGAUAUUAUCGUUUCCACUCGUUUAAUAUCAUAUAAUAUUAUAUUUUGAAACUGCCGUAUUUAAAAUAUCAACAGCUUCUAAACAUUUAGUUCCGAACGAUACAUACAUUUUUUCUUUCGAUCACUUUACAGAACGGAAACUCUGUUAAACACAGAUAAGUUAAAUGUAAUGGAAAUCGGGUCGGUUUAUUGCUUAGCUUAUUAUAUUUUUAUUAUAAUUCUCGGUGUUGUGCAAAGGUACAUUUAAAAAUAUCUAGAAAAAACUAAAUUAAGUAACACCGAAAUGAGUGCUAAGAGUGCUAUAUAUUAAUUAUGAAACACAUCUAAAUGUUCAAAAGUAUUCAUGUGAAUUAAUAAACCAUAUUAAGAUAAAUAAUAUUUUAUUUACUAUUUCUAAUAUAUAUUAUAUUAAUACGAUUUAAAAUAAAUUAUCGAGAUGGGUUAGUUAUUUUUAUUUCAGAUACCUUAUUUCCCAUUGAUCUUGAGAAAAUAACAGAUAACAUAUACUUACGCCUAGAUAAUUUAUCUAGAUAAAAUACAAUUUGCUUUUUUGUUCUGGACAAUAUUCAGAUUUUCACGGAAAUCAAAAAUGUAUCGUGUCGCGUAGUUUUUCAAAUUUAUUACGUACAUGCAAUACUAAUUAUAUGUAUUUAUCAAAAAUUAUUACUUAUUAAAUACUACGUUUAUUCUUAAACUUAAAUCAGAAUUUAUAAUCUAUCUUCGUCUUAGAAACGUAAACUAAAACUUAAAACAUGGUUGUAAAUUUGUUUAAAUCAUUGUUUCUAUAAUAAUAAUUUUUUUUUAUCAUUUACAUUACGAAAUUCUACGAUAAACGCAUUAGGUUUUGCAACGUGUCGUUAAAAUUUGUCCACUGUGCACACAAUAUGAUUUCUUUUUUAAAUUAUGAUUGAAAAUCGUGUGGUGUUAAUAAUUUUUCAGCGAGUCCCGUAUACUAAAUUGUUGACGCCCCUCAUAUGUUGUGGUACAUAAAUCAUUUUUCAUAGAAAUUCUCGCCCUCUGUGUUCGUGGGCAUAAUGGGGAAUAAUCCGCCCCAUUGACGUGCACCUAAUGUACAAAUUGCCCGGGAGCAUUAUUAUUAAUAUUAUUAUUAUCCGGGGCACGAAUAUUCCGCGGGAUCCGUUUUGGUAUUUGUACCUGUGUGGGAUGAUGAAAUAAUUUAUCCGAGAGAAAUUUCAAAUACGAAAUUUUGAAACGAAAACAUGGUUGAUGUGGAGUUAAAUAUUUUCGUUUAAACGACCAGAGGACGGGCUUUUUUUCAUAAUACCAUGAAAUCCUAUUCGAUAGUUAUAACGUCAAUUUUCAAAUGUAAUUUUAAAUUCUGCUUCAAACUUGAUUCGCGUCUCACGAUCUCGUCUCUAUGUCGUUAUAAUAUUUUUAAUUGUUUCGAUGACACGAUAAAAUAAUAGAGCCAGUAUAUAUAUAUAUAUUCUGUAAGUUCGAAGGAGUAAGAUGUUUUACCCUCGUCAUAUUCAUCAAAAAUACCGCGAGGGAGCAGUGGGGAAUUCAGACAGAAAUUUAACUUGGUUUUGAUUUUCUGACAAAAAUGUUCGUUAUUUGUCACAUUUUGUAAUCAUUCGAUUUUCUCAACUAAAGUAAUAAAAUGAAUAACUACUCUAAGAUAUUUUUGUAUGUUUGUGUAUGUGUGAAAAGUGUGUCCCCUCACGAGUUUUUCACCUUAAGAAACACUUGCUGUGAGACCUCCCGGGGACGAUAUAAUAUUACGUGAAAAAGUGAUUAAUCGGUUCGAUUUUUUUUUUUACUCACCGAACGGAGCUCUGCACUGCAUAAUGCAAUACGGGUGUAUCCCGACGCUUUUAGUAUAAUGUUUUGCGCCGUUCCCCCGGGACGCGUUGACGCCGCGUGUGUUUGAGUGCUUUUAAAAUUCGUUUCAAACAAAUAAUUAAACACAUUAUGUAUGGUAAUACUCAUAUAUACGUAUAAUAAUCAAUCCGUAACUUUUGGAAGUUUUUUUACGCGGUGAAAAUCCUCAAUAACAUGUAUGGAAACGGUAUGUGAAAAUAGUUUUUCUGAUUUUAUUAUCACCUUGUAUAUAGUUACAACUAUAGAGCUUGUGUGUACCAUGACAAAAUAGAUAGGUAUAAUUGCAGUUUUUUGAUAUUAUGCACACUCCACUCGAAUAUUUCUGCACUUUACCUAUAUUACCGUAGUUACUUCUCAUUGGCUAAUAUUAUACUAUGGUAGAAUGGAGAGCUACGACAUAUGCCGAGUUUGAGAUCUGAACGACUGACACACUGCAUGUGAUUAUGCCUAAGAGGUCAACUCUAUUGAUAAUUACUGAAUGUUUUUCAAUAAUUUUCGUUUUUUAUUCACGGAGAAAAUGAUUAUACCGUUAUUAUACCUACAUGAUAAUGUUGGAAUAUUUUAUCCAAAUAAUAUUAUAUGAUUGAGAUAAAAUUGAUUAUUUUUAUGAAAAAUCUAGUUAUUUUGUUGAGAAGAACUUUGAACCGUUUAUAAUAGUUGGUAUUAGAAAUGGUGGAUUUUGAAAUUUUUCCUUGGAAGUAGGGAUUUCUGAUAUUAUUUUAGAAUAUAUUAACAAUAUUUAUCUACUAAUCAUAUUUUAUUAAUUUAAUUUUAAUUAACUUCCACUAACAAAAAAACCCAAUUAUUUCUUUACUUACGUGACUGUAGGUAUCUAUAUUUUACUUAUUCUAUUCAACAAAAAAAAUUGUAUUUACUUAAAUUAAAAAUCCUCAUUUCGCUAUUUUUACUCAUCCGUCCCAAAAUUCUAAUCUAAACAGCUAAUCAACGUUUCCAGAAAAUCACGGUGGAUUUUCCACACACAGAUAUUAAUAUAGGUAUUAGGUAUACAAUAUAUACUAUAUAAUUGUACUCGUAUAAAUCCUAUAAAAACUAGAAAUGAAUCCGAUUAUUAUUAAAUAUUACUUUAACAAGCAAUUUGUAAUAAUUUUCCAAAAAUGUUGUGUUUGUUUUUAUUUCAAUAAAAAACCGAUUCACAGCCAAAACUCAAAACCUGGCGAUCCAGACUUUCUACCCCCCCAAGCCUUACAACCACCAUUAGUGAUUAGUAUACCAUAGAACUUGUUCAAUGUAAGAUAUACCUAAUAUGGUGGUUUUUGGAUACAUAACACUGAUAACUAAAUUAAUCAGUGGUUAAAGUGGAAAAACCUUCAAAGUGGUACUAUAUUUACUGGAAAUUGAGGGUCUUUUUGAAAACUAACAAAACUUAAACAAACUUUCAGGUAUUCUUCUACUAGGUAACUAGGUAUUCUUCUUUUUUUGUGCAAAAAACUAUGUCGUUCGUUUAUCUUAAGACAGUAAUAGUUUGUCCUCCUAUUCAAAUACCUUUCUGUAUUUCUGUUCUGUUUGGUUUUUGUGUAUGUUAUAGAUAACUCUCCUUUCGUUGUAUUUAAUUCCUAUUCCUUUAAGAAUUUUAAAUAAUUCAAUCCAUUGUACUCUAUCAAAAGUUUUCUUUGAUCUAUAAAGGCGAUGGAGGUUUUCUUGUUCCAUCUAAUCCUUUUUUCUAGCAUUGUUCUUAGUACUAAGGUCGCUUCUCUAGUUUCUACUUUUUCUUAAUUGAUCAUCACCUAGGUUCACAUCGAUAAUUUUUUAUAUUCUGUUUUUUAUUACUCUAGUUAAUAUAUUUGAUGCAUUGUACCCUUCUUGGAGAUUGUUAUUAUAUUCCCUUUACUGAAAUCUUCGACUAUUUUUCCAUUUAUAUACAUUUCGUUGCAUAUUUUUUUAAGUUCUUUAUUUAUACUUUCGCCAGCACUCUUUAUAAGUUCUGCUGGGAUUUUAUCAAUACCACACUCGUUUUUGUUCUUUAAAUUUUAAAUAGCGAAUUCAAUUUCUGAUUGGAGAAUAUAUUCUCCUAUUCGUCAUCUAUAUGAUCUUCUAAAAUGGUUUUGUUAAGCUGACCUGCAUACAGUUCCUCUAGAUAAUCCUUCCGUAUUUUUUAUUUAUCUGUUAUUAGUAUUUGACCCGUUUUACUUCUUAGAGCAUUUCCAUUUAAUAUUUUUAUACUGAAUAGUUUUCUCACAAUUUCGUUAGCUAGAUUGCUUUUUUCCUGUUUUCAGAUAAUCUUCCACUUUUGUAAAAUGAUCAUUUAACCAUUUUCCUUUGGCUUCUUUUGCUUUAAUUUGUAUGGAAUUUCUGAUACGUCUAUAGGUCUGUUGACUUUAUAUACAACUUUGAUUUUUAGGCUUUCUUUCCUUGUUUAUUAAUUCUACAAUUUCUUUUGUAAGCCAGAGCUUCCUUGCUUCUUUCUCUUAUGCUCUCAUUACUUUCUCAGCAGUAUUUUUCAGUAGUUGCUUAAUAUUCUUUCAUAUUUCUUCUAUUGUGUUAGUACUCCAUAGUUCUUUUGCAAUCAAAAGUCUGCAUUUAUUUUCAUAUUCUUCUUUUGUUUCAUCAGUUUUUAAUUUCCGUGUGUUCUAUCUCUUGGUGUUAGUUUUUUUUUUUUUGAUGUUUUAUAUUUAAAUUUAGAUUCCAUAGUAAAAAGGUUAUGAUCACUAUUGAUAUCUACUCCAGGGUAUAUCUUACAUUGUUUAAUUUUAUUUCUAAAUCGUUUUUUUGUCAUAAUGUGAUCAAUUUGGUAUCUUGUUAUAUAUCCAGAAGCUUUCAAAGUAUAUCAUCUUCGUUUGCAGUGCUUAAAUAGAAUGUUCGCUAGUACGAGCUUGCGUUACAUACAAAAUUGUAUAAGUCUCUCACUUCUUUCAUUUCUUUUUCUUAAUCAAUAGCUUCCUACUAUAUAUCCAUCAUUCUGUUGUCCUACUGACGCAUUCCAACUACCUAAACUAAUGACAUUUUCUGUAGCUAUUGUCAUACUUAGAAAUUCAUCUAUUUUAUCAUAUACUUCUUUGACUGCGUCGUCAUCAUGUUGUUGGCAUAUAUACUUGGAUAAUCGUUAUAAUUGUUGAGCAGGUAACAACUACCAUGACAAUAAAUAAUAUUAUGUGUAUUUACUAUCACUCUUCAAUGUUAACAGUUUAUAGCACCUUUAUGGUUUGAGAAGGUCAAAACAAUUUUUGAUGAAACAGUACAAAUACACCAUAAUGUAUAGUUGAGACAGUGGGACGUGAACAUUUUAUAGAUUUUUGAAGAGUUAUUGACGUGGAUGGAUUUGGAAAAGGAAUAAAUCUAAAUUGUUACUUUAUCUAGUACUCUGAUCUAUUAAAAAAAAAAAAUCCAAGGAGUAUGAUUUUUUUACUCGUCGAGUAAUGUGUAUCCUUACAAAAUAUUUACCUCUCAAAUUUUUGAGUUCGCUACGCCACUGUAUACGGACGAAUUUUUACCCAGUAUAAUAAAAACACGAAUAAAAUAUGUUAGAUAUGAUUUCCGAAGAAUCAUACGAUACAAUAAGUAUAAUAUUUCGUCAUUCGAAAAAUAGUCCGAAAAAAAUACAGUAUAAAAAGUGACUUUAUACCUAAAACGUUUUUUUUUUUUUUUUUUUACUGACAAUAUUCCUCAUUUUACAUAUUAUACUCAAAAAUGAUAUGGUAUUUUAUCUACUGUUUCUAAAAUUGAGUUUUAUUGACGACCACUGUUCAAUCAUAUUGCAAUAAUAAUAUACAGUAUCACCUUCGUUCUCUGUGUUUUUUUAUAUUUUACAUAUAUUUUUUAAAUGUUUAACUGUAACCCUUUAUACAGUUCAUGUGGUAAAAGCAUUUUCAUUUCGAGAAUCUGCGCUAUUAAUGUUUAAAUUGUAUUAUCUAAAACCGGAUAAGUAUAUAUGUAGUAUAAUAUUAUAGUAAACGUGAGUAUAUAGGUUAGGUUUACGUGAAACUAAUUUACUUUUAUCGACCGUUUUCGUAAAGUGUAUACCCAUAGGGCUCAUUUAUUUAAAGCGAAGUACUCGGGCGUAGAUAUUUGUCGAGAAACUUAGACGCGCAUUACUUGAAAAAUUACAUGUUUUGCGUAGGUAGCUAUAAUAUAAAUAGGUAUUAUUAUGAUUGUUGAAGGUAAUAAUUUAAUAAAUUUCAUGAUUAAUAUUUUGACUAAUUUUUUUUUAAAAAAAGAAGAACAAAGCAAACCAUCCAAGUGUUAUACAGGGUUAACUCACGUAACUCGAAAAAAAUUUACGUAUAAUUAUCAUAAAUUUUUAUUUUUUUAAAUUUCCAAUCGAGUUUGUUAAAAAAAAAAUAUAAAUAAUGAUAAUAAUUAUAUCUUUUUAGUUUUGUUAUUAUAAUUUUAUAAGUUAUAAAUAGACAUUUCGCAGUUAAUUUUUACUCUAUAAAGUUAUUCCUCUUUUCCUUCCCACUACUAGAUAACUAAUACUUUGCACGUUAGAAAAAUUCUAAAUUACCUCUAAAUUACCAUGGAGAAAAAAUUUAAUUUUAGAAAAUAGGUUACACUUGAUACAUCGGAGCAAGAUUUCUGAUAGUAAAGUUUGUACGGAAAAUCGAGGGGUAUUUUGCAAAUAAAAUAGUCCGAGGAAGCAAUAGAUUGGGUAUAUCCAGAAUACAUCUGUUUUUUCCUUGUUUAGGUAAAAGGGAAAAAAGUGCAAAACAAAUUUUUUUUGGCACAUUGGUUCGAACUUGGAGCCCCUAAAAUGAUAAAAGGUAUAAAUAACCAUUAGAUCACCACAAAUAUACUUUGGAAUGAUAAUACAGAGUUCUUUAACAGAACAUAAUAUCCGCAUAAAAUCAUAAAUUUAAAAAGCUAUAAUUCCGAAACCUAGUCAGUCUGCUUAAUUCUGACUUCACCAUCGUUCUUAAAUCGGUGAUAUACAUACAUAGUAUAUUUGAUAAAAAAAAAAAAAAAUGAAAAAAAAGAUUUCUUCUACAAUAUCCUUAUAAAAAAAAUACUUAACCUCCUGUUAAAUUUUAAAACAUUUCUAUUCAAGUCUAACAAUUUUACCAUAAAGUACCUACCGAAUAAAAAUUACGUACAAAACUCUCAAAAUUAAAAUAUUUUAAAAAGUUUAAAAAUGGCUUAAAUGUUUAGAAAAUUGUAGGAUGUCUAGAAAAAAUAUCAAUUUUCUGUCUAAAUCCCAAGUCUUUACGAAUAUUUUUAACUGAAUUACAACAAAUCACAAAACUGAUAAAAUAAUAAAAGCAUUAAUUUCAUACAUUUCCCGUUUUUCCUACAUUUUAUUAUAGUUUUUCCCAGAUAUUAUAAAAACGGCUUGGAAAAUCAAGAAAUAGCCUCCCAAAAGUACUAUCUGGACAAAAUUUCCUUUCAGAAAUGGUGCCAUGCGUAUAUAUUUUAGCAAGAUUUCCAGUAAAGUGUUUGUACACAGGAUUAAAAAAUGAAAAAAAAAACAUCUUAGUAAUCUGAGUAAAACCAGUAUAUUCUUCGCUACACUCAGAAUCUAAAACAAAAAAAAAAAAAUGUUUUUGCUACAAACUCACAGCCACCACCAGUUAGGUACUCUACUCGUAUUAUGCUUUCGGCACUUAUCCUAGCAGAAAAAAAAAUAUAUACAUGCCUAUACAUGAAUGAAUACUAUCGAAGUAUAUGUAUGUAAUUUGUUUUGUUUGAUUUAUUUUAUGGUCUGCAGACGAACAAAAAAAAACUAACCAUUUUGUAGCGUAUACCUAUAUUAUAUAUUAUUAUUAUAGACAAUCCCUUGCAGUGUUUGUGUUUACACACGACUGUUCACUUGAAACUCGGACAAAUAUUUACACUAGGUUAGAUGGAAGGAGUGGAGGGGCAUGCAGGUGGAUUAUCGUUGUUGUUUAUUAUUAUUUGCUAGGUUUACUAUAUUUUUAUUUUAUUAUCAUUUUUUUAUCGUUAUCAUUAUCAUAUCAUUUAUCAUAUUCCCUGUCCAUAAUAUAUAAUCACUUAAGGCUUGAACUUCAGUACCUUUAUUAAAAUUAAUUAAUUUAAAGCUUAAAAGUUCUAAAAAUAUCUAAAGAUUUCAUUGAAAAUGUAUUUAAUAAUGAUAAUACCUAAAUAUAAAUAUACAUUAAAAAAAAAUAAAUUCAAUACAAUGUAAUUUAGUCAAGAAAAUAAAAAUACACGUUUGUUGAAUAAUACAGUUGAAAAAAAGACGUCUUAAGAUAUGGAAACGGGUGCAGCCACUGUUAUAGGUAAUUUAAUGUAUAUCUAUAAACAACGAUAAACCAUUGCCAACAAAAAAAAAAAAAAAACAAUUCUGAGCGCAGUUCAGUUGAUAGUGAUGCUUUGUGGAUAAUAUUUAUGUCAUAUAAUGGAAAAAUAAUUAAAUAGAAUUAUAUUAAAUAUAUCUAUUAUAUAGAAAUAUAUUUUCUUUAAUAAUAUUUAUUUAAUAUUGUAUCAAUUUUCCCGUUUUUUUUUAGUUUUUCAUAUUUGUUGAGAAAUCUCCUGGGAAAUUGAAAAAUUAACCCCCUAAUAUACCAUCCCAAUAAAAUUUCCUUUAGGAAUAUGGUCUAUAUUGUAUGCAUCGGCGUAUGCUUUCUGGUAGAAAAAGUGUUCACAUAAAAAUAAAUAAAUAAAUACAUAUAAACAUCUUUUUAAAACUAAUACAUUCUUAACUAUACUCAAAAUCUAAAGUAUCAAUAAUUUCACUAAAUUUUUGAUGUAACAAAUGUAUAAUUCAUUUUACACUAAAUCUCAUUCCCUAAAAAAAAUUUGAGCAAUUCAAUAAAUUUCGAGUUCACUAAUUUAACACUCUAUGUGAUGUAAACAAUAUUAUCUAUAAUACUUAUUUGAAUUGAAAACAACAUAAACGCAUAUAUUCAAGUGAUUCUUUAGUUUGAGAAAACUAAAAGUAACAAAAUUAUAUUAAGUCUUGUCUGGUUUCUAAUUUUCCGAAAAAAAGUAAUGGUCAAGUAAAAAUUGUAUAAUAAUGAAUUUUUUUUUUUUUUUUUAUCAUUAUUCAGCUGUUUAUAGUUAAACAAUACAUGAUAGUAUACAAACAUUUAUUAACUCUUCUCGUUUUCUCUAUUUUUUUUUAUACAUAUUAUAUUAUUAUUAUUUGACUUGUGAAGAGUGUAUAGCUGCCAAAAGAUAUUCUUUAAAUUACUUUUUUUUUUCACAUGUUGUAGGUGCUUUUUAUUUAUGUUUAAGUUUUGCUUUUGGGGAAUUUCUCUUUGAUGGCCCAAGGCUACAGCUUUCUCAGGCCUGUAGGACCACUAAACAAAGGGUUCUUUUCUCUUAAUCUGGCUUUGGUCGGAUUCACGUGAUAUUAAUAUAUUAGCGAUGCAACGUAACUCAGGAUUUUAUGAAAAUCUUAAAAACCCGAAUUCCGGAUUUUGAGACAACAAAAUCCGGAUUUUGGGUUUAUGUUUUUCAAACCUGAUUUUUUUUAUAUAUCUAUAUAAAAUAAAUGUCAAAUAAUGUCUAUUCAAAAAAAAUGUGUCUUCGAGAUAAGGGACUUAGGAUUUAUUUAUGUAUAUACUCCAUCCCAUUCCUUCAGAUCUGAUAUUGCGUUUAUAUAUAUAUAUUUCUUGUAAGACCUUACGAAUUCAUGGUUUUUAUACGAUGGCACACUAAACAUUAAAUGUAGUACUAUAUUUAGUUAUAUUUAUUCAAUUCAAUAGUUCAAUUGAUUCUUGAUUACGACUUGACAGUAUGGAAGCUUUCCCUUCCAGUUAAAAUUAAAUUAUUUAAAUAGGUCCAAAAACAAUCCAUAAUUAUUCAAUAUUCUUAUUGAAAAUUAAUUACGCCCAAAAUUGCUAUGAUCGAUCAUUAAUAAUUUAAAUCUUAUUUCCCUCGAGAAAAGGCGUAUAAAAACAAAUCAAAACGUUUUACUUAAUUUACUUCAUGGUAAAAUAGAUAUAUUUUAACAAAUAUCUACAUUUCUUCUAUUUCCUGGUUGAUCCUUUGUUUUUUUUUGAUUUUUCUAAAUUGAAGAGAAUACUCCUUAAAAAAUCGAAAAAUUACUCCCUAAAGUAUCUCCCCUACACCGAUUUUCUUUCAGAAAAGGUACUACAUUUAAAAAUCUGAGCAAGUCUUCUGGUAGAAAAGUUGCGCACAGAUAAAAAAAAAAAGAUAACUUUUUUGUAAAAUCAUAAACCUCUUCGUUCCACUCUUAAUCUAAAAAAAGUGUUUUUUUUGAUGUUUGAAAUCGGGGUUUAAAAUAUUAAAUUUCAUAAAUUUCAUGAUAGGAAAAACAUGCACAUAAUAAUAUAUUUUUUUAUUUUAAUUUCCUGUAAACUCUUUAACUCGUUUAUUCAUUUAUUUUUUUAAUUAUUCGUGUGGCAAAAUAGAAAAUAAUGAUUAUGAUAAUUAUAACAAUUAAUAGAAUGGUAAAAUAAAAUUGCAUAAAAUGAAUUGGAAAGUAUGGCUGACAGUAUUUAAUUUCCUUUUAGUUAUUUGUGAGUGAAUGAUUCGAUUAAUGAAAGAAAUACUACUAACAAUUAUUACUGAAAUUUUUCGCUUAUUAUAAUAUAUAUGUUAGUUCAUAAUUUAUUGCGAAAAAAAUCAUAUUUUUUCGAAUUUUAAUACCAAUGAGGUACACUUUAGGAUCUACGAAAUUUUACAAAAAUUAUUAUUUUUUAAAAUUUUGAACAAAUUCUGGGGAUAACUGGAUUAAAAAUUUAAAAACAAAAAUAAAACAUUUUCCAUCUACACCAGUGGUUAAACUUAAACUUAUAGUGCACACGGACCCCUGACGAAAGACUUUUAGGAAUCACGGGCCCCCUACCAAUACCUUUUUUUUACAAUAUAGCUCAUGUUAUCAUAAUCGAUAUAUUUAUCGAUAGAGCUAUUGCGCCCAGGGGACCGCUGACUACAGUUUUAGAACUGCUGAUCUAUACGAUAAGAACCCUCCUAAUAUAUAUUAGUAUACCUCCUAGUAACCCUCCUUAUAUAUAUUAAUAUCUAUUAAUCGCGCACAAUGCAGAGUACAAAAUAAAUUACCUAUGUAUACUCAGAUAGGAGAAGUUAAUAGUUAAGUGUAUUUUUAUUAUAAAACCAUCGUGGCCGUCGGCGUUGUCAAGCUAUAGGCAAGCCCGUUUAAUAUGUAUAAUGUAUAUAUAUGUAUAAGAUAUAUAACAUAUAAUAUAUAUAUAUAUAUAUAUAUAUAUAUAUAUAUUUAUAUACAUAUAAAACACCCUUUUCGAAUUUUUAAUUUCGUUUCCGGAGUUUUUGGACGACUCGAAUCGUCGUCGUUAUGGACACCACGCACGUGUCAACUGUAAGUAGGUAUACUCGUACAUAAUCUAUCUCGAUCCAAAAACAUUUUGUAUUCUUCGCGACGUGCACGGCGAAUGCACUAGACUAGAAAAUAUACUCCGAGCGUAUAAUAUAGCUGACGAAAGAGUUUUGUAAUAAAACCGUUUUGUAUUGGUAUAAUAAUAUUAUCAAUAUUAUCAGGUACUUAUUACAUGAUAGUGUCAGUAAAAUAAUUGCUCGAUAAUAUAGAUUUCGGAAGAGAACUAUCAAACCAAACUAAAACUAUGUAUGAUUGUGUACUAUGAUAGAGUCCUAUAUUAUAGUAUUGAUAGGUAUGACGUUGGCAACCAUAUUAUACUUCAAUAAGACCAAUGUGUUGAUAAAUUCGUGACAUUUUUGUUUACGCCAUAAAUUAUGUUAUAAUAACAAUAUAGAAACAAUUUGUCGAAAGACUUAUAGCGUUUUCUAUGUGACUGCACUCGUAUAAAGUAGGGUACAGCUAUUGCCUGCUAUCAACGGCCGCCGUCAGUACAGUAAAUAAAGCAAAUUCCUUACUACCAAUAUAUUGUAAUCUUACCUACACGAGUGCAAAAGAACGAAAUUGUCGAUUUUGAUGGUGGAGAUUAUAUUUAAUAAGUAUAUUUUGUGAUAUAACACAAUAGAUUCGUAUAAAUAUUUGUAUUAUUCGAACAUUCGUGUAUUUUGUGUUUAUUGGUAUGUAUUUAUAUAAUUAUGAACUGUUUGUCCAUUAACAAUAGAUUUUAACAAAAAAGUAAUGUUUUACUAAAUUUAUUAUCAUCGUCUUCGUCUCUAAGGGGUAAUGAAAUAAUAAUAAAAUAAAACAUAUAUAAUUAUAGCCUAUAAAUCGUAUUACCAAUAUGGUGGUAUUUUGUAAAUCAUGUUCUUUUUCAUAUUAUCAUACACCAGUAUGGCACAAUUCAGAUACAUAUGUAUAAACGAGUUAUAUCAUAAGGAAAUUCUAUUAAUGUCGUAAUAGAAAAAUUGUUGGAUCCAUAUCCAUUUAACGUCACUAUAUUAAUAUGAUAGCUGGUAAUCGUGUAUUCCGAUUAUUUUUAUAAUUGAAUAAUAAUAUUUUUUGAUUAUUCAAAUAUCUAUGAAUUAUUAAAAUGUAUUAUUUAUUUAUUUUAUUAAAACUAAUAAUAAAUUGGUAGGCCAUGUACUCCCGGAUGCAAAUAUUAUUUAUUUCUUUGACGCCUAUUCGUUCGUAUAAUUUGUGAUUCAUUUCGAAGAUUUUACAUAUAAUCACAAAUUAAAUUUAUCCUUAUCACAUUUUUUAUAGCUAGAAAAAUAAUUCACGGUUUAAUUAAUAAAAUUUGCUGUCUUGAUAUUUAAUAGAUAUUGUGCUAAGAUUCAGAUUUAAUCACAUAGAGUCAGUAGAGUUGUUUAAAAUAUCUGCGAUUAGAAUUGAUAAUAAUAACAAAUAACACAAAAACUAUCGAGAAAUAUUUGCGUUUAUUUUGUUACAAGUACAGAUUUGCAAUUUGAUUGUUUUCAACGGUGUUAUUUUUAUCAAAAAAAUAAUAUUCUACUCAAAUUUAUCUGGAUAAAAAUGAAACAAGGCUAAACUGAAAGAAAAAAAAUCGCUGUCGUUUAAAUAUAUGCUAUACAUUUUAUAUUCACGUCAAAAUACACAGAAUAAUAAUAUACUUGGAUAUAAUGUAAAGGAAUAUAAACAAUGACAUAACUUUUAGGGUUAUUUUAAAAUAUAUUUUGGGUCUUUUGAAACUUUCCUUUUUCAAAAAAACAAAAAUAAAUAAUCAUAAAAAAAUACACACAUUUUUCCGCGCAGAUAAAUCAAUAUUUUGUUUAAGAAAACCUGCUUUCCCAUCAUCUAAAAUAUAUUUAUCUCUCAUAAAAUAAAAAACAAAUAAUACUGCAGGGUAAUUUAGUAUUAUUUGAAAAAUGAAACACUUUUUUGCUCUGUUAAAUAGUUUUAUUUUUUGCAGAAAAGUGGAAGUUAAAAAAAAAGUAUGUAUUUGUAAUAUUUUUAAAAAUAUCUGGUAUUCAUAAAAAAUAUUUUGGUAAUUAAAACUUGUAUAAGUUAUAUAUAGUCAUAGGUUUGUUUAUUUUUUUCGAUUUCAGUUUCUUGAUAAUUUGGCAGAAAUAUGUAUUAUCACUUUUGUUGAUAAUCGCUUGUAGUAUUGAUCGAUACCGAUUUAUUAUUAUAUUUAAAAAAAAAAAACAAUUGUUUCGAAAAAUAUUCAAUGUAACCUUUAUUAUGGAUAUGAUACUGAAAUCGUGCCGGAUAAUCCUGUAUUAAAUAUAAAAAUGCUUAAACAGUAAUAACAGUAAAAAAAAAAAAAAUCCUUAUCAGUAAGCAUGUGCUCAAAACUUGAAAGAAACGGUACAAUUACCGUGUCUCUUAGACCACAACAAAAAUCUCACUAUUCGUAUCGAGAAUUGGAAAUUAAUCCCGAAAAAAAAAACAAGAUUCAUGUGUGUAAUACGUCAGAUUCCGCUUAAUGUGGGCACAUUGGGACCAGUUACAUUUGCCUACAUUAGCGGAAUCCACUGCAAAUUAAAUUUUAAAUAAAUUGCAUACUCUAUAUUUACUUUGCAAGAAAAAAAUAAAACAAAAACAAAACAAACAAAAUACGCCAAGAUUAAAUAUUAAAUUUAAAAAACUUGUCUAGGAUAAUGGAAACGGGUGCAGCUACUAUUGUAGGUAAGAAAUUUGAAAGGUAGAAUAAAGACGGAAAUUUAAUGUAUGUUUGUAAGUAAUGAUUAAACAUUACCAACGAAAAAACGAUUAUUAUGAGUGGAGUUCUGUUGAUAGUGUUGCUUUGUUAACAAUAUAUAUAUAUUUCAUAUUUUGGUAAAAUAAUUACAUAUGAAUAAAACAUUUUCUUUAAUAAUAUUUGUUUAAUCGUAGGUCUUCUAUUCUCCCGUUUUCUCAGUUUUCCCAUCUUUUUCCUUGUUUUUUCUAUUUAUUGGCAAAACUCUUAGGAAAAUUAAAAAAUGACCUCCUAAAAAUACUUUUAAGUCAGAUUUCCUUUUUAAAAAAGUACCAUCAAUGUAAAUAGGAUCAAAAUUAUCGGUAGAUAAGUUAUCCACAGAAAAAUAAAAAUAAAUAUUAUUGUAAAACCAUAAGUUUCUUCGCUCCACUCAGAAUCUGAAAUAAAAAUAUUCUAAGCGAUGUUCGGUUAACCGUGUUUUGAAAUACUGUGAUUUAUAAGAUUUUCGUUAAAAUUUGAACUAGAAAGGCUUUAAAAAAAAAAAAAAAAAAAAAAAAAAAAACAUUACGCUCAACUGUUACCACCAAGACAAUUUAUGAUGAACAUAACAGUAAAGUACGUUCAAACAUAUUGAAAAUGUUCAAAAUUGUUUUAUUCCAAAAAGUAAUUAUCAACACAUAAUAUUGUAUUUUGCAUAUGGAAGUAUUAUUUUAGGGAUUGCUUCCUUUUUUAAUUGAUAACAAGUGUGAAAUAAUUAUUCGAAAUUCAUAAAUGUAUAAUAAACUUUAGAGUACCCGUGGUUUUUAUGAAAAAUCAUCAUCUACGAUUAUUUAACCGUUUCGCUAAAAAUAAACAUCAUAAGUAUAUCGUAAAGAGGCGCAAAUUGCAACUAUUUGGUUCGCAGUGGUCAUUAUUACGAUUUCAUAUUUGCAAGAAUAUUAUUACUGUACCUGAUACUUGUAGGAAUUCACCUUUCGGUCUGCUUUCAUUACACUGACUAACAGAAAAUUCAAAAGCGUUCCAAAUAUCCGAGUCCUUUGUCGUUGCGCACGUCGUUCUGGAACGGCAACGACAAUAAUAGAUCGCCAACAGUUAUGCUACCUUAAACACACAUACACGCAUGCACUUGUGUGCCGUUUCAUUUAAGCACACGUAAGUUACAUAAUAAUAUACACAUUUGAAAACUAUACGUAGUAAAUCCAAUAUUUGUUCCCCAAUACCCUACAUCAUCGGCCAAACAAAUUGAUUUAACAAAAAUGUUCGAAAAAUUAUAAUUAAAAUUAAUUUUAAUUAUUUUAAACUAAUUUUCCAUCUCAAUUACGUAUAAUCAUUGGCGUGGUCAAGUAUUCGUUUCACCAUAAUAAAAUUUGUUGAAUUUAUUGAACUUUUCAAAUUAUUAUUAUUAUUAUUUGUAUGGAAUAAUUUUUUGUAGAAAUUGUAAGAAACUGAAUUUAAAAGGUGAUGUAUUAUACAGGGUGAUUUUUUUUAUCAUGAACCAGGAAUUAUCUCAAAGAAUUUUAAGUGAAUUUGAUUUCUGUUUUUCUAAUCAUUAUGGAAUCGUUUAAGCUUUAUUUUAAAGGUAUUUUUAAUAUUUUACCCCUAUUCCAUGUACCUUAAAUAACUAUAUAAAUUGCCUAUCUUUGACCCUUCUCUACUCCUCCGGUCUAAAUUUUAAACUGUUAUAACUCAUAAACGGUCAAAUUAGUUUUAUGCAUAACAAAAUUUCUAGAAAAAUAUUCUCUAAUCAAAUCUGUGUUCAAAAAAAGGGUUCCUAUUUAAAAUAUAAAUGUAUGUACUUAUUUAAGUUAUAAGAAGUAAGGGUAAAAUAUUAAAAAUAUUUUUAAAAUAAAGCUAAAACAAUGCCAUAAUGAUAAGAAAAAACAGAAAUCAAAUUCACUUAAAAUACUCCGAGAUAAUUGCUGGUUCAUGAUAAUAAAAAUCACUUUGUAUGCACUACAGGGUGUCGUACAGUGUAAUCUGAAUGCUAGUAACUCUGUCAAUAUUUAUUUUUUUCAAUCGGGUUUUGUAUCAGGGAGACACAAAUGUAUAGAAAAAUUAAAUUUUUAUUUAUAUCCCUUGAUUACUGAAAAAAAAAAAAAACAUUAGUUUUUUACAAUUUAAAGUUUCAAAAUAGCCAAUUUGUAAAAUAUAUUAUUCUACACAUUUUAAUGGUACGUUAAAAUACUUAUAUAUUCGAUCAAUAGUUUCUCAGUAAAAGUCGUUUUAACUUCUAGAAAAUUGAUGUGAUAAUAAUUAAUUUUCAAUAAAAUAACACGUGACGCAAUAUGGAAUAUUGCAAUCGGUACAAUCAGCAUACAUUUAAAUCCCUCAAAAAAAACUUGAUAGAAAAUGUAUUAAAAACAUGAAUAUUGACAGAAUCCGUCAUCUUAAUUUUAAUAGUACUAUUAUUAUUAUAACUUUAAUAGUUACAGCGAUCGAUUUGAAAAUGCGUUUUUGCGGUAAAUUAAUAUAAUAUCUUUUAUUAUUAUUUAUGUAUAAUAUGGUUUAAGUGUAUCGAUUACGGGAUGGUUUCCGAGUUUAUAUAGAAGUAUAAUAUUAUCGUGUAAAAUAAUAGUGUUUUCAGGACGGACGAAUCGAUACAAAAACGACGCUCGACGAUAGAGGCGCGAAAAUUAAACGAGACGCGUAAAAUAUAAAAGGGGCCGAAAGCACGAAGCAUCGAUAACGUUAAAAUAACGGACGAUGGAAAAUCCAGAAUAGUAAUAAUAUUAUCGUAUCAUCGUACAUUUUGUGUUAUAUAUUACUGAUUAGUAUAAUAUGAUACAGUUUUUUUAAAUUUUUUAUAUACUGCAACAAAUAUAAAUAUAUUAAUAAACGACUCAUUAUCAUAGUAAUAAUUAAUAUCGUGAGAUUAUUUUAUAGUAUUUUUUAAAUUUAAAUUCUAAGUAUAACUAAUAUGGCUAUAGUUUUAUUAAAAUGUGUUUUUCUAUGAAUACCGUAUUUUUUUCUUUAGAGUGAAAUGCUCCACAAAAUAUUCACCGGUUUACUCCCAAGAUCCUUUUUAUAUUUUUUAAAAUUUUUCUAGAAAAUAUAAACUAUUGUGCUGUAUUGUGUCUAUAAUAUAUAUAUAUAUAUAUAUAUAUAUAUAUAUAUAUGAAUGUAUUAUGUUAUAUAUGGAUAUUUUUUUUUCUAAUAUAAUAUUUGGACACUUUUAGCGGCUCCCUCUGGACCAAAAAAGCUCGGGAAUUACAGUUUUCUUUACAUGAGGGUUGAAGUGAUACAAUUUUGGUAAAAUUUCAAUAUUAUGUACUUUGCCGUGUUGUCGCGAGAGGAGAUUGUUUUCUAGCCUACACCCUUACAGACCCCCUCCCCAAAUGAACCCAAUGUGAUAAAAUUAUCAUCUCUUUUUCCAACCAUUUUUAUGCUCAGAUUUCAUGAUUUAACAAUAAAUAUAUACCUUUAUGGACUCAUGAAAGUAAGUAAAUUGAUUAAAAUAGGUAUGUAUAAAUAUAAUUUUCAUUAUGGGUGUGCCUUUAAAAGGUUUGAAUUUCCAACCCUCUAUCCCACCGUUCGUUUGUAUGUUAGCGAAAAUCUUGAAGACUUUUAGUUAAAUUCUUAAUUUCUUACAAUUAUAUUAAAAAAAAAAAAAUAAAAAUAAAAAAAAUGAGAUGUGUAACAGCAAAAAGUCAGCUGAUGGAGAAUUUAACUCUAGUGCGGGAGUUUUGCUGCUUAUGUAAUUUUAAAAUUUUGAGUUUAGCUAUUAGUUUUACUAAAAUAUGUUUUUCUCGAAAACCCUUUUUUUUCAUACUGUGUUAAACGCUCCGCUUUACACGCAGUGCUCUAAACGGUUAGGAUAGUCAUUUUACUCGAAACAUUAUUUUUAAAUACUAUACGGUUUAUUCCCUAGAUCAUUUAGUUAAAUUUUAUCGGGAAACACAGUUUUUUUACUUAUACUUAUCGUAGUAUAUUUUUUAUUAACCUUCCUAGUUUACCGAGCUCCGAUUUCUCUAUUGCAAUAGUUUUAUCGUUGGCUUCAGUAUUUAAAUUUACAAUAUUUAUAUCCUAUACACUAUACCCUAUGGCCUGUACAUUCAAAACUCCAGCGUGCAACUGCAAUCUACCCAGUGCUCUAUUUGCGAUUUGUUUUGAUUGGGAAGAGAGACGUAUAAACACAAUUUAGAAGGCAAAUUGCACCUAAAUCAUGCCCACCAAUAUUAUAGAAACCGGGUUACCCUAAACGGCCAAACCCUUAACACUUCCCACUAAUACGUCAAUGGGCGUAUACAAUAUGUAAACGGUUUUGUAUAGACAGUUUUAACGACAUUAAUUAUGAAAAUACAUAAAUAUAAAAUAUUUAUAAAUAGGUAUUAUAGUUUUUUAACUCCAGACAUUUUCACCUCCCGACGUUUUUUUCUCGGGCAUUUUGGCAGAACCCUAUUUAUCUAUAUUAUAGUAAAACUAAUAGAUUCCUUGCUACACCCUGAAUUUGAAAUAUAUCAAUUAAUUUUAAUUUUAAAAUUGAACAUAGUCGAAUUGCAGUUAAUUAUUGUAAUGAGUUGUGAAUUUUUUAAAAUUAACCAUAAUUAAAUUAAUAUAAAUAAUAUUCUAUGUUUUUCAUCAAUCAUUAGCGAUCGGUGCAUAUUGGUACGGUUACCUUGGUAGAUAAGAUAGCCGUAAACGGAAUUACGGUAUUUAUGCCAUGUGAAUGGUUGUAAAUAAUUAAUAACGCACUUAACAUAUAAAUAUUAAACUCAGAAUAUCUCGAUGAAAAAAAUCAAUUAAUACCUAGUAAUAUCCAAAGGAUCCAUUUGUCGGGUUUGUAACAUUAGAGAUGAUAUUUUUAAAUCUUUCACAUUAAAUAAUAUAUAAUAUUUAUAAAGAUAAAAAGAUGAUAAAAAAAUUAAUUUUUCCGAUAAUUAUUUUGUAAAAUUUGAAUUUGUUUUAAUGUUAAAUUAUAACUGUUGACAAUACAAUACAUUUCGAAGUAAAUAUUAAAACACUAUAACACACGUAUUUUUCAAUGUAUGUACUUCCGUAGUAUAACUUUCUCUCUUAUCAUUAUUGACACACUGAAACCAACUUAUUCUUCAAAUAAUAAUUCCAGUCCUUAAGUAAAAUUGUAAUCAAUAUCAAUAUCGCAAUUUUUACAAAUCAAUUGGCCAAAAUGUACAAUAGUUUUUCAGUUUUUAUUUUUUUGAUUAAUGUCUAACAGCGAUUACCAAGUAAAAACAAACAUAUAUUUUUAAAAGUGUAAAACGACACGUUACGUCGGGUCUAUAAUAUUAUAUUAUUAAUUGUUUACCUAUAAUAUAUUUAUUUUAAAUAAAUAAUAAUAUAAUAACAUAUAAAAUUAAAAUUAGAUGGUUGUAAUGAAGAGCAGGUAGUAUAUAAUAUUGUCUUUGUAAUAUUUGGGUAAUCGUAUACAAAUAUAUUCCAACAAUAGCAGUUCAAAUUAACCAAUUACAUGUACUUAUAGCAGUGUCAACAAUUUUGUAGGUAUAUUUUGUACAACAAUAGUCGUCAAAAAUAGUAAAUAGAUCGUUAAUCGAGAUUUCGAAAUAUUCAGACCACUGCUACUGCUGCUGCUGUUGCUGUCGACUGUUUUAUGUGGCUUUUCAGAGUUGAGCAAAAUUAUUCGCUGCCCGAUUUCCGGCCAAAUUGGUGACUUUAGACCGAUGUACCGUUUUAUUAUGUCGAACUCAGAUAUCUCUAAAUCAUUCGAAAAAAAACAUAAUACAAUUCCAUCAGUGGAAAUAAUUAUAGCGCAAAAUGCCUGCAGAUGAUCAAACGCGCGAUACGAGAAGAAACUUUGAAUAAAUUUGACGUUUUAACGGUAUUUUUUGCAUUCAUUAUAAUGUAGAAUAGGUCAUUAAUUUUAUACAGGGUUAUCAACUCUUGAUAAGACACUCAUUAUCUCGGAAAGUAUUUUUCGGAUUUCGGAUAUUGGACAAUUUAUAAAAGAAGUAGUUCUAAAAUGUUAUAUUACCGUUAUUUUUUGUCACCCUUAUUUUUGGCGAUGACACGAAUAAUAAUUUUUUUUUUCAAAUACCAACAUGUAUAAAAAAUUAUACAAAUAGAUGUCGUUUUUGUAUAAAUACAAUUUGUAAAAAUUUUAAAACUUUCUGGGAUAAUGAGUAAUGAGAAUAAUGUUGUUCUACUGCUGUAUUUCGAUACACGUACAUUAUGGAAUGUGUACGGUUUUUUUUUUCAACAAUUUGUUCAAAUUGGCGUUUUCAAAAUAAUAUAAUUGAUUGUUAUUUGGAAAUUAACAGUCGAUAAUAGUAUUAUAUCGUAUUUAUAUUGAGGUAUACGGAGUAUAAGUGUGGGUUUUUUAGAAUAUCAUUGAAAAUAAAAUAAUAACAUAAUGUCUAGGAGGGGGGAUUCCUUAAAAUCCUCGUAUGGAUCUGAUCACCGGUAUUUGCGACAAAAUUCAAUCGCAAUACUUUAUAUUACUGUAUAAUAUACUCACCGAAACUUUUAUAACCGGCGAUAUUUGUAAACGUGAAACCGUCUCCCCCGUUCGCUAAGUACCUGGUCAUGAUUAUCGUAUAAUUUUCAUCCAAAUUUAAUUUCUGAUAAACCGGAACGGUGCAUUCUCCACACCUAGCUUGUAUCGAUUGUACCCGCUUGCCAAUGGGCUGACCCAAGUCUAUGACGACCCGUAAACCUAUUUGACGAUAUCAAAUACAUAUUUUAUAUAAUUCCGUUCAAUAAGUAAUACCUAUACCGAAAAAACAAUGUCAGUAGUGGAGUAGAAAUGUUAAUACAGAUCUUCCAGUGUUAUCGGUUUCAAAUGAAAAAAAAAAAAAAAAAACUUUAAAUUACCAUGACUUAGAGAGCCUGUAUACUGGCUUGUUGUCUAAGAGAUUUGUUAAAACAAUUAAAUUUGGUUUUUUAUAUUUUUAGUGUUUGAUAAUUAUUAUCUAGUAGUCUAUAGGUUUACAAAUAUUAUUAAUUUUAACUCCAUACAUGAUAACAAUUUUAUUUUUAUUCAAGUGCACAUCGUGUAUGAAGUACAUUUGAAUCUGUCACUGUGAUGUGUGUAUUAUAAAUAAAGGGGCACAUUUCAAUGUUAAAUAUAAAUUAAAAAUAAACAAAAAAUAAUAGUGUUUAUUCAAAUUAUAAAAAAAAAACACCAUAUAAUAAUGUAACAAUAUAGGAACAUUGUUUAAACUUUGUUGUAAACAAAUGCGUUGCAUGUUUUAUAAUUCAAAAAUCUACCCCGUGUCAAAAUUAUCAAUUAAAAGCGUUUUAUAAAUUGUAGUAAUUAUAAAUAAAAUAUGUAUAGUAAAUAUACUACUAGGCAACCAAAUUAAUAUAAGUAAACGUUAUAAUAUAGUUAUGAUUUUUGAUCUUUGUUUCCAAAAAGUUCUUACGGAAAACAAGAUUAAAAAAAAAAAAAAAAAUGUAAGUAAACAGAUUAUUAUUUUUGUUUAUUACAAAGAUGGCAAAAUAUUUCUUGUUUUGUAACACAGUAUGAAAACCAGUGUGACUAACUAUUUUUAAUUGUUUAUUGUAUUCGUUUAAGUUACUUUAACAAAAUAUAUUAACUAAAUUAAAUUCUGCUCCAUCCUCUCCUAUCCUAUAUCGAAUUGAUAACGUAUUAAGUAUUAUCAUAUGUAUUAAACAUUGCAUUAUGGCGAUGGUCCUGCAUAUUGAUAUAACUAUGAUUUGAUUGAGCAAAUUACGUGAAGGCGUUUUCCUAAAUUAUAUCUGAAUAUCUCGGCCAAAACUACGUGUGACAACCCGUUCCCCGGCUGGUAAUAUAGAAGAUCAAUUGCGCGUAGUUACUUUGCCUAGUACAGUGAUAACCAUACAACAGUGGUUCCCAACUGGUGGUUCGCGGACCACCGGUGGUCCGUGGACUCAUCUUAAGUGAUCCGUGAAUAAAAAAAUUUAAAUUUAAAAAAAUGAGCGAAUUUAUACUUGAUAUUUUUUAUUAUUAACGGCUUAGCGCCUAACAGCCAGAUAACACACUAUCGCGACCGAUGAAAAUUUAUGUACGGAUAUAAAUAACAUUAUCUAUAACUAUAACUAUUAUCUAUAAAAAAUAAACAACGAAAUCGUCUGAAUCCAAGUGAUGAUAUGCGACUGGCACUAAGCAACAGCAUCGUUCCAAGAAUUUCACAACUGGUAAAAGAAGCGCGCCCUAUUAAGUCACAUUAAUACUCAAUAAUAUUAAUUUGUUAUAUUUUUUCUCAUUGAAUAAGUUAAUCAAUAUAAGUUCGUAAAAUGUAAAAUUUAAAUUUGUAUUAGCUUUUUUUAUUAAAUUAAAUUUUUAAAUAAAUAAGUUAAAAUAUUUUUCUACGACAUAAACUGUAUUUCUGAUUUUAUUUUGUACCUAGAAAUUAUAAACCAUAUAUAAAACUAUAAAAAAAAUAAGUGAUAUAAAGAGGGGGGGGGGUUUGAAAUCAGGGAUUGGUCCGUGACGGUGAAAAAUUUAUAAAAGUGGUCCGUGCCUAUUGUUGAGUUGGGAACCACUGCCAUACAACAUUAUACUUAUAUUUCCUAUUCGGGUUAUAGGGGUAUAUUAGUUGAUAAAUGAAACAUUUGAUUUUCGACGCCAUUUCUUAAAUAAAAACACUUAAGUAGAAAACGUAGGAAAAUGUACAAUUUUACAAUUUCAUUAUUUUAUAAAAACACGGACGACGUUUUCUACCAGAAAAAAAUGAUUUCAUCGAAAAAUCACGACACCUUUUUGUUGCCUUUUUGAUUUACUUUCUACGGUAUUAUCGGCAACAUUUUUGAGCCACUUUUAAACCUUUAAGAAAUUUUAAUUUUGGGAGUUUUUUCGCUGUAAUUCGCUUAUAUAAAUACACGUAAAGACUUGAAACUUGGUAAUGAUACCUAUAUUGGACUUACCUAAACGUGGUUAAAUUUCCAAAAUCAUCGGACGCUUUUUUGUCGUUUUCAAUAAGCAUUUUAAAAUCAAAUUUAAACGAAAAUAGCAAAAAAAAAUUAUUGUACUCCAAAUUAUGUAUAGCCGAAAUGCGCUCGGAAUUGUCUUUCGUCAAUAAUGGUUUGUCGUUGCUACAGAUAUAAAUGAAAUAAUCUUAUGUAUCCUACCUUCCCAACUUCCCAUCUACAACAGUGGCUACAUCUGUCCCCAGUAUCGUUUUUUCUAUGUUUUUUCCUUCAUUAUAAUUAAUGAAGGAAAAAACAUAUAAAACCAAAUUUUCUUUCAGAAAAGAGUAACACUUGAAAAUCGGAACAAAAUCAAUGGUAUUAAAGUUGUUUAUAGAUAAAAAAAAUUAAAAAUUAAUAUCAUAGUAAAAAUAAUACAUUCAUCAGAACCUAAAAUUUAAGAAAAUGUGUUAAAUGAAAAUUUAAUUUUCCAUAGGUUCUUUAUAGAUAUAAAUAUGUAUUUUGAAUUUUCUGUGAUUUUUGUAUGAAUUUUAUAUAUUUCUAAAGAAGUACCACAUAAAAAAUAAUUUUUCAAGGUUCAUAAAUAUAUAUACGCUUUAGAGUACCAUGGUGGAAUCGGAGGAAAUCUUUUACUAUCAGUUAUUACAUUUUCUCCUAAAAUGUAGACUAUUUUAUAGUAAUCUUGUCUGUUAUGCAUAGAUAUAUCUUUUCCUUGCUACUUUAAAUAUUUUUAAUGGUUCUCUCUUGAUUAAAUGAGCUCAAAAUCCUGAAUUAGAGUAGUUUUAUAUACAGAUUGAUGUGGUACAAUUAUCGUUGCAGGUGAAGGGCUUUUUUAUUGCGAUUUUAUAUACAUGUAUAUUAUAUACAUAUAUAGGAUGUCCCAUUCGGAUUUUCAACUAUUUACACCUUCCCGUCCAUUGUUAUGCCCAAAUUUCAUGCUUUCACAAGAAAUACUGGGUUUUAAAAUUUACUAAAACGUAGUAAAACUCUAUAUUAGAUCAAUUAUUUAGAAAUACAAAAAAUUAGAUAUUUAAAUAUUUAAACGACGAUAAGUUGACUAAACACAAAUUGCACUUUAGUGAUGGAAUACUGCUACUCACAUGUGUUAACAUGGUUAUAACUACACAAAACGAAAUUAUUUAAUCUGUAAUAGUUAUCAUACCACCAUUUCAUACUUCAAAGUAUAUUAUUACUAUACCUGAUACUUGUAGGAAUUCACCGUAUAGAAUUUUUUCGUUGUACCGGUGAACGGAAUAUUCAAAAGCGUUCCAAAUUUCCGAGCCCUUUAUCGUUAUCUUGCCUACCUCGUUCUGGAACGGCAACGACAAUAACAGAUCGCCAAACGUUAUGUUACCUUAAACACACACACACAUAUAUGUGCGACGUUAUAUCUAAGCACACAUAAAAAAUAAUAAUCACAUACGAAAAACUAUAGAUGGUAAAAUCGAUAUUAUUUCUAAUUUAUACCUAUUCUGGAAAUGUGAUUAAUGUUUGAUCGAAUUCCACCACUUUGCAUUAUUGCUAUCGGUGCGUCGGUCCAGGAUUUGGUCGAUGAGCCGACCGGUUUCACGUUAGUCCAUAGGUUCUAUUUACAGGACAACCGAUUUUUAUUCAGUAUUACGCACAAAAAACUAUCGAGAAUAGAAAUAUUUUAUACUCUAAUCAAAAAAACAGCUCAACGUUCCACAAAUAUCACUGAUAAAUUUAUAUUAAAUGCCCUAAAAUCCAGUAAAAUAAGCGAUAUUUUUAAAAGUAUGUUGCUAGUAUUCAUUGAUAAAUAAUGCAACUUCAAAUAAUAAUUAUAAAAAAAUGAUUUUUAAAUUAUUUAGUAAAAAGAAGAUAAUGCACAUCGUUACAUUUAAAUACUUCUUAUCUUAAAAAGUAAUAACUUUUUUCGGAAUUUGUUUUAUAAGACAUUUAAAGGAAAUUUUCCAGUUGACAGAAAAAUGAUAAGAUGACAAGUUUAACACAAUAGAGUUUCCAACAUUCUAUACUACAGAGGUGGCCAAAAGUCACGCAACGCCUACCGUCUUGUAUGGAACGCGCGUUACGGCGCAGUUUCUCCCUCCACGUCGUUUUCAUUACAUCAUAUUGUAACUUUGGUCUCACUAUCUUAUUUACGUACAACAACAGCAACAAUUAUAAAAAAAACAACAUAACCAUGCCAUUAUGCGGUUGUGGUUCGUGAUUUUUUGAAUAAAAACUUCAACGAAUGGAUUGGUCGCCGUGGGACGACGGAAUGGCCCCCAAGAUCACCCGAUCUCACAUCUUGUGAUUUCAGCAUGUGGGGAGUUAUCAAAGAUCGAGUUUACAAGACGCCAAUCUAAAAUUUGAUUUAUUUAAAAAAUCGAAUCGAGGAAGAAUUCUAAAUUUUGAGCACCGAUUAUUCGUAUCUUUACAAUGCCACAAACGUGGUAAAAAAAACGUUGUGGAGCAGUUAUUGAAGCUGGAGGACAUAAUUUUGAACAUUUAUUGUAAUUGCCGUAAGAUGAUGUUACUUUGUAAUGUUAAUUUUUAUAUCAUUUUUUUUUUUAUUUGAAAACAUAAACGACUUUUUUUACUAUUACAAAUUGUGUUGCAAAUAUGUUGCGCGACUUUUGGCCACCUCUGUAUAAAUUGUAUACCCUUACGGUAAUGUGACCAGCCUAUCUCAAAAUAAAAAUUGGCUCGUACAAUUGUUUAACUCUUAUCGUUUACACAACCUUAAAAUAAAUAUAUUUUAUGUAACCACUAAUCACCAAGACAUUCAGUAUAACUUUUGAAGCUGUUGCCAUCGUUUGUAUUCAUCUUAUUCACAAUUUCUUAUUAUUUAUCACAAAUAUUCCAUAAUAUUUAUUACUCGUAUUCUACUUAUAGUUGUCUUAACCAUUAGAUAAAAUUAAAAAUACAAUACAAUGAAGCUAUGCUAAACUGGACAUUUUGAAUUAAAAUGUAUAUGAAUGAAUAAAAGUAUACAGCCAUGGAUAUCCAUCAUUACUUAAUUUGUUUGAAAAAGAAAACAGGUUAUAAAAUAAAAAUGAUCUUUAGGUUAGUUAAGUAUUAAAUAAAGAAAUUAAAUAUAUUGAAUAUAACAAAAAUGAUUGCAUAUCUCCAUAGGACACCUGUAUAUCACAAAUACAUAGUGUUAUUAUUUUAAAUAAUUUAAAACAUAUUUUUUCCAUAUUGUUGGUAUAACUACACUUUUAUUUAAAUUUUAUCUUUUCGAUAUUGAUAUCACUGCAAGUCGCUGUAGCUACAAUUACCUUAUCAUUUUUCUAACAACUGGGUACUAACCUAUAUUUAAGAAACAAGCAGCUCUAAAAUUUUACAUUCAUGUUAAUUUCUAUCACCCUUUUUUCGUGUAUAAGACUACUAGGUAUCUACUUUUGAUUUUAAAAUAGCAACCUGUAUUUAAAUAUCCAUAAAUAGAAGGAGUAUUAGUUAAGAUAAAUUUUGGUGUUGAAAUUUAUUAUUUCCAUCAAUCCAUACAUGGGAUAUUCCACUUUUAAGUUUGGGUUGGGGAAAGUAUGAUUGAAAAUUAACAUUAGGUAAUGGGUAGUUUUACCCCUAAAAAUAAGAGUGACAAAAAAUAUUAUAAAUUUAAAAUUGUAAAGCUGUUUGUUUUUUAAAUGUUCUAACUAACCUAGCCUAACAAAACAAAUCCCAAAAAAAUUAACACUUUCCGAGAUAAUGGAAGAAUGAAUGAGCGUUCCCAGUUAAAUGAAAAAUGUAAUUUUUCAUUGAAAAAACGAAAAUAUCCAAAAAUACGAAGUAAAAACUGACUUUAUUGUUACAAAUUCCGAACUUUAUACUUCUAGAAAACUAUAUAAAUUCACGGCCCUUAUAUAUAAUAUUAAAAUUUGUAAUGAUUCUUAAACUCACGUAGUCUAUAAACGCGUCCGUUAUGAGAUCGCCGAAAUUGCACUCUCUGACCCUACAAUACUUGUCGAUACCUUCCAAAAACACACUUGUCGAACCUAUCACUUCUUUUGUCUUGAAGUUUAUGAGAUUAUCAAAAUCUUUUAUUUGGUUCAAAAUGUUGUGGUCUGUAAACGGAAAUAUGUACACAUUUAGGUUACAUUAUUAUCAUUAUGAACUAUCAAUUUUGAAUAGGUACAAUUUCUUUUUAAAAUAGGUUAUAUUUAUAAUAAUAUACCUUGCCCGAAACGGUAAUCCAACAAAACAGGAUUCCCGUAACUUCGAAUCACUUCUCCUGCCUCGUCAAAUUCUAUCCACAAUUUUCCCAAAUAUUUGGUCAGAUGAAACGCCUGUACUACGGGCACUUCUCUAUUCGUUCUUGGUUGUUUUACCAUAAAUGGAUACUGGCCGACGGGUUCGUCGAUGGGGUCUGGCGGAUCUCCUGUAUAAAACAACAUAAAACUUGUUGGCCAUUUUUUCCCGUGUAUUUUUUAAAAUGUUUUAUCGUGAAAUUCACCAUUGUAUAAAAACGUGUUGGUAUGCCCACCGAUCACCAGAUCGAUAUCGUCCACUUGUUCCGCAAUUUUUUUGUCUGUAUCAAAACCGGAAUGCCCCAGUGCUAUAAGAAUAUUCACCCCUUCGUUUUUCAGGCGUUUCGCUUCAGCAGUUAUCGAUGGGAUUUCUGGUAAUAUUUUUAAAUUACCCACGAACGCUAAAUACUGUAUUAAUACGCAAAAAUAACACAUUUUUCAAUAGAUAUAAAUACAUUUCAAGUUUUAAUUUUUUUUACACAGUGGCAGUUACCUGAAAGAGGGUGGGGUGAUCGGAACAUUCGCUCCCCUCCUCCCGUAGACCUUAUGCAUGUGUGUAUUGUUAUUUUUUUGUAAUGUUUUCACAAUUGUUUUCAAAAUAUAUUUUUUAAAGUAACUAGUUAAUAAUAUAUGGUGGUCGAACACAUAGGUAUAAAAUAUUUUUGUUAUCCGUUUCUAUGGUAGAAAUGGAUAAGGUUUCUGAUGUUAUCAUUUUUUUUUGGCGGUUCGACCGUUGUUUCCUAUCAUUGAUUUCUAAUUACAAAAUAAAUGUGUCUGGAUCGUUUAUUUAGGCUUGUACUAUGCAUAUUUACCAGGAAAAAAGUAACCAGUGGAUGAUAUUAUUAAAAAAUUCUCUUCUAUGAAAAACCAGAGGUGAGACAAUAUGUUAUACAUUUAUGACAUGUAUUAUAAUAUUAUAUUUAUUUAAAUACAAAUUCCUUAUUUCAUGUGUUAAAAUGUUAUAUUUCACAAACCUAAUCUAACCUAACUUUUUAAGUACCCAAUCUCUGUAAUUAUUAAGACAAUUGUUGUAUCUGCGACAUUACUUUUUUAUGGAAUUUUCUAUUUUAAGAGUGGGUAAAAAUAUAUUUCACCCCUCCCCUAAAAAAAGCUUAGGUUCGCCACUAUUCUUACAUUUGAAUAUUCGUAAAAAUAAAAAACAAGUCAAUUAUCAUAUUUUAUUUAAUUUUUUUACAUACUGAUGUUUCCGGCGUCAAGUAUCCGAUAAUGCCGAUUUUGCGACCGUUGACCGUGAGCACCUUGGAUUUCAUUAAAUUUGGCUCAUUAGCCAAUGAAGGUUCGCCGGUUAGAUCGAGAUUACUGGCCACUACCGGAACGGUUAUGUUGUGUAUGAACAACUGGACGUCUUGCACGCCGUCGUCGAAUUCGUGAUUUCCCAAACUCUAUAACGUACACGUAAUUCGUAUUAUUAACAAAAUAAUAAUUUAUUAAAAUAAUUUCCAAACUAAAAAAAAACGAACAUACUUCACAUAAUGGGCGGGCCACUAUUGCAGGUGAGAAGUUGGGAAGGUAGGAUAUAAAGAGGAAAUUAAUGUAUUGUAUGCAAUAAUAAAACAUUGCUAACAGAAAAGGAUUCUGAGCGGAGUUCAACUAUACUUGUUUUAAAGGCCGUAGUAUUUACAAUUUCCUUCAAAAUUUGAUAUUGAAAUUCUAAUAUAAAAAACAAAUACUACAUUAAACUCAACGUUUUCUUGUUGACCACUAGGCACCAAGGUACAACUUAUAAUGAACGUCCUGUUAAAUUGUCAAUCAUUUAUAUUUGGUCUAACAAUUUUUUUCACAGUAUACCUAAUGAACAAAUAUUACGUUAAAAAAUCGCAAAGUUAAAAAUGUUUAUAAAUAGCACAAAAAUUAUUCAAAUGUUUUGAAUAUUUUAUCACUUCAAUAAAAGCAAAUAUAAUGUCUCUGUUCAAAUUUCAAGUCUCUGCGAACAUUUCGAACUGAAUUACAAAAAAAAAAAAAAAAAAAAAAAAAAAAAAAAUAAAAGCAUUAUUUUCGUACAUUUUUUCUUUUUCUUAUAUUUUUUACGGGUUUUCCCAAUUAUUAUCAAAUCGUUUUGAAAAUUAAUAAAUUACCUCCUUAGAGUAUCAAUGAGAUAAAAUGUCCACACAAUAUACAAUUCAACCAAUACUCUCGAUAACGUCGUCUAUUCUUCAUCCUCAUUGUUUCCCACGUCGUUUAUUUUUCGUGCUCUUUGUUUUUCACGUCUUAUCACAGUACCUUUAUUUACUGCAAAAACCUAUAUUCAAUUAUUUUUUGGCCUACUAAUUUUCUCAUUUAUUUAUUAUUAUUUUUAUUUUUUUCUAGGAAUAACUUUUCUACCAGACAUUUUCCUCCGACUUUGAAAUAUAGCGCCUUUUUUGAAAGGAAAUAUUAUUUUGUUGAUACUCUUAGGAGGUUAUUUUUUAAUUUUCAAAAUUAUUGGGAAAAAAUGUAAGAAACGGGAAAAUUUACGAAAUGUAUUAUUUUCAAUUUUGAUUUUAAGUUAUAAUCUAGUUUAAUAUAUUCGUAGAGAAUUAAAAUUUGGAAAGAAAACUUCUAUUUUCCUUUCUUAACUUGGUAAAAUUUUCAAAAUAUUUGAGCUAUUUUUGAUAUUUUUAUUUUGCCAGUUUUUAAGUAAUUUUUAUUCUGUAGGUACUCUGUGGAUAUAAUUGUUAGACUAAAUAGAAAUGCUUGAAAACUUAACACGAGGUUCAUUAUAAGUUUAUUAUCAUGAAUAAAAAAAAAGAACUGACUUCAGAACAUUACGUCAAAGGUAGCAUAUAAAUAGGACUUUUUGGAUAUACGUUCUUAUUCUUUUACAAAAUGUCAUACUGUGCACACAAUCCCUGAUAGAGUCUAGUUUGUUAUUUAUAUAAUGUUAUACAUAAUUAUAUAACUAGUCAUGUUGUUUACUUUAACUAUAUAUCAAAGUCCUUAGUUUACUCAAACUUCCAAUUCUAACAAAACUCGUUUGUGAAAAUUGAAUUUUAAAAUUUUAAAUCAGACAAUAGGCGAGUUGCUUAAUCGGCCAAACCAUGGCCAAAAUGCGUUAUUAAUUGCGUUUUUGGAGUUGCCUGAACCACCCGGCCGUUUGAGCAGUGCUUUUCACGAGCAGCUAUUUUUACCUCGAGGUCGGUAAAGGUAUCUUUAAUCGUGCUGUUCACUCAUUUACCUCACUUGUUUCGUCUUGUGUACUAUGUAGUUUGAUUUGAAAAGAAAAUAAUAUAGCGUUUCACUUCAUUAAAUUUAACUAUUAUUAAUAUAAUUUAUUAUUAUCAAGAUAUUGUGAGAGUCGAAUUCAAGUAUUUAUUUACUGUGUUUCGUUUUGUAUUGUAUUGUACUGUGUAUUUUUUUUGGAAAUAAAAUAAAAUGGCUUUUCACUACUUCGUUAAAUUUAUUUUAAAUGGUGAUAAAACAAUUUUUCAUGGCAAAGUCAUGUAAUUUUUAAUGACGAACAAACAAAAACUAAACGCUUUUGAAAAAUGAACAGAUAAAAAGCAAUGAUAACGAUGUCCCACCGUUCAUUCGGUUUUCAAAUGAAUUGCCUUUAGAUAGUGACUAAAAUCGAAAUUUGUAUGUUUUGUUUGAUCAAGUUUUUAGCCUAUGUACCUGAUUUAGAAUAUUAUCGUAGAGGAAGAAACAAAAAAAUCCGAGAUCUGACAGGAGUUUCAGAGAUUACUAACUUUGUGAAAGUGCAACGAAAAAAAUGGUUCGGACACGAGAUGGGGAAGGCCGACGCAGAGGAUAUAAGAGCAUUUGUCGAGUGAAAUCCAACAGGAAAUAUAGCAAGAGGGCAUUCAAAGAAGCAAUAGAUUAAUAGGAUAAUGUAGGAUGUCCAGAAUAAUAAUAAAAUAGGAAGAAAAAUUGAAAAAUCGUGAGGAGUGGGGGGAAAUAGCGAUAGAGGUAAAAACUCUUGAAGAGUUAUGAUGCCAAGAAAGAAAAAUGAAAGUAAACGUUUUAAACUCUACGAGUUCGUUAUCAGACCGUUUUUUCCUGUUUAACAUUCGAUUAUAUACUUGACGGUUCAUAGCGUAAUCAUUAAAUUUUACUAUAAAACGAAUCCGAUUUUCCGUAAAUUCCUGUUAUUUUUACAAAUAUUCCAUUGAGUCGUUAUAAAUUAUAUUUAAUAUUAUCUCGUUUCUCUUUGUACGCAAGGUUAUACUGUUGUACACUGCUGUACAUUAUUUAUCAAAACUGUUUCACGUAUUCGCAUAUCUAAUAUGAAAAAUUCGCGUUAUGUCAGUUGACACUAAAUUAUUAUACUUAAUAUUAUUAUUCCCUGAAACUUAUACGGCCGCGCGAAUAAUAAUAUAUCAUAAUAUAUUUCUAAUAUAUUUGUUUAAACCCAGACCAAAUUUGAGACGCCGUUGUGGCGAAUAAAACGUUCAUUUUAUUUUUCGUCAUUUGCAUAUUAAGCCCUCAAAGCAAAAACGUCUUAAAUAAUUAUUGAGAACAUUUUUGAGAAAAACGUGUUUUUAUAUUUUGCAUUUUCUAACAUUCAUAAUACCAAGUACGUUUUACUUCUUGAGGCUAUAGCUACAUUGGACCCGUUUCCGAUUCGUUUCGAUACGACUGACCCAACCGGUACCUUACUCAUCCGAUAUGUGUGGCUACAUAAUUUCCGAUUUUGUAUCGACGAUUAUUUAUAAGCAUUCACCGACGCUUAGAGUGCUCAUGUUUAUUAGCCGUGUUUAAUAUUACACAGUUUCUAUUCAAUAUAUUUUUAAUUUCUAGCAGCUCAGAUGACGAAUGGGAUGAUUAACUGGAUAAUAACAAUAAUAUGUUAUAUUUAAAUGAUUCAAGUUGGAUAAAUCAUUUAUGAACAAAUUUUACAAAUGAGAAAUAUUUAAAAAAGUAUUAAGUAUUAAAAGUAUUAAGCUUCGAGAAUAUAUUCUGAUAAUUUAAUCUAAUUUGGUCCAAGUGAUUGGAAGAAAAACAAACCUGUUAGUUUUAUUCUGACUUAUCCGACUAGUCGGUGCGUCGGGAACGAACAGCACGAAUAAAUAUAGCUAUUGCCGAUAAUAUACACGGUUAUGUUUUUCUUUCGACCAGUUAAACUGUCGAAUCGAGUCAGAUCUGAUCGGAAAAGAGUCAAAUAUGCACCCUUAGCCUAAAGUAUGACACAUUAAUUUUUAUACGUCAUUUUACCAGAUAAAUGCAAUGCAAUACAAAUUAAUAUGGAUAAAUAAUUGUUGACGUUUUUAACUAACUUUUUAUAUUGUAAUUUAUAUUAUGACUAUUAUAUUUUAAUGACGUGUUGGUUACAAAUAUAUUUUACACGUGUCACAUUAUGAUCAAAAAAACCACAAUUUGCAGUAAGUAUAAAUGCCACAAAUUUUUAUUUUUAUUGUAUACUAAGCAAAAUUAUCACAUCUUCAUCAAUAUCUAUGGUGUUUUUGCUUAGUAUGGUUAUUAUUAAACGGCGUUUUUAUGCAGUAAAAAUACAUUUUUUGACCAUUUACGUUCGGUGAAAACAAAUAUUACCGAGUAGUUAUUUUUUAGGACAAUGUUUUAAGCAUAUAGUAUAUAUAUUUUUUAUGUAUUUAAAUCAUUUUUUAAUUCUUUUGGACUUACGGCAGUUUUGCUUAUGAAGGCAAUAGAGAUACUAUAUAAUAUAAUAAUUUUUACCCAACCUUGUCUAACGAUGGGUUCUAGUAGAUGGGUAUUUAAGAAGAUAGGAUAUAUAGGGGAAAUUAAAUUGUAUACCGUACGCAACGAUAAACUAUUACAAAUGAAAAAACAAUUCUGAGCUAAGUAUUAUUAAAAGUGUUUUUCUAUUAAACCCAGAAAUCAGCAAUAAAUUUUUCCUUUUUAACAAUUAUUAAAAAAACGAGAGCGAAAAUCACAAAAUAAUCAACUCUGUGGAUGCACUGAUCAACAAGAUGGUGUUCUUUCAGAAAAUAUGCUUUUCUAGGUAAUCAGUGUGAUAUUUCUAGUACAAAAAUUGUUAACAUACAGGAAAACAAUCCAUUAGGUAUCAUAAAAUCUAUAUGCGUUGUAUUGUAAGGAUAUUAAAAAAAAUUAAAAAUGUACAUACUUGCAGCUGAAUUUUUAAAUAGAAAUAAUAUUUUUAUUUGUUUAUUUUUAAAAAGGAAUACCGCGUAAACGCAUUUACCACCGUAAAUCAACGCCAAAAUCCACUUUAACUAAAACAUCAUCUGUUUAAAAAAUUUUAAAUUUAGACGAUGAUUAUUGAAAAUCAAAAUUCGGUAAUGGUUGUUCCCAAAAUAAUGACAAAUAAAUGUCUCUCGUGAUGAUUUUAUAUUGCACAAGAACGGUGUAACAGGUACCUCUAUACGAACACUGAGUCCCGACGGAAACGGAAUAUAUAAUUGAACUUUUUUUCUCGCUUUCCGGUGGGAACAAUAUAAUAAUAAGCGUCACAUGUGUGUAGUCGGAAUUGUUUUCAUAAUACAAAAGUGGAGAGGAGGAAAAUAAAAAGGGGCGAGUGUUGCAGGUUAUAAUAACAUUAUACAAUCGUAUUUUUUUUUUAAAUUACCCGUUCGAAUAACGUGCCGAGAGUGAUGUCGAGACGAUUUAUUAUUGCGUGUAAUAAAAAUGACGAUUCUAACUAGGUAGGUAUUAUAAGUACCUAAAUUGUGCUUAUUAUUUUUUGAAUAUCGGACGUAAAUCUGUCGUGUAUCUCGCGUGGUGCAACCCAAACUGUUUCCAUCCGUUAUUUCUUUCCCGAAAUGUGUCACGUCGAAAAUGGCUUUACGAGGAUGUAAAUUCCCAAACAAGUUUUAUUGAAUAAAUUUAAAUUAUUGGAGUUUGAAUUUUACGUUUCAAGCAUUCUAUGCUUAUAUGGAAUAUUGUUAAAAGAAUUUUAACUAGUUCAUCGAAUUUUAUCGGGUGAUUACAAAUGGCAUGAUUACGAACGUUUUUACUUGCUAUUUUUAGUGCGGAGUUGCCAGAUUUGAUGUUUGUCAAUUAUUUUUAUAUAAUAAAUAUAUUUAAUAUUAUUAAAAUUUUCUUUUAUUUUCAUAUAAACAAAUUAUAUAAGGUUAACAACAAUGGUUUCUUGCUAUUACACCGGGCGAUAACAUACAUAUCAAUAACAUUAGUCCUAAAUUGAUACUAAUUUGAUGGAAACCAGCUUGAUUCGUGUAGUCGUGCAGUAUUAUCGUGAUUCUCGUGUUGUAUAAUAUUUUUACCGAGAAAAAAUUUAAACCAUUUUAAACUCAAUAAUUAUGUGUCAUUUUAUUUUAAUAUAUAACGUAGUUAUAAUAUUUAUAAUUGAACCUCCAAAUAGAAUAAAACAUAUUUAGAAAAAUGUACACUAUCUAAGCUUAACAAAGAAGUCUCAGAAAACGUACACAAUCGUUCGUUUUUCAGAUAAAAAAAAAAUUAUUUGAUAAGCGACAUACGUUCGCAAUUGUGUUAUAAAAAUAGAAAAACGUUCGCAAUCGUGUUGCAUCCAAUUUUAUCAAGUUUCGACUUUAAUAAUAAGUACGUAAUAUCUAUCACAAAAUACAGAAUACAAUGUAACUUGAUAUGCCAGUCAGUCAGUUUGUGAUAGCCGUAGUUUAGUCGUGUAUAAUAUAAUAAAAUUGUACAGUGAAAAAUGUAAAGUAAAAAUCUGAAAAAAAAGGUGCAUAGAAAAAUAUCCGUUUUCUUUCGACAAAAAUUGGUUGUCGACCUAAAACGGUGGAAAUUUACAACACGUGGUUGUAAAUCUUUUUUUAAGAAUAACAGUAUUGGCGAAAUAUAUGAUAUACAUUUGGAACAUAAUCAUUUACAUUUAUAUGACAAUUUUUUAAGUAGGAGGGAUAUAAGUAAUAGUUCAUCAUCGGGUCAUCAGGGUCAAAAGCGCCUAUUUCAUUGUUCUAUUUCGAGCGUUCUCGUACGCUAGAAAAGGUCGAGCGUUUUCAAUCGUAUUGUUACCCUAUGUUUCCCAUAACGGACACUAUCUUCCCCUGACUUACUGUGUUUUGCCCGAAAAAACAUCAGUCUUCUACGGAAAAGCUCUUUCAGCGUUGUGUGAUUUCAUAAAUCCAUAAGUUACAUUCGUAGAUUUUGAAGAGGCUAUUCACUCUGCAGUACAAAAACCAUGAAUAUCGGUGAGUAUAAAGGGAUGCAGAUUCCAUUUGGGUCAAAUUUGAAUUUGGAAUUGACAUAUUUAUAUAAUGAGAGCCGUUUGGGAAUUGGCCUUUUUGUAAAAUGAGAGCCGAAUGGACUAUAGCCAUCUUGCGAUGCUACAAAAUCGGUUUUUUUUUUUAACUUCAUUUACCGGAGAGAAAUAAUCACGAGAUAAUAAUAAACUUACGUGAAAAACAUGUAGAUCCGUUGACUAUGCACUGUUGAGCAACAAUUUGUCAGACAACCAAAAAUAAAUAAUUUGUGUUUUUUUUCCUUUUCAAGAGCUAUUGUUGAUUUACCGUAAAUAAUAUCAUAGAUAACGUAUUUAGCCAUUUAAUAAUUUUCAUCAUAAAAUCAAUUUGCUUUUAAUGGGAAAAAAAUGUAAAAAUGUCUGAUUUUAUUCGCAGUUGGUGUCCCUGUUUGCUAAUCAAAUGUUUUAAGAUAUUUGUCAUUACCUAGACAAAAGGCGUAGAACGCACAGUCACAGAUGCAUGUAUACAAAAUACGAUACGUAACUAACUUUCAUUUAUAUGCUAAUUGCAUAUAAUAUUAAUUUCCUCCAUCUUUUCGAGAAUUAGAAUCAUACCACCAUAUCAAUAUCAAUAUCAAUGAAGGAUAGUAUGGCCGUACAGGGUUAAAGCUUAAAUACCAUAACUGCACUUCGUCGCCCAUCUCUCACUUUCUCAUCAUAUUUCCAUCACAGUAUCUUGAACUAUCUCUCUCCAAUUUUCAACUCCUAAAUGUGAUAAAUUUUCUUCCACAACUCUGGUUGAGUUUUUCACGAAGAACCAAUGUAGAUUUUUUAAAGAAAAGUAUUAAUUAUACCUUGACCUAAUGAUUUUUUUUAAUAUCUUCAUUUUUAAAAAGAUAUGAGUGUUUUAAUUUAAUUUAAUCUUAACUAGGGAUCAGUCAGAUCCGGCUCUUGUUUCUUCGGGUUCAUGGUUAUAUUAUAUCGAUUCUGGUAAUUAUUAUUAUUAGUAUUAUUUAUUUUUUUUUUUAUGUAGUCACAUUCGUUUUAAUCAUUUGUUUCUUUUAGUAAAUAUCGGUAUUUACAAAGGGACCUAUUAUCAAUGAGUCAAAUCACACUAUUAACUAGUAAUCAGUAGACAUUUUUUUCUUUAUCUUAUGAAUUAUACAACGAAUGUUUGAAGUUAUUAUUUUCACAUUGUAAAAAGAAGAACCAGUAUCGGCAUCGAGAACCAAAAGAAAUAUUUUCUGAAUCGAACUGGUACCGAUGUUUUUAGGAACCGUUCCUAAUUUUAAUCAUUAAUAAGGAGUAAUUAAAUUUUCCGCCAAUAUCGAUCUAACUGAUCACCACCGGUAUAAAAAUCUCCAUCUCCGUUUACCGCCACAAUAAAUUUCAGUUUUUGUACUACUGAAAAUCACUUAAUUGUUUAUAUAAAAGGGGUCGAAAAACAUUUUUUCCGAAUUUUGUAAAAUUUUGAAAUUAUCCUUUCUCACAACUCGUCCCUCAACUAUUUUUUAAUUCAUCAUCCUAACCCAUUCAGUCUGCCUCUUAAAGCUUCUACAGCUUUCUUAAACACAUUUUCUUAACUCACUCUUGACCUUCUUAACGGUAUAUUUCCUGACGGGUUAUUUUUCACCGGAAGAGUUUUUUGAUGGUUUCUAAAAUAUUCUUUUUGUCAUAGGUACAUUGCUUCUAGUUCUCGGGUUUUUCUUUCUUCUCCACUUUCCGAUCAUGCGAUUCUAUGCAGGUAUAAAGAUAUUUCCACCGUCACUAACUCAAAAACGAAAAUCGCCCCUAUAAGUGAGAGGCCGCAGCUUUAUUUUCAAAAUAACCGAUGUCUUAUUCUUUAAAAAAUGAUCAUCUAUAAAUCGCAUGAAGGCGGGUGCUUUAUUAGUUCUAUAAUCAAUUUUAAACACCUUUUUGUUUUGCUUUACAUCGACCACGUUGUUUAUUAUGUUGUCGUCCUCUAGAAAGACUUGGUGGCAUGACGCUACUGUGACUUUCACUUAAUGAAGAAAUGUCGAUUGGUAUUUACUCGACGAAGCCUUGAUUGAGGAGGCGGGGAAGAACCUCUCUUGUAUUUACUUCGACGAUUAUAAUAUGCACACCACUUGCGGCUUUUAACACGAGAAAUUACUUUUAUUCGAAUUCGACAACACUAGAUUUUAUAUAACGAUGACACUUGACCUUACAUUCACACGGCAUAUACGAUUUUCUUACGUGACGAUAAUUUAUUAUUGAGUAUUAUUGACCUAUAGAUUAGACGCACGUCGGCUUAAACGGAACAAUAAAUAAUAUAUGCUACGAUUCGCGUGUAACUGCAACUAAGUUAUAGUUGUGAUAAUGUAAUCAAUUACGUUUUGUUUAUAAUAGCGUGUAGUAUAAUUAAGUACGUAAUUUAACCGUAUUAUACGUGUAGGUGCUCGUAUUUUAGCGCGCAUUAAUUAUUUCUCACGAAGCGCCUAACGAUAAUAAAUGAUAUAGACGCGUUUCGCAGGACGAUACAAUUUAUUACAUCAUAAUACGGAGUUCGAAAUAAAACUUACGUAUUAAUAUUAUAAUAUUAUAUACAAAACAAAUAACAUUUGGCGCCACCGUGUUUCGGUAUCGUACAUAAGCCCUUCUUAUAGGGAAGUGAAUGGGCGAUAUGUAUUACCAACCUCCUCCUUUGUAAAUAGGACGUUUUUCAUAAAAGAAAUUAAUCAUGUAACGACAAGUUACAAUAAUACUGCAGAAGAAACAACAUGAAAUGGCGUUGCCAUUAACAAAACAAAUAUUUUAAUAUAUUGGGUUUAUUGAAAAUAUGUAAUCAAUGGUCUCGCUAUAAAUAUAGAUAAAUGUCAAAUAAAACAUUAAAAAAAUAAAAAACGUAAUCACAUCAUUUAUAAAUAUCGUUUAACAGAUAUUUAUCUAUUUCGUUUCUCAUUAAUUAAAAAAUCUUGGAAUAUGGUUUGAUUACAAACUUAUAUUUUAUUCUCAUAUCCUAGCAAUUAAAAAAAAAGCUUUUUCUAUAAAUAGCAUGGUCAAACGAAACGGUUCUGAAUUCAACAACCUUAAUAAUAACUUUUGGGCAACUAUACAUCUCUAUCAUUCGUGCACAGCUUGAAUAUCCUUCGAUAAUCUGGGAAAAUAAUACUAUUGGCUAUAGUAACGAAAUUGAAGGUAUCCAAAACAAAGUUUUCCGAUUUAUUUGCUUUAAUUUUAAAAUACCAAAGACCAACCACUCGGGCUAUGUUAAAAUUAUAAAUUUUUUAAAUUUAUAAUCAUUGAAAGUAAGGAAACACAAUUUGUUCGUCUCAAUUAUUAAUAAAUUAUUAAACAAUAAUAUUGACGACUCUUUCAUUCUUAGCCGUAUUCAUUUUAAUAGAGUCAACCCACAUAAUAUACGCAAUGUAAAGAUUUAUUUUAUAUUUCAUUUCAAAGUAAAAAUUGUACUUAUUUUUUCAUACGUGUAUGUGUGUCCCGUUUUACCUAAGUUCUUCCCAAUUGUUACGAAAUACCCCUCUACGGGAAUAUUAGUAUAUGUCACUAUGGCAGUAGUUCUCUAAAAACGAGAUACUGUUUUACACCACCUGUACGACAGUUUCUCCUUCUCCGAAAAAUUAUUCUGAUCUAUUUUUAUUUGUACACGUUUUAAAAUGUAUAUGUAUACAUUUCUCGCUCAGGCUUAUAGCAUAUACGUAUUAUACCAGUGGUUCUCAGUCUUCAUGUACAUACGACUAAUGAUAUUUAAGUUUUGUGCGCGGAAUUUCUUUAAAACGGUGAAAAUAUAAUAAAUGUAACUUUCUACCAGGAAACUUGUUCCAAACAAAAAAUUAAAAUUAAUAUUUUUUGUUGAAAUUUGGAUCUUGUUGGUGUUUAAGGAGGCUGAUUUUUUAUGUACCGUGUUGUUUUCUUAAUAAGUGAACAAAACCGGGAAAAAUAUAGAAAGAAUGGGAAAAUAUCAAAAUUUUCAAUUUUGUUUUUUGUUGUAAUUCUGUUAAAAAUUAUAAUAGAGACAUGACAUUUUUACAGAUAGAUUUUAUUCAUUUUUACUAAACGUGUUAAAAUUGUUUAACAAUCCUGAAAAUAUUUUUGAGUUAUUUAUAGACAUUUCACAUUUUAUAAUUUUUUUACAUAGUUUUUUUUUAGUAAGUUUAUACUAUGUGGAUACAAUUGUUUGACCAAAAAGUAAAUGCUUAAAAAUUAAAAACAAUAGUUUUAUUAUAAAUUGUAAUUUACGGUAAAAAAAAAUAAAGUCAGGCAUAAUGCAGUAGUUUUUUUAUUUAAUCGUUUUAAGAUUAAAUUUUAACGAAAAUCGUAAAAAUUACGGUAAUUUUAUCAUUUUUCAUGGGCAAUAGUUUUGUUAUGUACAAAUAUUAAUUAAAUAACUAAAUUAAAUAUUUAUGCUAUAAAUCAUAUCACAGCUAGAAUAUUAAUAACAUUUUCGAUUUUAACUGUUUAACAAACGUUUAACCGAAAAGUUCCCCUCACAAGUACGUAUAUUUCGUUUACAAUGAUUUAUCGUCGCGUUCAAAAUUUAAAAUAAAUCAUCCUAUAUUUCCUACCUUUUCGACUUCCCACGUAUAACAGAGCAUUCGUCGCGUUAGUUUUAUUUUUGAUAGUUAUAUUAUUGUACAUUGAGGAAAUUGCCGAGUUCCCGCGAUGUGGGCGAUGUGAUCUGCUUCCGCGUACGCUAGCAAGUGUCCGUCAAAUAUCACUACCCUUCCCCACCAAAGAUCAGUAUAAAUGUUUAAAAGAAAUUGAUUUUAUUUUUUUUUUAUUUUUUUAUAAAAAUGCGGAUUAUUCUCUAUAAUACACACAACGAUGUGUCAGUUAAGGUUAGUAAAUUUGUAGACGAAUGGAACACGGCAGUUGGAAUUUUCACUGUAAAUAUUGCGUAUUAUAAUAUGACAUAUAUAUUGUUGACAAAGCAAACACUAUCAACUGAAUUUCGCUCACAAUGGUUUUUUCGUUAGCAAUGGUUUAUCGUUGCUUACAGAUGAUGUACAUUGAAUUCUCGUUUGUAUCCGAAACUCGACAAAACUCUAAGUGCCCGCGAUACUUGGAAAAACGUCGUAUUUCGGCUGUAGCCUAGGAAAACCUAGUGACCAAUCCCAUUUGGGCAAAACCGUAGCGUCGAUAAAUUUCAAUUUUUCAUAUUAGGUUGGUAACUUAUAAUUAAAUGUACUAACUUUUAUAAUUCUCAAUACCUUCAUAACUUCGGUAUUAUUAUGUAUACGUUGUACACGUGUAAUCACAUUGGACCAGUUAUAUUUUAUUUUAUCGUUAUGUAUAUGUAAUAUAAGAAAAAAAAAAUCUGUACCUACUAUUAAAUCACUACUACGUUUGCCCGGUUAUUUCUGAGGUUCUACAGAUUUCAACUUUUACUUUUAAGUUAAUAGAAUAUUAAAUCUUAUUGUAGGUACAUCUAAAUAUAGGUACAGUGAUUUAUUUAAUUAUUUACUAUGAAUGAGAAAAAAAGUAAAGUAUAAACAUGUCUUUUUUUCGAUAUGAGUGUUAAAUUUUGAAAUUUGAAGUUAUUUAAUUUUUUAAUUUUGAUUUAUUACUUUGGUGGGCCGGUUAAUGAUUGAUCGCGGUCCGAAUUUGGUCACCACUGUUUUCUGUUAUAAUUUGAACUCAUUGAUUUAUUUUUUUUUGUUUGGGAUUCUUAUUUAAUCCAAGAAUUGAAUAAAACGAUUGGAUUUCAAUUUAAUCUGUUAUUAAAAUAAUACUAUUUUUCAUAAGAAACCGAAACAUAAGAGACCGUUUUCAUUAAUAAUAACAAUACUGUAUUAUGACUAAAUAUUAAAAAUGAAUAUUGUAUAUUUCUUGGUAUCGUGUACAUAAUAUUAAUUCAAUCCUUUUUUAAUGUUUUAUAUGUAUAAUUUACUAUGGCGAUGCACAGAGUAAUUUAAAAAUAUUUUUAUAAUAUACCUUAUUACACUCUAGAGUGUAGUGUUUAGACAAUAGGUACCGAAUGUACAAAAAUAACUAUAAUUUAAAAACAGUUUAUUUAUAGGUGUAUAUUUUAAUACUGUUGAGAAGGAAAAAUUCACAUAGUUUAUAUUAUAUCGAGUGCACCCAUUUAAAUGGAUCGCCUUGUAUACUGUUUACCCCACAAUAUUUUUGUUCCGCAUUUUACUAUAUCUUCCAUAAACAGUUGUUCCGGCAGACUUAUACUCCUCAAUCCCUAAUAGGCAUGUAUAACCGUUUGGCUACAACAAACAUACUAAAAAUAAUGACAAUAUUUAGUUAUUUAAUAUAACAUAUAAUAUCAGAAUUUCAAAAAACUAUAAUUUCGAUUCGCUCAAUACUGACUUCACCAUUUUUUUUAUCGUCGAUAUACUCCAUCACCAAUAUACAUAUAUUCAAAAAAAAAAAAAUUAAAAAUUAGAUUUAUUCCGGGUAAUUUUUUUCUCAACGAUUUUCGUCAAAAUUUGAUGUUAAAUUUCCUUUUUAAAAAAAAAAAUACUACAUUAAACUUAAAUUUUCAUUUUUUGACAACAAAGUAAGACUUUUAAUGAAUUUCCUAAUAAAUUUUAAAGCAUUUAUAUUAAGUCUAACAAUUUUAUCACAGAGUACUUACCGAAUAAAAAUUUCGUACACAACUCGCAAAAUUGAAAUGUUUAUAAGUACCUCAAAAAUGACUUAAAUUUUUUGAAAAUUUUACCACGUCUAGAAAAAACAAAUACGAGUUUUCUGUCUAAAUUACAAGUUCAGUUGAGUCGAUACGAAUAUUUUUAACUGAAUCUCAACAAAAAUAUUAAAAUUUGUAUAAAUAGCCUUAAAAUGGCUCAAAUGUUUUGAAUAUUUUACCACGCUUAGAAAAAGUAAAUAUAAAUUUCUUGUUCAAAUUUUAAAUGUUUACGAAUAUUUUCAAUUGAAUUACAACAAAUAAUAUAAUUGAAAAAUAAUAAAAGCAUUAUUUUCCUAAAUUUCCAGUUCUUUUACGUUUUAUCCUGGUUUUUCCUAGAUAUUGUGAAUAUAUAUAUACAUAUUAUAUUUUCCGCUUAGAAAAUCAAAAAAUGAUCUCCCAAAAGCACCAUCUGGACAAUGUUCCCUUUCAGAAAUGGUGCCGUGCGUAUAAAUCUGAGUAAGAUUGCUGGUAGAAUUUUUGUGCACAGGAUAAAAAAAUAAAAAACUAAACAUCUUAGUAAAACCAAUGCAUUCUUGGCUACACUCAAAAUCUAUCGAUUAAUUAACAAAUCCCACUUGUGAUAUUGAUGUGCCGAUUUUACGUUUUCUAUUAUCACAAACCUAUUAAUUGAAUUAUUAAUACUCGUAUUAUCGGUUUCGGGGGAUUUCACUGUCGGUCGACGAGUGACUCUAAUAAUAACCGUAUGACAUAACCGUCUUAACCCCGAGCGUCGGCGGCGACCCCGAGGUGUCGUCGCACACCACUGUACAAUCACUCACCAUGACGUCGAUGCCGAGCGGGUCUAUCAUGCGGGCCACAGCCAUCCACUUGAGGAACGUGUAAAUGGCCGUGCCCUGGAACGUGUCGCCGGCGUUGAGAAACAGCGUUCCGUCAGAGCCGUUGGACUUUUGGGCCUCGGCCCGAGCCUCGUCCACGGCCGUCUUGAGCCUCGCGAAACCGCCGUAACACCGCGGUACCGGGCUGCGGUCCAUGCAUUGCGCGCCGAUCCGUUCGACCGGCUCGAACCGCGAGUGCAUGUCAUUGGUGUGCAACACGAGUAACCGGAACGCGUGGCCGUCAUCGUACGGCACAUUUGCGGCAGCCACCGAAAAGAAUAGUAAAACCAACGUCGUCGUCGUCGUCGGCCGGUUCAUCGCUUCGAUCGCGGACGGUUGUUCGGUGUCGGUACGUGUACGACGUACGGAUCGCGUCGCGUUGUGCGUUCUGCACGUGUGCUGUCGGCCAACGUAAUAUUAAUUUUUCGUUCCCACGUCCCCACUAUAUUAGUGACCUUUUCACUGACACCGCGGGAGGAACAUCCUCCUACCACCGCCGUCACCGCCGUUACAUCGGCUACCACACAGACAGUGUCAGCGGAAUAAUAUUAAAUCGGAUUCCGAAUUCAGGUAUUCGAUACAAUUAAGCAUUGUUCAGAUACCGAAAUGGCCGAAUUCCAUUAGGUCCCCCGUCGUGUCGGCGAUGUUAGGUUAGGUAAGGAACUGCACACGCCGCCCGCUCUAGGUUUCUGCAAAAUGUUAUGUUAUACGCAGUGACGUACCUACCGAAAAAUAUUCAAUUGGACAGGGCUGGGCAGCCUAGGCAAGCGGACGAGCGAUUGGAAUGAGACGGGGACCAUUAUUGCGUUUAAAUACCGACAAAACUGAAUUAUUACAAAUUAUCGUUAUAAUCUCGUUGUAUAUUAGUAUGUAUGAUUUUUGAUUAUACUAAGACAAUAUUAUAUUAUUGUGUAUAAGAAUACACGUGUAAUAACAUCAAAUUUACAUAAAACGUGCUAUACAUUUGCCCCGAAAUUAGAAACAUUUCGCUCCGAUUAAUAAAAUGUUAUCGACAAUUCAAUUAAUCAUUUAGAUUUCUUCAACGAUGAUCGUUACUUAUAAUUCACGAUAAAUUCACUAUCGUAUUGUUUUCGAUUAAUUAAUCACACGCGUUCUUAAUAGUUUUUUUUUUUUUUGUCUGUCGAAUACGCAAUAUGUUUAAUUUAUACUGUACGGAGCCCACCAAUGUAGCGUUUAUUAUUAAUAAAUAAAUUUAAUGGAUAAUAUUAUUGUUGACUAAUAUCUUAAAAAAGUUAAAGUAAUACAGUGGUGUUUGAUAACCUCUUUUAUAGCAUGUUUAGAUUAAAUAUUAAUGGAAAAGGUUACGUUACAUUAGGUUAAGCAUUGUAUGAUAUAGGUACUUACAAACUAUGAUUUGACUAUUAUUAUAAAUAAGAGUGCCUGAAAUGAGAUUUUUAUCAAUACAUUAAACAUCCAAUAGUACUUACAUUAUAAUAUAAAAUAAAUGUAAAGUUACUUUGUAUCGCAUGCAUAUGUAUAUUUUCAAUUGUUAGAGUCCAAUCAUACUUGAUAAGGAUUGUUAUCCCGUAAAAAUAAAAUUUGUGUGACACCAAUCACACGGGCAAUUAAACAUAGCACUAUAAACAACGCAGACCGAUACAGUUAUUAUGUAACAAUAUAAUUGUGAACAUUCAUUCAUCAGAAUGCUAAAUAAUUAUUAUUGUUUUCUUGUUUUUUUUUUUAAAUGUUAUGUUCCAAAAAUAUAAGCCCGCCAGUGGUGAUGGCCCAUUAUCUUUGACCACUAAAGGCCAGGUGUUACACGUGUCAUAUUAUAAUGCUGUAAACAAAAAAUGCUAUCUAUCUAAAAAAAUUAACCACUCUCGUUCAGCACCGUAGCCAGAGUUAAAUGGGCCCCAGUGCAAAUUUAAUUUGUAGACGCAUUAUUUUCCAUUAAUAUUUAAUCUAACCGUAUACUUUAAAAAAGAUACGGGCAUACUUCGCACGAAGGGCGAGCCACAGUUGUAGAUGAGAAGUUUAAUGGGGAAAUUUAAUGUACAUCUGUACGCGACGAUUAAUCUUUGCUAACGAAAGAACGAUUCUGAGCGGAGUUCGGUUAAACAUGUAUUUAAUGGCCGUCAUAUUUACGAUUUGAAAAUAAUACAUUUCGUAAAUUCUCACAUUUUUCCUACGUUUUUCUCGGUUUUAACCAAAUAUUAUAAAAACGUUUUGGAAAAACAAAUGACCUCCUCAGUGUACUAUCCCAGUCUGAUUUCUUUUCAGAAAAGUGCUAUACUUGGAAAUCGAAGAAAAAUUUCUGGUAGAAAAGUUGUUCGCAGAUUAAAAAAAAAAAUAAUAAUAAUAAUAUAAUAUAAUAAAAUAAAUGCCAUUAAAAAACCAAUUUAAGAACAAAGUAUACAAAUUGGAAAAAAUGUUACUUCUUUUUAAAAACGUUAUAGAAACUGUUUAUUUUCAUUUAUAUUUUAAGAAUGCAUAAAGGAACUAUACAAAUUAUCUUCACUAUUCAGAAAAUAUUAUUAUAGUUAUAUUAAUUUAAAUUUUAAACGUUUAAAAGGGGUGCAACAAGGUUGCGAACAAACGUCACUUAUCCAAGAAUUUUUUUUUUUUAGCCGAAAAACGAAUGAUUGCGAACGUUUUCUCAGGCUACGUUGCCAAGUUUAAAUUUCUGAAAAUGUUUUAUUCUCUUCGGAGAUUUAAUUAUAAACAUUAUAAUAUUAUAACUACGUCACAAACUAAAAUAAAAUGAUACAAAAUUAUAGUGUUUAAAAUGAUGAUUAGUUUAAAUUUUUAUCUUGGUAAGCAUAUUAUACAUGAACGGAUUACGAAUAAUACUGCACGUCUAUACGAAUCCAGCUGGUUUUUCAUCAAAUUAAUAUCAAUUUAGGACUAAGAUAAUAAAUAAAUAUGUUAGUAUUUAUUCUACACCGUAUCUUAUCGACCGGCGAAAUAGCAGAAAACUAUUAUUAUUAAUCUUAUAUAAUUUGAUUUUAUGCAAAUUAAACGAAAUUUAGACCAAUAGUAUUAAAUCCAUUUAUUGUUUAAACACUGUGAAAUUCCCGUUAACGAUUACCUCUAUGUAACGGUCAUUCGUUUUUGUCCGUUGACGAGUGUUAUGCCUCUAUAAGACACUUCUAACGAUGGACACCUCUAAACAGCGGUCAUUAUUUCCGGUCCCUUCGGUGACCGUUAUAAUAUGGAAGUUUUAGUGUUUAAUUGACAAACGCCAAAUCUGGCAACGCCACACGAAAAAAAGGCAAGUAAAAACGUUCGCAAUCGUAUAUUAUCUGUUUAUAACACUCUGAAACUCUGCAACGUACUUUUAUACGCUAAUCAUUUAACGAAUAGUUUUCAGACGUUUUUGCUUCAAAUUUUUUAUUUGGUUCCCCCCCCCCCGACAUAUUUUUAGUAUUUUCUCGUAUAUCUAACCGCGUAACAUCGUUGUCAUCCGUUUGCCGGAAAUUCGUGAAAAAAACGCAAUCAAUAUAGAAACCCUGCAAACAUUUUACAUAAUAUUCUCCGGCGGGUCAUUAGGGACAUUCGCACACGUGUGCCCGUCGUAAUAUAAUAAUUAAGUUACAUAAUAUCACCCGAAUUCGCCCGGGUUAGGUUAUCAAAAAAAAAAAAAAUAAAUAAAUAAAUAAAGAACGACUAUAAAUGACAGAAAUCGAUAGGUAAAAUUAAAAUUGAUGUACCUAUACCCAAUCCCAACAGGGGUUCCCUUAGACAUUAUUAGAGUCACAUUUUUUCCCCCAAAUAAUUUAUAUUUCGCAGGUUUUGACAAUAAAUAUCAACCUAAAUGGGAGAAAAUUGGAGAGAAUUAGGGAAAACCGGCACCGAGCCCUUUAACAUUACUAUUUUCUGAACAUGUGAAAAAUGUAUUAAUUUUACUAUGAUGUAUGUUUCUUUGAUUUUUGUCUGUUAGUAACUUUUUUGUCAUAAAUCUCGCUCCAAUCAUCAACUCCAGAGGUGGUUUUUGGUAAAACGAGUUGUCUAGACAGUGCAUGAGAGAGAUCAUCGAAAAAGUCUACCCUUUUCGUUUUAGUCAGUCUAAUUAAAACAAUUAAAAAUAAAUUUCUCGUUUGCGGUUCGGAUGUUUGAGAUACUACCAUUUGAACAAUUUUUCACAUAUGCACUAAUAAUAUAUUUGUCGUCCAUUACGCGGUUAUUUGUUUGGUUUUGGUCCAAAUUACUGAUUUUCGGCUGACGCUAAAUGUAUUCGCGGUUUUAACUCCGUUUUCUUCUGAUCAUUCCGAUUCCUCUCAGAAUUUUCUCCUAAUCCCAACCUUUUGGACGAUUUUUACGUUACAUAAAAAUGUGUUAAUAUUUACUAUAUCUAUUGAUUUUUUAGAUAAUUAUUUAUGACUUUGUCCUAGGCUGCAGUAUAUUAAUCGACUUGUGAUUAAAUUGUUUUAUCGUUUUUAUAUUUAAAAUUGGUUGUCGUAUUGCGAUGACACACAAACCUCGACCCAAUUAAAAAAUCUGAUCGGCCGUUAAACGAUCUGAUAACAUUCUAAUAUCUAUAUCAUAAUAUCUUGAUUUUUCAAUAACGAUCAUGGCCUGUAGAUACCCAUAGUAGCGUGCACAGGGAGGGGGUGAUUAGAAGUUGUAUUUCCACCUAAAUUAGUUUACACAUACAACGACUAUGCAUAAUAAUGUAUUUAGUAAUUCAGUCUUAAAAUGUGUCUAUAUAUACCUCGAAAAGACACUCAUUACCUUGAAAGUAUUAACUCUUACCGAAAUAUUUUUUUUUUUAUUUUACAAUUCAAAUUAAAACUUCAACUAUUUAUGGAAUUUGCCUUACAGGUUACUAUUUGAAAAUAAAAAUUAGGUAGAGGUUUCAUCGUCCAAAUUAACGGUGAUAUAACAUAUUAGAGCUAACUAUUAGUUUCAUAAGUUGUCCAAAAAAACAAAUUAAUAAUUUUUGAAAUAAUAAGUAUCUUAUCAAAGAUUAAUCAUUCUGUAUAUGUACUGCAUUCGAGUUACAAGUUAAAUCUAGAAAUAUUGAAUAAAAUAUUCUUUUUAUGAUUCGGCUUUUUUAUUCUCGUUCCCGGUUUAAGCGUAGAAAAUGGGUCUACGAUUUAUUCAUGUUAUUACUAUACAUAGUGUCCCAUCGUAUUCAACGGAUUAUUGUAAUAUAUCUGUUAAGUAUUAAUUUUUCUUUUUUCAGCGAUUAGAGGAUGCAAAUAAAAAUGUAAUUUUUUUCUAUAUAGGUACUCAUAUAUGGCUCACCCUUGAACACACAAUUUGAUUGGAACAAAAAUUGAAUAUUAAACGGAAAGCGGCAGCUUUUAAGUUAUCGUUAUCCGAGGCGGUUUUUAGAUUUUGAGUAAAGCGAGGAAUCUAUUAUUAUUAUUAUUUUUUUUUAUAUUAUAUACACAAAUUCUUUACGAAAUCUUUCUCCAACGUAUCAAGUGUAGCAAACUUUCUGAAAGGGAAUCUUAUCUAAUUGGUAUUUUAACGAGGCCAUUUUUUGAUUUUCUUAAUAGAUUUCAUAAUAAUUGGGAGAAGCUCAAUAAUAAUGCUUAUAUUAUUUUCAGUUUUGUUUUUUAUUAUAAUUCUGUUCAAAAUGUUUGUGGAAAUUUUAAAUUAAGACAAAAAACUUAUUUUUGCGUUUCUAGACGUGAUAAAAUGUUCAAAACAUUUAAGUCAUUCUAGAGCUAUUUAUAGAUAAUUUAAUUGUGCUAGUUUUUUACUUAAGUAAUUUUAUUAAGUGAAUAAAAUUGUUAAACCAAACAGAAAUGCUUGAAAAUUAUUUUAACAGGAGGUUCAUUAUAAGUUGUACUUAGUGACCAACAAGGAAAAUUUCAGUUUAAUGUAGUCCUUUUUUUUAUAAAAAUUUUAAUAUCGAAUUUUGACGAAUAUCGUAAAUAUACAUAUAGCCUUUAUUUCAAACAUGUAAUAACCGAACCAUGUUCAGCUGUGAUUAAUUACUACAUAUAUAGAUAUACAUUAAAUUCCCCUAUGUAUCAUACCUUUCCAACUUCUCACCUACAACAGUGGCCCACCUUCGUGCGAAGUAUGUCCGUCUUUUUUCUUUCGAUUUCUAUUUAUUAUUUUCUAACAAAGUUUUUGAUAGUAUUGUGUAGAAGCGCGCGUUCUGUUUUUAGCCUUCACCCGAGUACCAAUAAUUAGUAUUUCAUCAAUAAUGACAUUGUACCCGUGGGUUCAAGUGUGUUAGAUGCUCAGUUUUAUUUAUUUUUUUUUCUUUCCUCUGUUUUAUAAUUAAAACGAAGCCGUAAUUUCUUCGAUUGGAAAAAAAACGCGUGGCAGUAACAUAAUGUACUAGAUUACGUGUAAAAAAAGAGAUUUUUUUCUUUUAUUUUUAAGUUCUCUCUGGCGCAUUUCAAAUUAAAAGCCAAUUUUUUUCCUCGUUUAAAUCGUUUGACAGCUCUUUGUUUUCGCUGACAAUUGAUAUCCGCUUGUGUUUUUAGAGAUCGCUACAAUAAUAAUCAUUUGUCGUUUCUGCUUUAUUUUACCGAACAUUAUAAUUAUAAAAAGUGCUGAUUCUGGGGAUGGGAGUGAUCACUGUUAUAGGUGAGAAGUUGGGAAGAUAGGAUACAUAAGGUUAUUUCAUUUAUAUCAUUAAGCAACGAUAAACCAUUGUUUGACGAAAGACGAUUCCAAGUGCAGUUCGGUAAUAACUUCAUUUGAAGUGCCAUAUUUUUUUUUGCGAUUUUCGUUUAAAUUUAAUUUCAAAACGCUUAUUAAAAAAAAAAAAAAUUUUAUCACGUUUAGGUAAGUCUAAUAUAAGUAUUAUUACUAAGUUUAAAGUUUCUACGUGUAUUUAUAACCUAACUACAACAAAAAAACUUCCAAAAUAUAAAAUUCCUUAAAAGCUCAAAAGUAGCUCAAUAGUUUUGGCAAUGAUACCGUAAGAAAGUAAAUCAAAAAGGCAACAAAAAUGGUAUUUUGUGAUUUUUCGGUCAAACCAUUUUUUCUGGUAGGAAACGUCGUCCGUGUUUUAAUAAAAUAAUGAAAUCGUGAAAUUGUACAUCUUCCUGCCUUUUUUCCCACUUAAGUGCUUUUAUUUAAAAAAUGGUGAAGAAAAAUGACUUUUUUAAAUUACAAUCUAGACAACUUGAGCUUUCAAAAAGAGUGAUACCUGUAAAAUCGGAGUAAUAUUAAUAGGAAAAAAGUAUCCACAGACUAGGACAAAGAACAAAAAAAUAAACAGAAUUAUAAAACCAAUAGCUCCCUUGCUACGCUUGUAAUGUAAAAUGUAUUUUUGGAGUUUCCAACGGAGUAUUCCGGUUUCAAUAAUGCGCUUAAAACAUUUUUUCACUAGAUUAAAGACGUUCGUAUUUAACGGUAUUAUGUUUUCAUAUAGGAAUUUUUUUUCCCUAUUAAAUUUUAUAUUUGAUAUGAUUUAGGAAGAAAAAUUCAUUUUUUUAAGCACAAAUAGAUCAUAUGGGAAUUGCACGUUAAUAAAAUCCCUUCGUGAAAACGUAUACUUACCUAUUAUAGUAAAUUGUUGACAUCAUUAAUUUUGAAAAAAAUUGUUUUUUUGUUUGAAUUUUAUUUAGUACCAGCUACAGGGUACAAUUUGAAUACGGGGAAAUUGUGACACUAGCAAUAAAUUGCUCCAAAACCAAUACUUAACUGUCAAAUAAUUGUGACAGUUAUCCCACUAUAAUAAACAAUAUUUCCUUAUCUAAAUGUUGAUAGUAUAAUAACCACUGAAUAAAAAAAUGAAAUGUGAUUUUGAUAACUGAUAGUAAAUAAAAUUAUAAAAUUAUAUUUUUUUUUAUUAGUGUUGCAUUUUAUUCUUUGUUUAUGUUAAUCAUAAUAACAUAGUCAAAAACGUAUGUAAUUUCUGUGGGUGUUGUUCAAAAUACACUAACCAGUCCAUAUUGUAGGUAUUAGUUAAAAUAUAUUACGGCCUUCUUUUUUUCUGUGGACAACUUUUCUACCAGAAAUCUUAAUCCGAUUUAUAAUAAUAGCAAUGUUUCUAAAACGAAAUUUAACUGCGGAAGUACUUUCUCGGGAGUUUUACCAAAAAAUGUGAAAAACCAGGAAAAAAUAUGAGAAAACCUAGGAAAACUUUGAAAAAACGUGAAAAUCGAUACAUUAAACAAAUAUUAUUUAAGAUAAUAUAUAAUGCCUAUGUAAUUAUUUUACCAUAAUAUGAAAUACCUUUAAAUUGUUGGCAAAGCAACACUAUCAAAUGAACCCCGCUCAGAAUUGUUUUUUCGUUAGCAAUGAUUUAUAGUUGCUUACAGAUAAACAUUGAAUUCCCGUCUGUAUCCUACCUUCCUAACUUUCCACCUACAAAAAUGGCUGCACCCACGUGCAAAGUAUGUCCGUCUUUUUUUUUAAAUUUGUUUGUUUUUUAUGAUAUUAAUUGGUAACAGUAUACAUAAAGAUGUUGCCCAUUAAAACGUUUUGAUUACAUUCCGCAAUAAGUACUCAGUGAAGCGACAAUGAUAUUUUAUUAUAUCAUAUUAAUAGAUGCAUAGUUUGAAUGCAUAAACAUUAAGUGUUGUACUAAUUUCCACCCGUAAAUAUUUUCAAUGACUUUAAAUGUUGUUAUUUUCAGAUAGCUCCCUCCUCCGCAACCCCGAAAUAUAAAAAUGUACUUAGUACUACACUGGUUGAAGGUAAACAAAUACAUUUUUGUUUUUUUGACAUAAAAAUUAUAAAAUUUUACAAGCAUUACAGAAAGAUAAUAUUCUGACACAGCACUCGAUAAUAACAACUAUAGUCCAUCGUGUACACCAAUUAGAAAUUCGUUGAACCGAACUGGUGUAUCAUGUUGAUUCCGAUUUAUACAUAUCGGUAUGUGAUACAGAUUCGACUCUUAUGGUACCGGUCGAACAAUAAAUUCAGUGCAAUCAUCAGACAUCAAACUACCUUUUUCUGAUGCCGUUACUUAUCAAUGUACAAAAUAUGAGUUGAAAUAAACGUUAUCUGUAGACAUGUUUCUAUGUUGGCUGUAAUGUAAAAUUUUUUUCGGGAUCUGCAGUUAUUUUUUUCAUUAAAUUACAAUUCCUCGUGAUAGUCCCAGAUGUCUCGUCCAAAAAAAAUGAUAAGGCAGGGAGCAGGUAAGGAAUAAGGAAAUUAAAUACAAUACAACAAAGAAUAAACAAUUUGUAUGCUCUAUACAAGCCACUUGCCGUACGUGAUUGUGUAUAUAAAGUUCAUUUGUUUAUAUCGAGUUCCUAUUUCGCGGCAUCGGAAACGAUUACCUAUACUCGUAUGUCUUGUUCCAUCUGAUUAUUAUAUGUACAUGUAACUCUAUAUAACUCUCUAAACUACAUUUUGUUGUCAGACAGGUCAGGAGGAGAGAAUCUCUUUUGUACGACGUACACAUGAACGCUUACCAGCUACAAUAUUCUGAUAAUAGAAAAAAAAAAUGAUCGUCAAUCGGUACGUACACAGUUCAAAUAUAUAAAUCUAAAAUUAUUACCAACCACUUAUAACUAUAAAACAAUAUAAUAUUAAACAUAGAAACGAAAUAUUGAAAAUAUUUUUUUGUUCAACUUCGCCAUGUCAAUGAUUCGUCUCGGCCUUUUAUCUAUUUUAGUUACAAGACCGGAUGAUUAAGGGCUCUCACAACAAAAUUGGGUUUUCGCUGCCAAUCGCGAAUAUAACAAUAAUUUCCCAACAAUGUUUUAACCACUAUAGGCACUAAUAAUACUUAUUAGUUAUUGCUCAUGUAACUCGUUUAAUUAUAUCAUAAAAGUUAUUAUUUUAUAAUCAAAAUCAAGAGAAUUUUAGAUAAGCCACUUAAGCAUGUUUUGCUAUGUUUCUCAUUAUAUAGUACAGUACAAACGCGAGUGGCGUCCUCUUAACGAAUACAUUUAUAUCAUUUAUUAAAUUAACUCAAUUAAAAAAAAAAAUAAAUAAAAAAAAAAACGAUUAUUAUUGUAAAACCUAGGGAGGAAAAAGUAUUCAGGUGGAAUAUAUAGAUCCAAAAAAAAAAAAUGAAACCCAAGGGUGGAAAUCUAUCCCGGAUAUUGAUAUUAUAUGACCUCGUCCUCGUAAAUAUAUUGCUUUGGAAAGUUAUACUUAUGAAAAUAAAUUAUAAAGGGCAAAAUAUUACCAUUGUUGCCAACCGUGUUUGCUCUCGAAAUACCUUAAUUUCGUAGAAUUAUUUUUAAAAUUUCGUUAUCUUUCUGCCACGCGAAUUUUCUAUUUCAAAACGUGAUCUACAUUUUCUAUUAUGCUCAUUUUUUAUUUCUAUAUCCAAUUUGAAGGUAUCAUGUUUCAUAUAGGUUUUCAUUUAGGACAUCAACCAUAUAUACGGAGCAGUAUCAGAUUUAGACGUGAAGGAUUUGAUUGUUUUUCGACAUUAGCGUUACUGCAGCUAAGCUACUGUGGUUAUAAAUCCUUUUCAAUUUUUCUGAUAACUGCGUGUAUACCACGGCGAAUUUCAUGAUAUUAUAGUAUAAUAUAAUAUGUUAUGAGAAACCUUUUUUUUUUUCGACGUUAUAAUAAAAAUAUUUAAUACGUUUACUAUCUCAUGUUGUUAUUACAAUAUAUGUUUGUAUAUAUGGGCGUGUUUUUCGAGAUGAAAACUCAUAUAAACAUACGUUCAGUAGGAAAUAUUUUAGGAAUUUCAGGAAAGGUUCUUUUUCUUUUAUAUAUAUAAAUACACUGAAAUGUUACGUAGGUAUCCACGCGUGCGAGCGCUGAAUUUGAAAUAUUACACAAUGUAUAUACUGUAGUAAUAAUAAUGUCGUAGAAAUACUCUGCAAGUGUAAAACGCGUGACAUUAUCAAAUCGUCGACGAAAAAUACGUCAAAAAAUAGGCAGUCAGCAAAUAUUAGGGGGAAAAAAGUGCGAGUAAAUACAUUUAAGGGUCUUUUUUUGUUUGUUUUAUUUUCAGUCGUGUCAUUGUUAAAAAAAUCAAGCUUAUGUUCGUCUGUUUAGGUCCACACACAUAUCGAAUCCGGGUUUCCGAAAUUCAACGUCUAAAAGCCAAAUAGUGGAUCACACACCGAGUCGAAUUAGUUUUGUUUGAUUUACGGGUUACUUAGGCGACAACGGAUGAAAUAAUGAAAACAAAAAACUCUUCGUAUUGCAAUAGUUAUUUGGUUACUAUACAGGUCAAGAACGUAUCCGAGAAUUUUUGUACGGGGUAGGAGUUACUCACAUUUACGUGGUCUAAUGACAAAGGGAAAUUAAAUCGUAACAAUUUUUUUUUUAUCAAAAUUCGGGUUAUAAUGGCUCCCCUCUCAUAGAGUUUUCACUCUGAAAAUCCCCCGUAUAUACGCCACUGACGUGGGCAAAAAAUAAGCAUUUUUUACAACGGUUAACAGUGAUAGUGGUGGAAGCAGAAACAAGGAGACUCGUUAAAUAGUAUGUAUUUAUUUUUAUCAAUUAUGGUUUUCGAAAGUACUAUUUUUGAAAAUCAGCUUUCAAAACGAUAAAAUAAGGGAGAAUUUAAUUGGACCCCUGACACGACAACUUGUAUUGUAUUAUAAUUUUGUUUGAUUUAUAACAUUUUUGGUACUAUAAAUACAAUAACGUCGUUGUUUAGUGUAGUUUUUGCGACCGGACUUGCCGACAUCUAGUCAUCGUCGUCAGUUUAUCCGCUCGGCUAGGUUUUAUUUCGUGAUUUCUCCCCAAGUAUAUUUGAUGUAGAACACUCAAACCACCACUGCACCGCUCACCUAUUUAACAUCCUCUCCGCUUCUCCCUUCCCCUCACUACGACUUAGAGUUUGUACGUAGGUCGUGCCCGACGAACAAAACAGAUUUCACGCGACCCCUACGCGAGGGCUCUUAUUCGCUCUCUAUAAUAUACUGUAACAUUAUAUUAUAAUGUAAUGAAACACAAAGAAUAUAAUGUAUAAUAUGUAAUACAUAAUAUUUAAUAAAUAUAUUAACAUUCGUUGCCUGGGAGAAUAUUAUAUACAUAAAGGGAAAAAUAAACGUAAAUUAAGUGGGCGUACAGCGUUGAAAAUUCACUUUGUACCUACUUUGUGCCCACGCGGUAAAAUAUUUUUCAUAUUAUUAUACUUAUUAUGAUUAAAUAAUAUUUUAGAGCGAUAUAAAUUCCCUUGUCGAUAUAAAUUUAUAAUCUAUAACACUAUAAUACUGCAACCAUUAGCGGUUGUUUUUUAAAUCUACAAAAUUCUUUUCAUUUUACAAUGCCGCGACUUUUAAAUAAUUUCCAAAUCAGCGAGCAUCAGAUCAAAAGUCGCUUUUUGGGCAUCUGUUAAAACAAAAGUUAAGUUAAUACCAACUAUUAUAACUAAAGAUUAUUAGGUUUCAACCAUUUAUAUUUUAUUAUAAUUUCAAUAAUUACUAAACAAAUAAGAAAUUUAUUUUUAAUUGUUUUUUUUUUUUAGAUUAUGAGCGUAGAGAAGAAGCUAUUAGUUAUUUCUACUAUGAUGUGUGUGUAUUUAUGAUUAGUAAAAAUACUUGGAUUUAUUCAUGUCAUAUUGUUGUCUUAUAAUUUUAUAAUAUUUUUCAACAUUUUCAAUACUUUUUCUUGUAAACAGUUGAUUUUUCUUUUUUUUUCUUGAGUAAACGUUAUAAUUUAUUCAAGUAUUACCUCAAAAUUUCAAUUCGAUGGUGAUACUUUCUUUGAUAUAUUAUCGAAAUUUUCAGCAAAUAUUAGAUUUGAUUGUGGUUUUAAUGGUUCUAUCUAUUUAAUCUAAUGGUUUUACUAUGAUGUGUUUUUGUCUGCUCCAAAGUAUGAAGUAGCACUUUUCCUCGUUGGUGCAAUAAACUCAUUUUUUGAUUUUUUAAUGAGUUUUCAAAAUAAUUAGGAAAAACCCGAAAGAAAAUUAUAGGUAAAACGGUAUAUUUAUAUCUGUAUAUACAAACUUCUCUUCCAGAAUUAUUACUUCAAUCGAAAAUGAUAAAAACAAUGCUGUGUUAAAUUUUUAUCUAGUUAGUGACGAAACAAAUCUUUUUUUUGAUUUUUCUGCAGGGUUUCUUCGGUACUAAUGGAAGGAGGUUACGACUUAUUUUACUUCACUCAGAAUUGUUCUUCAUUUACGAGGAUUCAUCGUUAGGUAAAAUGCAGUAUAUAAAGUAAAUUACUCUAUAUACUGUCUAUAUAUCUUCCCAUCUACAACAGUGGCCUAACCACGAACAGUAUUAGCUUCUUUUUUUUUUUACUCGUUUAGUAUAUUGACUUUCGUCACAAAUAAUUUGCAAGCUAGUGAAAUCCGUUUUGCGAAGCGCGAUCGCCCUCGACAAAUAAUCAUUCCCAACACGUGACGCGUCACUACCGAAAGGGAUUUUGUGCCUGGGAUUUUAUAUCGGUAUGGAAUUUUUUUUUCUUAUAUAUAUAUUAUUAUAGGUUUACAUCAGGUGGUACGAAUAAUACGGUUUUCCCAGACACGGAAUACCGCAGUAUUGUAGGUACCUCUAUAAGUACAUAUUAUAAUACUUACCGUAAGGCACACGGUUUUUUUUCACGAUAAAAAGGUUUUUCAGGACAUUCGGAAAAAUGUAUUCGGAAUAUAUAAAUGUUUAUAUGUAUCUAAAUAUAAAUAUAUAUGCUUUUUUUUCGAAUGACUUUUUUGUUUUUAGAGCAUCGAGUUCGUUUUAUAUGCGAGUAUUUUAACUUUUUAACAGAAUAUUUGGGUUUUGUUUUAUGUUCUAUAGGUAAUAUAAACGGAUUACUUACCUACAUUUUAUUCUUUACCGAAUAAAUAACAUAUAUAUUAUAUGGGUACAUAUGAUAUAAAUGUGUUUCAUUUGCUAAUAUUAUAUAUUAGACUCUAUAGUCUAUAAGCACGGUCUAAAAAAAUAGUUUUGGACACGAGUGUCGUUUAAAAUAAUUUUUUUCGUUUUGUUGUUGUUUUAAAUAGCUAUAAAAUAUUGUAUUCGUUUUCAGAGAUGAAAAAACUGUAAACACCCUUAUAAAUUACUUUAAUUAAAGCUUGAAACCAAAAUUUUGUUUUUGGUUUCGUUAAUAAUUUUAUUUAGGUUUUUUUUUCAAUUUCUGUUUCGAUUAUAACAAUACCGCGGUAUCAGUUAUUUCCUUUUCGAUUUUGAUAUUGAUUUAUAAUACGUAUUAUAAUUUUCUAUACCUAUUCUAUUAUUCUUAUUAAAUAAAUGAUUUUUUGCUGUUGUAUUUGUUAUGCUAUUUUAGUGUAAAUAAACGGUCUUACUUAAUGUCACUUUAUUCUUCACUAAUCAGUCGUUACGUCCCAUCCAUGUUUUUAUUAUCUAUGCCAUAAAGUAAGGGCGGAUACAGAGGUCCUAAAUAGGGGGGGGAAUAUGUAUAAAUUAAUAAAAUAAAUUAAUAGGAAUAGCUAGGCAUAGAAAUUGUGUUAUUAUAAGUCGCAGUGACGCACACAGAGAGGAGGUUAGGAGGUCAUAACCCCCUCCGAAAUUUUUCAGUAUAUUUUUUAAAAUCAAGUUUUACAUUCAACAACAUAAAUAUCAUAUACUACAGAAUAAAAGAAGAUUGAAUUUCAUCAAAAUUAAUUUAUUCAGCUAUAAUAGUGAUAUAGUACCUACUGUACUGAUAAUAUAUAUUAACCUCUCUAGGAAAUGAUUAAUAACCAAACCCCUAAUGGAAAAAAAAAAUCCCGCGUGCGCUACUAAAUUUAGUUGACAUGAAAAUUAGUUGUGUGCAAUUUUUUGGUAGUUUUUAAUGUUGAUAUCUAUUUUUCAUUCUAGUUAAUACUUCUUAGUGUAAUGUUUUUUUAUGAACUUUUUAAACAGUUACAAACUUAAUGUCUCAUUGAUAAAAACGACGGUUUAACAUAAAAAACAAACAAUAAUAACUAAUAACGAAAAUACUAAUUAGGUUCUAUAAAUUAAAAAAGACAAUAAUGUUAAUAAUACCAUACUAUUAAUUUAAUUUAUUAAAUUUCAAAACAUUAUUUUUUUUUUAAAAAUUUUAAUAUCAUUAAACAACGAGUUCGCCGAUUGACAGUUUACAAAAAUACACGAAGUUUAUAACAAUAUUUUAUUUAUCAGUACAGAAAUCAGUCGUACUAGUGAAUACGAUGGGUCUUGGAAUAUACCUACUAUUAGUUUUUAAUUAAAAUUGAAAUAAAUACCUACCAAACCAAACAUUUUAAACAUAACCUAACCAUACGUGGAGUCCGUACACGAGAAAAAAAUAUGCGCUAUCACAUACUCAAUAAAGUGUCAAUAUACUAUUACAGUAUUAUAGUAAUACACACAAAAACGAAAUUAUUUAGUUACGAACGUAACGACGCACGACGGAAGCAGCGAGGAGCUGUAAAACCAUUGUAUUACGGCGUAUUAAUUUAAAAAUGGACGACGUCUGGUGUUAUCGUAAAAACUGCAAUACUCAGCAAUCAACUUUGAUUUUAAAACAUAGCAGGUAAUAUCAUAUAUUUUUGUGCAUUGUGUAAAACCCCAUAAAUAACCGCGUAUGCCGUGAUCACUUUUUUAAUAAAAAUAAAAAUUGAUAAUUUUCAAUGGAAAAAUAAAUACAUGUUUAUGGUAAAUACAAUAACGGCCCUCUCACAAUUAAUUACAAAUGGAAUUAUUGAUACCUAUUUUUGCGAACGGGGGGAGGGUCAACUGCCUCUAUUGCCCCCUCCUUGUAUCCGCCCUUGCCAUAGGGCAGUGAAAUGGUAGUUAAUAUCUAUGUGCAUGACUCGUUUCUGGGAUAUGCCGAGAUAACAAUAUUAUUAUGAUAAUAACGGAAUAACAACUAUACGGAAAAUAAUUUUAUCCUUUUGGGCUGUACGCGUGUUUAAUCAGUCCCGUUGUUUGCGGUUCACCGUGUUAUUUCCGCGUAAUAACACGCAAUAGUAAUAAUUGUUCCCGUUAUCGACUUGGCGUAAACGGGUAGUCAGGUAGCUGGUAUACACGACACACACGUGCAGUUUGCUUGGAGUGCAGGCGGUUAACCUUUAACCGCGAGUAUCGGUUUUCGCUCGAUUGCACACACGAUUGUAUACCUAAUUGUAAUUUCCAGGUUUAACGCAAUUAAAUGUAUGUAUUAGCUCCUCCCCACUCCGUGUUAUAAUAUCGACGACGUGUUAUUGUUGCUGUUGCUGUGUAUACAUUGUUGUGUUCUCGUAGCCUCGUAUGCGUUUUUAGAGGCAGAGGAAAAUUAAAAUGUUUGCGAGAAGAAGCGAGGAGAUUCGGAGAGAGAUAGUGAGAGAGAUAGUGAGAGAGAUAGUGAGAGAGAGAGAGAGAGAUAGAGAGAGAAAGAUAGAGAAACUCCGUUAUACAAAAAAGCUUCGUGAAAAGCGUUCGCGUGAAGAACUGGCACUUGGCAGAACGAAUAUAAUAUAUUAAUGUACAGUGUUUCUAAAACGAACGAGAUAAAACUAAUAUGUUAAAUACGUGAAUUUUAUCCCAUGAUAGUAUGUUUCCUGCGCAGACUCAAUCAAUAAUUACGUCAUUUUUUCACCUUUUGUGACUUUAAAUCGCUUAUUACUAUACAACGAGAAGGAAUAAAAUAAAAUUGAUACUAUGACAUAUUUGCAGAUAUGAUAUUUUGCUGUGUGAGGAAUUUUUUCUGGAAUAUCGUAGAAUAUAUUUUAUUUCAAAGCUUGUAGAGAUAUUUAAAAGAAUAUAUAUUUUUUUUAAAUCGGGUUUUGAAGGUAUUUUUUUAGCAACACUGUCUUUCGGAGAAAUUAUAUUUACAGCCAUAAUAAUUAUUUUUAGACUGAUAUUUUAUUUUAUAUUUUAUCACUUUAUUUUCCAAAAAAUCUAAAUAUAGGUUUUAUUUUCUAAAAUACUGAUUUUCCCAACUCCCAUAGCUAUUUUGUGUAUCGAUUCCGUGAAAAGGAACAGUAUUUCGUGAAAAGAUUGUUAUUUUAUUAUCAUCACGCAGUAAUGCGCAUUAAUAUGAUAUCUGUGCGGUUCUAAAUAAUUCAAAGGUUAGAAUGCAAAUAUUGCAAAUAUAAUAUUUUUAUAAGUUUAUAAUGUUUUGUUCACGAAAUUAUUUUAGGACUCACAUAUGUAUUUUGCGGACAAAACGACUUUGAAUGAUGCUAUCACAUUACAUUUCGUCGUGAAACAUCUGUUGAAUUCAAUCGCGGUAUAAACGAUACACUGUUUUCGGGGGAUGGUGAAGGGGAUCCAGGAGAGGAGUGUGCCUUUUACAGCUGCAGGUACUGCAAUCAUCAUAAUAUUAUAGUAAACCACAUACAAAGACCUGCGAAAAAACCACCAACGCCACUCACAUUAAUUUAAACUUUUGACUUUAUUUUAUCGCAGUUUUCUUUCUUGAGUCGGAAUCGAUUUAAUCUAUUGAAUGUAUGUUGUAUAGCUGUAUAAAUAUAGGUUACAUGUGGCGUUCUUUUAACUCUUCUGCAAACUUAUACUAAAUUAAAAAAAAAAAAAGAGUUCGUACCGUUGAUAGGCCACCGCAGUAGGUGGGAAGUUAAAAAAAUAUAGUAAAUAAGGUAAUUUAAUUUAUAUACUAAAAGUAAAGAUAAAUCAUUGUAAUCAAAAAAAUAAUUCUGAUUAAAGCUUGGUAAACUAUUGAGAUUUAGUUUUAAUCGAGUUUUGUUUCGAUUAUAGCUAAGAUGACCCAAAACUUACUAAAAAUAAAUGCUUAUGUACCAAAAUUAUCUGCUAGUUUUUUACAUUUCAUAGAAAAACAAUUUGAAAUCCAGACAUGUUUUUAAAAGUAAUGUAAGGAAUUUCUUCAUUUUUUCAGACAUAUCAAAAAAGUUGUAGUAUCUUAACUAAUCGAAAACAGUAUUUUUUAAAAAGAAAAAAAUAUAUAUUCGUAUAUAGUAAAACCAGUGAUCGAUCCAGGGAGGAAAUAAAUUAAUUUGCCCCCCCACCUUUUAUAUCAUAAUAUAUUCAUAGAUAAUAAAGACGUGAAUAUCUAUAAUAACCUUCUCAGGAGGGCUACAAUGCAUUUAUAAAGCCCAGAGCCUUAUGUAAUGGGUGGUUCAAGAGAGUUAUACUCCCCCGGUAUAUAUUAGGAGGUGCUAAAUUUUCACGGUGACUAAAAACAAGUUAUCGGAAAAAUUAGAAAUUAUAUGAACAAUUCAUACAUUUUAUAAACGGGGUGAUCAAUCUAUCAUAAAACACUCAUUAUGUCAGAAAGUAUUAACUUUUUUCAGAAUUUGUUUUCUAGAAUAUUUAAGAAAUAAGCUACUAUAAAAUUUUAUAUAUAUAUAUAUAUGUUAUUUUUUGUCAUCAUAACUUUUUGGGGUAAACAACUAUCUCCUUUUGAUUUUCAAAUGAUUAUCUUUUAAAAUCCCAUAAAUAGAUGGAGUUUAGUUCAAAUAAAUUUUGGUGUUUAAGUUUUUGAUUUCCGUCAAUUCGUUGACGAGAUAUUCUACAUUUAAGUUUGAUUUGGAAGAGAGUAGUGGAGUAUCAUUUGUGUGGCAGUACGGCGGGUGGCGUAUUAAUAAUGCAUCACUACACUCCUCCAAUCCAAACUUCUAAAAGGAAAUCUGACUGAGAAGGUACUUUAGAGAGGUUAUUUUUCGACUUUCCCAGGAGUUUUUUUCAACAAAUGUGAAAAAUCGGGGGAAAAACUUGGGAAAACCAAAAAAAACGUAGAAAAAACGAGAAUAUCGGUACAAUAUUAAACAAAUACUAUUAAAGAAAAUGUAUUAUAAUACCUAUUUAUUUUACCAUAACAUGACAUAUAUAUUUUUGACAAAGCACCAAUAUCACUAUUAACUGAAUUUCGCUCAGUAUCAUUUUUAUUAAGCAAUGGUUUAUUGUUGCUUACAGACACAAAUUAAUUUUUUCACUAUAUUCUACAUUUCCAACUUCUCACCAACAACAAUAGCUGCAACCCAUCGUAUAAAGUAUGUCCGUCUUUUUUCCAUAUGCUGAUGUAGCUUUUAUAGCAUUGUAAAGUUUAGGAGCAUCCGAGCAUUAUCCAAAUUACACAUAGUUCCUGUGUAAGGUUAGGUGUAUGGUCUUUUUCUACACUUCACCGGAUAAAAAAUUAUUUAAGAUCAUUUAUGUCUUCAGAAAAUCUUAAUAAGCAGUUCAAAACAUAGAAGCUAUUCUCACUUAGGCUAACUUAUACAGAUAUGAUAAAAAAAUUGUCAGCAAAACAAGUAAGAAAUAAUUUGAAAUAAAAGUUAAACAUAAUAUAACUAUUUGUAUCUUAAUAUAUUAUAAUAGACUGUUCUUUGUUAUUAUAAUAUUAGUUACCCUUCACUGCAUUUGCCUAUUUUUUUAGCUUCUGAAUGGAGCAAAUAAUGUAUUGGUUUUACAAAAAUGUUUUUUUUUUUUUUUAUGUGAACACUUUUUCUACCAUUAAGCUUACUUUGGUGUGUAUGAUAUAGCACUUUUUCUGAAAAGAAAUUUUCUUGGGAUGAUACUUUAAGAAGGUCAUUUUUUGAUUUUUCCGUUAGUUAUCUCAAUAAAAAAGUAAAAAAACAGAGGAAAAAUGGGAGUAUUUACUAAAUAUAUUAGUAAAACCGGAAAAACGGGAAAAUCAAUGCAAUAUUCAACAAAGAUUAUUUAAGAAAACACAUAAUGCUUAUUUAAUUAUUUUAUCAUAAUAUUACAUACCUAUAUAUUGUUGUUAUAUGUUGUUGUAGCAACACUAUCAACUAAACCCUGCUCAAAAACGUUUUUUCGUUAACAAUGAUUUAUCGAUGCUUACAAAUAUACAUUAAAUUUACGUCUAUAUCUUACAUUCCCACCCUCCCACCUACAACAGUGGCUGGACCCACGUGCGAAGUAUGUCCGACUUUUUUUAAAUUUUUUAAAUGAUUUUUUUUUAUCUAAACAUUAAAUUACAUAACACAAAUCCCUAUAAUUAGUAUAACUACUUAAAGUAGUUUUAAAAUUAAUCAUAAGCAAAGUUAGAAGUGCCAAAAUGUUGUUGCCCAUUGGGGCCAAAAUCAUAAAUACGAUCCUGAGAAGGCCUAUACAGCCAUUAGUAAACAAAAACAAAACCGUUAGAGUGGUAUAAAAGUCCUAUUCUCUCAACUAAAACUUAUACAAUUGCAUUUUUUAACAUAAAUAUGAUUAACACAAAAUAAUAAUUUUUAUACGAUUUUGAAUUACUUUGUGUAAAUCAUUUGUGUAGUGUUAGAAAAUUUUAUUAAAUUAGUUAGAACACUUUGAGGGGGACUUAACACCUCUUUAUCGUUUUUGAUUUUUAUAAAUAUUUUUGAAGUUUUAAGAGCUUUUUCAUGGAUUUUAAAUGUAAAAGUCCCCAGCUUUGUUUGUGUUCUCACUUUUUUAGGUUAAUUCAUAAAGUGAGUAUUUCUCCUUUUUUAUUCUAGACUGUGGACACGUUUUUUACUAGUAAACUUUCUCCGAUGUAUAAGUGUAGCACUUUUUCUGAAAGCUCAAGUUGUCUAGAUGGUACUUUAAAAAAAUCAUUUUUUGAUUUUCCAUGCCAUUUAUUAAAUAAAUGAUUUGAUUGAAAAAUCACAAAACACCUUUUUUGUGAUGAACAGCUUUUACAGAAUUUAAAUUUUUAGAAGUUUUUUGGCUGUAUUUUGGUUAUGAAUUCACGUAGAGACUUGAAACUUGGUAAGAAUACUUGUAUUGGACUUACCUAGACGUGGUAAAAUUUCCAAAACCAUCGGACGAAUUUUAUUCCUUUUUUAAAUUUGUUUGCAAUGGUACUUUAUUAUUUUUUUUUUUUUUCUGUAGACCAUUUUUAUCCUAGAAAACUUACUCCGAUGUAUAAAUGUAGCACCUUUUCUGAAAAUCAAUUUUAUCUAAUUGGUGAAUAUAUAGGUCAUUUUUUGAUUUUUGAAACAAUUUUUUAAAAGAAAAACGAUUAACCGGGAAAAAAAUACGAUUUUUUCAUGAUUUCGUUAUUUUAAAUAAGUACCACAACUUUUUCUAGCGGCUCCGAUUGAAAAAUGACAAGGGAUCUUUCUUGUUGAUUUAUUAAUCUUGUUUUUAAUAAUGCAGUUCGUUUUUUUUGAUUUUCGAAUUAGUUUUCAUAAUAAUCAGGAAAAAACGUAGGAAGGUUAGGUUAAAAAAAAAUACGGCACUUCAAAUUAUAUAAUACUGAACUACGCUCGGAAUCGUCUUUCAUCAACAAUGGUUUAUCGUUACUUACAGAUAUUAAUGAGAUAACCUUAUGUAUCCUAUCUUUCCAACUUCUCAUCUACAACAGUGGCCGUACCCAUCCCCAGUAUCAGCUCUUUUUUUUUUUUAUCUAUGGUUGUAAUGUAAACAAAUGGCAGUUUUCACAUACAAUAGAAAUUGUAGUGGCUUAUCUUUUUCUUUACUAUCUAUGAAUAUUGUAUGGUUUUUUUCUUGUAUUGUGUUAAGAUAUAUGCUAUGCUUCAUAGUUCAUUGUAGAUUAUUCGCUUCACUUAGAAUAUAAAUUAUAAUAUUUGAAUGGCCCUAGAUUUAUACGAUUAAUAUGGUUUUAUUCGAAUGAUGAAUAUUACCGCAAAAAUAUUUUAUGGUCAUCUAAUUUAAUAUUCGAAAUAGUUUUGACGGAUCUUUAAUAUUAGGUACCUCUAUAUACACGCGCGGUGGGAGGUGUAGUAAUAAUAUUAGGAAAUUACAAUAUCCGUCUCGUUCGGUUAAUACGAUUAAAUUAUAUACAUAUUGUUUAAGUAUAUAGGUAUAUAAUAUGUUUAUCCGUUACGGUAUUAUAUUAUAAUCUAAUAAGAUUAUAUUAUUAUUGUAUUCUAUACGCCCGCUGAAAACGUGUGAAUAAGUACAUAUUAUAAUAUCGUACACUGACACUAAGUAUUAUAUUGUGUACGACAGGUGUCUCGUUGGGUUCACCGCGAUAUUGUUUUCGUUCCAUUAUCUGAAGCAACUCGUUCCUACCUGUAUUAUUGUCGACCAUAAAACGUCGCAGUUCCGCCAACCGUGGUACAUAAUAAACUUUCAUCCGUGACGACAGCACGCCCGACCGCCGGCCAAUCAUGAAGGGGUGUUAAGGGGUGGGUAAGUUCUGAACUGUGCAGACAUAAAAUUAUUGUUUAGUAAUUCAACAAGUUAAAUCUUAAUCUCACAAAAUAUUAAUGUAUCUUCUGGAGUGCCAUAAUGCGGUUAUCUUAUGUCCUUGCUAUUUAUAAUUUUUGUCAAUUAUAUAUAAUAGGUCGAUUUUGUAAAUCCGUUUUGUUUACGGACGGUUUAAAGCUAUUUAUGUGGAUUUCUUCAAUAGAUGAUUGUAAGCUACAAUAUGACCUCAAUCAAUUCUGUUUAUAGUGCAAACAACGGUCUAAACUUAAAUACGAACGAAUAUGCAUUCGCAAAUCUCAUUCACUAGAAAUCAGCAAAAUUAUAUAUUUAACUGCCAUAAAAAUAAUAAAAAACUCAGUAUCGCAUUUUAAGUUAAAGACUUAGGAAGGUAUUAUUUUGUCUUGCGAUCUUACAUAUACUGAACAUAUAUUAAUGAAACACAUAAUAAAGCUAUACGUGUAUUUGGGUUUUUAAAUACAAUUGCUGGAAGUUUCAUGAUCCAAAUUUGUUGAGUGUUUUUAUACUUCUCUUUUACGAUCAAUUAACACGUUUUAACACAUUGUCCAAUGUAACUGUAAAUGACGUAUUGUGUGGAUCCUAUAGAUGAAAAAAAUUGUUAGUUCUAUUCUAUAAUAUAGGUUAGGUUUUAUCGUUUAUUAUAGGAUAGAACUAAACAUUUUUAUAAUUUAUAUUUAAUUAUAUUUAACAUAAUAUUGGGCACAACAAAUUGUGUUUAUACGAAAUUGCAUUUAAUUUUUAACUGUCAAAAUCAUAUUUUGAAUAAGAGAAAUAACAACGAUUAUAUAAAAAAAUAAUAAUAAUAAAAAAUAUAGGCCAGCAUAUUAUUAUAUUUUAAAAGAACAAAGUUUGGUUUAUGUGACGGUUCUGUAUUUUUUUUUUUAAAAAAAACAACGAUUUCUCUAAAAAGCACCACCUGUAGUUUUCAAUUUCCAAUCUAUAUUGUUUGGACUACGGAAAACUAUUUUCUCUUUUUUCAAACACUUUACUGCCUUAAAAAAGUUGUAUUUAUUUUUGAAAGAACGUAGGCGGAAAAUACAAUUAUCGGAAAACACCGGUAGAAAACCAUCAAGUAUAGCUCUCUAAAAUAGCUUAAAAUAAUAAUAAAACAAAUUAUAACAUUGCCAUCUUAGGUUAUGUAGGUUUUUUACUUCACUAUUUCAUAGAAAUUGUAUUCGAAAGUUUUGUGUUUGCUAUUUGAUGACAUUUACAUUCGUCUAAUAAGUAUAACAACUAAAUUAAUGUUCUUAACCUUAGGAAUUUCCAAAUCUCUGUGUCCUGAGGCUAUUAAUCCAGUUAAGUUGGUACCAGUACCUAAAUUAUCACGUACUUGUCAUAAUAUAAUAUAAUAUUCAUUAAAUAUUGUAAUAACGUCGUAGGCGUAGGGUUAGGUUAGGUUAUUAGGCGUAUAUAUCUAUAUUUAGACGUAUUUACUUAAACAUAGAUUGAUUAUUCGAAGCGGAAAAUGUGUAGGGCCUCGUUAGUUAAUUCAUUUCUAAUUAUAAGUAUGUUUCGUGAAAUCUGAUUAUCCGGGUAAUAACAAAUUAUAAUAAAACCAAAGCCGAAUUAAGCGAAGUUACUCUAAAGAAACUUUUGACGUAUAUCAGUCCACUUUGAGUCACUCCCUAGUUCUAGAAAAGAGCUCUACUGACGGGGCUACUGGCUACUAUCCGAUUAGUAACGCGUGUUAGUGAUAAGUUUCAAGUUACACAACUUUCAAAUAACUUCGAAUUGCGUUAACAAUAACUCAGUUGUUUGCUUUCGUAACUUUCCGCCCGUUUAUGCAUAAACAAAAUAUUUUGGGGCUCAAUAUUUCCGAAAAAACAUUUUUCGUAAAAUUGAGAAAAAUCGGAUAUAUUUUAAAUUAUUUAAUAAAAUUGUUUUUUUUUUUUUGAAAAAAACUGGUGUUUCCUGGAAAAGUUAUAAAAUUUGUUGAAAAAAUGAUUGUUUUUUGUUGUGAUUUAGUUAAAAAUAUUUGUAGAGACUUGACAUUUUGGCAGAAAAUUUAUAUUUGCCCUUUUAUAGAAAUGGUAACAUUUUCAAAACAUUUGGGCCAUUUUGAGCUAUUUAUAGUCAUUUAAAUUAUGUGAGUUUUUUUAUGUAAUUUUUAUUUGGUAAGUACUCUGUGGGUAAUAUUGAUAGUCUAAAUAAAAUGCUUGAAAAUUUGACAGGAGGUUCAUUAUAAUAGUAGUAGUAAGUCAAAAAAAAAAAAAAAAAUUGAGUGUAAUCUAGUAUUUUUUUUUUUUUUUAAAGAGUUUUAAAAUUCAAUCUUUACGAAAAUCGUAAAUAUUACGGCCUUUCAAAACAUUUAUAAUCGAAAUUCUCCGAAUCGUUUUUUUUUUUUUUUUUUUUUGUAAUGAUUUAUUGUUGUUUACGAGUAUAAAUCAAAUAACUAUGUAUAUUUCCCGACUACCCUCCUACAACAUUGACCGUCCCGAUUCUCAGUUUUUUUUUUUAUUUAAACCCACGGUAGCUUUUCGCCGAUUACAUCUCACGUAGCCGGGGUGACAUAUGGCACACUAACUUCCUUGCAGUAGUUUCGGAUUGGAAAUUUAGGUUAGGUAAAUGGCUAUUCCGGCUCCUCGCCCCCCCCCCCGUCGAGUUAGCGAGCGAUCGGUGUCCCGCGCCAGCAUUCUGAACCCUUUUUUAUCGGGCAUUCGAUCGUAGACGUUUACACGGACGAAGAGAUAAUUGUUAGUGAUAAUUAUAGGAUAACUCUAGGAGGCUUUCACCCGCGGGAACACGAUUCGAAAUCCCGUAUUCAGGAGUACUAAAUUGGAAUGAAUUUAAUAUUAUGAUCCUAUAUCAUUAUUAUUGACGCAUAAUAUAUAUAUAUAUAUAUAUACGUAUUAUUAUUUUAAUAUUACCGGUAUUAUCGCCUACGAGCCGCCGCGGGGUCGUAUAAUAAAUCAACGCGGCUAAAUUAACUUUUUAUCGUCCGACACCAUCUCGGAGGUUUUUACGCGCGCGCUCGCUCAACACGUAGUUCGGACGUUAUCCCUCCGUAUACCUGAAUAUUGUAAUAUAAUUAUUAUUUCGGUGAUAAUAUCCAUUCAUUGAAUUAAUAUUAAUAAUAAUAAUAAUAAUAAUAUAGACGGUCCGCGGGCUGAAUACGAUUACAACGUUGUACGGCGGGUGAAAUUUUCGUUUUCGUAAAGUUUACGCGUUGUUGCAAGAGGCGGGUGUACGCAUAUACCUACGUCGUAAUAAUAUAAUAAUAUAAUAUUAUACGAUAUUAUUAUCAAAAGUUUAUAAAUUCGACUUUCGGCGCGUUUCGGUACGGAUACAUAUAUAUAUAAAGGCGGGCACGGGUAGGUAGGUGUAUACAGUAUAAAUUAUAUAAUACAGUUAUCUCGACUACCUCUACCUAUAGCCGGUGCCUAAUAAUAUAUAAUAAUAAUAAUAAUAAUAAUAGUACAUAAUAAUAAUAUUAUUAUUAUAUACUCUCGGAAUAAUAAUAAUAAUAAUAUACAAAGGAACCCGCGCGCUGCAAAAACCGCAGGAAUCCGCAGCCGUAGCACGGAGAAUAUCUCGGUCGGGUACAUAAUAUAAUAUUACGCGCGGUACCCAAAGCCCGGUGCCGUUCUCUAUACCGUGGUCGCGGCAAAUGGCAAUUAUUAUUAUUUUCCGGAAUCCGAAACAAUCGCGCAAAGUUUACGUACCCGCGAUACGGGACGCGCACGCCCAUACGCGCGACACGCGGCCGCGUCGUUUGUCCCGUCGGCGACGGCUUAUGACCGGGGAACGUUCGUUUUGAUAUUUGUGCACGGGACUCCCCGGACUCGGCGUUUUUAUCGCGUCAGAUUAUCGAACGGCGGGGCCGAAAGUCGCCGCGCCGCGCACCCGGUAUACUGUAUUCAGUGCGUACACUGUGCGCACGCGGAUACCUGCUGCACACGUGUUUUUCGCGUUAUCGAGAACCGCGGCCGCGGUGCCGUCAAAACGACUGCACGCGAAUCGGGCGAUUCACUAUUCCGCCGCAACAAAUCUCCGAUUGUAUACUUCGGUAACCCCUUGACGCGAACAAAUAUUUUUGCUCUUGUACUCGCAUGUUCAACAGCAUUAAAUUCGUCGUUUACAUGGUGUAUUUACACUUAUUGUUUCUCCAUUGCUUGGCUGGAAUAUGUUUCGUGAUUGUGUUGUCGCGUAUUUCUGUUGUUUUUAGAAAUUGUAUAAUUUUCAUCUGUGCACACUUUUGCCGUACAGAUUUUAGUCGGGCACUGUCGAAACGUACAAGUCUUUUAUUACACGAACCAAUUUGAAACUUUUACAAUUUUUUAAAAUCAACUGUUAUCACGUUUACUUUCCAUAUAUUUUCCGUAUAUUUUCCAUUGUGACAAAUGUAUUUGUUUCUCGAAAGCUUCAAUAUAAGCUAAAAUGCAAAAUCCUACAAUCGAUAAAACAUAAAACCUCUACAACACUUUACCUAAUCUUAACAGCAUUGUCGAAUAUCACAUGAGCUCCGGACAUGAUCCGGACAGUGAAAACUUUUUCUAACGUAACUCUUUUUAACUAAAAACUCUAUGUAUCGUAAAAAUUACUUAAUAGUGGUCGGUGUGAUUUAUAACCCAUGCAUUAGUAUUCUACUCCUUCUACUCUAUUCAACGAAAGAAGUCUCUUGGUACCUUAAGAUUUGUUAUAAGGUGUUUUCACUGUAUAAUAUUUCGUAUUUUCCAAUCCAUAAUAUAAUAUUUCAAUCCUUACAUUAAGGGGUUACCAAAUUAUAAAAACUGAAAUUUGUUGUGGCGGAAAAUGGAAUUACAAAUUAAUAUACUGGCGGUAAAAGGACUUGGCGAUAAACAGAUAGGUCGAUUUUGGUGGAAACCGGUGACGCCCUGCGAAACGCGUCUCGCAUCAAUGGUCCUUUCCGAGUUACGUUUCGGUUAAUUUUUUUGGGUGAUAUAAGUUGCGUCCUGAAUUUUUUUCGUGUGCAUACUGUAGUUACGUACUACUAUUUUUUUUUUUUUUUUUUAUAAAUGAUAAUCCCCUUACCGUUUUUACACAGACUUAGGAUCUACUUAGGUUCAAAAUAUCAUUUUUCUGGUGACAUUUAUUAUUCCGCCGGUAUUUUAUAAUUUCGUAACUACCAUAUGUAACAAAAAAACAAAAAUGUUAAAUAAAAACAUAUUUUGGUAUCAGUAAAUAAUCGGCCGAGUCACCGUCAACACUGCGAUGUGACAUUAAUACGGUGUUUGUACACGUCAUAACGCUGCACACAAAAUAAUUAGAAAAGUUAAAACGUAAUUGUUUAUACUAAUCGAUAAUAAUUACCUACUCGAUAAAACCUACUCGAUAAGGCCGUAUUAAAAUAUUAUUAUAGACAUGUUCACUAUCUGAGACGGUUGGGACGCAAUUAUUAUAAUAUUAUCUUUUUAUUCGGGAUGCAACUAGUGAGUAACGGUCAAAUAAAUGACGAUAAAUACAAUAUCACAUAGCAAUAUUUUUACAUGUCAAUAUAUUAUUAACACGUAUACGUCUUUUGGAAACUACCGCCGCCGCCGCCGUUCGACCUUAACCCGCGCUCGUUAAAUUUAUAAUAUUAUUAAUAUUAUAUUUUCCGCCGAUCGUUAGGAUAGCGAAAACCCGGAAAUACUGAUAAUAAAAUAUUGCGCAAUGCGGAUACGUUGGGCCGUUCUCGCCAACGUAAAAAAAGGCGUUUAUCGGAUUCUUAAACUCAGUUUAAAAUUCAACGUUUACGUUGGUGAGUGUUGGAUUCUAAACGCAUGGGUUUUCACUAUUAUAGUAUAAUAAUAUGAGGUGUGCGAUUUUAUUUUCUGUCUACAGUAAUUUUUGCUGUAGUAAUUUGUGUCUGUUUUUUUGUAAUUUUUGUUUAAUAAUUGAGAAAAAUCGGUAAAAACCGUAUAAGAAAAACGGACAAAUUUACGGAAAUAACGACUUCGUUGUUUUUUUUUUUAUUAUUUUUAGUAAUAAGUGGCUGCAAAUAAUCUUAUAAACCGAAAACGUUCACAAAACCCUUCUAUUAUCCGUUUCUAAACGGGUUACAUUCAAGCAAUUUUCGAUAUAUUUAUAGGCGUUUGACAUUUUCGAGUUUUUAAUAUUUUACUGCGUGAGGACAAGGCUUUACCCGAAUUCGGUUUCUAUUUAGCCUCUUAUUAUCAACAUGAUAAACCGUGUACGGGUCGUAAAUCUCUGUACCGUAAUAAACUCGUAUUAUCUUUGUAGUAAAACGGGGUGAGGUUGGAUGCGCAAAACGUAUCAUUGUAUAAUGAUUUAAAUAUAAAAUUAGUUAAAUCUAAACGGGGUGUUUAUUUCCGUUUUAUUGUUGUUGUUGUUGAAUAACGUAAUGAAAUAACGUCGUUAAUUGCAAAAAAAUAAAAAUAAAAACCUAGUAUGAAUUUUUAUUAUGCACGGAUCGUUUUAAAAACGAUGAUCGUGUAUUAUACUAUAGAUAAGUACUUAUUAAUUUGUUAAUUAGCCAAGUAACUUUACGGUGAUCGAGUUUGCGCAUUAUACAUUUUAUAAAAAAUAAUUAUUAAAUACCCGAUGGUCGUGUGUAAUGGUUUAUUUGUCAUAUACAGUUCAUAUAUGACACUUGAGAGAUUUAAGUGUAUACAUUGGGUGUUCUUAGAGUUUAUUACGAUCCGACGGUUAUCUACGAAAAUGCUGAGUAAAAUGUUUAUUUUAUCAUGUUACUCUCAUUCUAUACAGUAUGCGCAAUAAACACAAAUAAACUUUUUAACUUCCAUAAAUGGCAAUCCCGGACUGUUUUCGAACCUGAAAAUUCGAAAAAUUAAUGUUUUUCUAAAUAAAAUUUGAUAUAAUGGACAUCGCAACACUAAUAAUACAAUAAUAAUUGAAUUUACCUUUUAUGAGUUAUACCCAUGGCAGUUAUAAUAUUUAAAAAUUAGCAAAAUAAGCAACAUUGCAAUAUAUUUAGAGAAACAUUUGCUCUUUAUGUUUGUAUUGAAAUCGUGUCGCACCAGUUGGCAGAUACCUCGAUUUGUCAACACAUUAAAUGAAUAAAACAAAAUAAUGUUUAGUAUAAUAAUAUAUUAAUUAAAAUUAUUUGUAAAAACCGCGAAUAUUUUUCAAAUUAUCUAUCUAUAUAAAAACUAUAUAAUAAUAAUAAUCUCAUUAAUCUCAUUUUUUGACAUUUUAGCAUUUGAUUCUUUCCGAGUACUACAUCGACUUCAACAAUUAUCAAUACAUUUAUAAUAGUGGUUAUGACCUAUAUUUCUAUCUUGUUUGUGUAAAUAAUUAUGCAAUACUAAUAGUUAGCUAUCACAAUCAGAAUUUAUUAAAAAAACACGAUAUAUUAUUAAAUAACAAACUGACUAAGUACUAACGAUGCAAUGACUACUGGGUAACUGUAACUGACAUUAAUAACACCUACAUAUUCUUUAUUUCUUUCGUGAUAGCAUUGGUAUUUAAGAUAACAUUAUCGUCAUUAUCAAUCACUUUGUUCACGAGCCGGUAGAUGAGAUGUGGUUGUUAUCAGUGAUGUCAUCGCUGAUGUCAUCAUAUAUUAAUUAAUAAGGAAUAUAAGGAUCGUAGUAUAGUUUUAUCAAUAUUUUGAUUGUAGAUAGCAAUAUUCUUGAUUUCCACUAAACAUUUAUUUUUGUUUUAUAGAAAACUUUAAUUUGUCAGUGAAUUAGAAAUGUUUCUAUAACUACCGAAUACUGGUUUACACGUCAGCGAAACGAGCACUCGGCGAAUCGGGCUUAAAUCUUUGAAAUGUGGUGAGAGCCACGGAGAAAAAGGGUGGUGACCAUUUAAAAAUCAAAAGCCAAUAGAAGUAGUAGUAACAACUUGAAAACAGUGUUCAAAUAAAGCUUUAAAAAAUCGUCAAUGAUUUCGAACUAUACGGAAAUAAAAUGCAUUCAAAACAACCCGAAAAAAAAUCUUUGAAUGAUGAUUAACAAAAAAAAAAAAAACAUUGUCCUGUAUAGAUAAUAUAAACAUAUUCGUAUUAGUAGGGAUAUGUUUAUUUUUUCUUUCUAAGAAUAACGCUGGUUUUAGAAAAGUGAAUGAUGACGUUUUUCGAGAUAACACACCGUCGUACAAUCAUGUGCUCCUCUUAAAGAAAUCGUCGGGCGUUUAUGUUUGGUAGAAAAAUAUAAAAACUCAUCUCGGAUUCGGAACUCAAACAUACCCUAGUACCAGUGAAUAAAAAUACGGUUUUUGUGGGCCAAAAUGGGCUGGCAAAUUCUGAAUUACUAGUAAGUAAUUAACUUAAGGUUAAUACAUAAGGUUAUUUCAUUUAUAUCAGUAAGCAACGAUAAACCAUUGUUUGACGAAAGACGAUUACAAGCGCAGUUCGGUAAUAUAUAAUUUGAAUUAUUUUAACACACGUAAUUUUUUUUGCGAUUUUCGUUUAAAUUUGAUUUCAAAACUUAUUAAAAAAAAAUUGUUGAUUUUGAAAAUUUCACCACGUCUAGGUAAGUCCAAUAUAAGUAUUAUUACCAAAUUUCAAGUUUCUACGUUUAUUUAUAACCGAAUUACAGCAAAAAACUUCCAAAAAUUAAAACUACUUAAAAGCUCAAAAUUUUUGGCAAUGAUACCGUAAGAAAGUAAAUCAAAAAGGCAACAAAAAAGGUAUUUUGUGAUUUUUCGAUUUAAUAAAGUAUUCUGGUAGAAAACGCCGUCCGUGUUUUUAUAAAUUAAUGAAAUCGUGAAAUUUAUUGUACAUUUUCCUAUCUUUUUUUCCAUUUAAGCUCUUUUAUUUAAGAAAUGGUGUUAAAAAUAAAAAAAACGACUUCUUUAAAGUACAAUCUAGAUAACUCGAGCUUUCAGAAAAGAUGAUAUCCGUCAAAAUUGGAAUAAGUUUACUAGGAUUUGUCCACAGAUUAGAAAAAAUAAAUAAACAUCAUUGUAAAACCAAUAGCUCCCUGCUACGCUUAGAUUCUAAAAAUCAUUAAAAAUAUAGAUACACUUUAUCUAAAUUUAAUACUGAUUUUAUAUUAUGUAAGUUUUUAAAAUAUUUCGACAAUUUAAUAAAAUAUUUUGGUCAUAAUUAUAUAAAAAAAAAAAACUUAAAAUUCAAUUUGUUUGUAAAACCGUUUUUUUUCUUCAAAAAGACACUUUUUUCUAGAAAUUGUAAUCCUUUAAUUAAACGUCCGGGAGAAAAACUAUGUGCCAUAAAUUAUUGAUAACUUUAAACAAUUUAUUCAAACAAUUUAAUUCCGUUAGUAAAAAUUAUUUUUUACAUUAUCUCUCCCAAAUGGAUGAUAUUAUUUUAACAUAAUCAUAGAUGCCUCGUCUCCUCUCAAAUAGUUUCUAAAAAUACUAAUUAUAAUUGUAAACCACUAAUUUAAUCAAACAAUAUUUUACUUGUAAUAUAUGAAAAAUUAUUUAACCUAUUUAAAUUAAAUAUCCACAAAUAAGUAAAAGUUUUUAUUUGUAAUUUGUUUAAUAUUGAAAUCUGUUGAAGCGUAUCAAAUGUAAAAUGGUACCUAGUUUAAAUAUUUCCAACAAAUAUUUAUAAUAUAAAUUAUGUAUUAUAUAUUAUAUAUGUUUAAAUACUUUUAAAAUAAUUAUAAAUAUGAUUUAGACAGUUAUUAAAAAAUACAUUCUGAAUACAUUUAAAAAAGUAACAACAAGACUGUUUCUGGUGUAAUAAUUUUAUAGUGCACAUCUUUAUUAAUAUGUUGUCACUAGUUAUCAAACAAAAAAUUAAAAGGGGGGAUAUUCCACCCUAACUCCCCCCCCCCUCUAUCCGUGAACACGCCCGUGUAUAUCCGUGUCAAGGAUGCGUUCGUAUUUUUCCGGACUUGAUUUACCCGCAUGACCCAGAGACCUCCCGACGAGUACCUACUUAUUGUAGUGUAGUAUACCGUGUAUAGCCUUAGUUUUUUUCUCGUAUCUACGGAUGAUGAAUACCGAUUCAAUAUGGAUAAAAGAAAUAACAAAUUUAAUCAAAUGAAACUGAUAACCAAUACGUAUUUUUGUUUUUUUUUUUUUUUUAUGAGUUAUUAUUUUAAUUUUCUUUUUUCUUUUUCCAAAUAUAUAACAAUAGUAAUUGGUUUCAGUUGUGAUUCGCCACGAGCGGUACCGUAGGCUGAGGACGUUCGAGAUGGGGAAGGGGGAUUCGCCGUUAUGAACUCCUGUCCAAAAAAAAUCUCAUCACUGACGACAUCGUCGUCGUGACAUUGUUAAAUUAUUUUAGGUGUAGAUACAAAAAUUAUAAUUAUUUUUAAGAAUUUUUUGUUUUAUUAUUAUUUCAAUAACAUAAUAAUAAUAUCAUUAAAAUUAUCUCGUGUACAAAUAUAAUUAACGAAAACAGUUUUUUUCUCUAACAAAUUGAAUUUAUUAGAUUGUUAUUUAUAGCGCGUUACACGUCAAUUCGUGUUACUUUAAAGACAGAGAAAAAGAAACGUUCAUCAUUGUCUAAGAUCACAGAAUUGAAUGUUAUUGUUUUAAGUAUUUGUAGUACAAUACUUAUUUUUAAUUAGUAAUUAUUUAUAUUUACAAUCUGUUAUUACGUUAUCGCAGAAAACGGUUUGAAGAAAGCUUAAAUAGCUUAAGAAUUUAAAUUGUUAAUAACUCAUUUGUCCUAUCAGCAGCUUGCUUAAACGGAUAAAUACAUUGUAUUGCAUUGUAUUUUUGUUUUUAAUGUACAAAAGUCUGUAAGUAAAAAAAAUAAUUGUUCCCAUAAAUAUAUAUUUUCUUUUGAACAUUUUGAAUUCUAUGUGAUAAAAAUGUUUUAGAUUAUAUAGUAAUAGUAAUAAUUGAUAUGCAAUUACUAGGUACAGAAUUGUUUAUUAUUUUCUAAAUCUGUAACCGAUUUCUCAUAUGAAAACCCGCGAUAGUUCGUGAGAUAGCUUAUGAGACAAUCUCAUAUUAAGACUCCUUUUUGAAAUGAAACUUUCCUUUUUAUUUCUACUCAUUUUUGGCUCGUCUCUGUCGUGCAUUAUUCGAAGACCCGUGUAUUGUAAAGGUAGUUGUAUACGAUUUCAUUAUUAUUUUAAGUUGACACAAAAAAUAAGCGAUUUAUUUUGUUUUUCUCUUAUUUUUAUACUAUUUCGACUAUUCUUUCUCCCUUCGAAAGUAUAUUUUAUUUCCCUUUUCUAAAAAAACAUAUUUUGAAUAUCUAUACAUCCCUGAAAAAAAUCAUAGAAAUACUUCAGCGUUCUCUAUACCUAAAGAACGACCUUAUUGUUUAAAUACGAACAUAUAAUAUGAUACAAAAAAAAAAUUACCCAGAGUAAAAUUUAUUUUUCCCUUCCAUCCUUACGGGAGUAAAAAAAAAAUACACUGGUAUUAUACUUAUUAGUUGUAUUUCUUGGAAGGUCUAUAAACUGCAUUAUUAUAGGCUAGUAAUAUUUAAUAUACAUAAUAUUAUAAACUGCCAAGGGCCACAUGAAAAUAAUUCUGGGAUUAUAAUGAAUCUCUGACCUAUAAUAAUAUUAUUGAACGAAAAUAAAUAAAAACGUAAUAAUAUUUAAUGUCGAAAAUAUAAUCUGUAUUAAUGAUGUCACUAAAUAAUAUUUUUUUACAGAUAGUUAUGUGUUCUUUUGUUGAAUUUCCCUUGAAAAUAGAGACUAUUGAUCGUAGUAAAAUGGAUUCUCAAAAUAUUUUAGCUGUAGUAUUAGAUAUAGUAAAUAAUGAUGUUGAAAAUUUAGGUAACACAAAAUGUUUGUGACAGUUUGUCAUUUUGCAAUAAAUAAUAAAAUAAUUAAUAAGCAAUUUAAAUUUUUGUUUGGAAAAUAUAAUCAUAAUUUAAAUUAAUAGUACAAAUAUAACAUUGUUUAAUAAUAGUAAUAGUUAGUUUAAUAUGUACCUAUUUGUUAUAUUCUAUAAUAAUACUAUUGUAGUUUAUAGUCUAUACUUUAUGUGCAAAUACGUAUAUCAACAUUACUAAAACUGUGUUGUGAGUGUUAACAUUCACGAGUAAAUAUUUACAUUUUUUUUCAUUUUUCAACAUUCACUAAUUUAGGAGGUGUAUAUCGACAUUAACCAGUGACUGUCAGCAUUCAUCAAUUGCGGACAUUCACAGUAGGUAACUUAUAUAUAUACAUAUAUCAUACAUUUUAUAUUUAUUUAGCGACGAGAUGAAAAUUUAAAACAUUUGAAUUUUGAGGCGAGAUUUCUGGUAGUAAAUAAAAUAGAAAAUAUUAAAAACACUGAAAUCGGUAACGCCAUAAUUGUUGGUUUUUUCUCCAGGUUUAUCCUAUUAUUAUGAAAACCACUUGGAAAAUCGAAAAACUGAUCUGCCGAUGUACCAACUAGAUCUAAAAUGCGGCAAAAAAUGUCUUGUGUCAUUUUUCAGUUGGAGCAAAAUUGUUGGUAGAAAAGUCGUUCGUGUAGAGAAAAGAAAAAUAACCAUUCACAAUUAAUAAUCAUAGUUUAACAUUGGUUUUACUAGCUAUGCUCAAAAUCUAAAAUAAGCACAAAUAUUAAAAUAAAUAAAUUCCUCACCAUACCCUCAGAAUCUAAAACUAAUAAAGCUGUAUUGUGCGUCUGCUUUAGUUAUAAUAAUCAUACAACAUCACUAUAUUAAUACUAUUUUAACGCGUACGAUAAUAUAAGUUUAUAUAGCACUUUGGUUGUGUUCAGAACACUCGGCAUUAUAUUUAUAUACGUUAUGCGUAUAGUAGUAUAAUAAACAUAAAAUAUUAUCGUUAUGACACUCACGGCUUAAUAAUAUUCUCGUUCUCUAUUUUACACGCGGUUUAACGGUCUGAAAUUGUUCGGAUAUACAUAAAGAUGAUAUGAUAGUAAGAGAGAGGUAAAAAAAUAAAAAUAAAAAAAUACCUACGCUUUAUCUUAUUAUAAUACAGACAGUGGUGUAUUUAAAGGUAUAAUAAAGAGAGCAACUAAAGCUUUAAUAAAUAUUUCGUACCGUAAAUAAUUAAAAGAUGAUUUUAAAAAAAAAAAAUGGUUUAAGAAAGAUAGGUACUAGGAUAUACUUGUAUAUUUAAAUAGAUAAAUUAGCGUUGAUAUAGUGCUGACGGAUGUGCCACUGGUAUAUAGGUAUGUAUAGUACGAAUGGUACGAUAUGUAGCAGCAGUGCCCUUUAGAUUUUAAACAGGAGCGCAAACAUUUAAGGGGGACUAGUUAAAUUUCUUCAAUAAACUACUUCAACUACAGUGAUACUCACUGUCAUCGAAUGAAUUUUAGCCAAAGCACAGUUCCAGAUUAAUUUUUAUCAGACAAUACUAUUUCCUUAUCAGACGAAACGAGUAGGCAAGAUUCAUAUCAGUGAACACCUAUUUCAAAAUAAUCGUUUCUGGUUUAAGGUUUGAUUAUUUAAGUUAAUAAAGUGUCUUUAAGUUUCCAUCCUAAUUUACAAUAAUCAGUUUGGUUUACAAUUAUCAAGUCUAAUGGCUUAAAGUCAAUAAAAUUAUAUGUCCAUUUGUAAGUUUGGCUUAUUUCCAACAGUGAUUGAAAAGUCAUAAUAACGAGUUGUAAAUUGUGACUAAUAUUUUUAUACCAAUCAAAUACUGAAUUCAAAAUGUUAUAUUUAAAUUAAAUCCAUUAAAAUCAGCAUAAAUUAUUACAAUGGAUUCCGUUUAAUAUGAGCACGUUGGGACCAGUUACAUUUGCCCACAUUAAGCGGUUUCCCAUUUCAACUUAAAUGAGUGUCUUUAUACAUUAGAGUCGGGACCAUUAUGCCCGUAUUAGGUGAUUGGCCAAAUUAAGCGAAAUCCAUUGUAUUUACACAGUAUAUCAUGACAAAAUUACAGAAAAUAAUAUAAUCAGGUGUUCACUGAUAAAAAAAACUCUCUUAUUUAUCUAUCUGAUAAUAAUUUGUGUGGAAAUAUACUAUGGUGAAUUUUAAUUAGUUGACUUCUGGCUUGCUCAUAUUUAUUGUUCAUAUUUAGACGAGCUCUGCUGAAUAUUGGCUUACAAAUCGGACUUCCGUGGUUAUGGGACGAGAUAACUUACAUGUUCCGGAAUGUAGGAAUUUGUUCCCAAACCUAAAAGGGUUUCACUAAUUAUAUAAAUUAUAUACUUACAAAAACUAUUAUUUACAUUAGAACUAACGAUGAUUUUAUUUCGGUUCAUUCACUUACUUAUUGGAACUAAUUUCAUGAUAUAGAAAAAAAAAAGGUCUUGCAAGUGCACUUCACGUCCCCUUUCAACAGUGCCCCUUAUAGAGUAAUUCAGUUGUUUAAUGUUAUAUAUAUAUAUACAAUAAAAGUUUUUUAUAAACCGUUUUUGUGUCAAAAAAUUUCAUCCAAAGUUCAUAUCGGAUUAACAUAUUUUAUUAUACGAACAUCACGUGUAAAAUAUUUUGUCUUCAAAUUAUUGAAUAUUUAAUCAUUCACAUAUAUGUAUAAAAUAUACACGUAGGUAUUUUUACGAAAAAUACGUUGACGACUGCGUUACAUAUUAUUUCCGUAAGACCUGUUUCGCGUCGAUUAUUCAAUCGAGUGAUAUUCAUUUUUGGUAGUUCUAAUCAAAAUGUCUGACAAAAAUAACGGUACUUACAGUAACUCGAAUUUAAAAAGAAAAUAUAAUUGGAAUUUAAUAAAUUUGUUAAUACUCAACAGUAUAAAAGACGUCAUAGGAUAGUGAGGACAGGUGCAGUCAUUGUUGUUGGUAAUUUAAUGUAAAUCUGUAAGCAAUAAUAAACCAUUUCUUACGAAAAAAAGAUUCUGAGUGGAGUUCAGUUGCUAGUGAUGUUUUGUCAACAAUAUAUAUGCCAUAUUAUAUUAAAAUAAUUAAAUGGGCUAUACAAAUUUUCUUUAUUAUAUAUAUUUAAUGUUGUACCGAUUUCUCCGGUUUCCUACUUUUUCCUAUGUUUUUCCCAGUUUUUUGUAUAAAGUGCCUCCCUACACCGAUUUGCUUUCAGAAAAGUUGCUGCACGUAAAUAUUAGAGCAAGUUCUCUGGUAAAAAAGCCGUCCACAGAACAAAAAAAUAUAUAUCUUUGUAAAACCAUAAGCUUCUUCGCUCCGCUCAGAAUCUAAAAAACACUGUAUACGAAAAACAUUCUACCACCAAAAUCGAGUAAACUUAUUUAAGAAUACAUAGAUCUUUAUAUAUAUAUAUGUAUUUUAAAUCGAGCCAUAGUAAAUGCCUCAAUAUUUGUGUCAGCUGUUUAAGACUUUUAUGAGGAAAAUUGCACAGAGAGUGCAAUCCCCUCAAGGUAGACAUAUAUACUCGCAGAGGACUCGCGCGGGUUGGUUACUGUAUAUUAUAUCGACGAAAAAUUCGGAAAGAUCGAAAAUUCGAUUUCAUAAACUUUUUCGGUCCGCCGUUUCCAUAUACGCUCGUAUAGUAGAAGUGUAAUUGGUAGUUAUAAUAAUAAUACCAUCCGGAAAGUUUUCGUUCCUACAAAUUUGGUCGUAAAACUUGCACGGUGACAGCAGCGCCGUUGAUCACACCUGUAUACGAGGCAUUUUUUUUUUUUUGUUUUUUAUAUUUCUUUUGCUUUUUUCAUACCACCAUAAACACUAUAAUCUUUCACGGUGCACCGUUAAAUAUUUAUAACAGAAAACGCUCGGGAUAAAGAUAGUAUACGUCAGCAAAAUUACGAGAGAAAACUCCUCUGCUUCUUCUUCUUCUUCGUAUACUAUUAUUAUUAUUUUGAAAUUUUUAUUUCGGUUUCUCUCGCUGCCUUAGAUAAUAAUAUAUAUAUACGCGUAUAAAUGUCAUAUAUUAUUAUAUUAUAUAUAUAUAUAUAUAUAUAUAUAACUUCCCCAUAUUAUAGGACAGUCUGUUUUUUCGCACCUCGAAACCACGUGUUUUUAUUCGGUCCGUUAUGAAUUUCUUGAGAACGCAAUAAUUUGACGCACUGAAACGUGGUCGAAUGGUUACUGCAGUAUUAUGUGUUCCAUAUAACUUCGUACCUACAUAAUCCCUAAAUAUAUGUAUACAAGUAACGAGGGAGGGGGGAGGGGCUAACAGAAUCGGAAAAUUCAAAAUCAGGAAUAAAUAUUAAAUUCAGAAACGCUAUUUUCGAGGAAUAUAAUUAACCAAGAAUGAUUUUUCUUGGGAAUAUAGAAAUUUGAGAAUGAAAAAUUAUUGGGACAAUUAAAAUUAGAAAAAUAUUUAACGCGUGGAAAAUUUAUAAAAAAGAUAAAAAUUAGGAUAUUCAGAUCAGUUUUAUACAUAACUGGUAGGCUCCAUGAUCUUAUCGAACAUUUAUGGAAAAAGAAAUUUUGUAUCUAUAUUUUAGAUUUCGUUUAGGUUGGGUUACCUAAAUUAACCUAAUUUAAGCUCAAAUGUAUUAUUUAAUUAUUUUCAAAAGGCCCUACCCAUUAAUUAUUACAAACAUAAAAUUAACAAAUAACAAUAGUCUAAAAUAUAGAUAAACAUUUUUUUUCCCGAAAAAUCUUUGAUAAGAUAAUGGAGCCUACCAGUUACGUAUAAAACUGAUUUGAAUAUCCUCCUAAUUUUUAUCUUUUCUAUAAUUUUUCCACGCGAUAAAUAUUUUUCAACCCUGUCAACUAACCUAACGUAUGGUUAGUUGACAGAGUUAGGUUAGACAAAUUAUUGUCACUUCUAUUAUUUCUAAUACGAAACGAAUGAAAAUAAACUAUUUUUAAUUUCUUAAUUUUUAUCGUUCCUGUAAUUUUUUAUUCCUAAAAUUAUAUAUUCCUAAGAGAAACCCUUCCUAGUCAUUUAAAUUCACGUGAAAUAUCAUUCCUGUAAUUGUCUUUUUCAUAAUUCCCAGACCCUUGUACUUUGAUUCCUUUAUUUAUAUUUUCAUACAUUUUUUUAAAAAAUUAAUAAUUAAAUAUUUAAAAAAAAAUAAUUUUUACAAAAUCCAAGAUUAUCAUUAUAUAAAUAUAUUUCGAACACAAAUUUUGUAUUUUAUAAUUAUUUAUUUUCUCACUUUUAGGAUAAGUAUAUUAAAAGGUUUUCAUUGUUAUUAAAUCAUUUUUAUCGAUUUACCACUUUUUCAAUAGAAACAAAUAUUUUUUAAGAUUUUUGUAAACCUCAAAAAAUUAUAAAAACUUAACGAUUCAUCAUUAAUAAAUAUUUCCAACAGUAAACUAUUUUUUCAAAAUAUUUUUUAUAUAAUGAUUAUCUUGGAUUUUUUAAAAAUUUGUAAUUUUAGUUUUGCAAAAAAUAUAAUACCUAAGUAGAAAAUAGAUGAUCCAUAGUAUCUAUAGUAAUACUCUAGAUAUUGUAACAAACAAUUUUUUUAUGAAAACUACAAUGUCAAUCAAAAUAUUAUUUUCUCAUCAGCUGUACAAAAUUUACUUCCGGAAACUGACCCCCGAUUUUGAUGAUUGGAUCAAUAUUCCGGAUAUUACUUGAUGGUACAACGUUACUAAUUUUUGUAACAAUUGUUGUCACUGUACAGCUUUAAAUUCGAAUACUUUUAAGAGUAUUAUAAUGUUUUUACUCGAAUUACAUUAUUUUUCUGUUUUGACCGGCAACUAUUGUUAUAAAUAUAUAAACUGCACCUAUCUAUAGUUUAAAAAAAAAAAAUCAUUCCAGUAUUUCCGGAUAAUAUAUUUUUUCGCGUUGGUGUUUUUGUUUACGACAACGCAUGCGGCCAAUCCGAGUUUCGUAAUAACUUUCCAAUUUCACAUCUGCAGCUAGUAUAUAUAAUAUAAACUUGUCUCGCCCUUUGUAUUAUAUCGUUUACGUUUCGACGACGGUCAUAUUGAAAGUUCAGUCGUCCAUCAUCAGUGUUUAGUGAUUAGACCCAAGACAAAGUCUGUUAUAUUUUUUGUUCUGUUAACUUCACACUCUGUCAUAUUCCACACGUAAUCACUAAACAUAUUUAACGGCACCACGGAUGAAAUAACACGUAUAUAAAUUUAAUUUUUUAUCGUUUCUGCAUUAAAAUUAUUAUUAUUAUUAUUUUUUUUUUUUGAUAUCGAAUGUAGCAAAAAAGUUAUUUCUUUCUCUUAAAUUAUAUUUUUUUAGGAAAAACUUUUUAUGAUUAGUAAAAAUAUUCAGAUUUUUACGUAGUAUUUUAAAAGAUGCAGAUAUUUUCCUUGAUGUUACUUUAUUAUUUAAAACAGUUGUUUUUUGAGAUUCCUAAAACUUUUUUUUAAAACAUCGUACUUUAUAUUUAUUUGAAUAAAAUACUUUUGAUGUUUAAAAUUUUCCGAUUUUUUUUAUGCAGAUUCUUAAAAAAAUGUAAAAUUUCAACCUAUUUCAAAAAAUUUUUUAUAUAAUAUAUUAAUAAACUUUCAACAAAAAUAUAUAUUUAUAAAUUGGUUUUAUUUUUUUUUUUUAAUUGCAAUGAUUUAUUGCUGAUUUAAAUUUAAAAGUUAAAUUACCUGCCUAUAUUCUAUUGGUUUUUAACUCCACAAAAAGGUUACAAGUGUUAAUUUAGGGGGGUCACCAAAAACCAUAAGUAUCAUGUAUACUGUGUAUCCCAUUAUUCUAUUUCUAUUAAACAAUUGCUGAAGAGCGCUUUACAUGAAAAAAAUAUUAGAGGGUUACAAUUUGUAAAAGGUUGAAAAUCACUGCUAUAUCCUACGCCUUUCGAUCUUCCCAUCUACUAUAACAGGUGUUGUGAAAUAUGUCCUGUCUUUUUCAUAAUAAUACUAUCCAAUGAGUACGAGAGUUCAUAAAUAUUAUCAAAUUUAAAUCAAAUAUAAUUUUAUUUUUAUUUACUUUUUUUUAUAUAAUAAUUACAUCUGUUGACGUCAAACGUUCUUUACUGUCCUACUCAUUCGACUCUAUCCCGCGUGUUUCAUUUUUAUAUAAAGAAAACCUUGACAGUUCAUGGUCUUUAUAUUUGCCACAUAGUUGUUAUUAUUAUUAUUGUAUCUAAAAAUGACAAUAACAGCUUGUGUGGUUUUUUCCUAAAUAUCCAGUCAUUUCUGACACAAUGUCUGAGCCAAAGUCGUUUUUUAUUCAUUUUCGUGAACAUUUUUUUACUAGUUCUUUGAACCAAAAUUGAAUUUCAUUCGUGACAUGCACAGUAAGUACAUACACUGUUUAUAGAAUAUUAGCACUAAGAUUCUCCGUUAGGAAAUUCAAUUUUUUAUAUACUUCUCAAUAAUUUGUGAUACCCUUAUUAUUAUUACUUUUUUUAUCAUCGAAAAAUAUAAUAUGCUUAACACAAAAUAUUAAAUAUAAUCUGGUUAAUUUAUCUCAAAAAGAGUUGCUUUUAGUGGGACAAAUGAGUUAAAAAACCAUAAAUGGUUUAAGCUUUACAUACACAAAUGAGAAUACAGCUUUUAAACAAUACAAAGAUUCACAAAUAUACACUAUUAUAAUUUACAGCAAUUAAUUUAUUAAUUUUUUUAUUGAAUAUAAUAUUAUAUUUAAUGUUAGUACUAAGGAAAAUACUUUUCUUUAUUUUUAAAGGAAGUGAGUUGAAAUUAACUGAACCCAGGUAAUCAACGAACCUCUAUCCAAAUUUUAGAUUCUGAGAAGAAGGAGGAAUGUAUUAGUUUUAAAUUAUUUUUAACAAUUUUUCUAUUAGAAAAUUUGCUCUGAUUUUCAAGUUUAGUGCAUUUUUUAAAAGAAACUUUGACUGGAUUUAAAAACGUAAUUUUUAAUUUUCUCAGGUCUUUUCAUAAUAAAUGAAAAUAAACGUAGAAAAAAAGUGAAAAAUUAAGAAAUGUAUUAUUUUCAAAUUGUAAAUAUUACGGUUUUUCAAAACAUUUAUAGCCGAAUUCCAAUCAGAAUCGUUUUUUCGUUUGCAAUAAUUUAUCUUUGCGUACAGACUUUUGUUGAGUUAUUAAUCUUGUUUUUAAUAUAGCAGUUCGAUUUUUUGAUUUUCAAAUAGUUUUCAUAGUAAUUAUGUAAAAACGUACAAUUUCACGACAUCAUUAUUUUACAUUAAUACGGAAAACGUUUUAUUAAAAACGGAAAAGUGCUUUAAUCAAAAAAUGACAUGAAACCUUUUUUUUUUUCAUUGUACAUCUUGUUUUUUAUGACACAAGUCGUUUUUUGAUUUCAUAUUGAUUUGGAAAAACCAGAAGAGGACGAAGUUGUUGUAAUUCAGUUAAAAAUAUUUGUAGUGACUUUAAAAUUUUACAGAAUGGUUACAUUUCAUAGUUUAAAUUGCACCAGUGCAUACUACAUAUCAAAAAUUGGACAAAAUGUUGAUAAUUUCAGCUAUAAUUGCCGGCAAUUUAAAAUCCGGGAAAUUUUCUAUCCGCUUAAUGAUUAUACUGUUUUUAAUAUUAAUGAUAACAGCACUUAUUUAAAUAGUAAAGUUGUUUUUUGGUGAUUAAGUAAAAAAUUACUGCACUUUAAAUUAUAUACAUCACUAAACUGCGCUUAAAAUCGUCUUUCGCCAGCAAUGGUUUAUCGUUGCUUAUAGAUAAAAAUGAAAUAACCUUAGGUAUCCUACUUUCCCAACUUUCCACCUUCAACAGUGGCUGCACCCCUCCCCAUUAAUAGCUUUUUUUUUUAUUUGUGUACUUUAUACAAACGUCAUAAUAUGACGUUUGAGCAUAUUAUGCUCUAAGACAAUGUUUUAUAUGUUUGGAAACAUAUAAAAUAUCUAUUUUAUAUAAAUGAAUACGUGUGUUUGUCCUUUAUGCAUUUAUACACCCAAUCAUCAUGUAAUUUUGAGAAGUAAUUGAUUACAUUCUCACGAAGGUUUAUAGCUAUUGAAUGUUUUUCUCUAAAAUUAGGUUUUUUUUUUAUAUAAGUAUAAAAAUCAAAUUAUUUUUGUUGAUAAAUGAGUGAAAAAUGGACGAAAAAUAAAUUAUUCUUAUUAAUUUUUGUAGCGCGAUUUGUUUGCUAUGCGGGUAUCUAUAAUAAUAGCAUAAUAUAAUGAUGCUAUUUUAUUUAUUAACUUUAUUUAGAAACUUUUGUAUUGCAUGGACAAUGUCGAGCGGGAUAGAUUGUAACUUAUAAAGAUCUCUAAUUGACAGUACUUUAAAUUUAAAUUAUUUUUAUAUUAUUAUAUAUUUAAUAAAUAAUUUAAAUUUGAUGACCCUUGUAUUUUAUUUUUGUUCAAACAUAUUCUAACAGCUAAAUUGUAUUACAUUAUUGAGAGUCUCAUUACAUUUUCCGCACACCCAUUUCAGAUAAUUAUACUAUACUGCGUAAUAGACUUGUAUAAAAAUUUACAUACAGUAUACAUGAAUUUAGUAGGUAAAAUUUUUUUUUGUUUUGUACAAUUUUAAGAUUACUGAUCUCAGGUGCAUUCCAAUAUUCUGAAUAUGUCAAAUCCUUCUCAAAUUCUAGUUAAUUUUUUUUUCUAUUUAGAGUUGGUAUUUACUCGCUGUAAGUUAUCGAAUUAAUACCAAACAUAUUUUUGUUUUAGUUUUAGUCUCAGUUUUAUGUCAUUAGUUUCAUUAGUUCUUGUAAUCUUAUAUUAUUGGUUUUUUACAUAUCAAAAAUAUCAAUUUUUAGAAUUUGGUAUCCCGGAAUUUUGUUUUUUUUUUUAUAUUGGCGUGAUCUAUAUUCUAUAUCAGCGGUUCUCAACCAUUUCAUAUCUGCGUGCCAUUAACACAUUUUGAAAUUUUUACACGUACCACUUGAUGCGAUUAUUAACUUGUUUUUUUACUUAUCAAAAAAUAAAAUGUGUGCAGUAUUUUACAUGCUUACAUAAAGCUUUUUAUUAUUAAAUCUACCCUAUUAUAUAACUAUUUAUUACUAAAAGUAAAAUUAAAUAUGUAUGGUAUAGAUAUUAUUUUUAUUUAUAUGUAUGGAUUGAUAAACUGCAUUUUAACAAAUAACUCUUUUUUUCAAUUAUAUUGAAACAGAUAUUUAUAGCUACCAUGAUAAAACCGUAAAAUGAAAUCCGGCCUUCUUAUUCUUGCACCAGAUAAUUAUGAAUAUUUUUCGAUAACGUAAAUUACGUUAUUAAUUAUUUAUGAACAUAACGAAAUAUGACUUUCUUGUGUUAAAGCAUUAACGAAUGUGCAGUAUUAUUGCAAUAAUACUAAAUAGUCAGAAAAUGGUUUUCCAAAAUUGUUUACAGUUUUUGAUAUACGUUUAAGGUUAGUGGCCCGGCCACCAUGCACCGACGGUGCGGUGUAUCAUACAGAAAAAAUGAAAUGUUUAUUUUUGCUCCUUUUCUAUAGUAAAAUGUUUUUUUUUCCAGUUCACUUUUCAAAAUUGUCAACAUUCAAUAGCGUGCUUUUGUAAUAGAUAUGUUGAUUUAAAAAUAUUAACAUAUUAUAUACGAGUAAAUACGUAUGCGAUAAAUAGUUUCUUAAUAAUAUAUAACUGUUUAAGUCCCUGGAUACCUCUAAAUAUAAUCUUUCAUCGGCGGAUAUUUUCCCCACCCGUAAAUUAUAUUUUACCUCCGAAGGUUUUGCUCCGGAAUUGUUUUUUUUUUUUUACGUUUUCCUGUUUUCAAUUGGCAUUUUGUGAAGUUAUUAUGCCGUGAAAUUAUUACACGGAUAUGAUCAUCAAAGUGAUGCGAUAACGAUUCGCUCACUCAGCAAUAAUAAUUUUCACGAAAAAUCAGUAUUACCUACUUUAUAUAUUUAUUUAUUUUCUGAUUUGAUUUCAGAUUUGCCGGAGAAAAAAAUUGCACCUAUAAUACCCAAGCUCAUUCGCGUGAAAAUUCUCACACCGAGUUUCGCAGGAAAUCCCCAUCGAUAUCCCCAGACUCGCCGAACACUACUCGGUAAUACCUAAUUUUAUUAUUAUUAUUAUUAUUAUUAUUAUUAUUUUAAUUAAAAAUUGUUUCUACUCUUUUCGUGAUAUAAUAAUGUAUAGAAAAUCGAUUUUUUCUGCGCACGGGUCGCCGCCGCUUUAUGUUUUUACAUUUUUAUUUCUACAGUGCCGUGUACUAUACGUACUAUACGUACGAAACGGUUUUCCGGGAAAUUACGACGGUUUAUGAAUAUUCAUGUCGUCAAGUAAAUAUUUUAUUAGCAGCGUAUAAAACGUUUUCGCGGUUUAUAUACACGGGAGAAUCAUCGGCGGUGGCGGGCGGAGACGCCGGGAAAUGAACGACAAAUGACUUUUUCAUCGUCGCGCGUUCUCGUCGUUUGAAACCUUUUAUAUUAUAUUAAAAUAUGUAGCGAUCGAAAUAUUUUUCAUACUCUCCGUCAGACUAUCACGCGACAGAGUUCAUUUCCCAUCUAACGGCGUUUGUUUCAGAGCAUUCGGUGUCCUAAAGUAGUGGUUUUCAACCUUUUUACAAGUCAUGAUCCCAUAAUUUUGUAGAUUCGGAGCAUAGCGAGAGACCUAUUGGUUUUACUAUGAUGUGUGUUUUACAUUCAGAGAAAAGUGAAGGAUCUACUGGUUUUACUAUCACGAGUGAUUUUAUUAUUUUCAAUUUUGUUUUUUGUUAUAAUCAAAAAGUUAAAAAUAUUCAUAAACAUGAUAUUUUGACAGAAAAUGUGUACAUUUGCUUUUCUAAACGUGGUCAAAUUUGACAUUACAAUUUUUAAAAUUUUGUAUGUAAUAUUUGUUUUGUAGGUACUCCGUGGGUAAAAUGUAUAAAAGUUUUAAUAUUCAAUUUUGACGAAAUUCAUAAAUGUGUAUUUGUGGUUUUUGGCGACUAUUACUCAAGACCCUUUUGGGUUAAAAACUACUGUCUUAAUGGAUUUUUAUCCCGAAAAUCAUAGACAUAUUUCUACAUUUACCAUAAUUUUACAGGUGUAACUGUGAUUUCUGGGAGAAAGUUUUGACAGAAUUUCACUCGAAAUUUCUAUAACACCAAUACGAUCCCUGUGAUCUUACUUAUAAAAUAAAUUUUAUAGUUUUUAUUUUGUACAGUGUGAAUAAUUUUUCAUUGGUUAUAAGAUGGAAAAGUGGAAAUAGUAGAAAUUACAAUGAAAAUAUGAUAUUUAAAUUUUUUUAAUUGUGCUUGGGGAGAAGGGAGUGAUGGAGUUAAGUUUUUCUGAAAUAUGGCUGUCUUAGAAAUAAACACUGUUCACGAACAGUCUGAUACAGUUUUAUCAAACUACACUUAAAUUGUAUAAAUAUACGAUUACGACAAUUAUAAAAAUCCUUCCGACGGUAGAACGAUAAAUAAUCAGACUUUUUAAACGAUACGUGCACAUGUAUAGUGUAGUUUUAAUUACCCUCAAUGUGUACAUGUUUGCCAAGGCGAGUUCUCUUGUUAAAAAUCCCCAAGUUAUAUUUAAUUUGUUUAUUUAUUUUUGGAAAGUACUAAUAAAUAGCACGUUGUUGGAAUAUUGAUUUUUUUUUUCUUUUAUGUGGUUGCUACUUGUUUGGACACAGUAAAAAAAUCAUAAUGACUCAACCGAGAGUUUUUCUUUAUUUUUUUUUAACAACAUAUUAACCAAAAAGAGGUAUUAGUUACUUAUUACAAUGAGAUAAUAUAAUAUCUUAUAUGUAUACUCAAUAAUACUGUAUUCGUUUCUCCAAGGCAAAACAACCCAAGCGACAUUUGUGUACCAUAUAUUUUAUAUUAUUAGCAUUUAUUCCCUAUUAUCGUCUUAACUAUUAAGUUCAGUUAAGUAUUGUCGUUUAGGUCCAUAAUUUAGAGUCAACACAUUAUAAAAUGUAAUUUAUAUCUUUAACCCAAAUAUUGGUGAUAAAAUAAUCACAUUGAUGUAACAGUUGGUCCAACGAAACGUCUAUGGUGUCUUCUCCUCUGUCCGAUAUACAUAUAGCAUAUAAAUAGUCACUUAGAUCUUAAGGGACAUUUUCGCCACUUUAUCUAAAAGCUACCGAUAUAUGUCGUCGGUCUAGAUACAAAUAACAGUUUUUUUUUUUUUGUGACAAAAUAUUCUUAUAAGCCCCUUCACUCCUCUCUAACGAAAUUCUAGAACGAAUAACGACUAUAAAUAACAAAAUAUUUUACAUUUUUAAGUCUAGCUGUAUAUAAGGUCAUCCAUUAAGUGGUUACACUUAUUAACUUGUAUUGUAUUCAAUUUUUUAAAUAUUGUUUGUCAAUUUAAAAAACAAGUGGCUCUAUGAUGUUCUAUUUCCAUUAUUUUUGUCAUCCUUAUAGUUGGAUGUGAAAUUACUAGGUAUCUACUUUUGAUUUUUAAAUGAUAACCUGCAUAAAAAAUUUCAAAAAAUAGAUGGAGUAUAAGGUUUUGAGGUUUAUAAUUUUUGAAUUCCAUCAAUCCGUUAACGAAAUAUUCGACUUUUAAGUUUGUGUGGGGGAGAAUAGGGGAGUAUUAUUAAAACUCCGCGUGCCAUGUCGCCGCAUAAAUGAUGCUUUACUACUCCUCCCCAACGCAAACUUUAAAGUAGAAUGUAUCGUUAACGAGUUGACGGAAAUCAAAACCAAAAGUUAUUUUAACUAAUAUUACAUCUAUUUAUGGAAUAUUUAAUAUAUAUUGCCUUUUUAAAAUCAAAAUGUACCCAAAAAAAUAAAGGUGUCGGUGAAUGCCAACUCAAUCACUAAAUCAAUUACAAGUUGCGACUCUGGUUUAUAAAAGGGGCGUACGAGUUUCGACCAGUGUUUAUGAUAUAGACGUACGAAUUCAGCUUCAAUUACUACUUUAUAUCAUCCUUUUAGCGUUACCCAGGAAAGAUUUUUUUUUUACACAUUUUCUUCGAUUUUAUUCCAUUACUUUUGAAUUUUUUAUAAGUUUCUGGUUGAACUUCUAGUAACACAUCAACGAAUAAGUUAUAAAUGUUAAAAUGACUAGUGUAGAACUAUAUGUUUAGUAUUAUAUUUUAGGUCGGAUACCAGUUUUUAUGCAUUACAUAAUAAAUGAUAAAAUAUAAUAUAACUAUAUUAACGAUAGAAUUUCUAGAUGAAAACGGUUCCUCGGGCUACAACUAACUUACACUCAACAUUUAUACCGAGCCGCUACUCACCUUCAGCCACCAAAUUAAAUCCACUCAAAUGGAUCACCUUGUAAAAACGGUUAAAAAUAUUUAACGUGCCUUAUGUUAAGGGCACUAAACCUUUGGGGUCCAGAAUCUCUUUAUUGUAAUUUUUGUUCUUCAAAUGUAUAAUAAAUAAUUUUUCAUUAAAAAAAAAUAUAUGUUCCGUGGGUUUUUAAAAAUGUUUACAUAUCGCUGAAAUUUGCCCACGUCUCUCUAGAGAGAAACAUGCUUCAGGUUGAGAAUCUUUGUCUUAUACUAUUAUUCAGUUGCUUUUGAAAACUUUCAGUUAUAGUUAUAUCUCAGACGAUUGAGUAAAAUCCAACUCAAAAAUGUAGAUCGCAAAAAUAAUGUAAAUUUUAAUGAUAUAUACCUAUUCUAUUAUUCAUACAAUAAUUACGCACCGAGCAACAGUAUUCAUAAAUAAUCAAAAUUACUUAAAAAAUACCUAAAACGCGAUGUUGUAUGCUGAUUAUAAUUUUUACUUAAUACUUCAGUGCGGGUGAUAAAUAGUUGUAUAAAACAAUAUAUUAUAUUAUAUUGUUAUUGUUUCGAACCAUCGUCAGCGAAGAAAGGUAUACGCUGAGAUUUUCGAGAGUUCGUGGUUGUUUUCGGUGGUGGAUACAUGUAUUACGAUUCAAUUGGACGAUAAAUGUCACAUUGAAAAAAAAAUAAAAAAAAAAUACGAUUAUCAUCAAAUAAUAUUAUAUUCACGGACACGUGUUUACCGCGGCAGUUUUAUACAUAUAAAAUAAUAAUUCAGCUACGCGUCUCCGCCGUUCCGCCACCGCACUGCUGUUUGCAGGAAAGUAAUUCCAUUUGUACUGCAUAUAGUAUAGGUAUAUACACGUGCAAACUACGAAUGAUUUCCUUAAGUGCUUUUAUAGGUGUUCAGGAAAACCGAAAAUUAAUUUAUUUUAUCAACGUGCGAAAUAAUGCAGUUUGCUGUGCCUGUAUAGUUUCUCUAUAUAUUAUGUACAUGCAAUAUUAUUUACAUUAUACCUAUAGGCAUAUACACAAAAGCUCUCAAUUUUCCACCCGUUUUUGAAUUUCCUCCUCGUCCAUUUACGCGUACGUCUUCCGGCAGCGUUGGCAAGCACGUCUAUUAUUCCGUUACUGCAUUUUCCGCUGUCAUUACCGCCGGCCGCCUCUGUCCGCGAAAUGUUUUAUGUUUUCCGCUCGGAUAACGUAGUGAUUUUUCAUGUGUCAGUACCUUGGUUCUAGGUUUCUCGGAGUAGUAUCAGGUUCUGACCAAAAGGUGGGUUAAGCUGUCCCUGUACCUUAUCUAAACUCGUGGCGGCUUUUCGUUGACUAGGCAGUAAAGUACAGGAAUUAGGUUUACACUUGGGACUGUAUUUGAUUUUCUUGGAGCAUUAUUACGUUUUUAAGCAGGUAUAUAAUGUGUUAUGUUUUUACGUUUUGUAAAACUUCAUAAAACUCUUAAAACCAGCUCUGUUAUGUUUCGGUUUGAGCCAAACUGAGAUAAGAACUGUAAUUUGUACGUGGGCCGAUAAAUCAAUAAUAAUAAUGAUAAAAAAAUCUCUAUACUUAUUCGUUAUAUCAGCUCAAAUUACGGUCUGACGAAUAGAUUUGGCGAUGUGUAGUACUUUAACUGCUGUACGGGUGAUGUAUAAUACUAUCAUUGUCAGGUAUCACUUAACAUUGUUAUAAUUUUAUAUAUUUUAUUAUACAAUAUUAUUCAUGGCGUAAAUAAAAUAUAUUACAUAUAGGUUAUAAAUUAUAACCUACAAUAUAAUAUAUUAUAAUUUAUAAUCAAGCAAAUUUGCCCAUGUUAUAACGUUAUUACUAUAUGGCUACUAAGCAGAGGCAGAUCCAAGAUAACACGGAGGAAAUGUUUGAAAAUUCAUAUAAGGCACAUAUUUAUUAUGAAAAUCAAGCUAAAACUGGUAGUAUGGGGUCGUCCUUGUCACACCCCCAUCUUGAUCCAUUACUGCUUUCGUGCUUAAGGUAUACCCUCAAAUUAUAGAGUCGAUUAUGUAUCUCUAAUAUUAUAGUUUUAUAAAUCGUGGGCACAAUAAUUCGCAUAAUAAAAACUAUGCCUCUAAUCAUAACGAUAAUUUAAAUGAUCACCCAAUAUUAAAGUAUCGGUAAGUACAAAGAAUAUUUUAAAUAUUUAUUUUGUAUAAUAUCAAUAACGAUGAUGAACGAUGAUGAUUUUUAAUAAUAAUUAAUAUUACAAAUCAAACAUUUGAUAACCAUUAUUGUUAUUGUUAUAAUAAUGUAUUUUGACGAUUGACAAUGCAUAUCAUUAUUCGAACCUAAAAUAAAUACCGUAUAUUUCGGCUAGACACGUGGGCCGUUUUUUUCAUAUAAUUAAUACAAAUAUAAUAAUAUUAUUACUAUAUGUAGUCAGUGACGGAUCCAGAGUUGAAUUUUAGGAAGCCUCUUGAAAAAAAUUAAUACUAAGAAAAUAAAAAGAGGUGACACUGAGGAUGGGUGCAGCUACUGUUGUAUGUAAGAAAUUGGGAUUCAAGUACAUGUAGGAAUCAAGAUCGUUAAUUUAUAUCUGUAAGCAGCGAUUAACAAUUAUGAACUCAUUUUUUGAUCGGAGUAGAAAACUCGUUCACAGACAGAAAAAUAAAAAUAAAAAUACAUCAUAGUACAAUCAAUAUAUUCAACGGUCCGCUCCACUUUUAUUCUUUAAAAAUCUUGUUAUUAUAUAUGUAUUAAACAAUUAAUUAUUUGUGGAAUUAAAAACUUGUGUAUUGACUGGGAGGCGAAGCUCCUAGGCCGGUUUCUGAAUCCGCCACUGUAUGUAAUAAACAACCGAAUGAAAGUAUUAUCAUUAUAGUUUAAUUUACGGUAUUUUAAUAUUUUGUAUCUACACACAAACACACACACACAUAUCUAUAUAUACAGGGUGUCCCACGAGGAUACGACAAAUGCAAAAACUUUUGUUCUAUUCAAUAUUUUUGAUGUAUAUUUUUUUAAAUAAUUAGUAUGCCUCAGCGCUACAGUUUAUAAAUCAACGUUUUUUUUUUUUUUUUAGAAGGAGGGGAACUUAAAAUUAAACAAUUUUUUUUAGGUACUAUCUAUAAUUUAAAAAAAAAAUUAAAUAUAGCCAAUUUGUAAAACAAAUUUUUAGAAAAUUUUUGGUGGUUGCAACUUUUGUUAAAGUAUGGUAUUACGUUUUAUACAAUAUUUUGAAGUUUUUUCAAAUGUGAAUAUUACAAUAUUUAAUCAGUCAGGGCACAUGUCAAAAAUUUUCUUUUCUAUGAGUUAAUAUCAUACAAUAAUAUUAUCAUAUUAUAGGUAUUAGGUAAUAUCAAUAAAUUAAUAAUGGUAAUUUAUGUUGAAAAACAAUAUUGUCACGAUUGAAAAGAAUUAGAAUUUGAAUAAUUAUUCAAAUCUUCAAAAAAAUCGUAGAAAAUGAUAGACCAAUGGUCUUAGAUCAUACUUUAAUACAAGUUUCAACCACCAACAUUUUUCUAAAAAUCUAUUUUACAAAAUGACCAUUUUGAAUAUUUAAAAAAAAUUAUAGUAGAAUUUUAAAUUUUUUAUUUUAAGUCCCCCUAACAUAAAAAAAAAAAAAAAAAUGUUCACAUAUAAACUAUAGCACAUAGGCAUAUUAAUUAUUUAAAAAUUAUAUAUAUAUAUAUAUCAAAAAUAUUGAAUAGAACAAAAGUUAUUGCAUUUGUCGAAUCCUCAAAGGACACUCUGUAUAAAUAUAUAUAUAUAUAUACACCAUAUGCAUAACUACCUACUCAUAUAAGAGGAUUAUAAAUAAUUCUAUUUUUUAAAGUUAUGUUAAUAAUAACUAAAAACAAUAACAUUUUGCCGUUGUUAUUAUACGAACUUUAAGUACGUACUUAUUGAUGCAUAAUAAUCGCACUAUAUUAUGAUCCAAGUGAUAGGUAUAAUGAUAAAUAUUUUAGCAGUCGUAUACAAUACACAUAUAUAUAUAUGUAAAGUGGUACAUGUAUACAUCAUCGUUCAAAAUGUCGGGGAUUAUAAAGAUUAUGUUAUUUAGACUGAAAAAGAAAAAAAAACACAAAACAGCGAUAUUAAUAUUAUAUAUAUAGUAUUAUUAUUAUUUUUUGUUUGACUGCCAAAAAGUCAAAGGCAAUAAUGAAUGAAAAACAAACCAUAAGACGACGUACCCGUAUAUAAUAUUAUAUUAAAAUUCAAAGUAAAUGAAAUACGAGAAACCGCUUUAGCCGAAAAGGUUUUCGCAGGGUGAAUCAUAAAUAUUAUUACUGCAGUCGGUGUUCUUAAAUAAAAUAAAAUAAAAUAAUAAUGUUUUCUUAGACAAAAAUCUGUGAAACCGAUAAAAAAAAAACACACACACACACACACACACACACACACAUAUAUACCAACAAAUUGUACUUUUGUUUGUCUCCAUAAAAAAAAAAUCGAUAAAGAUUAUUAUUUUAAAGGCAACGAUACAAUAAUGAUAAUAACAGCAACAACGAAAUAAUCAAUAGUGAAUUUCAUAAUAUUCAGGCUAAGUAGACUGAUGUUUUAAUGAGUUUGUGCGCGUUGUCAACUCGAUACCGGAUAUUUUGUUUAUUGAAAAAAAAAAAAAUCGAAAAAUAAUUUAUAAUAAUUGCUGAUUACAAUAAUAAUUUAUCUUAUAUAGUAAUAGUAAAUGGCUUUUAAAUUAAUAUUUAAACGCCUUGGUUAUAAUAAAAGUGACAAGUUUUAAAAAUAUCACUAAGGAGGAGUGGGGAAUUCAGUGAUAGAUUUAUAUAGGUAGAAGACUCACUGGCUGGUAAAUGGAGAUUGAAAGUAUUGUAAUAUUUCCGAAUGGUUGCUUUAAAUUUUUAGAUUUCAUGCGAAACUAUGUGAUAUGUUCUUUUUGUUUGUGAACUCAAUUUGGUAUUAUUUAAAACUAGAUAGUGAUAAAACUAAAAAAGGGCUGAUGAAAAUAUAAAUACUUCAUACUCGGAAACUAUUGUAACAAUUUAUGGACGUUGGGUCAAAGAAAUAAAAUGCAGUAAUCUGCAGGCAGGGUGUGCAUUUCAAAGGAAAAAGUGCCUAUAUUUAAUUCUAGAAAAAUAUAAAAUAAGGAAAAACCUACUAAGAAUUUAUGUUUAGAGCGUAGUACUUUAUAGGUGUGAGUCAUGGAAAAUAAGAAAGACUGAAGAAAAAGAAACUGGCAUUCGAGACGUUUUGUUAUCGGAUAAUUCUUAAAAUAAGUUGAAUAGAUUGAAUAAUAAAUGAAAAUGUUUAUCGUAAAGCAGUAAAGGAAUUAAUUUUCAUUAAAACCCUGAUCAUUAGACGAACUAAACCAGUUGAACAUAGUACACUUUGUUACAUUAAUCUAUUAGGAAAUAUAUUAGAAGGAUUAAUAGAAGGAAAAAUAGUCAGGCAAGGCAACCACUUGAUUAAAGAAGCCAAGUAGUUAUGGAUAUAUGUUUCGAAACAUACCAUGAAUUAAAAAGAAAUGCGUAAAGAAUGAAAAAUGUAUGCCAACCAUAACACAGUCAUUGGGCUGUAAACGCAAGAUGUGAAGAAACUGUAAGUUAUUAACCGGAAAACUUUUGUUCCAAACGUCGAAAUAAUUUAUACAUUCCAAUGUAUGUACACUUGCUUGAUAAAAGACAAUAUAUGUUAAUGGAAUCAAUAUUUCCUUAACAUUUUACGCAUUCAUACUUUAAACUAAAAGUUACAUCCGAUGAGUAAUCAGUAACAGUUACAUCAGCAGUAAUAGCUUUUUUUUCUUUUAUAAACUAAGUUUUAAUCAAAAGACUUUAUCCAGUCAUAUAUUUUGGAGGAAGUUUCUACAAAACAAAAUGUGGUUUAGCGAUACAUUAAAUAUAUCAUUUUUUGAUAUAAUUUGUACUUUUUUAAAUAAUCUAAGAAAACCAGAUAGAAAAAUCGCCGAAAAAACAGCGAACAGAAGUGGUGUUACACUUGAGCAAAGGUGAGCAAGUGCCAACACAACAUUUUAUUUUGCCUCUCCAUUACCGAUACUUUCCUGGAAAUAUGUUACGACAAUAUCAACGGGGAAGCAAGUAACCAAAUAUGAAAGCACUAUCAGAAAACAAUUUUGCCGGUUUUGCCCCCUCCCCUCCCACUUGAUACAAAAAUUAUGGCACCACUACUAACAGCGAAUCAUCAAGCAAUAAUAACUAUUUCUCUUAAAAAUUUUGUUUUUUUUUUCAUAAUAUUGUGAUAAACAGUCGUAGAUAUUUAGCCAUUUUACCGAAUACCUAUACUUAUAAUUGUAAUCAUUUUCUAGAUGCGUGAUAAUAUUUUAAAAUAUUUUAAGUUAUUUAUAGUUAUUUAAAAUUGGUUUGGCUUUAUAUAAAUUCCCGAAAAUUUAUCAUAAAUUGUACUUACUGGUAGGGAAAAAAGUUUAGUUUAUAAAUUGAGUUAUUUCUAUUUUUAAAAGAAUAAUCACGUUAGUAACUUUUCUAUCAUGAGCUGUUGCGUCGCGAGUUGUAUGCAAUUUCGUCCAUUGUGAGAACGAAAUCUCGUACCAUUUUAAAGCUAACAUUUCACCGCCUACACUACUAGAUAUUUUUAUAAGAGAAGAUAUUGUGGUGCUCUAGACGUAGUCGUAGUCAUAACACCUCCUCGGGAGAAUGGGAGAAUAAGUCUAUCAUCAUAUUCGACAGUUGCAGUGAAUCCAAUUGGUCUCUCUUGGUUCACUAGUUCACAAGAGGCCAUUAGAGUUCAAACCUUCAUAUGUCAUCACACUUCUAAACCUACACCACAAAUAAAUUACUUACGAUUAAUAAUUAUAACAAAAAAAAAAAAACCUAAAAAAGGUUUGCGAAAAUAAAAAAAGACUAUUACAAAAACAUUAUUAUAUUCAAUAAUAAUUGUACAUUUAUAGAAUGGCACCUAACAGUAAAAUUAUCGUCCGAAAUGCAAACCGAAAUCGAUUUGCAGGACCACCCGCAAACAUUUUAGUGAAAAAUAAAGUGACCGGUGACCCACAUCGUUUCAGUGUACCUAUAGAAUUCUUUUUUAAAUUACAUAGGUUUUAUUCUCUUUCAUUUUUGCUAAAAUAUUUUAACGAGUUGUUUUGGAAAACAAAAAAAAUUAGGGUAGGGGUGACGUGAGAAAAGAAAAAUAGGGUUUAGAGGCACUUGUAUAGAUAAUUUAUUGGGGAGGGGUGUUGAAAGUUAAAAAUAAUAAUGAAUAUUGUGUUUGUAAAACCCACCGUAUAUUUCCUCCCCUCUCUUUUACCUAUGGCUCUAAUAGGAGUUAAAUAUAAUUUUUAAAUAAUUUUUGAAAUCCUAAGUACCUAUAAUAUUCUCGAUAUCAUACAUGUUUUCUCUGGAAGCAUUCGUCUAUACAUUUUUAAGAUUAUUAUACAUCUAACGUUAUUUUACUUUGUAUGAUCCGUCUAUACAGAAAAAAAUGGUAAUACAGUAGUGACGUAUAAGUGUAUGCUAUUAUUUUUGUUUUAUAUUCAGCACCUAUCUGUUAACUCAAUGCUUCUACUUGAUUUCAGUGUUUCCACGUCACCUCUAUGUGAUCAUUUAGUAAUAAUAUUAUAAUAUCAUUUUAUUAAUCAUUGUUUUCGCUUUAAUGUCUUUAGAGCCUUUAUAGACCGAGCUACUAUCAUUCAUGUUAGAAAUAUUGCAAUAUUAGCUAUAAUAUAUCUAGAAUUUAUCUUAUGUAUCAAAUAUUUGGAGAAAUUCAUAAUGCCAUACAUACUAAUAGUGUUGUGACAGGAAGCCAAUAUUUUUGGACCAGAUUAACAUUUUUAGAUUUUUCAUAGCCAGAGUGCGUCCGCUAUCUUGCCGAAAAAUUAUAAAAAAUCACCGGAGUGUGUCCAGAAUCUUAUCGACAAAUUAUAUAGAACCACCCGAGUGCGUCCAGAAUCUUAUUGACAAAUUCUUUAUUUUAUACACACCACCCAAAUAUUUAUACAGUUUAAAAAUAUUUAAAAACGUUCAACGACCACUAAAACAGCAAGAAAAUAAAAAGUUGAUUUUACAUUAAAAAAAUUGCAUUCGAAGAAUGCAAUCGAAGAAAAUACUAACGAAUUUCGAACUAAUGAAAUAUCUAGAUUGUAUUUUGUCAAAGAAAUAUAAUUACCAGAUUUUAGUACUGUAAAAAAAACAUGGUACUAAUUAUAAUAGUAUAAAAUGUCAUUAUUUAACGUAAAAUUAGUACACUAGCUUUAACUUUAUGGAUCUUAUAAAGAUGUAUACAAAUAUAAAAAUUAAAAAUCAUUUUCGGUAUCCUGGCUAGUUCUCGAGGUGAAUCAUACGUAACUCUAAAUAAACUGAUAUGCAUUUGGGCUACGUUAAAAAAAAAAAUGAUUUUUUUUUUUUUUUUUUUUGGAUGCAAUCGAGUGAUCUCAUAUUUCAGACGCACUCGGGACAUCGAAAAAGGAUCAUUUCGACACACUAGGGCAACUCCGAUAUUUUUAUCUAGAUAAAGACAAACAUAACGGGUAAAAAAUUACAUAAAAGGUAAUUUUCAAUUAUCUAGAAACACAUGAAAAAAGAAGGAUACCUAAAUAAAUUAGAAUCUAAAUAUAUUAAAUAUUCAAAAUAGUGUAAGUUUUAUAAGCCUGUCUACUAUUAUUAUUUUUUUAUUAGAAAUGUAUGCGCUAUAAAACCCAUUAUUGUGACGUAUUUUUAAAAUACCUGCAAUGUGCGGGCGUCAUCCAUGAAGAAGUAAUAUAAAGCGGGUACAUAAGUUUGAUUAAACUAUAACAAUAUGAUAUUUAAAUAUUUGACAAUAAUAUUAAAAAAAAAAAAUAAAAGAAGAUAUCUGAUCUCUGCUUUACAGAAUAUUUCCCUGAAUCUAUAAAGAGGAUUGCCUGGAAUAGUGGAAGCAGUUUUCAUUUUUGGAUCUUAGUGAAAAAUUUUGUUUUGAAAAUGAUAAAUUGACGGACUGAUAUUUUGACUGUAGAUUUUUCAGAUGCACAAACCCUGCAAAAAUCAGGGAGUAAUCCAGCGGCGUAACUAGAACGUGGCAAAAUAUUAUAUAAAGGCCGAUAAGGAAAAACAAUUUCCAAUAAUGCCUUGGGCUUUGAACUGGGGUCCCUAAAUAUCAUGGGCCCGUGGCUCAUUGCCCGUCAUGCCAUUCUAUCGCUACGGCAUUGGAGUAAACGCCUAGUCCAUAUUAUGACUGGGUAGUGGGGAAUAGAGGUAUGGUCUAUAAUAUACUAUGAAUACUAAUACUAAUUUCGUUAAUUUUUUGACAAAAUAAGUUUGGGAAGUUGUAAAUUAUUUCUUGAACGUGUACGCAGUAUAUUUUUAUUCAUAAUACAAGUACGGCGACGAUGGUGACGGCGCAAUAUUUAACGUUUAAUUUUAUCACGGGCGAAACGAUAAUAAUUUAUCUGGGGCCAUUUGUCAAAACGUAAUAAAGGCCCCGAUUGCAGCUUUUGCACACUGGUAGUAUAUUAAACGUCACAUUUUCUUGACUCUAAUUAAAGUCUGCUAUAUGAACACAUAUACUCGAUUUGACAUAAAAAAAAAAAAUAAUAAUAAUAACAAUCCGCGAUUUGUAAAAAGUAAACAUUAAAAAAAAAAAAAAAAAAAUUUAAAAGACUGGAGCACAUUGGAAAUAAUGUUAUGCCAUUAAACCGUCGGUUAUUAUUGUUGUUACUGCGUUGUUAUUAAUCUCGUUUGCAGUAGUGGCUAUAAUAUUAUAAAUUAUGCUGCUGGCAUCUAGCAAGGCAUCUAGCUGUUGCUCUCUCGUCCGCCAUUAUUAUAACUAUUAUUAUCAUUCGAAAUCCGAGGAUUCACUUUACGUUUGUUUAUAUUAUAUUAUUAUCGCCGUCGUCGUCGUAAUAAUAAUAUUCAAAAACAGUACCGAAUACUUCGAAUUUUCGAUUGAAAUUUCAAACGCGAGUUGGGCUGCCCGAGUUAAUGAAUAAUAAUAGAUACAUAGUAUUUAUACAGUAAAGUUAAAUAAUUGAAAAUUAAAAAUGUAUUUUUGAAAAUGCAGUUUAUUAAUUUAUUUAUAUAUAUAUAUAUAUAUAUAUAUAUAUACAUUUUUAUUUUAUUUCUGGGUGGGGGUUGCAUAAGAGAAUGCAUUGCAUUAUUGUUAUUUGUGUUUUUGCAUAUAUACAUUCGAUUUUCGGCAGUCUGUUUUUGAAUCAAAAGCGUGCGUUUUUUAUUAUUAAUAUAAUAUUACAUAUUUAUAUGAUAUAACUAUUAAGGAUAGGAAAUGCUCAAAAUGCGGGUGACGUAUCGCAAUCUAUCAUAAAGAUAGGACCAAGACGUUUGUUUAAAUAGAACGAUUGAAAAUCGCUAAUGAUGAUUGAUAAAGAUUACUAAUUAAAAUCUGUACGAAUAAAUUUCAUGAAAACUAAAAUAUCUUAAGAUAAUAUUUUUGAAUUACUUAAAUUUGAAUUAUUAAUUCACAAAAUAUAUAAAUAUGCACUUCAAUUAUCAAAAUUAACAAAAAAUGAAAAAACUAACAAAAAAUGCUAUAUAAAAAUUUCAUAUUUUAAUUAUUAUCCGUUACACGAAUUAAAUUAUUUACUUGGAAAGUAUUAUUUUAUCUUACCCCCCGUUACUCUCAAAAUAUUGGCUUCAAAGUCUAAUUGUGUGUAUGAAAACGGUCGAAUAAAUCGAUUCCCGAUCACUACAACGUUUACGUGAAACAUUGUAAAAUGGCAAAAAAUUGAAUAUUUUAUGAAAAUAUUAUAUUUUACGUCAACUCGAAACGUUUCGUGAACACACUUUUUAUUCGUCAUUUGUGUUAUAAAACAUACCUAAAAUAUAUUGCGAUUUUAAAACGGACCUAUGUGUUCUUUUUAUUAUUAUUUCUUUUUUUUGACAGCAAUUCUCUACAGAGAACGCAUAUGCAUUAUAAGAGUAUAUUUUUUAUGUAUAGACGACCUAUAUAGCAGGUGUAUUCAGGCCCUCCCACGAUCCCGUUGGAUUUUCGUAUUGAUACUUAAAAAUAAUAAGACAGGUAUAAAGAUAUUUUUAAGUUAGACAUUUGAAUAUAUGUGCCAUAGUUUGGCGGAAAAGACUGAACAUUGACGAGUUAAACAUUUAGAAGUUUGACAAUUUUUAUCCUUUAAUUUGAGCACUCAUAGGUGUAGCUUCAUAAUGAGAAAGCAAAACAAAAAUAAUCUCAAAAUGUAUCCUAAAUAAAGGAGUAAUGGGGAGGAGCUAGUGCAACGUCUUAUCCCUCCAUGCGCUUUUAGGGUUGCACAUAUCUCAGUUAAGACCAAUUUACAAAUACUUACAAAUGAACAUUUUUAAUAUACAAUAAUUCCCGUUCGAUUUGGUUGAUAUGGGGAGGGGACCAACUAUCAAACGUAAUUUCUACAGUUUUAUCUGUCUUUCGUUCUUAAAUAUCAUAUUCGUCUAUGAGAAUAGCAGUGACUCUUCCUUUUAAAUAGUUAUCGUCUUCUCGGGCAAUAAAUCUGUAGGAAAUCCUUAUCAUUAAAGUAUUAAUUACAAUUUAAAACAACAUUUGAGACAGUUUGUAAAACUGUCAUCAAUCCAAUUAACAUGAAACACAAUGACUUUAUUAUAGUAAUAACAUAAAACAAUUUUAUUUUUAAGGUGUUAAAUUUGUGUGAUUAACUUGAUUUAACGGAGUUAAUAUAUUAUUCACCGACCUAACGUUCGUACUACAUUUCGGUACGGUAAUCUUCCUAGAUAUCCUUCUGCACCGAAGACCGAACUGAUUAUUUCUGCACCUCCUCUUCACUUCCUCAAACGAUAAAUCGAUACAUUUUUAAUUGUCUUUUAUUCAGUUGGCGGUGACGGCGUUGAUUAAUCCUAACCGUAUUAAAUCCUUGUCGUCGGGUCCCGGAUAUUAACGGGUGGAGCCGCAGGCGCGGUGUGGUCGUUAUAAUGCCCAUUCCCCGGAUCCGAUAUAUUAUAUUAUUAUGUACAGGACACUUUAGUCCAAACUAUACCGUCUUUUCCUACAGAGGUCCCGGUGUCGUACACUGAUCUGCAAAAGGAAGAGGUUAUCCGGCGCGUGUACCUACCUUAGUUGGGAUAUUAUUGCAGGAAAUCUCUCCCGUUCACCAAUUUUCUCACGAAGGCGAUACGGUGUUCUCGACAUGUUAGAAAUAUUGUUUUUUAAGAUGAUACGCCACUUCGGAGGGCGAAUAUAGUAUUUUGGUUAAUAUAUUUUGACCACGUGUGAGGUAAUUCAAAGUAUAAUACACAUAUAGUUAGUGAUACGGAAAAUUAAUUAAAAAUCGAUAGUAUCUAUACGAAUGUUUACCUUAAGGUGCAAAAGUGUGCCUAUUUUUUUUAUAAGUUCUAUAAUAAUAAACGGUGUGAAAUUAAACAUACUCAUAGCCAUGUCAAAUUUUAAUUCUUAAAGUGUUAUCAUUAAGGUAGCUGUUUAAAUCCAAACAAAUAGUUUACACAUUUUAUUCAAUUGAAAAAAAAAAAUAAAAAUUACAAUCGAUUUUGUCGUUGUACAUUUUCCAAGUUAGAAACUAUUAAACCAUCUAAUACAUUUUCUGAGAAACUUCAUACAAAUCCGUUCGUGCUCUGAGUGCAAAGACGCGUUUAAAAAUGAUAAAAUAAACACAAUGUAAUAUUUAUAAAAUGAUUCGAAAAUCGAAAAUAAUUAAGUAUUUGGUUGUUUUUCGACGAUUUGGGAUAAAAUCUUUCGGAGGGAUAUUUCGGAAAAUGCUCUCUCGAUUGAAAGUACUAAACGGUAUCUAUACUGUAUAGCUAUAACAGCUGUAUCACAAUAACGUUUGUUUACUUUAGUUUAGCUAGCGUGUCUUUACCACGAUACAUAAACGAGGACGAAAAAUAAAAUCAAUUAUUGUUUUCGGUGAUGAGGGAAUCCGGAAAAACGUUUGACGACACGACAAAAUGAUAGUGAACCAUGACGACUGAGAAACCGGAGACGGCUGUGCGUCUCUGGGGACCCGUAGGCUGACGGGUAUACACACAUCGUUAUUAUCGUGCCGGUCGACCCUUUUUCCCUUCACCUCUGCACCGUCGUUGCAUUGGCACCUAAAAAUACCGACGACGCACGCGAACACUUGUUGCGAUCUGAGGGUAUAAAAUAAUAUUAUGUUCUAUCGUCGGUAUAACGUCUCUUCUCCGUCUUCUUCCUUUUUGCCAUCAUCCUGUAUAGGUCAAGCCGGGACAGCUAUACUCACCCCUAUACUCUCACCCUUCACAUCACAUCUUUCUCUAUAAUAUAUCCAUCCUUAUUGCUUCGUCUACUCCGUGUAUCCUCAUAUUAUGUCUCACCAUAAUGGUGUCAGAUGUGGUGACUAGCUGUCGUCAGGGGAAAAUGUUGUCAAAAGAUAAUAUUAUUCGAUGUCGAUUUAUUUUGUGGAAAUACAGCAAAACGAUCGUAGGUCAUCCGAAUUCAUUUCUAGGUUUUUUUUUUUUAUUUCUGUGAGUGUGUAUGUGUGUGUUUUUUUUUAUCAAUGAAAGAGAUAUAAUCGCACUGACUGCAGUGAACCGGUGACUUUUUACCAGUGAACCUGGUAUUAUUAUUAUUUUAGAUUUUGAGCGAAGCGAAGCGAAGAAGGUUAUGGUUUUAAAAAAUGUAUGUAUAUUUUUUUUUCUAUGGACAACAUUUCUACCAGAGAACUUGCUCCAAUUUUUAGGUGUAGCACUUUUGCUGAAAGGAAAUCGGUAAGGAGGAGGUAUUUUAGGGAGAUAAUUUUUCGAUUUCUUAAGAGUUUUCUCAUCAAAUGCGAAAAAUCGAAAAAAAAAUGGAAAGCUUAUUAUAGCUAAAAAUAAUAUGGCCUUCUUUUUUCUUGUGGAUAACUUUUCUACUAGCAAUUUUGCUACAAAUUUUAAUGAUAGUAAUUUUUCUAAAAGGAAAUUUCACUAGGGAAGUACUUUUGAAAGGUCGUUUUUCGAUUUUCUCGGGAGUUUUCUCAGAGAAUAUGAAAAACUGGGAAAAAACAUGGGAAAACCGGAUAAAACGUAAGAAAACCAAGGCAAUCGGUACAGAAUUAAACAAAUAUUAUUAAAGAAAAUAUUUAACUCCUAUUUAAUUAAUUUACUAUAAUAUGGCGUAUAUAUGUUGUUGACUAAGCAUCAUUAUCAACUGAAUUCCACUCAAAAUUGUUUUUCUCGUAAGCAAUAGUUUAUUGUUGCUUACAGGUAUACAUUAAAUUACCUAUAACAGUGGCUGCCCCCGUCUCUAUUAUCCAGUUAAGACUUUUUUUUUUUGUUUUAUUACGCUACGAUUGUCGUGUUAUAGACAGUCCCUGUAUACUGAACAUAACGUUUUCAGUAUUUAGGUGUAAUUCUACUAUAAAUUCCAUUAUUUCAGUCUAUUUCUGAAUAAUUGUUGCAAUAAUUCGUUGCAAUUUCACUAUUUUCUAAGUUUAAAUUACAGAGAAAACAUCUGGACGUCGAAAGUGCAGUAGUUAAAUCGAUAUAGUAUCCUCGGCUUUCCUCGAAACUUGCGAAACUCAUAAUCCAACUUCACUGGCAAUUUGUUCUUGAAAUUAAACAUAAAUACAUACCUAAAGUUGGUUGUUGUGUUUAAAUUGCUUUUUUUUUUAAUAUGAUAGCGACGACGAUUGUGGCGAAAUAGAAGGAGGAUGAGGUUUUCCCCAGAGUCGUUGAUCCGACUAAAUGAUUUUGCCACUAGACGGUAGCCGAGAAAAAUACGAGGAAAUCGUGUACAAAAUAUUAGGAAAAAAAAUUACACUGCAUUAUUAUUCUAUAUUGUCACUUUCUACUAUACAUGGCACUCGAAUUCGAUUCGCUUUUUGAAUUAAGAUCAAUUUACGAUAUUAUAUUUAAGAGAAUACCGUACAAUUAUCGUGUUGUGAUCAUUGUACAAUUUCUUUGAAUAUAAUAUUUUAUAGAGCUUCAUUUAUAAACAAGAAAAUGUAUGAUUUAUAAAACUUUGUAUUUGAAAAAUCCGUGUAUACAUGCAAUUAUUUACGUUUAAAAUGUUAGUACAUUCACGUAUUACGUAUUCUAUACCCACGUUAUUUCUCACGUAUUUUCACGUAUUUACAUGAAUAACAGUGAACACGAAAUUAUUUAUAUAAAAUUCAACUUUUGUGUGUUCGGAAAUCUAAAAUCGGUAUAAUAUUACGCGUAACGAUUUUGUUAUAAUGUCAUAGUUUUUCGUUUUACCCCGGGUCCCACUGUUAUGACGGCAUUAUGCAUAUAGCCGCGGUGCCGUAUCGAUUAUAUUAAAACACAUAAUAAUAUUUCAAAAAUGCGUGCGAUUUCAGUUCCGGUCCCAAACGGCUUUUUGAUUUAUUCUAUAUAGGUAUAAUGUGUGGUAGAGAACAUUUUAAUAUUAUUAUAGUUAGGUAUAUAAACUAAUAAUAAACUACGGUUUCCUUUUUCGAUUUGUAUAUUAUUUAUUUAUUGAUUUGCGACCAUUCGAGUUAAUGUUUUUUUUUAUUAUUAUUAUUUUUUUAAACAUAUUUUCGUUUUUGGUAAUCCGUGGAUCGAACCAUUUCCUCUCCCAUUUACCCUUCAUUCGGCUUAUAUAUUUUUAUAAUAAUAAUUGCCUUUGGGUAAAAUAUUAUAGAGUAUUAUAGAGGGUAGAGACUUAAGAUACGAAUGGAUUAUCGCUUUCAUCAACGUUUCACGGAGCGCACAAUUUUGCAACAACACUGUUUUAAAUGUACUACGCGUAUACAAGUAUUAAAUUAUGAUUAUUAUGCCUCCGACCAUCACUAAUCACUAACUAUACUCCUUAGCUGGAAUUGUUCUGCCUUAAAUCACCUUAAAUCAGAAGAAAAGAACCACAGGCAUAAAACGAAUCAAAUAGUUACGGUGAUGAAAAAUAUCCAAUGUUUGAAUAACAAAGAACAAUACUAAAAUCUCCAAAUAGCUUUAUACAUUCAACAAAUCAACUCAAUGUAUAUCCAGACCAAGCAAGACUACGAAGUUCGAAAACUGAAUACAAAAGUACCACCAGAUGACCCCAUUCAAACCAUCCAACAUCUGAAGUUUGGAAUCGCAAGAAAAAAUUAAAAUUCGGUAAAAUGGGAAUUCAUUAUAUAAUAUGUUGUGAAUGUGAAGAUCAUUAAACAGAAUUAAUUACAAAUUUAUAAUUUGAAUCUGACACAAUUCAUCAACGAUGACUUAGCAUAGACAAAUAAAAACGCUAUUUAUAUAGCUUGGUACGCAUAUGCCACAAUAUAUAAUUUGACAAAUUCACUGAUAGUAAGAUUAGGAUAAACUAUACCUUAACACAUUAUCAUUUAUUUUAAUCUGUGGAACCACUAGCAAAUCUAACCACACACGAGGAGAAUAAUAUUACUCGAAUACUUUACGAGAUCGACGAAAAAAUGUAAAAUUAAGCCUGAACCCAUGGCAGCAGCUUUCAGUUAUCAAUAGAAAUCGGUUCCCUAUAGAGUUGGCAACUCAGUUCUUAUUGCAUUAUGUUAUAAGAUCUUUAUAUAUAGCCACGAGCGACACGAGUAUUAUAGUUACAAUAUUACUAUUAAAGAUUUUUUUUUUUUUCAUGAUAUUAUACCUACUUUACAAUCCGCGUCAAAUUAAGCAAAUCGAAUUUUCGAUAACAAUAAUGUUUUAAUUGAGCGUGUCGGAGACGGACGUGGAAUCGAUUACUAGCUUAAUUUAUAAUCUCAACGAGACGCGAUGAGAUUAUUAACAUAUUAUUAUAUUCAAAACCGUGUCUUGGGCCCCACUAACAACGUCUCAAAGGAGUCAAAGGAACGAUCUAUUUUCUCCGUCGCUGCACACGCCAGAACUUCGCUUCUUCUCCUCUACCUUCUACUCCUUUCCUGCAACGUAAUCUCAUUCGAAAUUAAACUACGAGAAAAUUGCGAACCAAACAAUGACGCCCGUCCGCGUUUGCAUUCACUCGAGAUCCCGGCGGCAGAGCAAUGCGUGCGUCUUGUCGAACCUAAUGUUUUUAUAUGGUUUUUUUUUUUUUUAAUUUUUCAUUACUGAUUGUACCUAAUGCCCGAUUUGUUAUUAUUAUAAUAAAAUAAUUGAGUAGGCUCUAUAUGUUUUUUUGAAUAAUAUUUGUUUAAUAUUGUACAAAUGCUCACGGUUUUCCUAUGUUUUUUCUUAGUUUUACACAUUUUCUGAGAAAACUCUUGGAAAAAUCGAAAAAUGACCUCCUUAAAGUACCUUACCAGUCAGAUUUUCUUUCACAAAAAUGUUGAAAAAUUCUCAACAAAAUAUUACAAUUUGUAUAAAUAGCCUUAAAAUGGCUUAAAUGUUUUGAAUAUUUUACCAUGCUUAGAAAAAGUAAAUAUAAAUUUUCUAUUCAAAUUUUAAAUGUUUACGAAUAUUUUUUACUGAAUUACAAGAAAUAACAAAAUUGAAAAAUAAUAUAAGCAUUAUUUUCUUAAAUUUCUAAUCUUUCUACGUUUUAUCCUGGUGUUUCUCAGAUAUUAUGAAAACCACUUAGAAAAUCAGAAAAAUGACCUUUCAAAAGUACCAUAUGGACAACAUUCUCUUUAAGACAUGGUGCCAUGCGUAAAUAUCUUAGUAAGAUUUUUGGUAGAAUUUUCGUACACAGGUUAAAAAAAUAAAAAGGAAAUAUCUUAGUAAAAUCAAUACAUUCUUCGCUACACUCAGAAUCUUAAAAACUACUAAUCACUCUCAACUUUUUUUUCCUACUAAAUGCAACUUAUAAUAAACCUCGUGUUAGAUUUUCAGGCAUUUUUGUUUGGUAAAAUAAUUUUAUCUAAAUAGUACCUAUCAAUGAAAAUUACAUAAAAGAUCUAGAAAAUGUGAAAUGUCUGCAAAUACCUAAUAAAUAUUUUCAGAAUAUUUUAAAAUUCGUGCGUCUAAAAAGGGCAAUAAAGGUUUUGUCAAAAUUUUAAGUCUCUACGGAAAUUUUGAACUGAAUAACCAUAAAAAAAUAAAAUUGAAAAUAAUGAAACCAUUACUUUUGUAAACUCUAUUCUCGUUAUUUCAGUGUUUUAUCCAAUUUUAUUAAAUUAUUAAUAAAAACUACAUAGAAAAUCAAAAAAUUGGUUUUAUUAUUGCACUUACCAGAUCCAAAAAAGAUCUCUGGUCAUUUUUUAAUUAUAGACUAAUUUUUGGUUUGAAGGUAAAAAAAAAAUACACACACAUUAUAGUAAAAUUUAUCUCACACUACACUCAGAAUUUAAAAUAGUUUGAGGAAAUUUUGAUUCUAGUGGCGGUAUUCACGGGCCUUUUUUUUUUAUUUUAAAUAUACGUCACCGUCGUCGGCUGGGGCAUUUUUCGAGUCGUAUUAGACCAAAAAUCAACCAGGUUAAUCGAUUUUUCCGCCUGGGAAAUAUUCUUUACACCCCGUUUAACCACACAUCACUAUAAUAUAAUAACUCCACACUAACCGGAUGAAUGUUAUCCGCCACCUGUAAGGUCCUCUCGAUCAAUAUCGCAUUACGUAGGUAGGCUUCUAUUAUCCGCGUAGGUAUAUUAUACCUAAUAUUUUAACGUAAUCGGCGGUCGGAACAACGCGAACGAGCCUUUGUCCUCGUCGCUGCAGAUUCUUAUAUAUAUAUAUAUAAUGCACGUGCGUACAAUGGAUCUUUUGUAUUAAAAAUAAAAUAAAAUACAAACUCCAAAUCGAAAUCAUUUAUGCCGAUUUGACGUGAGUUGUUGAAAAAUAAUUCAAAAAUAAAAAAAAAAUAGAGCUAUUGCGGCUGAUAAGUGUGCCACUGUUUUAGGUGAAAUAUUAGGAAAGCAAAAUACAUAAAGUCAUUUUAUACAUAUCCGUAUUUAAUGAUAAAUUAUUGUUAACGAAAAACGAUUUGGAACGAAGUUUGGACAAAGAGUUUUUGAACAUGAUUUAAAAUUGAAUUAAAACGCAUACAAAAAACAAACAAAAAAUGCUAAAUUUAUUACGAACACAUUUUUUUUUUUUUACUUCUAAGUACAGUUUAUGAUCAAAAAUUGUUUUAAAUAUUUCUACUUUGCUUAAAUAUCAAACUAAAUAAAAAAUAAAAUAAACUCAAAAGUAUUAGGUAAAUGUUUAUAAAAAAAAUUGUUCAAACUCAGAGAACUCAAAGAUCGUCAUUUUUCAAAUAUCUAAAUUAAAGAUAAAUGAUAUAAAAAAUACAUUAUAUUUCUAGAUUAGGUAUAACACCCAAUAAAAUCGUAAAUUGUUAUAUUAUUUUUUACCAAGUUUGAAAAAAUUAGCGUUUAAUAAUUAAAAAAAUGUGUUAUUUAUGAUGUAUUUUAUAAAUAGUAUAUAUUCUAUUUCGUAUUCGAUUAUACGAAUAUAGUGUAAUCGACGUAUUAAUUUUAUAAUAUUGCACCAGCUAUAAUACAAAAACAAUUUUACCCUGGAAGUUUAAUUUCCAAUUUGAAAGAUAUUCAUAUUAAAGUCAUAAAUAUUAUGAUACAUAAUUUUCAUUUUUUUUUUAACGAGCCUCAAUAGUUGUUGAAAAUCUGCUCGGUUCAGAAUAUGAAUACAAUUAUAACAUGUACAUUGAACAAUAAACCAAUAUAUUUUUAAAAGUUUAUAACUAUACCUAUAUUUUUACAACACGGGUUAUUAUUUUUUAUUGUAUCUGUAUUUUUCAUUUAUAAUACGAUAAAAAAAAAAAAAAAAAAUUGAUAAAGUUUUACUUAUUAUGCUAUACAAACAAGCAGCAUAUCUGAUCAAACGAUAUUAGUUAUUUUGAGAACGAAAAUGACGUCCGAAUUUAUUUUAAUUUAUAACAAUAUCAUCUAAUAAUACGAAAAUACUGAAAAUCAUCGGAAAAUUUAUGGAUAAACAACUAUGGGCAUGAAUGGGUUAAAAAUUAUUUUAAUUUGAAGUUUUUGGCUACCCAAUUUUUAACAUUAUUUAAUUUUUUUUUGUUUUACAUUAAUGAAUUUAUUAUUAUUGAUUUUAAUGAUUUUGUACGGUUUUAAUUUCUUUAAGUUUUAAUACGACAUUGUAUUUUUUGCAAUCUAUAUAUCUAAGUAUCUAAUUGAUUUGAAUACUGUCAUUUGAAAGAUAUAUUAAAAAGAUUUUAGUUUUAUGUUGUAAAUACUAUUUUAAUGGAAAAUGUGAAUAUUAUGGGAAUUCAAAAUAAUAUGUGUAAAGGAACUUCGCUCAGAAACAUACUUCGUUAGCUUUCGUUUAUAUUUACUUAUAGAUAUAAAUUAUUUUCAAAAUAAACCGCAAAACUUUAGGUUUAAUCAUUUCCACUACAUGACAAUAACAAGUGUAAUGUUAUUCUCAUACAACAUGCAUACAAUUAUUUGUAUUUAUAAGAUUAAACGAUUUGGAUAUGGCCGAGUAUUUGGUAUUUAGUAAAAAAAAGUUGCUAAUAAAUACAAGGAUCAUUCUUAAUUCGAAGAUAAAUACAUAAUUCUUCGUAAUCAAUACAUGAUAAUAUAGUUGGAAAAAUAAAAUUAACACGGUGGUCGGCGCGUCUUCGCCGCCGUAGCAUUAACAAAAUUAUUCCUAAAAAAAGGUAGAUUUCAUUGAAGUUUCAUAGACACCAUUCAUCGGUGCCGACGUGUAUGUCUCUUUAUUCAAAAAAUAACGGUUUUUUUUUUGAAGUCUCGAAUGUCUUGCCCUCACGGGAAUCGUUUAAACGAUCACUCUGUCGAGAAUUCUGUUCACAACAAGUACGUCCCACUAACUUCUUUCGAAAAUAUCUAGCUCCUAUUUUUAACUACUAAUCACUUGUAUUCGAUUUCUUUAUAAUAUAAUUAUUUUAUUCAAUUGAACUAUUUGUCAACACAGGUGCAAAGUGUUCAUUAUUUUAAUUAGAUUAUUUUAAUUAAAUUGUGACUGUCAUCCAAUUACUUCAGGAUCACGUGAGGACAUAAAACAAGUAUAUAAAAAUAAACAAUUCAAGUUAAUAAGAUAACUAAAUGUUUAAAUUAACUUUUUAAACUCGUUAAGACAACGAUAAUUUUUAACGCGUGAAGUCACUAACUUUUUUUUCCAAUAAACCCAAGAGAGUUUAUAUUAUUCUUUAAGGCAUAAUGAUAUUUGCCAUGACAUAUUUGUCUUUCUAACGGGCAAUACAGAAAAAAAGUUGGUACUGAGGACGGGCGCAGCCACUAUUGUAGAUGGGAAAUUAGAAAGGUUAGGUUCCGUAUAUUUUGAGUAAUUCCUACGUUAUUUCCUGGUUUUUCGUAACUGUUAGGAAAACUAUACAGGAAAUCAAACAACAAUUUUCGUAUUCACAAACUAGACUACACUUUCUGAAUAUGCUAUUUUUUCCAACUUGUCUCCUAAAACAACGGCAUAUCUAUCGGUAGUAUAGGACAUUAUUAUUUUACUCGUCCAAUGGUUCAUGGUCAUAGACUUUGGUCUUGAAUUAAGUAAGCAUUUCUCCACUAGUGACCACAUAGUCACCCAUCAGUUAUGUCCAAGGUGUCGGUACUACGGGUUCAAAUUCGACACCAGCACGAACCCGUAAAGAUACCACUAAGGUACCGGUUUAUUUGGUUAGAUCUUACUCGACUCGGAAUCCUGCAGGAGCAACAGCAUCUGGUGUAAUAUAAUAUCGUACCGAUUAAAACAAACCAUACAAUAUACUCGUAAUAUAAUACUAUUAGAGAAAUAUGAUUUAGAAAAUGUUAUUUGAUAUAAUGAUAACGACGACGGUUUUAUGUCUUGGGAAUUUAGUUUUUCAGUACAUUGGAUUCCGGGCAUUCGGAGCACCAUAAAAUAUUAGUAUAAUAUGGAGAGAUUACACAGGAUUACGCAUAUAAUAUUGCGAAUAAGGGAAGGAUAAUAAUAUUAUAAUGUGUCAUAGGGUUGUCGUUGAUGAUUUUCGUUUCAGAAUGUCUACUAUCGCCGCCGUUGGUAGUCUAGAAUCUUCUUUGAAACGUGAGAAUAAUCAUUCGGUUGUCCCUGUUCCGGUGAAGCGUAUAUUUGUAUGUUAUUAUUACGGGAUUUAUACUCGUACAUGAAUAUACCGGAUAAUUUUUUUAUCGCUAAACACUCAUUAUCUCGGAAAGUAUUAAUUUUUGUUUGCAAUCUACAAUUUAAAAUUUAAAUUAUCUUUUUUUUAAAUUGUUGCUUUCCGUCUAUCCAUUGGCGAGAUAUUCAGUUUUUAAGUUUGAGUCGGAGGAGAGUAUUGGUGCAUUAUUAAAACGCCGCAUGCCACCACACAAAUGAUGCUCCACUAUUCUCUCCUGACACAAACUUAAAAGUAGAAUAUCUUGUCAAUAGACAAAAAUCAAUAAUUUCAACAAUAAAAUGAAUUUUAACUAAUACCCCAUCUAUUUAAGGCAUUUUUAAUAUAGGUUGAUAUUUGAAAAUCAAAAGUGGGUAGUCGUUUUACCCCCUCAAAAUAAGGGAUAUAAAAAAAAAAAAUGAUAAUGUAACAUUUUAGAAUUAUUAGUUUCUUAAGUUACAAAAAAAAAAAAAAAAAUUAAAAACUGUCAAUACUUUUCGAAAUAACAAGUGUUUAACGAUAAAUUAAUCACCCGGUAUAUAUAUAUAUAAUAUUUUCACAUAUAUCAUGUAAUAUUAUAACAUAGAUUGCGUGAGUAAGUAAAUCGCAAUGGUAAUAAUUACGGGAGUCCCAUCGUUUUCUGUUCCGAAAAGUUGUUAUUGAACAGGUUCGUUUUCGUCGGUACAAAUUUUGUUUUACCUUAGUAUCCCAAGGAAGAAGGUAUUAAUAAAAUUUUAGCAUAUUUUUUUUUCAUAUAUAUAAUUUUAUAUCUUUUUUCCUUUUUAUUUGUAGAUCUAAAUACUCUAAAUUGUAUAAAUGUAUGUAUUUUCGUAUUAGCGUAUUAGGUUAUAUGCAAGUGUAUGCGGUAUUUUCAAAAUUUAAUUUGCUUACACCGAAAACAUAAAUAAAAUAAGUAACUAAGUUAAGUUAAAAUUAAUUGUGAAAACAAAUAAUUAAGUUAUUAGCUAAAUUAUUUUCCAUAAUGGUAUAUAUAUUUUUUUAAAUUAGUAAGGUAGAAGCUAUCAAAAGAGUAAUUAUAACUUAACUUUUAACUUUUUAACUAUAGUGUUAUUAUCCUGUUUUGUGUGUUAUAUAUGAAAUUAUAUUGGAGAAGGUUACAAAAUAUGUACAAUAGUAAAAACGUUUCAAAUAGAAACCUGUUUAAAACACUUCGCUAGCUUGCAGGAUUAUAGCAGUAAUAAUAUACUUACCUGACACUUGUAAAAAUAAAGUAAUAUCCCGUAUCCUCGUGUUUUUGUAGUAAUUAUUUACGCUAUUUUAGGACGAUUUGAGUAGAUUUUCAUCGCUAAUCGUUAAUAUUUUUGUCAUCCUUAUUUUUGGAUAAAAUAGCAAUAUACACUUUCGCUUUUCAAACCGUAACAUAUAUUAAAAAAUUCUCUGAAUAAAAAAAAUUUUAACUUAAAUAAAUGCCAGAACGUAUUCGUAGGUCGAAGAUUAUUAAUCUCGAUUAUUCGUUCACAGGGUGAAAGCAACCUGGUCAAACUCGCUCGGUAAUCAUAUUUGUCGAAACGCGUUUUCAUGUCAUCGACGGACCACGAAACAAUUUAUUACAACCGCAGCCCGAGUGGAAAUGUACACCGUAUUAAUAAUUAUUAUUAUGAAUCCCUUUAAUGGCGGCAACGGUCCUUCCGAGACCACCGCAAAACUUCUUGCCGAGUUGUCUUAGUCAACAAUAAUGAAUCAUUUGUAUUUACUUGGGGAAAUCGUUUUUUCUGUCUAUGAAAAAUUUUUCUUCCAGAAAUCUUGCUCUGAUCAUCAAAUUUUAGAGUGGUUUAUGAAGUCAAAUUUUUUUCAGUUCGUGCAUCGAAGAGGUAUUUUUUUAAAAAUUAUCUUUAUAGUUUUCCAAAUAAUUUGUUAAGUCAGGAACGAAUAUCGGGAAAUUCGGAUAUAUGUACGAAAUGUCGAUUUAUGUUAUUUUAAAUUUUAUUUUCUAUUAUAUUUAAAUUAGAAAUAAAUAUGUAGAUCUGAAAAAUGUCACUAAUUACUCAUAUAAUAAAUAGCUACAUGUAGUACGUUUUUUAACGUUUUAUAAGUAUUUAAUUAUUAUUUGAAUUUUUCAAGUUUUUGCUAUAGUGUUAUGUGGAAAUGUUAUAUUUUAUUUUCAUAGGCGUGUUUUUAUAGUAAUUUUUAUUAGAAUUCGUGAAAAACUCGAAUAAUUGUAAUUUAUUACACAAAUGAACUUUCCUCUGAAUCAUUAUUCUCGAUCGAAAUGACUCAUUAUUACGUAGAGAUAUAAACUAAAUUAACCUAUAAAUACAUGUAUUGCAUGUAUACUGUAUUUAUCUAAUUUUCCCAACUUAUCACCUAAAACAGUAGCCCUUCCACGGUGACAAAUAUGUCGGCUUUUUAAAAACUCAUAUCAUUCUUAAUAGAAAUACAUUUUUCACACGAUAAAACAAACGACAUAUGCACACAAAAUGGAUCUGUCCUGAUUUCCUGAUAACAACAAUAUCCAAAACCGUCUUGCAGACAUGACAAGUGCCAAUCAAAAAAAUGUAUCUCAUAUUAUCCUACCUUCGUAUUUUUGAUGGAAAAUUAGAUAGAAAAAACGUUUUACGACGAGAAAUGUUCAGUUACACAUUUUACGGUAUGUUUGACGCGUCGCUACCGCUCAACGCAACAGUUUUUUUCUGUUAUCGACCCUGGCCACACAAUAUUCGUGUUUAUCUCAGUUUGACCUUCGUUUGAAAGGGCCUGUGUAUACAAGGAGCAAUCAGCUUAUUUUAUCAUUUCUUCGAUUGAUCUUAUUCUUCCUAUAUUAUAACGGCAUUCGGAAAAGUUUUUACUUGUAUUUUUAAAUCAAUAUGCUCUUUUUAUAUAGGUAUUCGCUGUUUAAUUUACACUAAAUAUUUUCCAUUUUUGUUAACGCCGUACUUUCCAAUACUGGAAUUUUUUGACAUGCAUAACUCAAAAAACUAUUUGUUUAUAGUGUCGCUAGAUUCCUUAAUUACCGACAUUGUUUCGGUUGUCCUCACGUUCAUUUGAACUUAGUACUUCUGUAGUAUUUUUUCGACCAUUAUUUUAUUAUAAACACGACGGAACUGUCUUGUUGAAUUUUCUAGAAUUUUGGCGAAUUGCUAUAUAUUUUCUAAUAAUCAGGUUUGUUUCGUUAUUAUAUAGAAAUUACAAAUUAUCUAACAACUAUCAAUGGAUAGUAUGAAUAUUGCCAAAAGUGGCUGAGAGCUGUCUUUUUACGGACGAAAAAAUACUCCUCAAUAUUAUUUAUGAAUAUAUAUAUAUAUAUAUUCAUUUUGACCAAAACAUAAUAAUAUAUUAUCGUCAGUUAUUCAUAGAUAAUAGAUAUAAUACUAUUAAUAUACAGGGUAAUUUAUUAUUCGCGCUCAUUCCAUUUGUAUGGUUAAAUUUAGCAUGUAUUCAAAUUCUGAAUUUUGGUAUUUUUAAAUGUAGUUUAAAUCGGUUUAAAUUUUUGAUUUCCGUUAACCUAUUGAAAAAAAUAUUCAACUUUUAAUUUUAGGUAGAAGAGAGUGUUAAUGGAGUAUUAUUUGUAUGGCAGCAUGGUGCACGACGUAUUAAUAGUGCUCUACUAUUCUCCCUUACCUAAAGUUAAAAGUAGAAUAUCUCGUCAAUGGGUAAUCAAACAUUUUAAAACCAAAAUGUAUUUAAACUAAUAUUCCGUCUAUUUAUGGAAUCUUUAAUACAACUGCUAAUUUGAAAAACCGAAGUUGGUUUUGUCACACGACAUUUCUUAAAUUUUGUGAAAAAUCUAAGUAUUACAAAAUAUCGACUUUAACUACAUUUAAAAAUUCAAAAAGUCAGAAUUUGAAUAUGUACACAAUUUAACCAUACAAAUGAGGUAAGAACAUCUUAUUUAAUAAACCACUCUGUAUACUAACCGGAGUCGAUCGACGCUCUAAUUCUGGAUACUCUCAAAUUGCCUCUCAUAUUCAGGUAGAUGACCUUUUUUCACUUGAAUUGCCUCCGGGUGUUUUCGGAGGCAAUUCGAGUAUUCUCAAACCAUCCAUUCGAAUUGCUUCCCAUAGCGUACCUAAAUUAUUCCCACGUAGCAUUUUGGAUGAUGAUUACAUUUUUAAAAUAUAUUUUAAUCAUCAUAAAGAAAAUAUUUCCCGGAAUAUAUUUUAAAAAUGUGUUGAACAUAUACUGCAUAAAAUAUUAUUUUUAAAUAAUUUACAAAAUGUUUUAAACACGUUUCUUGAAAAUAUGUUUAGAUCAUCAAAAAAUAUAUGUUUUAAUAAUAUUAAUACCCGUAACAAUAAUGAAAUAAUAUAUGCCACCGCAGUGAAUUUCCACAAUAUUAAAAUUGUUAAAUGUAUACAUCACACAUAUUUUUAUCACAUACACACAGUCAUCAUUUGGAUGAUUAUUGGCAGCUAUAUGGAUUUCAUACACGCACACAAAAAUGUCCUUAUAAAUCUUUUUGUUACAUUGUUUUUUUUUAAGGAUAAAGUGAUUUGGACAGAAAGUAUAAACUAAUAAACUAUAUUGUAUUGUGUACUACUCGCGGAUCCUGUAUUAUAAAUAAUAAGAAAUAUUUAAUUAGUCAAUAAUAACGAGUACUUAUGUAUGCAAUUAAGUUCAUGGUUUCUUUACUUAAUUAUAUUUUUGAAGAAAAUAAAAUGGCCACAGCUCCGGCAUCGACCCAGUAUCCCUGGUGUAUAUUAAUUAAUAUAUCGAUAGUUGACGUGUACUAUCGAUUAUUAUAUUGAUUUUCGUAAUGUUCAAAAAUAUUAUUUGUAUUAUUUAUAAUAAAAUAUAAAUAUGUAUAGUAUUUCCUAGACAGAUUAAUUUGUCGAAUGUAAUAAUCUUGUUGAUAACUGAUUAUCAGUAGAUUAGUCGAUUAUUUAAUUAUUUUUUGAUUAGUUUUUAAUACGUAAAAUUUUGAUACAAUACAUAUACCUAUUUGCUUUUUUGACAUCGACUUAUUACCUAAUAUCGUGUACUAAUGUCUAAUAAUAACAUGUGUACCUAAUGUAAUACCUAUGUAUAAUUGUUUUUAAUUUUAAUAAAAUCGAAAGAGGAAUCGAUCCCAAUAAAGGAUGGCUUCUACCUAAGAUAGAAGACAAUUCGAGUUAAUGAAUUUUUUGAAAUCGAAGACAAUUUGAGUAAACUUUUUAAAAAUAAAUUCACGGGAGGAAACUCGUGUUGUCUAUUCAUAACUGGGCAUCGUGUCAUUGACCAGUUACUGACUAACAAAUUCUGUAACCACCACUGUAAUAUAAUAACUAGGUUUUGACAAAAUCUUUUUUUUUUUUAUGGGAUUGAAAUGGCAUAUCACUGAUUAAAUCUAUCACUGGUGUUUAAAUAUUUUACAGUCGGUAUCGCGUCAUGGUGUUCUUGGCCAUUUUCCAGUUAUUUUGUUAUCCGUAACUACAGGGUUAUAGAACGAACUUUUCAUUCACCAAACGUUCACUGCUUACUACUAUCUUUUUCUGACUAGUUAAUGUAGAUACACUUUUGAAAUCGUUACUAAAAGUAUUUUUUUUUCGCACCAGGUUGACACAGAUCAUUUGAUUUCCUAAUAAUAAUUAUACCUACGUUCAGGUAUCGAUUCAAUUUUUACGUUUUCCAAAUCAAACUGGGCGGCGUAACAGUCAUUGGCCAAGUUUCCAAUGGUCUCUCCGAUGUUCUCGCUGCUCUUAGUGGCCAGUAUUAAUUUACAUUUGUCGACUAGAGCUAUCAUGGACUGAUCUAAUAUAAUACAAACAAAUAGAAAACAAAAAAAAAAAAACAAACAUUGAAUUUUACGCGUUUUUUUGGCCAAGAGUAGCACAAUUCGCAUAUGAUGAUAGUAUAUGUAUACGUAUCAGAUUGGUAUGAAUAAAGUAUGAAAAAUUAUACGCCCUAGAGAGAAAAAAAAAACUAUAGGAUUUUUUGACGUAUUCAGAACUCGCAGAGGGGUGCGUCGCGUAUAUGCUCCGCGAUACAAAUAUUUUUAUUUCUCCUCGUCCCUGCGAUUAAUCUCUUAAUGGAUAUACCGUGUACUCAGUAGGGAGGAGAGGGUGAGGGGAAUAAAAGUAUCCCUCGUAUAAAUAUUAUCCUGUGACGACAACACGAGACAACACCGUUGUGACGUUAGACUUUCUAUAGGGGAAAUGGUUACGCUAGAUUGAAACCAUGCCGAUGACAAUCAUUGCAACCCGACCCCAUAUCUGACCUUUAAGGUAUCAACCAAUCCAACAGGAUCGACUACUCAACGAUUUUCUAUAGACCAAAUUCGUUUUUGAAGCUUAACUACAAGUAUAUUUUUCCGACAUACUUGAUGUACUUGGCGGUCACGUGUAAGAUCGGCACUUUCUUGCCAGUUGCAAUCGUCACCCACGUGGGGGGAAUGUGGGAUACGGUCCUUCAGGUUUAUCGUCGUUUUGAAAGCUACCAGAAAAGUUAGCAGCAAUCAAAAGUGACAAGUUUUAAAACUCGUGGUAUUUACAUGAAUAACGGGGGUGGUUUUACUGGAAUAUAUAUAUAGGGGAAAAAAGUGAACAUUUUUCAAAAACAAUAAAACUUGCUCGAGUAGAAGAAUGUGUAUAAAUGUCCACCGACGAUCAAGUCGAUGUCGUUCACUUCCGUGGCGACGCGUGACGAUUUAGUCGAUGUCGAUACCGCUGUGCCUUAACCACACGAUGACUUGGCUACCUCUGCUUUUAGUGAAGCGAUUUCAUCAGUAAACUUAGUGUGAUCCAGUUUAGUAUUAAUUUUAAUAAACAUUUUUCAAAAAAAUGGAUCCUGAAAACUUUUUAUCACAAAUACCGCACGCAAAAAAAAAAACAAAAAUAUACAUUCGGGUAACUACCUGAAAGUUAAAAAUUCUUUUAAGACAUUUAAUUAUAAAAAUGGAACAAUUAUUCAAAAUUUAAAAUUCGAAUUGAUAUUAUACAUAAAUGUCGGAUCUUGUAAUAAUAUUAGUUGCUGAAUAUCUAGGAUCACGACAUCUAUAGCCAACACGAACUUCUCUCGUCACUUUAGUACUUUAUCACUUUAUAAACGGGGAGAGAGUAUGGAAUCAGUAAAGUAUAAGACUAAGAAUAAAUAUUCGUAAAAUGAAUACACAAAUAAUAUUUUUAUUUUUUUUUUAAAUUUAAAAUUUCAAUAUUGUUUAUAGGUAAGGGUUUUAAUAUUUGAAUAUAAUAUUCAUAUUGCCGAACAAUGUGAAACGGUAAACUUUUUGACAGUAUCUUGUAUGAAAUUCUAUUUUAGUCCAAUCUGUAAACUUGCUUUGACUCCGGAGACCGGAAAAGGAUGAAGGGAGAACGUGAGAGGAGAGUUCGCGUUUACAAUUGUAUAACAACAAUCGACGUGUGAACAAUAAAGUGACGACAACGUAAGUUUCGGCGCAAUAUAACGUGAUGUUGCUCAGUUGCUGCGAUUGGAUUUUUUAUCAGCAUGUCAAAACUUUAGCCCGCAUAGGUACAUAACCCUAUAUACUGAUAAAUAACGAAGUCAUAUACCGUGCAUACCAUUACUACGGUAACAUUAAAUCUAUAUAAUAUCUGUACACCGUCGCCAUGUCAUUCGGUUGACCGUGAUCUGCAUGAACAAUAGCAGACCCUCCGGUUUGUUAUUGAACUCGUGAUUACCCAACUAUUGUAUGGAAAAACCGAGAAUAUAUAUUGGUUUAACGAUUCCGGUUAAUUAUUUUAGAUCUAGAAUUAAUUUGUUGUGAUUAACAUUUUUUUGCAAGCUUUUUCGUGAUAAAUUAUUUUAUUUUUCAAACUAACAUUUAUCAAUGCGUUAUGGAUUUGUCUCAUGUUAAUGAUGCGCGUGCAGUCAUUUAUAUAUUAAAAUAAAUACCUAUAUUAAUAUAUAAUUUACACCAGACAUCUUUAUUAAUGUAGUAUAGUAGCGUAAUCAGUUGUCAAACCUUGUUUUUAUACUAGCAUACAGUUUUGCAAAACGUCUUGGCUAUCUUUUAGUGAGCAUCUUAUUGUAAAAUUUACAUAAUUUCAAUCAGAGGACCGAUUACUAUUAUUAAGUUAAGUUGGGUCAUGGUUAAAGGUUAUGAACCACCUAUCGAAUUUUAUAAGGUAGGGGGGUAUGACUGGUAUGAGUCAGUGUAAUGGACAGCACCUAAAUGUAAACCGAAAUCUUUAUAUUAAUCUGUUAUUUGUAUUUUAUCGUCACUCGGUCAAAUGAAAAUAUGCCGAUGAUGCGCUGACACAGUUUACGUUAAUAAGAACGACGAGGCAGCGAUACUCGUUUUUCCAUUAGGGUAAUUCAAAUUAAGGCGUAUUCGUGGACAAAAAACAAAAACGGUCUAUACAUAUAUAUAUAUAUAUAUGAAUGAGUCUUGUCGUAAAAAAAUAACAAAAAAAUAUUGCAAUAAGUUGCGUUUGUUUGCCCCAAAGAGAAUAUUAUAAUAGGUACACGACAUUCAGAAAGAAUCGAGUGAGAUCCCCCCGAGCGUCACCCGUUCGAAAAAAAAAAAAUAUCAAAAAGAUUUUUUAGCCAACUAACAUAACAUUUGUAUUAAUAAUAUUAUUAUUAUUAUUAUGAUUCAUGCGUUUAAAUCCAAAGGAAAAUAAUCCACGAAAAUAAUGUACGAGAGAUUAUAUCAUACUCACAUAUAUAUAUACUAUACAUAGUAAGCGGGAAGGACGGAUUUUAAGGGUUUUUAUGUCAUUCGGAUACAAAAUACCAAAAUGUCGGAUUUAAAAUAAUUAUAUUUUAGUAAAUUGUUUACAUUAUAUUAUAGUAAAAAUAUAGUGUCAUUGUGGAUUACCUGCUAUAAAAACUAGUUUAAUUUUAAGUAAAACUAGAUACAGAAACAAACCAAUGAAAUAGUCACAAUUGUUUCUUAAAAUUCUAUCAAAAAACAUUAUUAAUUUCAGAAAAAUGUAUGAUUGACUAUCGUAUUUCUAUUCUACAUUAAAAUCAAUUUAUUAUACUAUCUUAUUAUAAGUCGGUCAAUUAAAUCUUAUGUAACGUUAAUUUUAUACAAAUUGAUUUCUCCGUCUUGCCAUAGUAUUUUUUUAAACUCAGGACUCCCCAAUCGGUUAACACGUCAACGUUUUAGACGUGGAAUAAAACAUUGUUGAAAAUUUAAAAUCGAUUAAAUCAUAAACGCCGCGUUGCGUCAUACAUAUUUGUUAUUUCACUAAUAAUUUUGUUUCUAAUGAUUCCCAAUUAUUUCAAUAAUCUCUUGGAAAAUCAUAAAAUGAUCUAUAUAAUCUACCGACUAGAUAAAAGUUUCAUUCAGAAAAGGUGUUAUACUCUAUACAUUGGAACAAGAUUUCUUUUUGAGAAGUUGUUUGUAGAUAAAAAAAUAAAUUAUAAACACACAUCAUAGUAAAACCAAUAAAUCCUUCUCUACGCUCUGCAUCUAAAAGAGGAGCUUAUAUUGAACUUUGUAAAUUAAUCUGUGUCAUUUCUAAGAAAAAACAUUAUCAUAUUUUUAAAAAAUAGAUAACCACGAACCAUAAUAUACAUUAUUAUAUAGCAAAUUAUACAACAGAAACUUUGCACCAAAAUCUAAUAACAAUUAACAAGAAAACGAAUGAAAACAAAUAAUCAUAUCAAUUCACUAGUGACAACUGAUAAUAUUAACAAAUUAAUAAAACCCUCAAUUUAAAAAUAAUUUUUAACCUGGGUUUACAUUUAAUAAAAGAGGGAGGGGGAAAAUGGAGAAGUAAAUUUAAAUUUUGGUAGGGCUACCUUUGCCCUUUGCCUCUAACCUCACUCUUUCUACUAUGCGUUAUAAACGUUAUAAAAGAAGAAAAAUGAGUUCAUAAAAAUCAUAAUAAAAUCAACGGGAUUACUCCAUAAUAAUACGUUUGCUAUAACGACGAAAAUAGAACAUUGAUAUACAUAUUUCAUAAUUCGCGAUAAAAUGUAUCCACAAACAAAAUAACAUUUCCCGUUUUUGUGAAGAAUACUUUGAUUUUUUUUUUUUUUAUUGUUAAUAUUAUUCGAAUGUAAAACAGGAAUAAUACGGUUUUGAUCGGUUUUCGAAAUAUAUUAUAAUAAUGUUAUAUUCAAAACAUACGAUUUUCGUUUCAAAUGCCUUUUUACAUUCACACAAAUGUUAUUGUUCGGCGAUAAGAAUAUACUUAUAUAUUAUUAUUCUAUUUUAUAACCACUCAAAAAUUAUGCAAUGCAACAAUGCAACAAUCGUUUUCGAAUAUACAUACUAUGUAUGUAAUAUAUUAUAUUUCAACCAAAAAUGUCCGUUUUUCUAGUACUAUAUGUAUUAUAUUGAACGGUUUACUUUCAAGAAUUCCGUUUUUAGUUUCUCAAGCAUAACGUCGUAAAAUACGUUUGGUAGAUAUAUAAUUUUUGGCUGUCCCUUGUACCAAAAGCAAUUUUCCGUGAAAUGUUAUUGAAGAAAUUCGAGUAGGUUCCUACCACAUAAAACAGAAAUACUCUUAAAACAGAAGCAUAGGACCUAUUUUUUCCUUAGGGGGGCAAAAAUUUAGAUGGUGUAACAUUUCUUAGUUAUUCUCUCAAUAUGCAUGUACGAUGGUAGAGGACGACGGUAGUGGAUCGUAGAAAACAGGGUCGUAUCUUGGAAUUUUCUAUAGGGGGAGGGAAGGUCCAGUUUCAUAAAUAAAAAAUGUGGAUGAUAUAUCUUUAUAAGAAAUUGCAUUGAGUUAAACCUCAAAAUUGUGAGAGUAAAAUAUUAUAUUUUCAUGACAACACUAUUGCAAUUUUUCACGGGCUUUUAGCAAUGUCGUUCAAUAUUUCAUUGGGCGUGAUGACAAUAUUUCGGUAACAACUUAAUAGUACUAAUCCAUUGAGAUGAUCCUGUUUGACAAACAGCUAGAUAAAUAAAAUUAAAUCACUAUUAAUUUUUUAUACAUAUCACUUUCAUACUGUUUCUAAGGUAGGUAUAGGUAUUUAUUCUUUUUAAACCAGAAAAAGAUCUUUCUGGCGUUGAAGUAGAAACUGUUGAAGUAGACUGCACAAAAUUUUUAAUAAAAAUAGAUAACUUAAAGUAUUAUUCUAAAUUAACUUCUUUAGUAUUUUUAAAAUUUAUAAAAGUUUUAUGUGUUAAAGCCCCUAAUUUUAAAUUCUGAGUGGAGCAAAGAAGCUUAUGGUUUUACAAAGAUAUUUAUUUUUUUUUUCUGAGGAAAACUUUUGUACCAGCAAUUUUGUUCCAUCUUUUAAUGAUAGCAAUGUUUCUAAAAGGAAAUUUCACUGGGGAGGUACUUUAAAGAGGUCAUUUUUCUAUUUUUUCCGAAAUUUUCUCAGCAAAUGUGAAUAACUGGGAAAACCGAAAAAAUCGGUACAAAAUUAAACAUAUAUUAUUAAAGAAAAUAUAUAGAGCCUAUUUAAUUAUAUUACUUUAGUGUGACAUAUAUAUUAUUGACAAAGCAUCACUAUCAAUUAAACUCCAUUCAGAAUCGUUUUUUCGUAAGCAAUGGUUUAUAGUUGCUUACAGGUAUACAUUAUGUUAUCUCUAAUAGUGUCUGCAUCCGUUUCCAUUGGCUUUAAAUCCGUGGGUUUAAAUUUUGUCCAUCUUUCCUCCCCUUUUUUCUCCAUCCAUGUUGGCUUUCCAGUGACUAUAGGAAGUAAGUUGCCAGGCCAAUUUCGCGUAAGUAAACUUCACGUUAAAUUGAAAUUUGUUUUUGUAAAUCAUAUUACUUCACUGUAACGAUCAUCGGACUGGUGUAUAAACAAAUUAUUCUAAAUUACCACAUUGCUAUGGACAUAAAAUUAAGAAAUAAUAUGUCUAUUUCAAAAACCCCUUAAGUAGGUGUGAUGAUAACCUCAUCCGUCUACGUCUUACAGAUGUACGGCACAGUCAUUUUGCGUUGCUUUUUAUAUGCUAUUGCGGUGUUAGUUUUAAUAUCAGAGUGAAUUGACUUAUUAUCGGACUUAAAGGUGAGAACAUUAUCUGCUCAAUGUUGACGCAAUUUUUCCAAUUUAAUUUAUAAGAGAGCUUAUGAUUAAUUGAGUAUGUGAAUUAUCACAAUUUAAUAAUGCUUGUAUACCUCGCUUUUUGAUGCCUGAUGGCAAGCUUCCGUCUUUAAUCAUUUCUGAACGAGAAUAAUAUUUGCGGUACAAUUUCGUGACACUGAAACCCGGUAAUCGUUUAAAGUUUACGCUAAAAUUGAUGCAAACGUGAAAAUGGAAAUCAAAUAAUAAUUGUGUACUUCACCACACGAUUUUCGCUGCACUUGGCUGCCCGUCUAAACUUUGAAUCCGUUGAAUAAGCACUAAGUGAACAUUUUAAGAAACACUACAUGUUUCACUCCAAAAUAUGAAAUAAUUAUUAAAACACGUAAUAUUAUAGAAAUCAUCACCAUCGUCGUUUGAAAAUAAAAAGUCAAUUCGAGUUAUAACGCGGCUAUAAUGAUAAAGAUUCAAAAUAUAUUAUAAUAAUCAUUUCGAAAUCGUUAUUAUUAUAAUUAUUAUUCAGGUAUUCGACUAUGAUGAGGACGAAGAGAAAUUUCAACGCUGAUAAAUUAUUCACAAGAAUUCAAAAAUCCAUCAAAAUACACCGUACUUGUAUACAAAACAUAGAUAUAUUUCAUUUACUAUAUUUUUUUUCACAGAGAGAAAUUUGUUUGAUAAAAGUGAAUUGUACAAGGUGAAUAUGCAAGGAAAUAAGAGCAGGGAUAAUAAUUAAUCUAUAAUUAAUAAGAUAAUAAGGACAAUAAAUAUUUUUAUUUAAUUUUUAUGUUUUGGUGAAAAAUAACUUUUAUUUUAUUAUUUUUGAAAAAUUUGAAGAUAGUUAUAGAGUUAAUUUUUCUGAAAACGUUGACGUUUCAAAUUUUUAUUUGUAUUAUAUUUGUUAUACUAUAAUUUUUAAAAGUUCUGAGAAAAAAAGUAUACAGUCUACUCAUAAUAAUCAAAAUAACAUUAUAUAUAAUAAUUAUAAAUAUAAUUAUAUUAAAAAUAUUAUAAUUUAUAAAUAACAAUUAUUCUUAUUAUGACUAAAUAUUGAGUAAACACUUUGUUUCUCUGAAUUAUAAAAAAUCACGAAUUUAGAGAAAAAAUAAUUAAUACGUCAAACUAUCAAAAGUAAUAAAAUAUAUAAGUUAUUUUUUAAUUUGUUUACCAAACAUAUGUAUUUAAUUUAAAUAUAAAUAUAAGUAUUUUAUUCCUUAUCCCUUUGAGUAAUAUUAAAAAAAAAAAAAAACAGAAUUUUAUUGUCUUUAUUAUCUCCGGAGAUGUUAUAAUGGGUACAUCUUCGUGGGACACCCUAUAUAACCCGUCUUAACCCAAAAUCUUAUCAUUAUAUUUAUUGAACUUAAUACCUAUACAUAAAUACAUGCCUAUGUUAGUAUUUACGUUAGCAUACGGUGAGUCAUAUCUACGUUUUUCGGACUUAAGUUUUAUAAAUUAAAAUAAAAAUCAAUAACAUUCAAUUGAAGUUCGUAAAAAUAACGGGGAAAAGAUCCCUUUGUUCAUGAUGGAUUCAUAAAAAUGAUAGAUUAUAAAUCGCGUAUAUAUUCAAACGUACACUAAUUCAAAUUCAAGAAUUCUCACAACUGACGAAUUAUUUUAAGGUAUUGCGCAUAAUUUAAAGUUAUUGCUCAAAGUUAUUGUGUGUCUAUAAAUUUAUUUAUUUUAUAUUCAACUUUUUUCGUAUAAAUUACCGCGUUCAUUUGAAAAGCGUCGAAAUUACCCAAUCGAAAUGACAGGACACUAAACACUAAAACUAAUACAUUCCUCACUUCACUUAGAGGUCAGAAUUUCAAACAAUUGUAACGUUCGAAAAAUAAAUGCAGACUACUUUUAUAGUAUAUACAAUAUUUUUAUUUUCAAUAAUUUUUCAUUAGUGGUUAAAGUUUUUCCUCCUAUGAAGUGGUAUUUCCGGUAAGAUAAUCGUUCCAAAACAAAAUAACUGUUCUGAGACUGCACACUGUACACGAAAACCCGAUGUUCAACAGACCGAUACUCCGUCGUCGUUAUAUUGACGUGCAGGCGUAAAUUUUGUUUGGAAAAGAAAAAUACCUUCUCUUCUCCUUCGAUUAUUUACCGAAUAAUAGUCGGUAUAUAAACGAUGGACGCAGAAAAAUAAAUCGAUACCAUUUAUUUUUGGUUUUUAUUAUUAUUAUUAUUAUUUUUUUUGAUUAUUACUGCACAUCAGGAUUUGUUGCGUACUGAAAUAACAACGUAUCUACCGCGUAUACGAACAAAAAUAUUAUAACAACACUCGAUUUAUCUAUCAAUAGCAUGAAGCACCUAAUUAAUUUUACUAGUCGAUAAUAUUUACGUUCGAAAAAAAUAAAAUUAUCUACUUGACCCAAUUAUAAGCGUCACCAUGAAAUUUAUGACCAGUUCAUUGCCAAUAAUCAUCGCAUAAUAUAUUGUUUUUUUUUAAACCUUGUAAAUUACUACAAAUAUCUGGUUCUAUGAACAACACAAUUAGUAUACAUUUUUCACAAUUUUUUCAAAAAAAAAUAUGGACACUUCACACGUGGGUUGUCCACUGUCGUAGAAGUUGGGAAGGUAGAGGGGAAAUUGAAUGCAUGUCCAUACGCAACAAUUAACUAUUUCUAACGAAAAACGAUUCUAAGCGGGUUCGGUUAAUACAGUGUCAAUAAUAGUUUUGUCAACAAUAUAUAUGUAUUUUAUAUUAUGGUAAAAUAAUUUCAGGUUGAACAUUCAAUCCUUUAUAAAAAGUGAAGCUCUCCAAUUGUUCGGUCAUGUUUGUGGAACUGGUGGUAAAUUAGUAAAGGAUGUAUUGAUAUACAGAAAAUGGUAAUUUGGACCCAGGACUUGUUAGAUGUACGUAAUUGCAUAUUGGAUAAUGGCAGAAGUGGAGGUGACCGUAAUUUUCGACAAGGCAUAUUAAAGGGUGAGACGGAAAAUAAUUGUGACAAAAGCGAUGGUUCUCAAUGAAUUUGACAAGCUGAAAAGAAAAAUGACACACUUUGUGCGUUUGGUGAUUCUUCACACUAUAUUUUGUUUUUUUCGGAAAAUUACUUUUAUAAAUACACAAAAGUUCAUCAUCUAUGCUACAACUUCCUAUCCGCAUAAAUUUCACCGCUAUUUAUACAAAAAAUAUAUUAUUUACUGUCCCACGAAAUACUAAGGACACAAAUAAAAAAAACUGCUCAUCGCAGAUAAAAACUUUUAAGUGAUUCACUUGGAACUCAAAAUUAUAAACUUUCAUAUACCAACGACUGUUUCUGUAUAUUAAUUAUUUCUCGUUCUAGUAUAUUAUUACUUAUCGACUGCUGGUUUGGCCGGUUAAACUGUAAAAAUAAUUUCUCUAUUUACAAAUGAAUUUAUAGAUACACAUUUUAAACGUUUAGUUUAUUUCGUAAUUAUUAUAUAUAUUACGAUUCGAAGAAUAGCGAAGGAUCUGUUGGUUUUAAUAUGAUGUGUUUUUUUUUUCUGUCAAUGAACAACUUUUCUACCAGAAAUCUUGCUCCAAUAGAAAAACAACACAAACUAUUUUUUUUUUUUAUUUAUAAUCUUAUUCGUUUUUUUUUUAUUAUCUCUGUAGUUUUUUUAAUAAUUGAGCAAAACUGAAAAAUGUGUAGAAAGAACGGACAAAUUUACGAAAAUAAUAAUUUUAUUAUUUUAAAUUUUGUUUUUUUAAUUUAAUUCAGUUAUAAAUACUUGAAAUGUUGAAAGAAAACUUAUAUUUACUUUUCCUAAACAUUAUAAAACUUUUAAAACAUUUAAGUCAUUUUUGAGCUAUUUAUAGAAAUUUUAAUUUUGGGAGUUUUUUAUGUUAAUUUUAUUUGGUAGUUGCUCUGGCGACAAAAUUGUUAGAAUAAACAGAAAUGCUUGAAAGUUUAAGAAGAGAUUCCUUAUAAGUCGUACUUAGUGGCCAAAAUAAAAAUUGAGUGCAAUUCAUUAGCAAUAGUUUAUCGUUGAUUACAAGUAUAAAUUAAAUAAAUUUAUGUGUCUCAACUUCUCAACUACCCACCUACAUCAGUGGCCGCACUCGAAAUAUCAGCUCUUUUUUUGAUACAGCGUUUUAUGGUCUUUAUGACCAUCUCGUUGAACAGAUUUAUCUUCAACCAUCUCUAUUCUUGGCCGCUUCUCUCUAGUUGGUUCCCGGAGAUAAUAAAUAUAUGUUUCUUUUCACAAAGUCCUCCCAUCUUCAACGCUGCCAUUUUUCUAUUGAAUAUUCUUCAAUUAUCACUCUUAAAUCAUAGUACCAUGUUUCCGCUAAUAUGAUGACCAACAAUAGUUUAUUUUUCGUGGUUUCCUUCAUAACGAACUUUGAAACUAAUUUUUAAUUUUUUCGUUAUAAAUUAUAUUCUUAUAACCACUCUAUGAAUUGUUAAAAACAGAGCACAGGCCAUAUACAUGUGUCUUAGAAUAUUCCUCUCAAAAAUGUCUAUUUUUAAUUAUUCCGCUUUUCUCGAGGCCCAUUUCUCGGAGUCAAAGAUAGUGAAUGGUCGUAUCAGGGUAAUAUUUAUUUGAGCUUUUACAUUUUUAACUAGAAUUCCUGAUCUUAUAAGAAAUCAACUCCAAGAUAAUAGCCUUAAGUUAACCCUACGUAUUUAAACUGUAGCACUAUCUUAAAAAUAUGAGCUAUCUCUUGAUGGAUUUCCGCUUCACUAUCGCUAAGUUUACAGCUAUACAUUUUGUUUCUAUUAAUUACUAGAAUCAAACGAUUUUUACCCGCAGCUAUCGUCGGUAUUUUACAAUGCACUAUCAAAUUUGCCAUUUGUUUCCUCUAAAAUAGCAAAAUGUGUGGACCAAGAGGCCUACUGUGCUUUGGUCUAGACUAAUAUCCCAAAAUUCAGACACAUUCAUCUCCUGUAUUACUUCUUCCAACACCGGAUUGAAUUUUAAAAUUGGCAUAUUCGGAUUGAAACCUUUACGUAAGAUUAACUUGAACGACUAGUAACUAAAAUAAUAUUUUAUGAACACUACGAAAAUGAUUAACGAUAUAAGGACAUCGUGUGGUGAAUUGAAACAAGAGUUUAAUUUUUGGCAGUGGAUUUUGAGGACUAAAGUGACCACGUUUUUAACAUUAUAAUAAUAAUUCAUUAUUUUAUCGCCGAGGGCACCAGUUUCGUUUACCGUAAAACCUUUAGCAAUACAUUCCAGAUUCGACGAAUAUAUACGAGAUAUAAAUAAAAUAAAUAUAGAAUACGUAUUUUACGAAAAGUUUGUCUGCAAUAAAACCAUGUUCAUGUCAUCGAAUUAUUGUCGGAGAAACGGUUUUUUUCUAUAUAAUAUUACUGUCGUUCCGUGUCGCUUGAAUUUUUACUGUCCGGAAUCGAGUUUACAAUAAUAUUAUUCCGUAUAACGAUCGUAUAAUAAACAGUCAUAAAUAUUUAAUCGAAUCGAACACGUGUGUGUUCAUUACAUAUUCGAUGAAAACACAAAGUGCCGUAUUCGUGUUUCGACAAACAGAAAUUUCGAUUCGAUUCGAAAGAAAGAAAAAACAAAAAUGAUAACGACAACCAGUAAAAAUAAAUCUUGUAAUAUCACUGUUGCUUUUAUAGUGCCAAAAUUUCGUAUAAAAACAGACAAAUUAUAAAAAUAAACGUUCAAAAUCAGAUACUUAUCCAAAAUAUAACACCGAGCUGAAAACUCGGUCUUCGCCGAUUACAUUACUCAUAGACUAUAUACAACAAAAUUGUUUACCAACGAAAUCUACGUCUAUAUUACACAGUCGAUAAUUGUAUGGAAAAAAUCUCACUUUUUGUGGUUUGUGUUUUGUUCUCUACGCUCGUUCUUACCGAGCGAUUUUUUUUUACCCCUGUAGGAGUCACCCUUAAAUUUCACAAUUCUACACGUUUCCUGUGGUUGAUAGUUUGUCAAAAUAUUUGUCGCACGUGGAAAUAAUACAUAAUUUAUACUUGGCAAUGAAGAUUUUCCUAUCGUUCAAUGUUCAGUGUUAUCGUCGUCGAACUUGUGUUGGCCACACGGAACCGUUGCCGUGUAUUUGACAAAUUUCUAUGACUUUCUAGUUUAUUUUAUUAAUUCAAAUACAUAAUUCGUCAUUGUGAAAAAUAAAAUACAUUAAAUUAUAAUAUUUAUGUGAAUUUAUAAUAAUGUUAUUUUAUGUAUUCAAACACGAAUUAUUGCGCCAAAUACUGACACAUGAUUUCCGAAAAGUCUAAAAUAAAAUUAUAACUACGCAUUAUAAUUUAAAACAAUAAUCUUAUAUUACCUCACCAAAUACCGUAGACAAAACAUAAAUUCAGGGGAGAAGGCACUUAAUUGUUUUAUCUAGUUUUUUUUUUAAUCCAGAAUGCUUAUUACCUGUCAUUUUAUGACUCCCUUUAUUUCAUUAUUAUUUAUUAUUUAUACCCCUUUAGUUUUACAACGUAAAGUUAAAAAAAAAAUUGUUGCCUAAAUUGUAAGAGAACAUCUAAUAUACAUAAUAAUAUGAACAAUAUAUUUUAUAAUACUUAUAAUAAUACUACUAAUAAUGAAUUAUAUUAAUAUGGACAUAUCUAACUUAACCUAACCUAAAAAGAUACCGGGAGGGGGCAUAUAAGAUGUAUGCCCCUCCUGACUACGACACUGAUCUUACAUUCCAAAAUUCAAUUAAACAAUAUAUCCGUCGGAAGAAUGUUGGAAACGCACAUGUUCAUAGAAUUAUGCAUUGGAUAAAAUGGACCAUGAUGAUCAUAAUAUCAUGAUUGAACAUAUUCUAUAUGUUAUCAAAUACUACGAACUUUAUAAUAUUGAUAUCAAUUAAAACCAUAGUAAACAAUAAAAUUUCAGAUAAAACCGCGUAACACAAUCUUCGGAAAACUCGAAUCUGAUGGAAAUUUAGUAGAUAACACUGAAUUUCGGACCAAUUGCAUCAACAAUAUGUUAUGUUUUAGAACAUGUGCCUAUUACAAUUUCUAUUGAACCUAUUUCAAUGCUUUAUAAUUUAGAUUUCUUGUUUUUUCCCCCUUAAACCCGGAUCAAAAAUAUAAACUGUAGAAGUAUUGUCAUUUGUUCGUUUAUUCAAAUUAACAUAUUAUUGAAAUGUACACGUAUACUAAUAAUGCGUUAUUAAGGGUAUUUAAAUUUUAACGAUUUAUUUUUGUUUGAUUGUUCGUCGACUCGUGUCGUUUAAUAAGACUUUAUUUGUAAAUUAUUCGGCAUGUACAACAUGAUGAUAUUAUAUAUAAUGAGUAUUUUCUUUCAUAUAAUAUUUCACCCUUGAUAAUCUAAUUUUUUUUAUCCCGAAACGAUUUUCGAAUCAGAACAGCCUUUUAUAUAAUGACUAACGAAAUUAUUAUUACGUUUAAUAGUAUAUAUAGAAUCCCCUUCAACGUCUCCUGACAAGCGAAUAUAUUUAUUUCAACAUAGACGACGGGUAGCCAUUUUAGUUUUUACCGGCCGAAACUUCACGCCGUCGUCGUUAUCGUUAAUCGAGUAAAGUCGAUCACGUCGUCGAUCCCGAGGUACCGAAUACCUUUCAAUUAUUUUAUUUGUAUUUCUUUGAAGAAUGUUUGUUUGUAUUUUAUUUAUUUUUAAUUUAAUGAAUCAUCGAUGAGUCUUUCAGUGAAAUUCUACAAAGAUUCUCAGUAAACGUUUAGUAAAUUAUUACCUAGUAAAACGAAUCGAUCAGAAAUAAAUUUAAAAGCAAAAAAAAAAUCUGUUGCGGGGGACGGGUAUGACACUGCUGAAAAUAAAAAGUUAAGAAGGAAAGGUACAUAAAGUUUUUUAAUUUACAUCAGUAAACAAUUAUUUCCAAAAAAAACCAAUUCUGAGCAAAGUUAAUUUAUACUAUUUUUGAAAUGCUGUAAAUUUCACGUUUUUACCAAAAUUUGAUUUCAAGACUCAUAUAAAAUAGCAAUAAAUACAUUCUUUUUAAAAAAAACCUGUCCUAGAAAAAUGGUGAUGAGUGCAGCUACUAUUAUAGAUGGGAAAUUGUAAAGGUAGGAUACAGAAGGAAAUUUAAUGUAUAUCUGUAAGCAACGAUAAACCGUUGGUUACAAAUAACGAUUUUGAGCGGAGUUCAGUUGAUAAUGAUGCUCAACAGCAAUAUUAUAUAUUUCAUAUUAUGGUAAAAUAAUUAAAUAAGCAUUAUAUAUUUUCUUUAAUAAUAUCUGUUUAAUAUUAGCUGAUUUCCUCGAUUUUCCCAUGAUUUUCCCGGUUUUCCAUGUUUUAUCCUGGUUUUUUACAUAUGAUGAGAAAUCUCUCAAUCUCUGAUGAAAAUCAAAAAAAUGACCUUCUUAAGUACCUUCCUAAGAAUAUUUUCUUUCAGAAAAAGGUCUACAACAUAUACAUCAGAGUACUUCGUUACACUUAGAAUUUCAAAUUUACUACAUGACAAUCAAUAUUUUUAUUUUGCUGAAUUAAACUUAUAGUGAACCUUUUAUUAAAUUUUCAAACGUUUCUGUUUGGUCAAAUAAUUUUAUCUACAUAAUACUAACUAAAUAUAAAAAAAAAAUUCGAAAAUUUUCCUUUCAAAAGAGACAGUAUUCUUAAAAUUUAGAGGAAGAUUUCAAAUAUAAAAUAAAAUUCAAAAAAUUUAAAAUAAUGAAAUCAUAUACGACGUUAAUAUUUAUCCUACACUUUUUUUUCCGGGUUUUCCGUUUCGGAAAUUAACAAAGACCUCCUAGAUACUCGAUUUUGAGAUUUUUGAUAGAAAAAUAAUAAUUUACAGACAAACAAAAUUAUAAUUCGUAGUAAAACCUAUACAUUCUUUGCUACUCGUCAAAUCUAAAACUAAAUUAAAUGAACGCGAUUGAUUUUUCGUUCUUUAUGUUGGAUACACACCAAUGUCGUGUUUCCCAAAUAUUUAUCACCCGAUUCAAUAAUUAUAUUAUUAUAAUUGUAAUCGACUAAAUGUGAUGGAAACGUAUGAUUAUUGUAUUCGUUUUUAUAAUCUAUUUCAUUGUUUUACGCAUUAUGAAGGCAUUUUGCAUUUUUAACUUAGUUAACCAUCUGCUCAAAAAAAUAUUAACCUACAUCUAAAUGUUGUUUGUUAGUUACUUGCCUAUACAAUAUGAUCAUUCAUUUUGUUUAGUUUUUUAUAAUUGUCAGUCCUAUUAUUGGUUUCUAUGAACUUAAUUGUACUUGAGAUUAUCUUAUCUUGGGAUUCUCCCACUAUAACAAUUUCGUGCGCAUAUGCUAGCAGACUUUUCCCCUAUUAGUUCCAUAGAUCUGUUAUCUUUUAUGUUUCUUACAACUUGAUCUAAUUUCAGAUAUAAUAGUAAUGGAAAAAGUGCAUCCCCUUGUCUUAAUUCUGUUUUAAUUUCAAAACUAUUGAACGUUUAAUUCAUACUGGGUAUUCACCCAUUAUAUUUUUAUUACAGUUUCUUAUUAAAUGUACUAGUAUUGUGGGGAUUCUAAAAUUGCCAAGUACCGUCCAAAUCUGUUCUCUGUUAAUGUUUCCAUAAUUUGUCGUAUUGCAAAAAUAUAAUCAUUUGUCGAUCUUAUUCUUUUGUGGACAAUAUUACAACUAUAUUUAUGUUUAGAGCAUUCAAAAAUACGGUUUAUUAUAAUGCGAUAUCAUAUGAACCAUUGUAUUUGACCAGUCCUCGGGUCGAUAAAUUAAAAUACAUUACGAAAAUUGCAUUUAUAAUUUAAGUAAAUUCCGUUGUUUCUCAAUCAACUGAUAUUUUAUGAGUUUUUUUUUUUUCGUAGAUAAUAUACGCCCAUGCAAUAAUUUAGAAGAAAGCAAACAAAAGACUACGUGAAGAGAACCACGCGACCAUAUCGUCCGCAGCAGUCGAACAACCCGAAAUGUAAGUACCGCGUGUGCGCACGUGUAAAAUAUUUUUAAAAAUACUAUGUAAAUAUUAUAUUAUAUGUCAUAUAUCAUAUCAUGUAUGAGGCGAUUAUUGUAUAAUUUCAUACAUAUUUUAUUUUUAUUUUUUUGUAAAUAACCAAUAUCAUUUUUUUUUUUUUUUGUUUUUAACGAAACAAAUAUCAUAUCGUCUCUUUCCCCGCCGAAUGUGAUUCCGUUUUUCAAUUGUUUUUUUUUUUUUUUUUAUUGUUUUUUUUUCAUUACCAAGUUUUGACACACGGCAGUUUUCCGAUUUAUUAUUAAAUAAUGUUUGUCCGGAUAGUAUUAUUAUUAUUUUUUAAUUUUUUUCCAGAAAAAAACAGCGACUCAUAAUUAUCUACAUAUAUGUACAUAAUAUUAUUAUUUUAGCCGAAUAAAAGUUUCAGCUUUUCACAUAAAUAAAAAUACAUACCUACUUGCUUAUACCAUCAUCAUGAUAAUAGUAUUAUUUUAAAAUUGGUUUGUGAAAAUUAUGACACGUUGACGGUUAGAGGUUAGAACAUCAUGUUCUAACAUAACGUCUCCGACGCAAAUUUGUUUUUUGGUACCCAUGAUAACACAAUAUUUAUUAUUAUAAUAUACGUCAUAUAGUGUGCUCAAAUGCUACGUUCAUCAUCUAACAACUAGGUAGGUACAAACCAUUUUUUUUCAGGUCCACCGUAUAUUUUUGGCCGUUGAGAAGUUUAUUACUCUUUGUAUAUUGUGAUCGAGAUUGAAAAACAAGCCAAAAAGUCGGUCACAAAUUUCUAGUGCGUGCUGCUAUUUUUAAUUUUAUCAACAUCAACAUAAAAAAAAAACCAACCACGUACAAAUGUUGUCAAUUACGCGUUGGCAGUACGGUCAUCGGGAAUUUCUGUUGAGGAUGGGGGGGGGAGAUUGAGCAUAGGUGGGAAUAGAAGAUAAAAUCUCCGCCGCGGGAUGCGUAAACGUCACACAGAACUCGAUUUCCGGAACGUGACGCGACUCCGAAAUCGUUUUCGAACGAAGGAAAUGCGUCAGCCGUAAACGAAAGUCAUUUUUAACGCGUGUAAAGUAGUCGACCGUAUUUCAUAUCAUCGCCUAAACCUUUGUAAAUAUUUUUUUCAAAUGAUAAUAUUUGUAGAAUUUAAUGUACGAGUAUUUGAAACAACCAACGUAGUCAUCCAUGAGACUUGAAACACAUUUCCGAGGGACAAUGGAAAUUUGUCAUCAGCUUAGAAAAUAUAGAGAACUUUUUUCCACGCUAUAAGUACCUAAUAAUUUACGAACAAGCGCCUGGAACGACAAUAGUAAAAACGUUUAACAUAAAAUAUAAAUAAGAUGUGUAGUAUUAUGUGAUAUUAUGCAACGGUUUUUUUUAAAACGAAUUUGUAAAUUGCACAAUCAAUGUCAGCAAAAAAAAAUAUGAAUUUUAAUGCGCAUUAGAAAGCACUUGUAUUAUUUCAACAGUAUAUUUCGUAAUUGUAGUAUGAGACAAUGGUGUAUUUAGGAUUUUGUCAAAAAAGGAGAUACAGUAUUGGGAAAUCGUGUCAGGUUGUAAAAUAAAAUAUACCUGGGAUUAAAAAAAAUAUAUAAUUUUUUAAAUUUAUUUGUAAGUAGUUUAUAGUUCAAUCUGCUUUGAAACUAUCACUUAAAUUAAAUAAAUAGUUAUUUAAUUAUAUAUAACUGACCUUCAUGUUACAGUGAUUCGAGUAGGUUUCAUUUUAACCGAGAAAACGAAUAUAGUAUUCAAUUGUUUUUGAUAUACCUAUUAACAGGUACUAACAUUUUUUUUGUUUCUGCUGACUAAAACGUAAAAAAAUAAAUAUAAGUAUAAAUAAGAUACACUAUAUCAAGGUUGAGCGAGGGAGAUAAAUUUCCUUAAUUGCCCCUUUAAAAAUGCCACUGGUAUGAGAUAUAAAAGUGUAAAUUCAUAGAAUAUUUCUAAGUUCUCUGUCGCUAUAAUUUAUUUGACCAAUGGACAACGAUGAGAUAACGUUUCCAACGGUCCAAUUCAGGUAGAUAAUAAAAAUGAAAACUUUUUUGGAUGACUAAUGAUGAAGUGGGUAAUCUGAGUGUAAAGUUGUACAACAAAAUAAACCAUUAUAUAUAUUAUAAUUAUGUAGCGAUGGUCAAGGAAUUAUAAAAAUAGAUAUUAAACAAGAAAUUAGAAUAGGUUAGGUUAUUAAUGCACUCAGAUUUGCCAAUGACAUUACUUUUUGUGCAGAAACGAAAGAUGACCUGCAAAACAUCUUAUCUAAUGUAAAUAAAAUAUUUUGGAACAAAUACUGAAUAAGAUUAAAUAAAAAAAAAGAAAGGUUAUGGUGUGCAGCAAGACAAAUCCUAUUCAGCUUAAUAUAAAAAUAGAUAACGCACGUAUAGAACAAGUGCAUCACUUUAAUUACUUAGGAAGUAAAAUAACGAAAUAUAGUCGAAGUAAAGAUGACAUUCUAAGUAGAAUAGCGCAAGCAAAGAGGGAUUUUCAGAACAAUAAAACCUAUUAAUCACUUAUAGUGUGACAUUAAAGGUAAGGAAAAAGUUCUUACAAAUAGAAAAGUAGAACAGAAACAGAAAGUAAUAAAAGGAAACUAAAGGCCUUCGCAAUGUGGUGUUACUGUAAAUGCUAAAGAUUAAAUGGAUUGAAAGAAUAACGAAUGAAGCAGUAUUAGAUAGAAUAAAAGAAAAGAGAAAACUUUGAUAAACCAUAAUAGUUAGAAGAAACAAAAUGACAGGACAUCUACUACACCAUGAUAACCCAACGAAAAGCGUCAUAGAAGGUGACGUUGAAGGUCAUGCCAGAAGAGAAAGACCAAGGAUGAAGUAUAUGAACCAAAUUAUGAUAGAUAUGCUAAAGAAUAGCUAUAAGGAGUUAAAGGAACUGAGUAACGAUAGGGACACUUGGAGAUAUGCACCAAACCAAUCAAGCGUUUGAAGACGUAAAGAAGAUAGCGAUAAUUUAUUUAUUUUUAAAGACCGCUGAAAAAAUAUAAUUUACGAACAUAUUAAACUCUAGGUAAUUAAAUUUUAUCUAUACUAAUUUAAUUGAUUAUCACGACAAUCUAAUGGGAAAUAUAAUAACAUACAGAAACAUACGGAAAUUCAUGGAAGGAAAAUGUAGUCACGGUAGGCCUUCAAUCUAAUAUAAUAUUAGCCAAGUAGUUAAGUAGGUUAGGUGGCAAAAUAAACCACAAAUCAGUGCUAGAAAGGAGUGGAUUCAAUGAAAUUAUUUUGUUUUAUUUCAUUCGCUUUUCAGGAAUUUAUCGGAAACCGAUUUGCGAAGUGCAUAUAAGAUUUUUGUUGAAUUUUUUUUUUAAAUAUAUCUAUCUGAUUUAAAUAAAUUAUAAAUAUAAUGUGUAUAUUAAUUUUUUCUAGAAGUAUAUUUACAAAAAAUUGUUUGUCAGGUUUAUAAAAUUAUUCCUGUGCCAAUAUUAUAUAAGAUAAGUUGAUAAAAUUGUCAAUGUUUACACAAUAAUUUUAUAAUUAUGUGAUACGUCAUAUUAAGUAAACCAUAAACAUUUAUCAAAUUGAUUAAUAAUAUAUAAGUUUGUGUCAAUGUCCCCUAUGAAGGACAGCAGAUUAGGUGUUUAUGCAGCUGAUAAUGUAUUUAAGUUGAAUUUAAUAAAAUAUAUAUAUUUACAAAUUAAUGAGAUUUUUAGUUUUAUGAGACGAAUGGAGAGAAAGGAACGAGUUUCAUUCUUUAAUCCUAAAACGAGACUGAAAUGAUUUUUGUUUUAAUAAAAUUAAUGUAAACCGAUUCCUUUAUACAACGAACAUUUCAAGCACUGCUACGAAUUAAAAUUAAAAGCGGACAAACACUGUUGAAAAGAACAAAUUUAAAAUGAAAAAUACUGUAAAAUUGAUUGAUAAAUUAUUUAAAAAAAAAAACAUUAUAAAAUUAAAGCAUUCAAUUUCAUACACCACAAAAACAUAUAUUAAACUGGAAAGAGUACAUAAUUUUAUAUAUAUAAAAUCCAAAUACCACUGACACACUGAUCGCUGUAUCUCAAAAACUACUCAACGUACGCACUUGAAAUUUUGAAUAGUGGUUCCUCUAUUACUUUCACCGAUUAAUAAGAAAGGAUUUUUGAAAAUCAAAUUCCUAAGGGGUUAAAAUAGGGGUUUCCAGAUAUAUUUGGUACGAAGAUCUAAUUGCCUAUUUAUUUAUUUUUGUUUAUUCAAGGGUUACCUUUGUGUUACGGAAAAGAAAACUAUUAUAAUAAUUACUAUUAUUUGCACUAUUAAAAUAUUACAAUAGAACACAUUUAGUCUACUGAAGGUGGACUACCCUGAAAGGUGGAUUUUACCCACCUUUCAUCUAUUUGUUUUUAUUCAAUUCUGACACGGUCAAAACCAAAAAUUAAUAUGUGUAAAAUAAUAAUAAUAAAAAUUGGCACGGGCAACGCCUGGCGUGGGACAGCUAGUGUAUUAUAUAUGUCAAAAUAAUUGAAUAUUUAUAUUUAUAUACUCUUACAUUUAUAUAUUUUAAUGGUUAUGAGGUAAUCGAUACAUAUAUAGAUUGUGAUUUUAGUGCAAAUACAGACUCAUCUCUAGCUAGCAUACAUAAACUAAUCACCGUCAAAAUUCAAUUUAUGUAGAGGUUUAUACCGAAAAUUGCUCUUAAUAUGUUUCGCGUCAAUAAUAUAAAUCAAUAAUGACUUUUUUAUUUUUUUUAUUUUUAUUGUCGCCCCGUAUAUUUUAACAACACAUAAAUGUCGCGUUGAAUCUUUAAACUUUUACUCUUAUCGUCCGAAAGUUUUUUCUCUCGUAAAAGCGUAUAGGUAUUUACAUUUAUAUUUGUGGCGUUGAAAAAGAAAAGAAUAUAUAGUUAUAGAAUAUAGAUACCUACAUCAGGCCUACUAUUAACGAAAAUAAAAACAAUUCGGAUCUGGUCGUUGAAUAUACCACACACAGAGCGUGUGUCCGUAAAGAAUUUGUAAAACCCCUCUAAACUAUGUUUACAGAUUAUUGAACUCGUUUUUCUUUUACCUAAGAGCAUUUCGAUAAUUAAGUAAACAUUAUAGAUUCUGAACGAACCGAAAGGUUUUUUUUUCAUUUUACUGUCUAUUAUUUUGGAUAAACUUUUUAGAGACUGUUAUUUUGAUACUUAGAAUAGAAAUAUAUUUUAGUGUAUUGACAUUGGUAGAAAGAUACAAGCGAACAUUAAAAUAUCGUAGAAGAUAUAAAAAAGUCAUUAUCGUGGAGAUGAAAAAUGGUUAUUUUUAAUAAAUUAUAUCCGUCAUCGUUUCACUGAUAUCAGUUAAUUUACGUGUUCGGGACAAUGGAUUUAUAGACUAUUAUUAUACAACAAGACGGAACAUUUAGUAUGAUAACACGUGCCACCAGUUAGUUAAGCUAUUUCCGAGGACACUAGACAACUGAUGGGGUAACGCAAAUUUGUUUAAUUAUUAGUUGUUCUCUGAGUGCAGAAUAAAGUUCUUUCUCACGAAGGUCUUCUAUAUGAUUCUCUGUCACUUUCUUACAAUAAUGUUGUCUUGGAAGAACUAUAGACGGAACAGAGAAGGAAAUAUCAGUCCAUUUCCUUAUAGUUCUAUGAUUAUAAUACGAUUUCGAUAAUGUAGUUUGCAUGCAGUGCAUUCGGAAGAUUGUGGUUUUCGUAGUACUUGUUGUAUUUUUUUUUUUAACAACAAUGAUAUUUUUAUCGAAAAUUGCAUUUGAUUUUUCGACUUCUUUUUAAACGCUUAUCAGCACGUAUAACAAAAAUUAGAUCCGAUAAUUAUAAUAUUAUAUGCAUGUCAUUGCAUGUUGUAAUUCGCAUAAAAAAAGUUUAAAAAUACACAAAAUUAUAGUGAGUCGCAAAAAUUACCAAACCACGUUUUCUAAGAGACACAGUGCAACACAACUACAAUAAAUGGUUUAAACUUAAAGUACAACGUUAAUGUAUGUUGUGAAUGUAUGUAAGUACAAAAUUGACGACCGUGAUGAUAAUUACACCAGAGUUAGUUUGAAGAGAACCACCCACGAUACCUGUAAAUUUGUAAAAAGAUUUAUAAAUGUAUGGAAUUAAAGUGAUGAUAAUAAAAAACAAACUUUUGGUCAUAUCUGGGUAGUCUGGAAUACAAAAUAUUCUCGUAGUGAUCGAUUCGAGGAAAGAUGGUAGAGCAUUAUUUUAAUAAUGAUAUCAUAUUUAAAUUACAUCAGAUAUAUUUUUCGUCAAGUUCAAAUAUCGCCGAAUGCAACGAAAAGCGAGUCCCAGCUCCAAAAAUACACUUGUUUGUCAAUUGUAUUCUUCUUGAUAACUCAAUUUUUAAUUUGUUGUAUUGAGCACUGAUAUUAGCCACUGUUGUAUAUGGCAGAUAUAUGAACACAUAGGUUAGUUUAAUAUAUAUAGUGUACAGAAUUAUAUAUUACAGCGAUAUUUUCUCUGCGCAUAAAUAAGUAAAAUAGAGAAAAAUGUAUAAUGAAACAAUUGUAUUAAAUAGUGUGAUAUAAUAUUAUAUGUUGGUUUGAAAUGUUUAGACGCCCUUUUGUGGUCAACAUUUAAAUUUCAAACGGCAAUCUAUAUUUAAAAUCCAACGAAUCUCAAAAUUGCAUUUAUUUAAAUACAAUUUGGUAUUGACGACGUAUUUCGCUGUUUAGUUUAGACUAGGGUAAAGUAGUGGAACUCUGUGUUUGUGUAGUGACACGGCACGGCGUACUUAUUAUUUUAAUACAAAUGUUUCAUUGUUCUCAUUUUUGUACAUUUAUCGAAGAAACUUGCUAUAACAUAAAACUCUGUACACUCUAUAUACGGAAAGUAGCGAUAAAUAAUUGCAAUCAAAGCACGAAUCCUGAAAGCUUGGUAAACAGGUAAACCUUUAAAAUAUACUAUUACCAUUUAUUAAAUUGCUACUAUUAACUGUUUGUAAUCUUGUGUAAACGAAUAAUACGGGUAGCUUUAGUUCUUCUUUCGUAGUCAAGAUAUCACAGAAAUCAAUGAUAAUAAAACCGAUGUAUCGACGUUAGUAAUUGUCAGUUUUUAGAAAAACUAUCGAAAAUCUAGAAAUUUUUUUUCCCCGUAAAGCGUACCGCUGCGAGAAAAAUCUGCAUCUUUUUAAGAUACAUGCAUGAUGUAACCGAAGUAUUUUUACUACCGAAAAAGUUUUUUUUGAAGAAAAAAAUUCAACCAUAAAGCAGGGCCUAAAGUUGGGGUAUUUUGCUACUGCACAUCUAAUUACACACACCAAAAUAUUUUAAAAUAGUGAACAUAGGUAGUGCACAUGCCACAUAUGACUUCGUUGCAUAAUUGUUUUGGUAUUUAUUAUUAAUUAGUUAUAAAUUGUAAUAAAUACAAUCUAAGACAAUCGUCUAUAAAAGUCCUUAAUAUAUAACUAAAAAAUAUUAAAAACUAAAAAGCUUGGGUUAAUAUACUUUUUAUAUUAUUAAAUAAUAACAAAUACCUACUUUACUGGGAACAAAAUUUAACGCAAUGUUAUAAUUAAUAUAAAACAAUUAUGCAAAUUUAGUCAAAAACAAAUUCUGGUACUAUUAUUCUCAGGAAAAUAAAUACUUUUUGAAUCUUCAGCUUCAGAGAAAACCCUUUGAAACUAUUCCUGCUUAACAGCAUAUGACUGUACCUUAGUAUGUCUAUUUUAUUUCUUUAAGCCAAUAUUAAACUGCUGAAUGAGGCUUGAAUUUAAAUAGACAAGACAAAAAAUACGAAUGUCGUUAUUGGGGCCAUCCAGACGGUGUAGCCGGUAUUAUCUUUAGUGUUAUGGAUUUUAAAUGAAUACAUGUUAAUUAGAAAUUUACAUUAUUUUCAAUAAUUAAUAAUGGAUAUUUAACAAAUACAAAUUUAUAUAAGCCUUAAAUAAGUACUGAAUACUUUUAAAUUUGCUACUGCACAUUUAAUAUUAGAUACUGCAUAUAAUUGUAGACCCUGCCGUAAAGAAACUAAUAAGUAAUACGGAAAAAAGUUCUUUGCUUUACUCACAAUCUAUGUUCAGUUCUAAUUAGACUACCGGUAUAGACGGUUAUUGUGUUUGUAUAUGCUAUACUACUGAUACUACAAAUAUGGAAUUGUUUUCGAAAUGCAAGGUGUCAAUUUUAAGAAAUGUAUUUAGUAUUAAAUGCUCUACUUGCAAUUCAGUACUUCAUAUGGAAUGUGCAAAUAUGAAUACAGAAAGUAUAAAAUACAUGAAGACCAAAGGGAUCUCAUUCGACUGUGAGAAUUGCACCAAACUUCUUAGACAAUCCAGAGAAAAAAGUAACCCGAUAAAAUUCACUUCUCGGUCACAAGUUAUAAAUAGCAAUACAGUAACAAAUUUGGACAUUGAUAUUAAGAAAAUUGUAAGCAAAAUAGAUGACGUUAUGAAAAACUAAAUAACUAAAAAUAACACCCUUUUAACUUUUAGCAAUAGAAUUCUAAAGCUUGAAAAAAUGUUAAAAGAGAAAAAAAGCAUUAUUAAAAACUUAGAAUUUUUAAAAAAAAAUGCCUUGGAACAAAAUGAGAGAGUUUAUUUUAUGGAAAUAAAAGUAGUAAAAAUAGUUACUAAUGAAUACACUGAAAAAUUAGUUAAUGAUAUUGCAUCACAGAUUAAUAUUGAUUUUAAUCUUUUUGAUAUCGAAAAUGCAUACGGAAAACCUUCGAAUCAAAACCUAGAAUCGCCUUUGAAAAUGGUUGAACUUUUAUCUAAACGAAAACUUAACAAAUUUAUAAAAAAACGCGAAAAACUAGAAUGCAAAGGAUCAAGAAAUUAUAUCAAUGACAAUUUAACGGGAUCUAACAGAAAACUAUUUUGGGAAACCAGAAUAAAUGCUAUAAAAAAAAACCCAAGUAAGAACAAAUGAAGACCUUAGUUUUUUAUAAUAUUUUAACACUAUUAUAAUUAAAAUUCUUACAACAGGAUUAUAUCUUUACUUUUUCAUUGGGAAAACAAAUUUUAUUCAUUUUAGUAUUGGGCACACAUAUUAUACUAUAACAAUUUUAUUCAUAACUUAUUUAAAAACAAUUUUAACCUUAUGUAGCAUUAAAUCAUUAAAUGUGAAAAAGUAGGUUUAUAUAUGUGACACACGUAAACUACUUAAAAUGAGAACUGAAAAAAAAAUCUCUUUUCAUUCAAAUAAUACUAAAUUACAACUUAGACAAAAAACUCAUGUUUACUAUUAAAAAUAUUUUCAAACAUAUCAAAAAUAACUGUAUUAUACAUUAAAUCUCAAUAUAUUAAUUAUUGUUAUACAAUUUUGUCUAAAAUUGAAAAACAAAAGUUAAAUUAAAAUUAUUAUUUGAAUGUAAUAUUUUCCUUGUUAUAAAUUAUGAACUCAUGUGCCCCCACACGAACCUGUUGGGGCUCAUUAUCUAGUCGAAGAAAAAAUAACAAAAAUUUUAAUAACAAUAUCAAUAAUAAUAAUAAUAACAAAAACAACAAUAAUAUUAAUAAUAAUGAUAUUAUAGUUGCUUAAAAUUGUAUUAAAAAAAAAAAAUUAAUCUAUAUUAGGCUGUAUUUUCGAAAUUGUUCGUUAUAGGAUUCCGUAAGCGUCAGUGAAACGAUCGGAUAAAACCAAAAAUCGUUUAUAAAUAUUGUCACUUUUAGGAUUCCGAACUGAUCCCAUUCUGAAUGUCACUCUGAAACGAUUGACGACAGAUUAGGUUUAUCUUUAGUUUUUUUUGACACUCGGUGUAAAUUCAGGAAAAUCGUAUAAACCAAUCAAGCUGUGUCGCUCACCAUUUUACCGGGUAUAGGUAUAGUGAUACGAUCGCAAAGGGUGUGGUUUUUUUUUGAAGAGGCUCACAUACACACUCAAAAUACUCAUACCCUCAUUAAAUACUCUGUAUAGGACAUUUUUUUUAGAUUCUGAGUGGAGCUUUUACAGCUUUGAAGUUUUACAAUGAUGUUUAUUUUUUUUUUGUGGACAACUUUUCUACUAUGAAUUUUGGUUUGAUUUACAAUAAUAGCACUUUUUCUGGAACAAAAUCGGACUAGGAAGAUACUUCAAGAUUAGGUUAGGUUAGGUUAUUUGUUGAUGUUUCCAGGAGUUUUCUCAACAAAUGUGAAAAACCAGGAAAAAACUGAGGAAAAAUUGGAAAUUAUACGAAAUGUAAAGGUAUUAGUAAAAAAAUUUUUCCUUUACUACCUUUUCAACUUCUCACCUAUAACAAUGGCUGCACCUUUUCCCAUUAUCUUAGAUGAGAUUUGUGUCUUUUAUUUACGUUAAUAAAUGUACCUUGGCAUCGUGUUACAAAUGCUCGAUAAUUCGUUAUAAGGUCUAUCGACCAUCGUAUUAUAAUGCCACUGUAAUUUUAACGUAUAAUCAAAGAAUUUUAAAGUUUAUUUUCGACGAAACCCGUAAAAAUUAUGAGUAAAUGUGAUGCAUAUGACCACGGUGGUGGAUCGGUGAAACGGCAGAUUAGCGGCCUGCCGCUAGCGUAGUAUUUUGGAAUGACGAUCGUAUUAUUCACCGAACGGUAAUAAACUGGUCAACUGGUCGGUUGCGCAAUGCCGGCGAUAUAACGAAACGUUUACCGAUCGUAAAUAUAUUUCAAUGACGACUCUAUUACGUACCAGAGUAAAACGAUCUCGGAUUAUUGAAUUUCCGCAUCAUUCAGUAUACCAAUCGUUGUUUAUAUUUUGUGGUAAUAGACUAGAUUUGGUUAGGGUCACGUAAUCCGCUUCGCCUAACUCGCGAGUAGAACGUGCGGUUAGGUUUAGGUUAUCGGUCUGGACCAAAGUCUGAUUUAUAAACCUAUUAAUGAUCAAUUUUAUACAGUUAUCUGACUUCCAAAUAUUGAGAGACCUCAGAUUUCAAUUCAUUUUCGUAUUUAUUAGGACACAUUGAAAAAAAAAAUCGUUUGUGAAAGUUAUUUAUAGACCUAUUUUGUAUUAAAGUCCUUGGGGGCCCCAAAUUCUGUAAAUCGUCGUGUGCUGGUCCUUUAUUUGAUUUCGUCUGCUUUAUAAAGGCUGAAAAACUUGCCUGUAAUAAUAUAUAUAUAUUAUUAUUUGCGUUCGAUGUUGUUUUGCCAAAACGAUCGUCGUUAUAUUAUUAUAGAGACGAUAUAAAUCUUCGGCUGACGAUAAAAUCCGUCGGCAAACUCGAACGCUCCAUUAGCGUCGGCCAACUUGAACGAUAAUGGCUUUAUUGAAUAUUGUGUUGGGAAAAAAACCGUGAUUAAGUCGUCACGAGAAAACACGUUACACCUCCGACUAAGAAAAAAACAGAAAAACAUGCGAUUUCUCGAAAUUUCUCGAACUUUGUAAAUCGACAUUUUAUGAUGUUUACCAAUUAGUUGUUUUGAUAACGAUGUGAACUAGGUUAAAAUUUCAAACCAGACUUUUGAUAGAUUAAGAUAAAAUACAAUAUAAUAUAAAUAUGUUAACGUAUAGGGGAAAAACAGUGAAUCCGCAGAAGGAACAGUUACAUACUCUACCCACCCUCUUUAUUACCACCUAUGCUCGUACUUCUGCGAUAGUAAACAAAAUCUAUUUUCCUUAGCUAUUAACGGUCUAUGUGCAAUAAAGGCAAAAUAAAUUUACAAAUAAAGUUUUCGGGAGGAAACCAUGGCCGUCUUGGACAAAGGAAGCAGCUGAUUUGAAAACCGUCUCUGCUGUUUCCUACCUCGCGACCGCGACGGUGGUUAAAAUAGUUUAUGAUUAUUCCACCAAGUUUCUUACUAGGGAUAACUAAGAACGUCCAAAAGUUUAGUGGAAGGUUUUGUAUAUCUUCUCAUGAAGCUCAUUUUAAGGGAGAAGAGACGUAGUGGAUAUUUACCAAAAAUAAUUUCUUAAAAUAUGUUUCGUAUCUUUUCAACUCCGCACUCGUAAAACAACCGCCUACACAAAGUACGAAGUAUAAAGGCUUUUUUUAUUUUUAUUUAUAACUUUGAAUCGUUUUUUUUAUAAGAAUAUCGAAUAUAAUAUUCUGUUAUAAUAGUGUAAAAUAAUUACAUAUGUAUUAUACAUUUUCUUUAAUACUGUAUUUGUUUUCCCGUUUUUCCUACCUUUUCCCGGAUUUUUCGAUUUUUUGGGAAAAUCAAAAAAUGACCUCCUUAAAGUACCUCCCUCUAGUUAGAUUACCUUUUAUAAAAAAUUCUAUCAUGGAAAAUCGGAGUAAAGUUCCUGGUAGAAAAGUUGUCCACAGAAAAAAAUAAAAAAAUACAUGAGUUUCUUAGCUCCACUCAGAGUCUCAAACUAUUGAACAUUUAUGAUUUAAUGUACCUUCUACCUAUACCUAUAUAUCUAUAUAAAUUUUCAAGCAUGUGGUUGUAGGUUAUAAUAUUACAGUGGUGACGAAAAUCCCAAGGAGGGCGCUCCACCAAUCGCUCCCCUUCAAAUAUCCGCCACUGGCGUUUCCUAUAAAAUAACGUUAUCUAGACGGCAGCUGCCGGCCGGACCGAUGUCGUGUUUUGCGCGUGAUUUACACGUGGCGGCCGUUUUACGAAACCGGAUUAUAUACGACCGAGACGAUAAGCCUUUGGGCCGAGGGUACACAACACAUUUAAUAUAGCGCGCGCGUGAUGUAACAGUCAGAAGGGACGGUGAAAAUGGGUAGAAAUGACACGGGAGUCUCCGUCCGGCGAAUCGUUUACGGUUCGGAAAACCCAUAAGAAUUUCCCGGGGUUUUCGAACCGAACCGCGCAGGGUUGUUCAUGGUACUAACAAACGAUUACCGCACGCCCGGGUUCGCUCGUCCGAGCGCACGUACCUCGUCUAAUACGCGCUCCGCUGUCGCGCGUCCGGAAAUCCUUUUCUCUCUCACUCUCUCUCUCUCCCUCUUUAUCUCUCUCCGGGCACCCCGAUAACAAUAUUAUUACGUUAUAUAUACAUUAUAUAUAUUAAAUAUAAUAUGUCUUUCAUAUAAAAUAAUAAUAAUUUAAUACCUUCCUGCGUACGGAUUUUACGUUUUACGAGCAUAAUAUAUAAAUUAUUAUUAUCAUUACAUAUAUAUUAUAUACGGUGGAUCAAGAUUUAGGGGAAAACGCAUAAAACUACAUAAUAUAAGUCCCCGCGCUCACCGUUUAUUUUUUUUGUAUUUUUUCAUUCCGUCGCUCAUCGGGCCGGAUAACUUGUUUUUACUGCUGGACCUAUAAUCUAAUGUAUUUAAUUAAAUGAUCGAUUUUUUCGCGUAAAUCGAAUACAUACAUCGAAAAUAAAAGUGGUUCUCGAUAUAUUUACCAUAAAAAAAAUGUUUUGUUUUGUAGACGGGCAAAAAUAUUGAAACAAUUUUGAUCGAGCGUCCUCUCCUCCUGAAUUUUGUACGUCAAUGUAGGAGCGUUAUUUUGACGAAAUUUAGGGAUAACAGCACAGUUCCUUUCACGUACCGCGAUGCGUAGUCAUUGUAAAAUGAACAAAGAGGAUUGUUAGGGUGGUUUUCAAAUUUAAUUUAAAAAACUAUAGCAUUCACAUAAAAAUGUAUCAGAUCUUAUUAUUGUAUGCCAUACAAUUAUCUAUAAAAACAUCUUAAAAAGUGUCUCGUAUAUUAACAAAUUUCUGAAAAAAUUGAUAAUUUAAAUUUAAUUUUAAGGUUUUUUGAGGGGAUUUUUUGACCUAUAAUAGAAGCAACGUCUUAAUAUUUAUUAUAAAUUUGUAUAAAUAACAUUCAUCACAACAAGGGGUCCAAGUAUUUAAGGUUAGGUUAGGUAUUUAAGGUGUGUUAAAGUGUGCAAAGUGUCCAAGGUGUCCAGUAUUAAUAAACGUAGGUCCUUAAAUAAUGAAAUGUUCGAUGAAUUGAUCAUAGUUGUAAACUAUUUGCCAAAAAUAAUAAUAAGAAUUGCAUUGGUAACAUUUCAAUGGCGAUUUUUUUUUCCGGUUAUACAAUAAAAAAAAAAAAAAAGUUUUUCAAAAACUUAAAUUUAAACAUUUACACCUUAAACUAUAAUAAUAUUUCACCUUUAUAUUUUCCGUUUAAUGUAAUGAAGGAAUUGUAUUUUAUCAGUUGUCAAGUUUCACUGUCCGUACUAAAAACACUACAGACUAAUUCAUUCUAUGAGUAUUAUAAAUAACGGGUUUUCGCUCGAUAAUUUCAUGAAAAUCCUACUGAUUUUAGAAUUUUAUUAACGAACUAUUUGACUUGUAUACGAGUUAUAAUAAUAAACAUAAAGUUCAAUUUUGAAAAUAUCGAAACCGGGGUAAAGCCAAUAUAAUUUACAACGACAAAUUAUUAAAUAAUUUGAAAAUGAAUAUAUUAUAUUUUAAGACAAGUAAACAUGAAAAAAGUGUACAUGGGAAAAUGUCAACAAUAUAGAAAUCCGAUAUUCUAAUCAAAUUAUGUUUUUUUUUUUUUUUUUUUGCGACGAAUUUGAAGACGAUCAAUUUGCUGCCGUAUAAUUACUAUUAAUUAGUAACUAACGCAUGAUACUUAUUGUUCGAAGUAUUAAUGGUAAUACGCCGAACGAAACGUACACUUAUAUAAGUACAUGAUAUUACGCCGAGUAUAUAAUUGAAGGAAGUUUUCUUUUGCCACCGAAUAACCUGCCCAGGGACAGAGGUCGUGGUUACAAAACGAAGAAGACGUGGGAGGGGGGGGGUGGUCGGCUGACAGGAAAAUCGGCUCUUUUAUAUCUAAAGAGAGAAAAACUAACGGCGGACGCUGGCAUUGCAUUAACGUGCGGAUAAAAUUCCGGUCAAACAGAAAGACGGCGGCGUUGUAUUAAAUAUUGAUAACGGUUGAUGGACCGUAUAGUAUAAUACUACCUACAUGUAUAUUAUUAUUAUUAUUACUAUAUAUCUAUAUAUAUUAUAUUAAAUAUAAUAUAAUAUUAAAGAGCCGAAAAAUCGUUUAGCUCCCCGGACAUAUCCGGCCAACUGUUAACAGCGACCUUAUGAAUAUUGACGAUCGUAUAGGUAUACGCAGCGGUGCUGCUGUGGGUUCGUCUCUCACUCGUAUAUACACGUGUAAUCCCUACUACUACUGCUACAGCGGAUAUAGGAUCGGGGGAAUUACGUCCGGGCGGACAAUUACGAGAUAAGCGCCCAUCCGCGUAGUAGUUUUUCAAUUAAAGUAAAACUUUCAGUAGUUAUACUAUUAUACACAAAGUUUGUCCUGUCGUAUAUAGCGGGUCCCUAUAUUACCCCAAACCCCCCAGUAAAUCGAUUUGGCGCAGUGGCAGUCGGCGUUCGGUAGUGCGACAUGAAAACAACAAGUAUUUAGCGAAACUUUAAAUUGGGAUAUUAGAACGCGCCGCUGCAAGUUUGCAGAUGAACUGCAAUUAUAAAACGCGCCGAAUUUUUGUUUUUGCGUUGCAGUUUUCUCCCCUGUAUAACAACGACGAGACAAAUUGUUCGCCUCUUUUGAUGCGACGCUUUCGGAAGAGAGAAAAAAAAACAAAAUUAAACUGCGGUAUACUUAUUUAUACAUCGGACUCGCCUACUUCACAGAGGUCGUUGAAACCGCAACUACGUAUUAAAUUUAUGUGAUCCGCCGCCACCACAGCCGCCGUUAUCUCUCGGUAGAAAGUUUGCAGUGUGCUAAACACCGCAGAACUUACUGCGGGCGAGUGGCAAAUGAUUUAGUGCGGUGCUAUUUAGUGUUUUGCCGGUAUAGGAUUAUUAGGUGAUGCGUAUUAUUGCUACGACGAUGACGUCGGGAAUAUUUGUAAUGGGCGGGUUUUGGCAAAGCGGUUUUCGGUAAACAGUUUGUUGCAAUGUUUGCUACUUGGUUGCAACAUCAUCACCAAAACAUGUUAUUUACUACACAGUAUUUUAACCAUGGAUAUGAUCAGUGACACAAGAAAAUAAACGUAGUUUUUUCUUUUUAUUGUUCGCGAGUUUCGGCAAUCUGGUUAUCGAAUUAGCCGAAAUACCGAGUUCGGUUAUCUAUCAAUUAUUAUAGUAAACAAUAUCACAAAACAAGUUUGUUCCUUACACAAAACACGUUUGUUAUUAAUGCACAGUGCAAAUAUUAUCGUGAAUCUGAAUAAUAAUAAUACAAAUUGUUUUUUAAAAUAACUGCUCGUGCGCAGAUUAUUAUUACAGCAAUGCAGUUGUAGAAAAGAAAUAAAUCGUUACAAAUAAAAAAUACCACAUUUGUUUACAAUUUUUCGACGUGAAUUUCCCUUUUUAAUAAUAUAAAAAGACGUUAGAAAAACCGAAAUAUUUAUGUGAAAACGUUUUCUUUUUUUUCGAUUUUGUUUUGUUUUUUUUUUUUUUACGACUUAGUUUAUUAUAAUAAUUGUAAAUACCAAAACCAAACAUUUUCACCAAAGGCUAACUUUAUACUUAUUAGCCAUUUCUGGAAUGGGUCUAGGGUACAAUUUUCAAAACAUUUUGAUGUUUUUUAUAGCUAUAGUUUAUUGAACAUUUUCAAAUUUUAAUUGCUGAUAUGAUUGGUUUAGCCUUUCAAAAAUAUUCAAAAAUUGAAUACAUAGUUCUUUAUAUGUUCUUAUGGAAUAAUACAAAUACUACAAGCUACAAGUGUAUAACUACGCUCUGAAUCUAAUAUAAUCAAUAAUAUACUGAACAGAUUAUUAAAAUACGAGUUAUAGGAUAUUAUACUAAUAUUGGAUUAUUAUGGAAUCUCGUCUUCGUGAAUACCACGGUCACUAAUAAAUAAUAUGCCAUUCUUAUAAAAUUAUAGUACGUCCCUAGAAUAGUAUAUUAAGCAAUAGAGUGCACAAGAAUUUUCAAUGGAUAGACAUUAAUCAUGAUUCAAGAAUUGAAUUGUAGAAUCUUUUUUUAUUAUAGUACUUAUAUAUAUAUAUAUAUAUAUAUAUAUGUAUAACUAGACAACGAAAAUUUAAAAGCAAGAUUCAAAAAAAAGCUAAUUUGUAUUUAAUAAAUUGUUUCCUUGUAACUCGGCUGAAAUAUUUCAAAAUUAAUUUCGAGACAAAAUUACUAAGUAAAUACUCAUAUUUGUUGUGUUUUCAAACUAAUUGGGCGGUGUGCGAUAUAACCUAUAAUCUCUCCCUUUUGUAUACCAUUUAUUAUUAUAAAAGAAUGCGGACCGAAAUGAUAUUGAUACAACCUUUAUAAUGGUUGUUAUACACGAUAUUUCCGCGAAUUAUAUAUAAAUCUUUUUGCUCUGAUCCUCGUCAUCAUCACCCAAUGAAUAUUAUAUUAUGUAAUAUUAUUAAUGUAUUAUACGUACUUUGUGUCCUGCGAAAAAUCAGUCGGCGGCCUUCUAUGGCUAAUAUUAUAUUUUAUUAUACGAGUUUUUACGUAUACACUUUAUAAUGUGUAAUAGGAAUACGCGUACAUAGAAAAAGCACAUACUGUUAUUAUUAUCAUUAUUAUGAUGAUGGAUAAUAUUAUAUACGGAACGAGCGAGACGGACAUACACAAGGACUGCGGGCAUAAUUAAAACGCGGUCACCCUCCGGUGUUUUUGCAUCACUAUGAAGCGGUCGUGUCCGACCUUUUGGCAGGCGGCCGGGGGCCCGUAAACGUUUAAUUAAAAUCGGUUAUGCGAAAUAAAAACGUGCCGUAAACGCAAACAGCAGUUAGUUUAUAUACAGGGUGGGAUAUUUCCUCAUCGUCAUCCGGCAAUUUUCUCGAAAGAUUUUGAUGUAGCGAAUGCAAUUCGCGAUGUCUGCAAUAUAUGCUAUUCAAUCAUUAUACACUUUUCUAUACCUACGUGGAAUUGUUUGAGCUCAUUUUUAUCUUAUAUUUUCAGCUUAUACCCUAAACGGGAGUAUUAACAUUUGGUUUAAAAACAGAAACUCAGUUUUCUCCAUUUUUAAUACGACGCAGAUUAACUCAUGCCAGUGGUCGUGUGGUUUAAGUAAGUUUUCUGGUUACACUAGUGUUUAUGUAUAUAUUUUAAAAAGCUAUUAAAGGUGCGUGUUUUAAACUGUGUGAGCAGUUUGAAACGUAUCAGUAAAGUCCUCGUGGAAACUAGUUGGAUACUUAUCGUUUAUAGUUUAUACAAAAAGUGUGGUAGUGUAGGGAAUAGUUUUAGUAGGUGGGUGGGUGGAAAAUGAAAUAGGCUAAUCAAAGUAAAUAUAGUUCGCGCAACCAUUAACUCGUUUAAAAUGGUAUAUUAUCCAAUAUUAAUUUCAUAUACUUUGGAUUUUGACCCAACUAGUUAACUACUUGAAUAAACCCGGGGUCCAGCUAGUGUAGAUUUUUGAUGACAAGACACAACUCAAAUGCGCCGUAAUUGUCUGGAGGUUGCGUUACUUGAAAAUAGGAAUGUGUGACGCGUGUGUAUGGUGCAGGCGUACAGGAAUAAUAAGAGUACAAUUUUCGAUUAUAAUGUUAUAAAUAUGGUCGUUCAAAAAUUAUUAUUAUUCUAUUAUCAUUUAUCAAAUACAAACAUUUUCUAUCAUACCCUAUUCAAGUUUCUUCUAGGGUUCCUCAAGGUUUCACUCUUCUCCACUAUUAUUUAAUGUUUUCAUAAAUGAUUUACCCUUCAAUCUGCAUUUUGCUAAGUUAUUUUCUUUUUCUGAUGAUGGCAAAUUAUUGGGAUCUAUAAAAUCAGUAAAUGACGCAUAUUUAUAUUAAUGCAGUUGAGAAAUGGUGUCUCGAAAAUAAUUAGUUUAAACUUAUCUAAAUGUAGUGUUAUCUCUUUUUAUUUGAUAAAGGAAUUUAUAAGGUAUUCCUAUUCGAUAUCAAAUGAUGUUGAGUUUCCAAUUGUUAAAUAUAAUAGGGAAUUGGGAGUUACAUUUUCAUCUGAUUUAACUUUUAACCACCACAUCUCUAGAAUUAUCAAUUAGGAUGCAAGACAGUUAGGUUUUAUUAGACAGCAUUGUUAUAAUUUUAAUAACAUUAUAACCUUAAAAACAUUUUAUUGUUGCCAAGUUCGAUCAUGUCUUGAUUAAAACUCAUCUCUUUGGUCACCCCAUCAGUUAUAUUUAAUUCAAGAUAUAGAAUCCAUACAAAAUAGAUUUGUACGCUUUACAUCUUUUAAUUGUAAUAGUUACAGAGCUCCUCAUUCAUCUUAUUCGAUUUUACUCAGUUGUUUAAACAUAAUCACUUUAGAGACAAGAAGUAUAAAAUUAGAUUUGAUAUUCUUGUAUAUAAAUUAAUUAAUAAUUAGUUAAUAUAUUAAACAUAAAUAGUUCGGAAUUAUUUGCAAUGAUUAAUUUUAAUAUUAAUAAACGCAUUCUGCGUAAUAUAGAUUUUUUCUAACCAAAAGCUGCUAUUACUUUUAUAAAAUCUGAUUCACCAAUCAAUCUCAUAUUAACAUUAGCAAAUAAAUAUAAUAUUGAUAAUUUUGUAAUUAAUUUAUAUGAAUUUAAAAGUAAUCUAUGUAACUUAAAAUAAUAUCUAUUAUAUUAAGAUUAUUGUUAUUUAUAUGUGUAAAUAUGUAUAUUGUAUAUUUUAAUAUUAAAUUGUAAUUAGACUUAGGUCCGUAUGUAAUAUAAAAAUAAAAUAAUAAAAUAUAGAGCAUAAACAAAAUAACCAAAAACGAUUUUACUAGAAAUCUUCGUCGGCAUAGUUUAUAAUCGGUGAAUCAUGAUACAAAAAUCGCAUUGUACAUACAAUACAUUGUAAUAACAAUAUUAUUAUUUAAAUGGUGUAUAUAGGUGGAUAUCCGAAUAUCGAACGUGUAUUUUUCGUGUUGCUUUUACAGCGACAGAACUUUAUAAUAUAAAAAUAUAUGAGUAGAAUUCGCAUAAAAUAUCAAAGACGAUAAUAUUGUACAUAAAUAUAUAAUAUAAUUUUAAGAGCAUCUGCUAUAUAUUUUUCUCGGAAAAAAUAAAACGGCAAUUUUCCACGGAAUUUGCUUUUACUACCUAUUAUCCGUUAUCAGCUUUUGUUAUUUUAUUUUUACAAAUAAUAUGUUUAGAAAAAAAUAACCGUCAGCCGUUAAAUAUUCUGUUUCGAGUUAAAAGCAAUAAAAUAUAGUAAUAAUAAUAAUAAAAAAAAAAUAUAUAAGGAAUAGAUUUUUUUUUUUUCAAAUUUGUUUAAGUAAUACGUUUUUUUUCGAGUGAAAAAAUCGAGUAUUCUAUAAUAUUAAACACGCGCAUUAUAACAGUAUAAUAUAAUACAAUAACGCGAUGAUAAAAAAAUAUGUAUACAGUGACAUAAACAUGUUAAAUAAUACAAUAUAAUAAUAAAAAACAAUAAACUUGCUAUAUUAUAAUCGCUUAUCGGAGAGAGUGACAACUUUAUUAACACUCUGACGGGUAUUUUUUUUUCCAUAUAUGUGCAUAUCAUGGGUAUGUUCUUUUUUUAGAAUAUUUUUAUUCGUGUUUACGUAUUAACAUGCGAAUCUAUUCCAACAAUCGCAAUUGCCAUGGCUGGACUAAUGGAUUAAAAAGUUAAAAGCAGAAUUGAUUUCAAUUAUUAUAUAACUCGAUUUUUUUAUCAAAACAACCUAUUUUUUGUACUCCAUUAAUUUAAUCGCUAAGGAGUUAAUUUUAGAUUCUGAGUGGUGUGAAGAAGCUUAUGGUUUUACGAAGCUGUUUAUUUUUUUUUCCUGUGGACAACUUUUCUACCAGAGGACUUGCUUCGAUUUUUAUGUGUAGCAACUUUUCUGACUUAAAUAAUAGCACUUUUUCUAAAAGAAAAUUUUACAUUGAAAAAACAAAAUUAUUGAUAAAACAACACUAUCAAUUGAACUUUGCUUAGAAUCGUUUUUUCGUAACCAAUGGUUUAUCGUUGUCUACAGAUGCCUUACACAUACGUUAUAAAUUAAAUUACCUAUAACAAUGUAACAAUGGCUGCACCUGUCCCCAUUAUCCUAAGACAUCUUUUUAAUUACGUUUUUGACCAGUUACGGCCUGAGGAUUUUGUACCCAAAGAGCAAACUGAACUAGUACCUACCUACCAACCCACUAUAAUUUUACUAUAGAUUUAAGCAAUCUCCAAUAUUCGAGCAUUAUUAACAUUAACGCUACACUUGUUUACAAAAAUCAAUACCUACCUAAUCUCCUAACAUUGGUUUUACCACCAAAUUUGCAUAUACUUUUCAUGGGAAUGUCUCUAAACUUUAGGAUACUAGGACUACAGGACCUUAACAAAGAAGUGAAAAAAACAACAUAAAUUAAGAAUGAAGAUUAAACGUGACAACAGCAAUUAUAACGUAUAAAAUACAUUUUUUUCGGGGAUGGUAUAAUUUAUAUAUUGUAAUUUUAUGAUCUUCUUCUGAUAUAAUUUAUGGCUCUAUCCAAAUCCAUCUUCACAAGAUGAUAACAUAUAUGUUUCAAUCUUUUGUCACUAUCGUAGAUCUAAAUUUAGUUUUUAUUAGAUCUAUUAGAUUUUUGAACAUAUAUGUUUAGUAAAUAUUGAUUCAAUAGCUAGUAAAGUGCAUAGUGUUUUUGUUGCUAAACAAAUAUUAAGAAAAGUAAAAAGCAGUUGUAGAGUAGAGUCUAAGGUUACUUAAUUUCUUAAACAGUUCACUUAUGGACUGUAUAUUUGAUCUUGAGUUUUCAUCGUUAUCUAUAUUGUUAUCAUUUUAUUAUUAUUUAAUUAUUAUAUUAAAAUAAGUUUAUUAUCUAGUAGUAUAAAUUCUUGACAUUUCCCAACUCUGGACAGUAGAUGGAAAGUAUUUAUUCAUAUUUCUUUAAUCGCUUCCCGACAUUUUUCUGCGUGUCCAAUUCUGACUGUGAUUUAACGUAUUAAUAAUCCUUAUUUAAAAAAAAAAAUAACUCUAAGUUUAAUCGUUUCCACUGGUAAGUCUAUGAUGACAAUAAUAAGAUUUACAAACAAAUAAACUUAUAAUUUAAAUGGUUAAGUCAAUUGAAUUUACAAAGUUAACUUUAAACGUACGUUACCUUGUGCAUUUUUUCUGAAUUAACUUAACUUAACAUCCAGCUUUAUCAAUCGUCAAAAACCGAAUAAUUUUCGAUUUCUUGAUAUUUUAUUGGGAUACGCGUAAAACUGUAAUAAUAUUAAUUAAUUUUACAUAAUAGUGCGUAGAUUGUUUUGACGUUGACGAUUUAAAAAUCACUAUAUUGUUAUAUAUCACUAUAUAUACCACAACAGAUGUAUUUCUAUUUUCUGAUACGCGUUUACGAUGAUGACAUUUCAGUCAGAUUUUCAUCCCACAUAUCUGGCAAAUGGACGGUGUUUAGAGUUUAAAUAAUAAUGUAGUAAUAUUUGACUACUAACUACGAACUGAAAGGUUUUAAAAUGACAUCAAUAUCUCAUUUUACCUGUUACCCGUGAUAUUAUAAUAUGUUAUCAUUAUAUUUCCGAACUUUAAACGAGUUUCCGAAACUAUCCCUAUAUUAUACACGAACACGAUGUCUGGAACUGUCCCAGCAAUGAAUAGUAAAUAAUAUAAUAUUAUUAAAAUACAUGAAACUUUUAAACUAUGCGAUAUAAAUAUAUGGAAGUAUCAUAGUGAACAUUAUUUGCUGUACAAUUUUGUGCGAAUAUUGUUCGAAGUUGAACGAAGUUUAUGUCAUCGUCAUAUUGUGUACAUGCAUAUAUUAUUGUAGUAUACAUGUACAGGUAAUGUAGAUUUUCUAAAUAAUAAACGUACAUCAUUAUCGGUAAAAGGACAAGUCUAGAAACUUUUUUUUUUUUCAAAGUUAGCUAUCAUUUAUAUUGUUGAAAUGAUUGUACCUAUGCAUUCGUAAUGCUUUAAAAAUGUAUAUAUUAAGAUGCGUUCGCGUUUCACAUAAAAACUCACACAAAAUAUAAGAUAUAUGUUCGUUUUAAAUAUUUUUUUAAGCUGGUGUUUACAACAUACUAUUGUGCCAUAUUUUAAAAAACAUUAAAAUAAAAUCGAAAAUAUCAAAUGCCUAAUAGCUAAAAAAUAUAAUUGCAUCUUUAAAAGCCUUUUAUAACUAAUUGGUGAAAAUUCCUGGGCUCUAUAUUAUUUUGACCAAAUUAUAAUAAAAAAUACGAACAUACUUCACAAGAUGGGUGGGCUACUGUUGUAGGGGAUAAAAUUAGAAAGUUGGGUGUAGAGGGGAGUUUAAUAUAUAUCUGUAUGCAGCAAUUAAUCAUUGCUAACGAAAAACGAUUUUGAUCGGAAUUCGGUUAUACAUGUUUUGAAAGACCGGAAUAUUUCCUAUUUCCAAUUUCCAUCAAAAAUGUUUAUAAAAAAAAAAACUACUUAAACUUAACUUUUUCUUAUUAUUCACUAAGUGCAACUACUACUAGUACAGUUAUUACUACUAAAUUUUCACCAUUCAAGUUAUAACAAAAUAAAUUAACUUAUGUUACAAUUUAGUUAGAGUUAACAGGUCAUUAUUUAAUCAAUUGCCUUUUAACUUAAAUUAGUUAAUUAAUAAAACAUCUAAGUUUUAACGUGUGAACUAAUUUUAAUAAAUUUUUCAAGUAAGAGGCUCGUUGCCAGUGCAUUUUUUGUGUCAAAAAUUUAUCUUCUGGAAAUUAUUAUCAUGCCUCGUAGAACAGCCCAAUUCCGUUGAUUGUUUUUUUGUAAAAAUAAAAAUAAAAUUUUUUAGACCGCAUUGGAUGUUUUUCAAUAUUUUCAACUCAAACUUAAUAAUUCAUCUAUAAAAAAAGAUCAAUUUUUAACUUUUUGUCAAAAUCUUUUAUUCUAUUAUUUUAAAUUCAAUAAAAAAUCAGAGCUAAAUGCAUUCUGUAGUAUAUAUAGUUAUUUAUUAAUUUUCCAUGUAGAACCAUAAAAAUUGCUAUAUCUUCCCUUUGUUAUAAAUGGGUAACAGGUAGUACAUUAAUGGAAAGGGCUAAUUUUUAAGAGAACGUGAUAUCUUCAUGCACUGUCUUCAUCAUAAAAACGUACGAUAUAUCAAAUUUAAAUCAACAGGACAACUUUGUGCUGUUCAUUUUAAUAUUAGGGUGAAUUGAUCUAUUUUCAAACUUAAAUAUAAGACCAUUAGCAGCACAACGUAGGUACUGUUUUUUCAAUGUUUCAAGCAUUCAAUUUUAUAGUCAUAUUCUCUCUAAUAAUAAUGCAAAUAUCGACAAAAUAAUGCUAAAAUUGUACAGAUAAUAUUAAUAUCUUUAGUUUGAUAGUUUAUUAUUUAGUAAAUUAUUUAAACUACAGAUUUACUUAAAAAUUAAAACUAACAGCACUGUAUUGCCCCAGUUGAACGCAAGAUUCCUAUGUCGUAAGUUUGUAUAUGGAAACAACAUAUACAGGUGUCAUAGCCUCUUAAGGCAGGAAUUAAAAUGUUAAAAAAAAAUAUUUAAAUUUUACAUAAUUAGAGGAAUUUGAGAAAUCUUACACCGGGCCGCUUAAUUUGACUAGACUGCACUGGAAUAAUAUUGUUUACCAACUUGCCACAGCAUCGGAAUAAUCUAUAUAUUUUUUAUUCUGGCAUAAGUAUAGUUAUUACGCUUUGUUCCACUUGAAUAAUAAUAAAAAAAUAAAAAUAUAUCAAUUCAUUUAUAUCAGAUUUAUUGUAUUCCGGCGAUAAAAAUAUUAUGAAAUAAAACUAUAAUAGGCACCUAACACGUAGUGAUAAUAAAAUAUCUGUACAUUAUUUUAUUAUUUUAUUAUAUUUCACUAAAAAAAUUCUCUGAUGGUAUAAAGACAAUUGAUGAGAUACGUUAUUUCAAACUGACGUGUUUGAAAACAGAUUUUUAUAUCGGAAAAAUAAAAUCUAACUGGAAAUUGAAUUUAUUUAAUUUUCCAGUCCAUUUCUCAAACGGUUUUGGCUUUGAGAAACGCCAACGUCAUUUUUUUUUUAUUACGUUACAAAUCGAUUUAUAAAGCAAAAUACGUAUAAACACUUUUGUCGAAUAUAUAAUAUUACAUAAUAAUACGAUUUUUUAUGCAGUUUUUUUUUUUACCGGCAAUACAAGUAUAUAAAAUAUGGAUAUUAUAAGCCUGCCCGUAUCCUUCAAAUUAAACUGUACAUAAUAUAAGAGAAACGCCCACCGUUAAAUCUGUUUGAAUAUUAAAUUUUUUUUAAAUUUGAAUUUUGUCGUAAUAACAGAUAAUUAAUUAUUAUGAUAUUGUAAAUUAUAUACUUUAAGUAUUAUUAAUAUGAAUAACAACUCAAACAUAUUAAUUAAUCCUUUAUUGACAACGGUAAAAGUCUGAAUGAAGUUAUACAUAAAUAUUGUCUGCGUGACAAAAAAUGAUGGACACUCCCCGCCAAUCGUAAUAUGAUAUGAUAUUAUUAUGUAAAUACUUAUAAGUUUUAAUUAAUAUAACAUAAAUGUAUAAUGCUUGUCGUACCGUAAAUACUUAAUAUACAACAUCUAAUUCCUUAAAGAAAUAAUUGUUUUAGUAUAGUACUUAAUUUGCUAUAUUUAGUAUCACAUAUACGUUAGUAUUAUUUUUAUUGAAUAUAAUUUAAAAAAAAUAAUUGACAAAAAAAAAUUACAUUAUUUAUAAUCACUUUUAGAGCAUCGCUGAUGUGGUUUCCCAGCUCUAAUUGGUCUGGGAGUUUUAUCUAUCAUUAAAGGAUUGGGACUGUCAAUUGGUUUCCUGGCGGGAAUAAGUGAAAUAUCAUUGCUUAAAGGUGUUAAAGAUUUGUCGAUCAGUAAUUGAUCAUUAAGUCUUUACCAAAUAUUUCAUCAUUAAAUUCUACGUCAUACAUAUUGUUACCAAUACAUUUGAUGAUUUUACCCUUAUGCCAUUUAUUAUUAUUAUUCCUUUAAACUCUAGCUAGAACAUUAUCACCUACAUUAAAUGAUAUUAUUCUAUUUUCUCAAUUGUUUAUUUGCGAUAUUUGUCUGUUAAAAUGCAUCAAAUUGUAAACGAGUUGAUUGACUGUUAGCUGAGCUGGCGUUUCUUGUGUUGUUGAAUGAGGUGUUUUACGAUGCAUAAAAAAAAAUAUUAUUUACUUACGAUUGUGCUGUCGAACAUUUUUUAAAGAAGUUUUUAAUUAUUUUGACUGCUGAUUCAGCACCAUAGUUCGAUUCCGGGUGAAAUAGUGCGUCUGUUAUUUGUCUUAUACCUACAUUUUUAUAAUACGAUUGAAAUUCCAAACCUAUAAAACAUUUUGCGUCAUCUGAUGUAAUAUCAAAUCGUGCUAUUAUUUGCGAAAAUUUGUUUAUGACAAUUUCUGCUGUCAUAUUAUUUACUAUUUAUUUCUAAACAUUUUGUGGUCGCGUCAACUAUGAUAAAAAAAUAUUUAUUUUGAAAUAAUCCGAGAAAAUCACACUGGACCAGGAUCCACGGUUUUUCUGUCCUUUUCCAAGAAGAUAUUAUAGAUUUUGGUAGAUUUUGCCUAACAUUAAGGCAAUUGUCACAAUUAUGCGUAAUAUUUUCUAUUUCCUUAUUCAUUCCUGGCCACCAAAAAUAUAAUCUGGCUAUACUUUUCAUACUAGAAGCCUUCAUAUGACAAGAAUGGAGUUAUUUUAAUAUAUUAUUAUGGAAUUUAGAUAGUAUAUAAAUUUAAUAACCUCAUAAUUUACAUUUUUGUUCUACUGAAAUUUGAGUUUUUCGUAAAUUAUACGAUUUUGGUUCUUAAUUAUUUGCAAAAUUACAGUUUCAUUUUCCUGCUCUAACUGCGUUUAAACUUUUGCAAUAAUUGUGUAUCUACAUGUUUCAAUUUUUUUUUUUUUGGACCAAUCCAGUGUUUAUGAAUUUUUCAUGAAAAUAAUUUAGACUAAUGCAUUCUUAAUUUUGAUUUUCGAUCGUUAAUUUAGAAAUGUGUAUUCUUGAUAAAAAAAAUAUCAUCUAUGUUGUUAUUAGAUUUUACAUAUUUUUUUUUGAAAUCAAAUGAUAACAAAACAUAGGCCCAUCUACCAGUAUCUAUCUCGAAAUUUACAUUAUUAUUUUCUACAAUUAAAUCUAAUUUCACAGCUCUAUUUUCAGAGUUCUGAUCAAUUAUAGAAAAAAAAAGUUCUGGAAAGAUCGAAGUUAACUGUAUCAUCAUCAUCAUCAUCAUUUUUUGACAACAAUUUAUUUUGUGUUUUAUUGUUUUUCUUUUCUUUUUUACUUUUUUUACAUACAGUGGAUAAAUUAACUUUUUCACCGAAAUUGUUGCAUAAUCUUUUUACCUGCAGUCUUUUUGAACGUGAUUGGAACGGCCACAAACCCCACACUUUGCCUUUGAUUUCUUGGACACAUUGAAAUUCUGAUUGAAUUGACCGUAACCGUUGGUACUUUAGAUCUGCGCCAUCUUUUUUUCUCCAGCCACGUUUGUCAUUUAUUGCUGCUUCUUUAGUUGAUUCAAUUUCCAUUAAAUUUGAAUACGUAACACCACACUUUGACGCGUAUUCUUCUAAGAGACGAUAUUUUAUUGAUCCUGAACCAAUACCGAUAACAAUAUGUCUCAGAUUACCGUUGUUGGUUUUGCCGAAAACCCACAUUUUGAAGUUAAUUUUUUGACACGUACACCCCUUGGCAUAUCGAUUAAUCUUGUCUUCUUUUGGCCUGAUAAAAUAUAUGUCUAGUCGCAAAGUACGACUUUACAGGUUUAAAAUAUUUGUUCAAAUUUUUUAUAAGACUAGCAUACUCAACAUCAUCCGGUAUGCUAGGAACACAUAAACUAAAGAGCACUUUAUGUAUUUCUUCACUAAUUGACGAUAAUAAUAUAGCUCGUUUUUGAAUAUUAUUUUCGAUUGAAUAUGUUAAAAAGUUUGUCAAUUUUAUCUUGAAAAUUGUAAUAUCCGUAAAUGCUUCAAAAAUUCUUGGUGACUCAAUAAUUUGAUUUUUAAAAUAAUUUUUAUUUUCGGAUUAUUUAGAGAACUACUUGGAAAAUCGAAAAAUAUCUUUGUUACUUAUUAACUUUUCAAAAUAUUUGUAUAGACAGAUUUAGAGAAAGAUUUUUUUUGUAAAAACGAAAAUCAAGAUUCUUGGUAUAAUAUUUGUACACUGACCGAAAAAAGCACACAUCAUUGUAAAUCAAUAAAUUAUUCACUACGCUUAGAAUUGAAAAAAAAAAUACAUUGGAUUUGCCGUAUUUGGAAAUAGGCGAAAAAAAUACUGAAAAUAACAACGAAUUCACUUCGGGUAUAAAAAUUAUGCAUUUUUUUUUUUUACUCGUGCAUAGUAAUAUAUAUAUAAAUCACUACUUCACCGUAUGUUCUCCAAAACGGUGAAACGAAAAAAAAAAGAGUUUAUUUAAAAAAAUAAACGUGUCGGGUCAAUGUGGAAUCACCCGGUAUUUUUUAUAUUUUCAUACAAGAGUAUAUAUAUAGCGAGUACCUAUAUGUAUUUAUUUGAUCCUGAACGGUUGUUCAUCCGCGACUUUUGUAAAUACGAAUAGGCAUUUUCCACGCGUGUCCCGGAAAUGUGACCGACCUCCGGUCGUCAGAGACAGGUGCGUAAAACGAAUCGAUAGGGCGGCCAUCAAUCAGACCGGGGGUUAGACGGAUUUUUUUUGCAAUUCGAGAUUUAUUUCGCCGGAAACAGCAGUGUACCUAGUAGUUGGUGAUUUUUUUUGUUUGUUCACCUAUAAUACAUUCCAUCGAAGUUAUUUAAAUAUAUUACGUACAAACGGUGAAUACAUAAUAUUAUUAUGGCAACAGAUUUGGGAAAAUUAAUUUGCAACUGGACAUGAUGGGAAACCGUUAUGUUAGAAUACAUAUUAUGAAUAUAAUUGAAGCCACAAACGAACAAGAAAUUCGACGGCCCACGUGAACCGAUCACAAUCUCUUAUCAUAAAGUAAACCGGUUUCGGUUUUCAGGCAGUUAUAUUAAACCGAUUCGAAUUCGUUUUAGUUUUAAUUUUAGUUUUAGCGGUUUAGUAUUUUUCGGCCGCUCUUUUCUGGUCCAAAGUUACCGAAACCGAUUUAAAUGUAUUCUUCUUAGUUAUCAAUGUAUGCGAAUAAUUAUGCUAUUUGAUCCAUUAUCAUUGUUUUCAUUUGUUAGUUAAGUCCGCAAUAAAUAGGUGCUUAUGCAGUUUUCUAUUGUCUAUCCACUGCUUGUUUUUCAAUUAGUUUCUAUAGUUGUAAAUAAAAAUAACUCAUAACCAUGUUUACGGGUCUGAUACAGAUCCGGCCAUGGCCAGACAUGCGAAACUAGACAUUUUUAUAGAAUUUUGAGAAAAUGUUAUAUCAUAAAAUAUGACAUAGUAAAAAAUAAAAAUCGUAAAUUAUGUAUACGCACGUAGCGCCAACUAGUCAAUUUUUUCGAAUUCAGUCCGAUAUAUAUAGAAAAUAGAUAUUAUAGUCCAAAAGUCGAUAGGGAACUAUCUUAAAUCUUAAAUAUUAUCUUAAAUCGUAUUCACACUAUGCAACGUUAUUUGUUCAACAUUUUUUACAUAGUUAAUUAUUAAAUAUUUUGAAAUUAAUAUGUAUUAAUUAUUUUUAUUUUAAGAAGUUUGAUCGCUUAACAUACAAUUUUUCUUGUUGUUUUGUGAAUAAAUUCUAGAAACGAAAAGAGUGCUCACCGGGGGCGUAAAUGUGAAAAUUGACAGUAUUUAUUGGUACCGUAAUAUAACAUUAUAUUAUUAUCCCAUGUAUAGAUACGCAUUUAUGUGCAUUUGAUAAAUUGCUGUAAUAUUCAGUUGAGCAAACCGCAUAUAGGUACCUAGUACCUAUAAUAUCUAAUAUACCUCUUGCAAUCACGUUUCCGAUUCAUUAAGCAUAAUAUAAUAUAUUCUCUCGAUUAUAGAUAUUACUGCGGUGUACUUUUAUUUGUGAAAAAUCUACGUUUGACAUUAUUAUACGAAUAUGAUUUUGUUUAUAUCAUUUAGAUUAUAUUAUGAUGAUAAUGAUUAUAAUAUUUUGGUAAUAAUGGCCCAUCGUGUAAAACGUAUAUUUUAUGACAGUACCUAAGCCUCUCUUACGGGAGGGGGAAUAUAUUUGCACCCAUCCUUAAAAUAGAAAAUGUCUUAAAAAUUCAUGUCACAGUCUAACAUAACCUAACGGGAUUUUUAUAUUUGUAAAAUAUUAGAUAGAACACUUUAGUAAGUACAUAAAAUAGAAAUUGUUGUAUAAUAUAAUGUAAUGCAUGUUAUAAAAUAAUUUCAUAAUAAAUUGUAAUGUAACACAAAGUUUAACCUCCGAUUUUUCAUACAAGAAAUUCGUUCAAUAAUUUCAUCCACUGGUAUACUUAUUUCUUGGCAUUGGUAAAAGUGCAAGCCCACAUAAACGAUGCUGGCCCAUUUUUGAACGUAGUCAUAACCUAACCUAAUCUAACCUAACCAUGUUUUUAGUCUACAGCAGUAGAUAGGUACCACCAAAAUUUAUAAACCAUUUCCAAUUAUGUAGAUAUAUAAUAAUUAUUAUAUUAGAUUAUAUAUUAUCAUAUGUUUUUAUUAUCUAUGGUCAAACAACGUCGAACUAUGAUAACACUAUAUAUUUUGACCCGGUUCAACCAUAAAUAAUAAAAAUUAUUUAAAAUCUUGAGCUUCAUCAUGUUAUCAAUUAUCAUAUUAUUAAUGACUUUAUUAAAAAGAAUUCAAAAUAAUUGUAAAAACACUAAAAAAUAUAUAACAAUGCACACAUAUAGUCACAUAUAAUUAUACGACCCACGGGGGCGAUGAAUCGAUCCCCCCACAGGUGCGCCACUGUUUUAUGAUAACUUGCCAGGGUGUUUGGGUUAUAUAGACCAUGAAAAUAAACGUUACAAAUACAAUAUGUAGACAAAAGUAAAACUCUCAUUUGACAAGCAAACUGUAACUAUUUCGUAAUCCUUUAAUGCAUUUUGUAUACAAUAUUUUAUCGUCGAAAAAUGCUGAAAAAUAUAUACGGAAUUAAUGGGACGUAGAAAUAAAUAAAGAUAACGAGAAAAAAACGAUAGCCAAAUUUUUUAUACUCGAGUCGUUCGGAUAUCCGAGCAACUGAUAGGCAACAAGUUUCUGAAACUUUCGUUUCUGUUUAUAUGGUACGAUAUAAAUUGAAAACUUUAACAAACGCACGUGAAAAUAUCGAUCGCUCCUGUAUUCGUAUAAUGCCACAUAUUAUAAUACCCAUACUUACAUAUAAACGUCUUACGAUAUUAUAAUUCUCGUUCAAAGCCGAAAUUGGUGAUUAUUUCUUUAAGUGAAACAGCGAACAUAGAUUAGGUACAAUCUAAAAUAAAAAAGAUUUUUUCGACCGGCUAUUAACGGAUGUUUUGGUAGAAAAAGGGGUUAACGAAAAAACAUAAUUUAUCUGUCCAAUCGACGAUCGUUGUUAGAUAAACAAAAAAUGCGCAGAGACAAAGACGUGCAAAAUGAAACGUUAAUUGAAACCGAUGAAACAAAAAUUAUAUUAACGAUAACUUUUAUCAGGAAAUUCGGAGCUGACGGGCUGUAUCAACAAUAUUAUGAUAAAUUGUCAAAAAAGCGUUUCGUUAAAUACGACCGUCGCGUGUCGUGUCACGGGAACGCUAUCAUAUUAUAGCUAUCAUAAAAGGUUACGAUAAAACAAUAAUGCAAAGUAUGUUAUUGUUUAAUUUUUUUUUUUUUUUUAAACACAUGCCAUUUUCAUAAAUUAUAAGUUUAAAAAAUAUAUUACGUAUAUUCUGACAGUUUCGGUUUUUAUUAAUAAUAAUGAUAAUUCUCCACUAAUUAGUUCGUCUAUGCUUAAAAUAAUAAUAAUAUUAUCAUUUUUGAUAGUAAAAUGUAUACAAACUAAUACUUUAAUAAUAUUAUCAAGCGAAAUGUCUUUGAGAAGAUUAUGUACCCCUCCUAAGACCUUUCAUAUUAUAAAAUAUUAUAUUAUAUAGUUAUGUCAACUACCACAGAGUACAGCAUGAAACGGGAAAGAGGUGAGCUUUUCUAAACCCGAAAUUUCCCUUUAGCUGUAUAUUAUAAUUUGUAAUAAUAAUAUAAUUAUAAUCUAAACGGACGGAAAAAAAUCGCAAGGAUAUUAUAUUAUGUUUUUAUCGGCAAUUAAUAAAUAUGCAUAUUAUAAUAACGAUUGUUUAGGUCAUUUCGUCGUUCGUUCGUCACGAUUUUAAUUAGUACCGGUGUAAUCGGGAUUAUUUACUCCCAUGAAAUUUUACCGAAAAGUAAAAUUUCUCUAGAGAUAAUUUACCGAAGGAGGUGAAAUUUCACCCGGUAAAUAAUGCUAAUAAGAAGUGGAACAUAAAUAAUAUUGUCGUAUUAUGAGCAUGAGUGCGUGCACGGGGGAGAUAAGAGAGGCAGCUAUCUUCCUUACAAGAUUUUUCACCAAAAUAUAUAUAUUUUUUUUUAAAUACGUCAGUUAUGAAUUUUGUAAAAUAUUUAACUCUAACACCUCUUUAAUAAUGUGGAUUAACGUAAAAAGGUGAAUCUUGAGUGAUUUAUCCCCCUGAAAACUCAGCCAAGAUCUCACCUCCAAAUUAAGUCCUCAUUAAAUAAAUAUAAAUAAAAUCAAUAUUAUGAGGCUUAUAUCUUUAUAUAUAAAUUUGUGUAAAGUUUAUUGACUUUUAUGAUAGAUUCCUACUCUGCCAAGAAGAAAUGUGCAUGUUUAUGAUCAAAGAUAUAUUUGUGAUGAUGUUUUGUCGUUAAUUUGAUAACAAUUCAUCAAAUUAAAGUACUGUUCGUAUCAAAAAAAUAAUUAUAAUAACAUAAUAUACUAUAUUCAGUACACAGUCGGUCAUUAAAAUCGACAUUGAGGUUUUUUUUUUUAUUUAUACGUAGAAUAUUACAUUAUACUGGCAUUUUCUGCUAUCCAUAGCACCGGUAAGGGCUAGUUAUAAUAGUAUGUGUAAAGUUUAUACGAGAGAGCAGUGUCAGAUGGAAAUCACUGUAAAUGUUAAAUGUCUACCAGAAUAGUAUGAUAGUAUACUCAUAGAUUUCAAAAAGGCCGUGUAAUUGAUAAAGCCUCAAACUUGACUUAUUUAAUAUUUAUAGGCACUCUCUCGAAUAACGGUUCAGAUAACUUAUUUUUCAUUUAUAUUCGGAUGAAACACAAUAACGGUGAUAAGAAACUUGGUAAAAUCGUGGUCGCUAAUUUCGGUCGUUCUAUGGCUUUUACUGCAUGAUAAUAAUAAUACGUGUGGUUACCGGUCACCCUCCGAAAUAUUUCAUACUUAACACACUAUUCGCGAUGCCCAAUUCGGAUUAAAACUACAGGUAAACUUUUAGCGUAGGUACUUAAUACCUACCGCGAUUACGGUUUACACAAUAGAGAGACAUAAUAUAGGUCCACAAUGCUACCCCUACGGUAAAUCAUAAUAUUUUGUACGGUGGCGGCGGCGCUAAACAUAAUAUUUCAUGUAAUGAAUAUAAAAACAGUCUAUAUAUAUAUUUCGGUACUGCCGUUUGUUUUUCUCGUGAUGUGGUUUAAAAGAAUUUUAUUUUAUUUUAUUUUUUUGUUUAUUGUACGUUGAAUUUGAGAAAAAACCAUUAUGGUCCGUAAAUCAUAACUUUGAUAAAAGUAACGUACCUACCUGUACAACAAUACUCACAUAUAAAUCAAGAUAAUCAAGUUUUUUAAUAAAUUUUCAAGAAAAAAUCCAUAGGUAAACUUACGACUCGUACAAAUAAAUCGUAAAAAGAUAAAAUAUUCUUUGUAUUCUCGUCGAUAAUAUUUGAAAAACUCAUAUCACGCCGUGAAGCCCUGCGUUGGUGUUCAUACAAUCUAUAAAAUAGAGAGAUGUUUUUAACUCCAUAAUACUCCUGAUACGGCUGACAUUAAAUAUACCGAAUUUACCGAAUUCAAUUUUUUUGCCGUUUUAUGUCCUUUAGUAAAUGAUAAAUUCGACGAUAAUAAUAAAACGGUAAUUACGUAAUGAAAUACUAGAACAAAAUAAACUUAAGAAAUUUAUCAUUUGGCCUAAUUUAAAAUUCAAUAUAAUCGUUAAAUUGCUAACUCAGGAUUUUUAAGUUUGGACAGGUGUUGUACCCUACCACUCACUCCAAAUACAUAUCACUCUAUUUCCAGUUCGGUGCCACCGUCGUUUUGAUUAUUAUACCGAAAAAUUGUUCGUUUACGCUUUUUAUAGGUAGGUAGAUACGUACCUAUCUACAAAGUUUACCGGAGAAAAGUUAUAAUAUUUAUCGGUGUACAAAACCCACUCUAAAUUAUUCUAAAACACAUUUUCAUUUUAUGCUUUAAUAGCCGCAAAAAAUAACAAAAUGUUCCGAAAUCCCGUUGUAAAACUUUCGUAAACCGAUUAAAAAGUUGUCUUGUAAUAUAUAUGUAUAGAAAAGAUAACAUGUCUGCCAUCGUUUUAAACAUAAUAAUAAUAUUUCUUGUUUUUUCAAGUAUCACUUUGUGCAUAUUGUAUGAUUUUAUAUAUUAUUAUACCUGUAUCUAAUAUGUUUUCUUCUUCGACGAUUUCAAAACGGUUUGGCACAACUCACGUCGUCGUUGAAAUUUUUAAAAGGUUUUUUUUUUUCAUUCAAAGUAUCGUGCGUUUUCAGGCGGGACUACCUCGAAUCGGAAAAUUAUAAUGCAAGUAACCUUUGAGUUAAACGAUUUGUCACUCCAGCAGGAUAUAUGGUAUUUAUGAAGGCGAAAUAAUAAUCGUCAUGAUUUUAUUUUUCCUCCAUAGGUAUUGAAUUUACCGUUCUGUUUCGGAUAACCGAGAGAAAAUAAAAUAACAAUCGAAAGCGUCAACAAUUUUCAGCCGAAUAUUUGUGUAAUAUUUAUGUUAAAAUAACGUGCCUUGAAAAAUUCCAGCGUAAAACUGGCUGUAGAUAUUACUUGUUUUGACGGUUUUGGCCUAUGAUAUGGUAGUUGCGUCAGAGAAGCGUGGGAUCUUCUUUUAAGGAAGUUGUGUGUGUGUGUACAAAUGGACACUUUUUUUAAGUAUAACCGAUAGCAGUAAGGAAUGUGUUUAACACAAUACUUCACUCACUGCUGCCAUUGUUUAUUAAAAUAUAAGUUAUGAAUUAGUUUAUCGAAUGUACAAUCAAUGCCUUGCCUUUGGGAGAAGGCUAAAACCGUAAGUGAUAUAAAUCAACCUCAGGAAAAUAUGGGAAACUAAACGGGUUGUCUAUAAGCUUGUCCAGGACCUUGUAGAAGAGUAUAAACCUGGCUCGUUUCCACCUAUUCGGAAAGACGGACUCACUCAGUUGUAGAUCUUCAGGAGGACUUCAGGCGAUCUCAUAAAAAUCACCGAGAAGACCUCAUUUGGGACACUGUCGGGUGCGGUAGCCUUGUUUUUAAGCAUUAAAGCAACUGCUAACCUGAACUCGUCGACGGUGAGAACGGAAUACCCUCGUUCGUUAGGUUUUGCUGCUUUAGUUUUGAGAAGGAUGGUAAGUGGUUCGCGUAUUUCGAGAAGAACGUCUGGCCAGUGCACUACUGAUCUGACCGGGAAAAACAAAUCUGCUAUUUCGUUUUCACCUCUCCUUUUAGUGAUUCCGGGCGACUGUCUAUUAAAUCACUUGGAGACUACUCUAUAAGAGAUGCCUCAGGGGUCUUUUUAACUGCCGAGGAUAGUUCGGCCGAACAUCGUCUUUAGAAGGUUCGGAUUUGAGCGCAAAGAGACUUGUGAGGCUCUCUUAAACAAGUGGACACUAGAUAAAGCCCAUUAAACAUCUUGCAGUAGAGUACAAUUUUGCUUACUGUAAAUCCAUUAUAAAAUAAACUGAUUAAAUUAGUAGAUUAAUAGAUUAAUUAGUAACAAAAUAUUAUAUUUUAAAUACUCUCACUGGUAGGAUGAAGAGUAACUGGAAAUGUUUAGUUUAUCUAUUCAUGGAGGUUUUUUAACGGAGGGAGCACGUAGUAUAUAUUAACUAAAAAAGUAACCUGCAAAUUUGGCCUAUAUACCUAUAUUUGGCCUAAUACUUUUCCUAUAUAGAUAGUUUAAACUAAUGGUGGAUUUUUUUUCGUGUUUUCUUUAAGUAUUACGAACUCUUGAUAAUUUGCACGCAGUGGUGUACACAUAAUUUUUGUAUACUGAGGGGAGGGGAGAUCAGUUUCAAAUAAAUUAUUAUGAAAGGAAAAUUUCUAAACCUAGGUACCUGCACGUUAAAAUAAUAAAUAAUAAAACAUUUAUUUAUACUGCAUUUUAUUUCAAAAUUCUACAAAUAAUAAUAAUACAAAAGUUUUAAUUUUGUAUUAUGACCACGGCCGGUCGGUAAAAUUGUAUUCUUGACUCUUGUUAUAAUUAUAUUUUAUGUAUACCUAUAUAUUAAAUUAAUAUAAUAUGAUUAAUCAGUCAUUAGUCAUUAGUAAAUUCAUUUUAAUCAUUGCCAUUUUUUUUUUACAUUUCAAUGUAACGCCCUUAUAAAGAACACUAUUUUUUACAUUUUACAUUCCCCUCCUUGUAUACGCCCCUGUUUGCACGUUCUCGUUAGUAAUCGCGGGUGACGUGUGUAAUUACAAACUUGUAUUUCGUGAUUGUUUAUAUAUUAAACGAUCAAUAUAUGAUCAAAUGGUAUUCGAUCGAAACGAUACCUAAUAAUAAUAAUUAAUAAUAUUAUUAUUGUAUUAACGCGUGGAAUUUACCAUACACAAAUUCCAACAAGUCGACAUAACAUAAAUUCUCCGACUUUAUACUGUUCAGUUUCUAAAACGCUAACAAUUCAGCCUUUCGGUUCGACCUCAAUUGGUGAAUAUGAAAAACAACGAAUCAUGUAACACACUUUCGAAUACUCGUCACAUAGCUCUGAUUUUUAUUAAUUUUAUAAUCACGAAUGGACCAAAAUAUGUAUGCAUAUUUUUAAAUUAAAUAUACGAAAAUAUAUUAAAAUUAUUAAAUUAAUAUUAAUAAAAAAUUAGUUAAAAAUUAAUAUUUGUAUGUAGUGCACCCUUAUUAUUUUCGAUUCACAGAACAAUAUCGACUCUAAAUAGAAAGCGUUUUGACGAGUCAAAAGUUGAAAAAUUAAAGGAACAACAACCAAAAAUUUAUCCAUCUAACUUUUUUGAUUUUUAAGAAUCGGGCCAACAAUCUUAUUAUCAAUAUCGAUCAUGGAUUAUGAUGAUUCAUUUCGUAAAAACCAUUCUUCUAUAGGUAAUAAACUCAAAAUUGAUUUGAAAUAAAUAAAUUGGGUUUCAUGAGUUGCUUAUAGGGUAAGGCUUCAUAAUAACAUUAAGAAUGCGAAUAUGAACUUAAGAAAGGUCAAUCGUUACACUGUGCAAAGUUUUAUGACUGAAUAUAAUAUACAAACUAAAUUGUAUAAUCACGUAUCAAAUCAUUUUCAUUAUUGUAUGUAUAUUAUAUAUACUAUUUAUAAAAAUGUGAUAUAAUUAUACGAUAUGACUACUUAUACAUAUGUAUACGAUGUAUUAAAAUAAGGUAUAGACUAUUUAUAACCGGGGGUAGGGGAUUCUGUCUAUAAAUUAUUUAGAAUAUCAAUGACUUUAGUAUUGAAAAGAAGAAUUUAACUACUGUAUAUUAAUUUUAUAUUGGUUACGAAAUAGGGGCAGAUGUUUAAAUAACCCUUGAUAGAAUAUUUAUAAACAAAACCAACCCUACUAUAAUAAUAUUUCAAAAUAUCCCAUCUCUAUUUUUAGAUUUUGUGAGCAAAGAAGCCUAUGGUUUUACAAAGAUGUUUAUUUUUUUUUCUGUGGACAACUUUUCUACCAGAGGACUUGCUCUGAUUUGUACGUAUAUAAACUUUUCUGGAAGGAAAUUGGUGUGGGAAGGUAUCUUAAAGAGAUCGUUUUUCCAUUUUCUCCAGAGUUUUCUCAGCAAAUGUGAAAUAGUGGGAAAACUGUGAAAAUCGGUACAACAUUAAACAAAUAUUAUUAAAGAAAAUAUAUAAAGCCUACUUAAUUAUUGUACUAUAAUAUGACAUAUAUAUUGUUGACAAAGUAUCACUAUUAACUGUACUCCGCUUAGAGUCGUUUUUUCGUAAGCACUGGUUUAACAUUACCCGCCCCCAUUAUCCUACAGCUUAUCCUAUAUAUUUUUUUAAUUACCUUCGUAUUGCUCAAAAUUCUCACGCAAAUUAUAUAAAUAUACAUUUGUAUAUAACUGUUUACCUAAAUCUAAUAUUAUAUACGAAUACAAUAAUACAUACUACACAAAUGUGCUGGUAUUUGAAAACGAAUAUUUCAAAAAUAAACUGCAGAACCUAAGUGUUGUUACGUUGUAUACUUGUAUAUUAUAUGUAAUAUGUAUACAACUAUCAUUAUAAAAUAUAAAUACAAAUAAAAAUACGAUGAUAUUUUUUAAAACUACGCUGUUUUUACAAGAAUUUAUUUACCCCUUUUUAUUAAAACCGGGAAUAGUUUGUAAAAUACACUUAGAUUUCAAAGAAAUUCAUUCAAAAACACGGUCGGGGUCCAAAAAUGUAAUUAAGAAGAUAUUUUGUACUAUAAUACACAAUGUGUAUUCAUAAUAAUAAUAAAUUAAUGUUUUGAAUUGAAAUUAAAUUUUAUAACCAAAUUCUCAAAAUUCCCUUGGAUAUAACAUUAUUAUAUCAUAUAAUUAUCUAAUUAAUCGUAGUGCGUAGUGUAUCUAGAAUCAAAAUCCGAGAAAAAAAUUUUAACAAUAAAUAUCAAAAUAAAGUACCUACAUUUUUAUUUUAUAUACUUUAUAUUUAAUGUGGCUUUAACCUGUAUACAAUUUUUAGAUUCCGAGCCCAAUCAUGAAAAAUGAUUAUUGUGUAAUUAAAAUGUGUUUAUUUUUUUUACUCGCAGAAUAUUAUUUUUCAGUUAGUAUAUCUAUUAGUAAUAUUGAUUCAAAUAUUGUUCUCAUAGAACCAUAAUAAAAGAUGCGAAUUUCCCCCCUUACGUGACGACAUUUUAUUUUAAAUAAAUUUCUAGAUUUCUGACAUUUUUUCUAAAAGUUCAAAAAAAAAAUAGACAACAAAUAAUGAUGAUAUUAUAUCUACUUUAAUUUUAUCAAUUUCUGUAGGGUUUAAGGGAAAAACAACGCUUAUUUAUUACAAUUGAUAGCAUCGAUUUUUUUUUUACAAUGAUUUAUCGUUGUUUUAGAAUACUAACUAUAUUACUGACCUUCAUCAUAUACCUCCCUAAUUUCGCAAACCUAAAACAGUACUUAAUCUACUAAUAUAAGUGUUAAAUUUUGGCUACAUUAUUUUUCUUUCAUGUAAAUAAAUCUGAACAUAAAUUCGAAAUUAUAACAAAAAGUUUUUAGGAUAAGUAACAGAUAACAUACGAAAAUGUUCAAAUAAAUCGUCAAUAAUGUUUUUGGGAGAUAAACAUAUCGAAUGGCGGCGUCUGAAGAAAACGAAAAUGACAACAUAAAACCUGAACGUUAUCGGAAUUAAUUGUAUUAUUACUUUUAUUUCGUUUUCGACGUAAUAAUAUUAUUUUAAUGUAAGACUAUUGACUGUUGAAUAUGAUAUUAUGAAUUUUUCGCGUUUAAAACACCAUUACAGUAUAUUAUUAUUAUAUAUUUUGUAAUUUUCAUCGGCAUAAAGAAAUAACUAAAACAUCACCAACGUUGUGGCUAAGUACAGUCUGAAAAAUAAGAGAAUGUAUAAUAUUAUUCUUUAAAAAAGAAGGUUGUAUGUUUUUUCGAACGCUUUUCUUUUUGCCAUUGACAUUUCAAACAAUAUAUAUUUUUCAACAUCAUCAUAACGCUAUUGAAUCGUAUUGCAUAAUAAUAUUUCACGUCUUUAUUAUUAUUAUUUUCUUUUUUACACAAUUUCAAUGCUACAUCAACUAUUAUAUAUUUUUAUUUAUAUAAGUCGUGUUUUUUAUUUAUUCUUGCAAAUCUGCUUUUGGCUAUUGUAAUUGAAAGAGCUUCUUUUUUUUUUUUUGAAUGCGUGAAAACUCGGUAAAAAAAAGUGGUAAUACUGUGUUUUAUCUAGAUUAAUUAUGAUCUGAAUUGGAGUAUUAUUUUUAUCAUUUCUCUUACUGAGAAAUAAGUUAUCCGAGAUAAAUUGAGGCGCUUAGAACACAAGGGUUAUAAGUGACAUUAUUUUAAUUUCAAAAAAAUCAAGUUUAAAGUUUUUUGUAUUUAAUACAAUUAUUAUAGUUCAUUGUCAUAUUACCACUGUUCUUGUGUUCGAACGAUAAAAAUAAGUUUUGAACACUUGGCAGUAUAGAUACAUAAGUGUGUUAACAACUGUUGUGAAUCCUUGUACCUAUUUACUUCUCAUAUGUUUCGGCAUUUUCAUUUGUAGACUAUUUUAGUGAGAUCUAGUAUUUAUUACUGGAUUGCAACAUAUGUGGAAUAAUUUUCUUACAUUUCUUUACCACAUAAUUAAAUGGAAUAUUUUUAGUUUAGCCGUGCUCUUAACUCAGAUUUUUUCAAAAUGUCACUUAUAUCGCUUGUUUUCUAUGCGCCUCAAUAUCAAUUAGGAGAACGUGUUUAUCCAUAUUUAAGGGGUUGAGUGUAGGCAAUUUUCUUGAAACUUGUAAAAAUACUAAUUAUAAAUAAGAAAUUAAAUUUAAAAUACAUUUAUAAAUAGUCACUGUUAUUAUCACAAGUAUAUCUGGCAUUCCAUACCAAAAUACAAGGUUAUCGGCUAUAAUUUUAACGAACAGUGGAUUUUUUAUUUGUUUUAAACUGAAACUUCUAAUUUUAUAAAAUCUUUCCAUCAAUUGUUGAGAGCGUUACCAUUGUUAAUAUUUUAAAUUUGAGGGAAACAUGAAGAUGGAAAUUUUUAAAAUUGAUAUGAUUUUUUUUAAAAGAAUUUGAUACUUACUCAAAACAGAUAUUUUAAUCAAAAUUACAGAGGGGUCGGCAGAUAACUCCGUGAUUUGACGAGGAAUGCCUCAUAUGUAUUAAAUAAUUGAGAAAUUAACGAAAAUAACAAUGGAACAAACUUUUUGGAAGGGCAAAAACUACUCCGGUUAUAGAUUGAAUGAAAAACCAAAUUUUCAUAAUAAAAAAAAAUAAAAUAGAAAAUAAAACCCACGUUAGGUCACGUUGGUUUAUUUUUUAUAUAUAAGGUGCAAACUCAAAAUUAUCAGAUUUCAGAGCAAUAAUAAUUUUUUUUUUUUAUAAUUUGUGGUAUUCAAAAAUGAAGAAUAAAAAUUUUUCUUUUGCUGUGCUGAAGAUUCGGUUCCGUAAUUAGGUCUACAGCCAGGGUGUUUUUGUCCACGUGGAACAGCUUUUAUAGCAUAAUUACGAAUGGUAGUAUGCAUUCUUAAGUCAUCUAUAUUAAUUAUUCAUUCAAAUCGUAAAUGUUAUACUUAUUAGAAAUAAAAAAUACAAUUUUUAUACAAUUGAUGAUAUGGUUUAUAAAUUAAUUAUCAAUUUCAUAAAUACUUCUCAACGGCGAGAGAGGCAAAGAGAGUACUUGAGUAGGUAGAAAGGGGAGUAAAAGAGGUGAUUAGAGGACCAAAAUGUAAUACAUUUCUGAGGAGGUCAAGAGGUUGCUUCCCAACGGGUACCCAUUAAUUGAACUCAAACAUUUCGUACCCGGUAAGGUCGAAAAGGUUUGCAACGGAAGGUUCCUGGUUGGCACUGAUUCGGAGCAAAUUAGGGUUAUACACAGACACUAAACUGUACAGACAUGUAAAUUGCACACGAGUGAAGUCGUGGACAAAGUCACUGAUAAUACAGCAAUAUUUGUAUACUUUAAAUUUGUUGACUAUAAUAUAAAAAAAAAAAAUAUUUAUAUAGAUAAAAAAAUUACCGCCCAAUUAACUUAAUCUAAAUAAUUAAAUUGUUACGUAUCAUAUAUUUCCGUUUUUAAAAUCAUUAACCUUUCAUCGUGUUUGUCUUAAGUUAUUUUAAAAUGUAUCUUUAAACAACACUUGCAGAUUGAAAGUCUAGAAAAAAUCUGUUCAAAAUUCCGUCGAAAUUAAAUAUUAUUAUUCAAGGAAACAAGCGCGUUUGAAAAAAAAAAUGUCUUUGCAAACGAUAUUAUUUAUAUCGUGCUUAUCGUUUAAUGUGACACUCUGUAAAAUCCGCUGUCGUUGGAUUUUUCGAACGAUUUAAAAAUAUCCUAAUUUUUGAUUUACAACGACGAGGGUUUCGAAACGCCGCCAACAAUCGGAAGAAUAGCCGAAGAAUAUAACUUUCUAAUAUUUUCUUGAACCUUUAUUAAUAUAAGUAUAUAUACUUAUGAUAAUAAUAUUCACAAUAUAUAAUAAACUGCUGUGGCGUAGUAUAAUGUAAUAUUGAUUUUUUUUUUUGUAAAGAACGGCUCGUUUAUGUUUACAGUGGAAAAAAAACACCUGUACGAAAAUAACGGGAAAAAACCCCGUGUCUAUAUUACGCAAUAUACGGGUGGUGACGAAAAUAAUAUUAGGUAUAUAUUUUAUAACAAAUCGUCAGUCUCCGGCUCUCCCACCAUCGUUUUGCCAUUCGUACCGGCGAACACGUCACCGUAAUAAAGUGUACUCUAUAUUAUGCACCAGUGCACCACCACCGACGCUUCCAUCCCGAUGAUAAUAUAAUAAUAUACGCCGCAUAUACAAUGCAUUAUAAUAUAAUAUAUAUAUAUUACGAGAAAUAGUAUAAUAUAAUACCUACACUAUUAUAUUAUUUGUCGGCGAAUAUAAAUGGAAACUCGUCGGCAGUUGGCGGCACUGAUUAAUACGCGCGUGUGUCUCCUACCUCCCUCCUUCGGUGCUGCCAGGGAAUUAAUUGGUUCGAAAAUUCUACACCGGUAUACGCGCGGUGUUCCGAUUAUGUGGGAGUAGCGGCUACACACCGCUUAUAUUAUUAUUAUUGUGUAUUAUAUAUUAUUAUAUACCAACGAGUAAAUAUAUAUAUUAUUUAUAAUAACAUGAACAAAGGCCAUUGUUGAAAAAUAUAAUAUAUUUAUGUGUACAUAAUAAGGUCGAAGUGGUCGGUGGGAGGGGUCAGACGAGGGCUGUUUGAACUGAAGUCGGAAACUUAUUUUUUUUUUCCAAAAAAAGCCUAGGUAUGUGACGAAAACUUUUCAUUCGGAAUCUCGAAUCGUAUAUUAUAAUAUAACUAACCUAACCUAAAAACGUUACGUCGCUCGUAUUUAUUUCACUCUGAUGUUCUCUCUGAAAGGUUAAACCAACCGCUACCAUGUUUUGAUUUUCAAACAGAAACCCGUAUUAAAAAUUUAAAAGGUUAGGUUAGGAUAGGUUCUACGAAAAUUACACGAACCUUUUAGUUAAACCGUUUACGAAACAUUCUCGUUUUUCAUUUAAACUGAAACUUCAUCUAUUUAUGGAAUUUAAUAAAGGUGGCGGUAUGAAAAUUAAAACGUCGUAGUUGUUUCAAUUCCAUAAUUACAAAGGUGAACAAAAUCAAGGCGACGUAACAUUUUAGAAUAGAAAGUAUGUACGAGUUCAAAAAGUGUUCAUGUAGGCUAUUUUAUUGGAAAUGUGCCUAGGUUUCCAAGGUUAUGUUUGCCCGAUCGUUUCUUCCCAAAACAUAAGGGUAGUAAAAACGGUGCGGUAAAUUAUUUUAGAGUUGCUUGUUUCUUAAAUUUUCCAAAUAAGAAUAUUCGAAUUAAUACAAGUGCCUUACACGUUAUAACGAUCACCCUGUUUAUAUAUUUUUUGUCUCAUAGGCGUCAUUUUACUAAAAUCCAGGGGGUUGCAAAACAAAUCAGAAAAGUUACCAUCUCUCUGCAAAAUCGAUCGCUACACUCGCAAUUUUAUUCGCUACUUUCAACUUAAUUCCAGUUUCCAAAUACAAUUUUUUUUGAUCAUAAAUAAUUACCUAGUCUUAUUCUAUAAAUAAUUAGUCAAUAUUGUGAUUUAAUAUAUUGAUAUUUAAAGUGCAUUUAUUUUGAAUAAAAUGACUCUCACAGACUAUAUAUGAUCUUUGAUACUCAAUAGCAUAGCGACAAUUUUCGCGACCAUGUGGUAUCACCAUUAAUCUAUUUUGUGGUAUCACUAUCUCCAUUUAAGAUUAAUUAGUAUAUAAACAGAUAAUGGGUUUAUAUUAUGUAAAGUUAAUUGAAUAACAUACAGAAUAUUAUUAUUUAUCACAAACUAUCACUAUAAUUAAAGUUAUACUCUCUUUGAUAAAACUGCGGAUCUAUAAUGUUCUGUUAGCCUCACAUAUUUCGUAUCAUUCCUGGUCUAUUCUUUUAUAUGUCUAUAAUACAUACCGUGAUUACAACUGAUUUUAGAAUACAGUUAGGAAAAACAUAGAUAACAAGUUAAUAUGUCUAUGAGGAAAAACAUAGAUUUCAAAAAUAACGGUUUACUAAUUCACAUACGUAAAAUAAAAGAACUGUAAGUCGAUAAGUAUCACGAGGACGUGAUAAUUAUCAGAUGAUCAUCUGUUAUCGUCAUUACCAUUACUUUAUAAAUAUUUAAAAGUUCAGCAUUAUUUAUAUAUUUGAAUUAUAGAAAAUUCAACGGGGGAAAAAUUAUAGUAUUGCACCUCGAAAUAAUUCAAGUGGAAGCAAGUGCAUCCCCGUGUACCCCCGAUAUUACGCCCAUGUUUUGUCUAUCAUUGUUAUUAUUAUUAUUAUAUAUAUUUAUAUUCUGUUUAAAAUAUUAUAAUAACAUAAUAUUCACGGGUUGGUUUCGAUGAAAUGUAUUUUUAUUUAACCGAUAUAUCGAUGCUAGUGAUUUCUAGAAGAAAAAAUAUGAGUACCUAUUUAUAAAUAUUUGAAAUGUGCUAAGUACCUUACUAUGUAUUUAUAUAUAGUGCAUACACUUUAAAAAUCAGUUAUGAUCAUUUUCGGCCGUCGUCUACUGCAGUGCUCAUUAAUUAUAACAAACAGUAUAAAAAUGUGAAGUAUGUGUUAUCGCUCGGGGCUAAACAAAAGUUAAUUUUUGAUCCUAGUCCUAUUGCUUAUCAAUGUUGUAAAUAAUUUUUCAUCAUAUGGACCUAAUAAAAAAAAAAAAAAAAACAUAUCGAAGAGGCAGGAAUUCCCUGAAACUCUCCCCUCCCCCGUAAAUACGCCAAAAGACAUAUAUAAUAACUAAUUGUCGUUUACGAAUUCGCAAGAUGCGCACGUAUAAAACGCGUAUCGUUUAUACAAGAAAUUUCGGAAUCGUUGUCGGUGAAUUAAUGAAGACACUCGUCGCGUCGACUAGUCGUGUGGGGUCGUUUAUUAUACGGGUCCGAGUCGAGCGCCGCGAACUAAUCGGCACGGAGCGGAAAUCGUGUUCACCGCCGCGGUAGCCAGAGGUAAACCGGGUGGCGUAGAGGAGCAGAGACGGCGGUGGCGAAGGAUUGUUUGUAAAAAGAAAAAAAUAUAUACACGGACCCGUGGCGUGGGCGAUCGGAGUGGCGGCGAGUUGACACAGACAAAUGGCGUAACUUUUUCGCCGGCGCCCGGCCGCUCCCGGGUCGAAACCGACGCCCGGCCACCCCGUCGCGAAUUCGGAGUAUCUACCUUGUUUUUAAGUACCGAACGGACCAGCGGAAAAGAAAGCCGGGAAUUUUCUGCUGGAUAUAUUAUUAUUAUAGAGCGCGGGCGGGAAGAGGCGGGAGCAUGUGGUGUGUCCGGUGGGAAAACAGCCUGUCAUCCGGUCGACAGUGGUCGUGAUGGAUGAACGAAGAUGGCAGCCGUAGUGGCGUCGGCGCGGUGGAGACGACCGGGUUUCGUGUUGCCCGAGGAUUUUCGCGGCGAUGAAUUAUAAUGAGGACGACGGUGACGGUGGCGGCAGAAACAGAGUCGUCUAGGCGGCAGGAUUAAAAUAAUUUCACUAUUUUAUCCCCCUCCCCCUCUGGGUUGGGUCCAUCGGAUAAAACAGUUUACAAACUACAAACUAUAAUGCGGUUUUUCGAUAUCAGUCGUCGGGUCUUCAGUUUUCUGUUUCACACACAUGUACAUAACUUACGCACUCGGAACCAGGGAAUUAAUUAGUUUUUCAAAUAACUACUGCGGUUUCAUAGCAACGUUCAAAAGUUCAGCCGCAACGCUUCGUGGUUUUAACUGAGAAAUAAUAAUUAUAAUUAAAUUAACAUGUCGUACGUAAUAUUUCCAUCGGCUUGUACGGUGUGACGCCUUAUUGUUGAUGUGCAGGACGAAUACAACAUAUUAUAUUGGAGUUCAAAAGCGAUCGAGUUUAACGCAGAAAAGAAUAUCAAUAUUCAUACCCAUGGAAAAUAAACUAAAAAAAAAAAAAAAAUGAAUACUGCUGAUGGAUGUUCCACAGUUUUUAAGGAAAAAGCUGAAAGCAAUGAUAUAUAGUAUAAUUUUGUUUUAAUAUGUAUCCAACCAUAAAUCAUACCUAACGAAAAACGAUUCUGAACAAAUUACUACUCAAAAAUCGACAAAAAUUAUACACACAUUGCCAGUUUUUCUGAUUACUAAAAAAUUCAAGAAAUUAUCUCAUAAAUGUCUAUAAAAAAAAUAAUGCAUACAUGAAAGUUCCUAUACAAUUUCUAAUUGGUGUAGGAUUUCUCGUAAAAAAGUUGUUAACAAACAAAAAAAGACAAACAUGCUUCGCAUGACUGGCCACUGCUGCAGGUGAGAAGUUGGGAAGAUAGGAUAUAGAGAAUUCAAUUUAUAUCUGUACGCAACGAUAAACUGUUGUAAUGAAAUUUGAUUCAGAGGGAAAUUAGGUUACACAUGUUUUGAAAGGCCUUAUUAUUUAAGAUUUUCGUCAAAAUUGAAUACUAAAAUUCUUAUAAAAAAAAAUACUACAUUCAUCUUAUUUUUUCUUCACUACUAAGUAAAAAAUAUAAGAAUCUCCUGUUUAAUUUUCAAGCAUUUCUCUUUAGUCUAAUAAUUGUAUCUUCAGAUCAAUAUCCACCUACCGAAUAAAAAUCGCAAAAAACCACGCAAAAUAAAAAUGUCCGUAAAUAGCUAAUCUAAUCUACCAAAAAUGGCUCAAAUGUCUUAAAAAUGUUACCACGUAUAGGAAUAGGAAUUAUAAGUUUUCUGUUUAAAUUUUAAGUUAUCUACGAAUUUUAUCAACUCAAUUCGAACAAAAAAUCAAAAUUGAAAAUAAUAAUAGCAUUAUUUUCCCAUUUUUUUUUCUACGUUUUUUACUUGGGUAUUUUCGCUAUUAUUAUGAAAACUGUUUGGAAAAUCAAAAGGUCCAAGGUCUAAUCAUAUUAUAAUAAUAUGCUACAUAUUAUCGUGUUGUGAACUUCAUUAGGCACUAAGACUUUGUUCGGGGAAUUGUUGCUAUACAAUGUUAAUAGCGUGUUUUUCAUUUUUCAGAAAAUAUCGUUAAUAAUAAGUUGAUAGGUAUUAAGAAGAAAAACACAUAUAUUGUUUCUCUGUCGAUUUCCUUUUGACCGGCACAUAAAAUAUUAUACAAUACAUUAUUAUUAUUGUAUAUCUUUAAAGAAAUUAUGUGCGUCAUUAAUCAUUACAUAUAUUUAUACUGGGCAUUGUAUGUAUGUUGAACGAAAAAACGCAAAAAAUAAAGACCCGUAUUUUAAAUUCGUCCAAACAAUACGACCUUUUUUAAAAAAAUAUUUUAUAGAAUGUUGGUAGAAAAUAAUAAGGAGGAAAAAACUAUUCGGGCCGAACAACGCGCGCUGAGUCACCGACAAUAGGAAAACCGUUGUGCUUUUCUUUCACGCGAAGAAUAAACGCUCGGCCCAGACACGACAACUCGACGGCUUCAAUGCAGUAACCGCCGACCUCUUCAUGAGGGCUGUUUUUAUAUUAAAUUUUUAUCAUUGUCUCUGUGGACCAGCGAAAUUUCUUGUAAAAUUCGUCACGUGCGCCGCAGCAAUUGACGACGAGUUGUUUGUUAAAGCCCCGUCCGGAAAAUCGACCUAGGUAAACGGAUGCGAUCGGACGAUAUCGCUUUUUUCGAUUCAAUUCGGGUACGUCAGCAUGUGCUCUGUUUAAACAUUACCCGAAUUCAAGUACACAAAAUAAAAAAUACUGUAUUUGGAUCAUAUAGCAACAUCCGUCUGAAUACAAAUAAUUCCCAAACAAAUCGAUGUCCCGCUACUCGAACGAAAGCGAACGAAUACAAUGCACCACGGGAACACGCAUGAACACUGGAAAAUAAUGCAUACGAUAGGUAAAAUAAUGAUAAUAGGUUUAUGAGUCAAGUGGCGUUGUAAAAAUUAAGUAUCCAUGUAGGUUUGGCCUAAAGCGUCUUCUAUGUUGGUAGAGUUGCUUAUAAAAUGCGUCUUUAAAUUUUGUAAAUAAAUAAUUUGAAUGUAAACAUAUUUUGAUUUUGAAAUUGUAUUUAAUUUUGAGUUUAUUUUAAAUAAUAUGUAUAAUACAAAACGUAUGUAAAACUUUUUAGUCUUAUGUCUCUGCAGUCGAAGACAAUAUACCUAGUAAAAUAAAAAAUAAAAUAAUGAUAAUUAUAAUUAUAAUUUAUUACUAAAAUAUGAUUUAUAGUCCGUAAAUUAGACGAUUUAUAAAAUAUACUAUUUCUCCUGGUACCGAUCUGACAUUGGUUUCUCGAUAAAAUGGUUUCUUUGUAAACACUUGAUUAUGUCAAGAUUACACGUACAUUUGUAAAUUUAAUAUUCAGAGAAUUUGAAUAUUUGUUUGGUUAAUAAAUUUAUAUUUUUUUAAAAACGUUGAUAAAAAUGUGUAUACUCAAUCCCUUAAAUACAACAGACAGGUGCAUUCUCUUAAGUAGCAAGAUGCUAUCAUAACAUUCGAUUUCUCUGUCUGUCUCGCGUGUAAUCUAUAGCAACAAAGCCGUUGUACACUUUCACAUUUGUGACCCUCCGGCUGAGAAUGUAGGGUAAAGAAACCCUGUGUUAUUUAUUUUAAAAAGAAUAGAAUUUACACUAUGCUUCGACCGAAUGAUUUCUUUUUUAUAUCUUCAUUUUUUAUCAUGAUACGUAUGUUUUAAUUUUUACUUCAUUUUGCUUCAUUUUAACCACGAAAAACUUAUUGAGAAAUAAAAAUGUAUAAAAGGAAUAAUUCGGUAAAGACAUAAUAAAAAAUAUAAAAUACACACAUCUUAAUAAAACGCAUCUCUUAAUAGGUCCCUUUGCAUUUUGCCAUACUCACUUUAUUCAUUUUACGUUAACAUAAUUUUCAACAAAUUUCACGAUUAAGUGCACGUAAUAAAUACUUGCAAAAAUGACACGAGACCAUUUUUAAACAUAUAGUUACAUUUUUUAAAAGAAUAUUUCAAUUAUUUUAAGUUUAUGAGUUGUCGUUUAAAUUCAUUUAAAAUCGUAUAACCUCUAAAAUAUUGGAAAAAUUGUAUAUUAUUAUGUAAGCUUUACAUAAAGUUAUAUACUUAUAUACAAAAUUGUCUACUGCCGAAAUAUUAUACACUUAGUGUAUACCUACUUCUAAUAUAUACUUAUCCGUGUAAUAAUGUAAUUAUUGUGAUUGAUAGAACGACGAGAGCCGUCGCCGGAGAAAAGUGAUCGACAUUAUCUUAAAUAAUUGUAACUUUUUCGGAACAAAAAGUUUUCAAGAAAUUAUUAAUAUUUAGUAUAUAUGUAGAAUUUUUCUUAACUAGAUUACUGUGCAACAAUCUAAUGAUGAUGUUGUCGUUAGUUAAAUAUUGUGCUACGCCGCCGCCGUAAAAGGAAAUAUUCUCUUUAAUUUAAACUAUAUAUAUUUAUUGAUUUAACAAAAACAAUGCAAAUUAAAUAAAUUCUCUCUGUACAAUAUUAAAUACGUUUAGACUUUAAAUUGUACAAGCGCUGUGAUAUAAUAAAACUUUAAUACAAUAUUACGCGCACAUCCUCAUCGCAAACCCCGUAAAAUUAUUUUAUCUUUAUCUUUAAAUUACUUAUCGAAAACUUUGUUAGGGUUCUAUAUAUUUUGUACCGAAAAUGUAAAUGUAUUAUUUAUAUUGUGAAUAUAGCUGUACCUAAUUUUCAUUGUAUAGAACUUCAACUACAGUGAAAUAUGAACGAAACAAGUAAAUUACGAUUAAAAUAUUUUGUUUAGUGAAAAUUACAUUUUUUGCUUUUCUUAUAAUAAAAUCAUCAUUAUUAUUGGGGUUUAUUCGGCUUUUACAAGACCAUCCCGUUGUCUCACAAAUGAUUCUUUGGCUAUCUCUCUCCAUCGCCAAAAAUCUUCAAAUUUGGUUCGCACAGCCUAAAGCUUCUACAUAUUCUUCUUUUUUUUUUUUUACUACAUCUUCCCAUUUUAUUCUCAAAAUUGUAGUAAAGGUAUUUUCCCUAUUACAGGUCUUUGUUCCAGCAUUGCCUGCAAGAGUAGGUUUUGGCUUCUCUGUGGUGCCUCAGAUUUUUUCUUUUUAGAUUAUCUCCAAAGUAUUAUUUUCUCCAAAUAUUAUACUUACACUAUGUACAUAACUUUCUGUUUUUUCUUCGUCUCUUUAACCGUUAAAAUUAUCUCCCGCAAUAUAUUUUUUUUUAAAUACCAACAAUUUAUUGCAAUACCAUCCAUAAAUCAUAAUUUAAUUAACUAGUUAUGUUAGAAAUUUAUCAGUCGUGCAGAUUUUAUGGCAGUCACUGGUUAAAAGGAUAAUAUUUCAAUUCGUUGAUAGUGAUAAUAAUAUUCAAUAUUCCAUCAAUUACAAUAACAAUUAUAAUUUACAAUUCAGAUAAUAUAUUAUAUACGAGUACUAGUACACACAGAAUUAUGCGUAUUAAGAUGGAUCACCUCCAAAACCAUUCAUUUCCUAAGAAAAUUUUUCAUAGUAGUUGGCGAUUAUUAAUGAUCGCCACCGGUCGAUCGAGUAAGGCCGAAAUGGAGUUCUGUUAUCUCUAAUUAACUAAUCAAGAAAACAGGUGUCACCAGCGCAAACUUAGAACAAAAUAUAAUAUUUAUAAUAAGUGGCUGACGUGCCUAGUUAGUUAUUUAUAUUAUAAUAUCAUCUAAUAUUAUUCCCCCCACCACCCCCCUCAACCGAUGUUUCUACUUAUAAAAUUUAUUUUUCUCGUUUUAGAAAUUAUAUUUCACCGAGUUUACUGGGAUAUUUCAUAUUGUACUUUUCGACAUCAUAUUCUCACAACGUACAGGUGAAAAUGUUUUAGAACUUUGUACAGUUUGUUAAUACAUUUUUUAUAGGUACCUACUCUUCUCUUUUGCAUUAAUUUGUUUGCAAAAAAUAUUAUAACAUCGCAAGAAUACUACCAUAACUAUCAAAGUGUUUAUAAAAAUAUUCAUAUUUAUUUUUUUAUUAUUAUUUUAGAGACUCAUCUUUAAAAAACAAAACAAAAAAUUACUUAAGAGUUUUCGUCGAAAAAGUGAAAAUAUAUUAAUAUAUACGUAUAAAUCUCGAUUUAAUUAUACAUUUUUGUUUCUCUUGCAUUUUUCUCUUUCUCCUUAAAACAUUUUACUCGGCCGUUUUAAUGUUUUAUUUAUAUACUUUUAAACAACUUUUGGCUAAAACUCACGUCUGUAUCUCAUAAAUUUUUCAGUACACUCAAAACCCUGCAGCGCCUACCCCUCUACCCUCUUAGGACACGCCUUAAAACAACAACGCGCAGAGCAAAUAGUUUUCAACAACUCGAGAAUUUAACGACAAUUAUUGUUUUAUUAAACUAAAAUAUAUAAUCGCAGCAUAUUGCAGUCCCAAUAUAGUUUCAUAACAGAUGAUAAUAAUGUAUAACUGUAUGGUAGGUAUGUAAAUCCAUUCGCUAAUUAAGAUUGACUCGAUAAAACUUUAGAAAAAACGAUUUUUAAAAAAUGGCUGGGUAUAUAGAAAUAUUUAUUAAUCCCGCAGAAUGUUAGAAAUGGAUCUGGUUAAAUUUAAAUUUGUUUCUAACCUAAUUCAGCCGUUUAAUCAAAUUAAAUAAUUGUUUAUUCAGUAUUCCUAAACUAUGAAUAAUAAACAAUAAUGUACAACUUAAUAUCAAUCAUACAAAAAAGGCUGCACUGCCAAUGAGUGCACCACUGUUGUAGGAGGAAUGUUAAAAAAUAUAGAGUUUAAUUUAAUUAAUAUCAACGGAAAUUCAUUGCUAAAGAAGAACGAUUCUAAGCAGAGUAUUAUAAGUCGCAUUAGAUUUGGAGCGUAACAAGAGAUCUAUUGGUUUUACUAUCUAUGUGGUUUUUUGUCUGUAAACAACUUUUCUGAAAAAAAAUCUUUCUCUGAUGUACGAAGUAUUGCACAGUGUAAUGAAUUACGCAAACACACAUAAACACACACACGCACAUCAGGUAAUAAUAAUAUAAUUGCCAAAGUGCCGUGGUGGUGUCGGAGUCCUGGAGUAAUGUAUAUUUUGUUCGUCUCCUCUUAUUAUAUCCACCGACUCCUGGUUUUUCUCCUCUACCUCCCGGUCGUUCAUCGUCGUCCGCUUAAGGCUUUUGUCGAGUAGAUUAGCGCGUCAGCCUCGCCGUGUCUCUACGGACCCACAACCGCACGCCGGUCCUUUUCUUCACGACGGCCGACGUAAUAAAUUAUUAAACCGCCCGAGACUUUUGUCUGGUCUACGGUUUAAUGCGGUGUUUAUAAUAAACCGGCGAGCGGCGUACAUAUAAAACCAAUUCUGUAUAGCUACUGUAUACCAACUAGUAGCACAACCUAGACGUGGGAUACAUCAAAUAUCAAUAAUAUUGAUAUUAUUGGACACAUCGGAAAAUUAAUAAUCAAUUAAUAUCAAUCUCGAUUAUCGCCUAAAAUUAUUUUUUUCUCCCGUAUUUAAAAUCGAAAAUUGUACUUUUUAUCUUCUAUCUUAAUAAACUAAUUAAAUUAAUAAUGAAUAAGAAUCGCACUUUAGAUAGUAGAAAAACAAUUCCAAGAACGCGAUUUAAAAUAUAUAUUUUAUUUGAUAAAACAAAAUUAUCACGUUUGUCGAUAAUGAUGAUAAUAUCAGAGAUAAAUUGGUAAUAUCGAAACUGAAGAUGUUUUAAAAAAACUUAUAACAUAAAGAAUACCUCUAUAAUAUAUCUAUAUAAUAUAAAAUUAUAAUUUUCUAAGCCCGAAGUCGAAUAGAUACCACAACAAUGAAAGAUACCGUUGCUAGAUACAAAGUACCAAGACGACCAUUAUCGUUUAUACUAUCCACUCACCAAAAUUCAUCUCCCGGCAUCUACACACAGUAAUUUUUCUGCGAAUUACCUAUAUUCAUUAAUUAAAAUACAUUUUAUUUUUGAAAUUUUUGAUUUCUGUCAUUCAGUCGACGAGAUAUUCCACUUUUAAGUCUAGGUCGAAGGACAGUAUAGUGGAGCAUCAUUUGUGUGACAGCACGGCGUGUGGCGUUCUUAUAAUGCACCACUACUCUAUCUCUUGACCCAAACUUAAAAGUUGAAUAUCUCGUAAACGGAUUGACGGAAAUCAAACAUUCCACCACCAACAUUUAUUUUAAGUAAUACUCCGUCUAUUUAUAGAAUUUUAAAUGUAGGUUACAAUUUGAAAAUAUGACUGGUGGUCUUAUCCCCCCCCAAAAUAAUAUAAAUGUAAAAUUAUAGAGCUGCUUAUUUACUAAACGUUCUAAAAAAACAAAUUCCGAAAAAAUUCCAUACUUUCCGAGAUAAUAAGUACACCCGCACUUAAAUGAAACACCCUGACGUGCAUUUGCAUAUUUUUUUAGUAUUUUAGUAUGUUGACAACUGACACAGUAACAAUAUAUAUAUAUAUAUAUAUAUAUAUAUAUAUGUAUAUACCGUUUUACUGACUAUCGUGGCAAUACUAUUCAGUGCUCAAUGAGAAUAAGAGAAAAUAAUACGGUCAUCACGCAUAGUUAAUUAUUAGGUAUUCGUGGUUUAAACAUUUUCCCCCUCCUAUAAUCAAAGAAAAAUGUAUUAAAACGUGCAUUAUUCGUAUACCAUUUGAAAAAAAAAAAAUGUUUUUUUUUUUUUUUUGUAACUAAUAUUGUAAUAUUUUAAUUCAAAUUUCAUUUCAAUUUUCGAUCAAUUGUAAGUCUAAAAAUAAACUCUUCAGUAAGAUUCACGUGGUCUGUAUACACCAACAGAAUUAUGCGCUCUCUAUAUUUCAACUCUCGCAAGAUUAGUUUAAACACAACUAUUCAAUUAUUGUCGAAUGUAUGAUUUUUAUCAAGUGAUUCGGUUAAUAAUAAAAAUGUUCAAAGAUUAUUUGUAUUUUUAUUUACUGUAUUAAUAUUCGUUCGCGAGUUUGAAAAGUAAAGUUUAUUUUAAAUUUAAAAUAAAAGCGCCUCUAUAAACUUUAGAUUAGAUUCCACCGAAAUCUUAAAAUCUAUAGAAAGUAUAGCAUAUAUAAUAAACAUACACGUAAUAAUAAUGCUGUUGAUCCUUUUUAAACUUUUUCGAAUUUACUUUUAAAUCGAUAACUCGUGCGCGUGGAUAACAACACAUCAUGCAUAUAGAAAUAAUUUAAUAAACAACCUUUUACAUUACUUUAUACUCAAACGUGGUAAAUAAUAAUAGUGCUCGGGCAUGUGUAGUGAAAAUUUUUAAACCGAUCGCGAUGUACCCGUACCUAUACAUGAAAAGGGGUAUUAUUUUUUAUGAUGAACGUGUAUAAUCAAAUAUGUAGGCAUCAUAUAUUGAGUAUGUAUGCUUCGAUAAUCUUUUUGAUCGUACAACUAUGUUGUACACAAAUAUAAAGUAUAUACAGAAUGAUCAACUUACCGCGAACCUACGAUUUUCUCGAAGGAUUUAAAAUUAAUCGUUACGUUCUACGUUUCAUUUAAAAUCCUUUGAGAAAAUCACCAGUUAAUGAAAAGUUAAUCACCAUAUAAAGAUUGUAACGAUCUUUUCGUGUAUUAAUAUUUUCCAAAAAAAUGAAAAAGCGUCUUUUUAUUUAAAUUAACUGUUGCAUACUACUAUAUUAUAUUAUUACACUUAUACUCACCUAUAGAAUAAUUAGGAGUAUUUCGGUUCAGGAUAAGUCAUUGAAAAAAAAAAAACCGAAAUUAAUUUGAUCGAAACAAUUGCACGUGAGUCCACAUUUCAAAUUUAAAAUGUAUAAUUUUUGUGUUUUAAAAAAAAAGCACCCCGAGAGAGAAGUAAAUUAAUUAUCACUCUAAAAACACUCGCUUUGUUCGUUUCCCUAAUUGAUUUAUUUACGUGGAUCAUUGUAUUCAUAUUAUAUGUGAUAUAUGUAUUACAUAAUAUAUUUAUACAUUAUAAUACGAGUUAAUAAUAAUUACGAACCGGGUUACAUUAUAUGUACGUAUAUUAUGCAAAAACGACAUUAGACUCGGUAAAACCGCAGAAUUUAAUGCACGCACAUCACGAUUUCAAAUGCGAAUUUGAGUGCGGUGUUUUUGACUAUCGGGGUGUGUGAUAUUUUAUAAAAUAUAAUUAAAUAAAAACUAUUGUACUACGAAUUUACCUAAACGUUUUUAUAACCUAGGAAAUCACUAUUAUUAAUAUAUAUAUAUAUAUACCUGGUGAAUUAAUUAAGUGGGUACACUUAUUAUCUCUGAAAGUAUUAACUUUUCCGACAUUUUUUUUCUAGACCAUUUAAGAAACAAGCUGCUCUACAAUUUUAUAUUAAUUUUAUUUUCUGUCACCCAUAUUUUUGAGGGUAAAACCACUAACUACUUUUGAUUUUCAAAUAUAACUAUAUUUAAAUAUCCAUAAAUAGAUGCAAUAUUAGUUAAAAUAAAUAUGAACGUUAACAUUUUUGAUUUCUGUCAAGUCGUUAACGAGAUAUUCCACUUUUAAAUUUAGGUAAGUAGUGGAGUAUCAUUUGUGUGGUGGUAUAGCGCGCGGCGUAUUAAUAAUACACCACUACUCUCUUCCAACUUAAACUUAAAAGUGCAAUAUCUCGUCAACGGCUUGACAGAAAUCAAAAAUGUUAAUAUUCAUAUUUAUUUUAACUAAUAUUCCAUAUAUUUAUGGAUAUUUUAUAAUGGUUGCUAUUUGAAAGUCAAAAGUAGGUAGUGGUUUUACCUCCAAAAAUAGGGAGGAAAAUAAUAUAAAUAUAAAAUUAUAGAGCUGCUUGUUUCUUAAAUGUUUUAGAAAAUAAAUCCCGAAAAAAGUUAGAACUUUCCGAGAUAAUAAGUGUACCCAAUUAAAUGGAUCACCUGGUAUAUUUACAUAUAUGUAUAGUUACCAGCGAGUGUCUGUAGGUAUAAUAAAUUAAUGUAUAGUGAAACGUGUAAAUCAGUAUAACCAAUAAACAAAAUAAAGGGCACGCUCCCCACCCCUUCCACCUUUACUCUGGCACUGGUGUGUACUGCUUAGAAGAGGUUAAAAUUCCUGUUCCCAAAAAGUCAGCAAUUUCGAGAUGUCACUGUAUAGAUUGGUAGCUUUAUUAUAAUAUUUUUAAAUUUACUUAUAUAGUCAUAAAAUCAACUUAUUAUUAAACUAGGUAGGUAGUCUGCGCGUGUGCUCUUCAAACAGUAGUUCGCGACCAAAUUUUGGGUCGUGUAAGAUUUAAGAUUGGAUUUUUGUGGCCAAUUAAAGUUUUUUGUGUUAUGGAUUCAAGCUCGAAGUUUGUUUGCUAGUUGUUUAUCUCUUUGAUUAAAAUAAAAGUGUUUGUAAUAUUCUAGAUAUCAAUAAAAAAAUUUGUUUUUAUAUUUUGUGAGACUAAUGGGUCUGCGAAUUGGAACUUUUUACAUUAUUACAAGAUACCGGUUAACGAGUCGACAUAACAAGUAAUCGACUAAUCAGGUGUCGGCGAGUCGGGUCUGAACCUUCUGUAUCAACCAGAAAACGGCAGACAAUAUGUAAUUACACUAAUUUGAUUUAUCGAUAGUAACAAAUUUGGAAUUGAUUUUGCUUUUUUCAUUAGUCGAUCAGUUCAAAAGCUGUUACAGUCGAUUAAUCAAAUUAUUGUAACCACAUGUUUGUCACUAGUUUUCGGUUGAUGUAGAAAGUAUGUUAUUAUAAAUAAAGUAUACAAUAACAUUGAUUUAAAAUAGUAAUUAUUAAUUAUAAUCAACUUAAUAUAAUUUAUUAUCUAUAAUCUUAUAUCUUAAUAACAGACAGUCAUCCACCGCGAUGAACAUCACAUUUGACGGCCAAUGAGUGUAACACAACCAUUCACCAAAAUAUCUUGGUAUUACUCUAGCCAAAUUCUUACAAGCGAUAUAAAACAAAAAUAUCAGCAUAAAAACAAAAUACGAGCUAUAACCUAUUAACACAAUUGAUGGGAACUAGCUUGGAAGCCAUGAUAAAAAACAUUGAAAAUAGCAGAACUUUUACUAGUUUACUCAGCUGCAGAAUAUUGUGCACCGGUAUGGACUAAAAAUUUACAAGUCAAGAAAAUAGACAAACAACUAUACGCAUAAUAAGGGACACACUGAAGCCCACACUGACUACCUGGCUACCUAUCAAAUCAAAUACUUCACCUCCAGCAUUAAACGCAAAGAAUCCCAAAAAAUUAAUGAAAUAAAUGCAAAACAAUCAAAAAUUACUAAUAAACUCUAUUCUAUGAAGCCCCCCAAGAACUUGCUUCAAAUCAAAAAUAUCAUUUUGGAAGGUUGCUCAGAAUUCACAGUUGGAAAAUAAAACUACCAUAGAGAAAUGGCAUUCUUCAUGGGAAAGGGAAACUGUAAUAAACACAAAUCUAAUACAGUUGCCGAAAACUCCGGUUCCUUGUUUCAAACUACCUCGGAGAGAAUGGGCAAUUUAAAAUAGAUUCCGCACAAACCGUGAAUAAUACGCUGCAGAUCUAAAAAAUACGGAAUAUCAAAAACUUAGAAAAAUGUAAAUAUUGUGCUUAAAAACAAGUGAUGAAUAUGACGCAUAUAGCCAAAUAAUGUGAUUAAUAUAAAUUUGAAGGUACACUAAAUGAUCUACAUGAUCUACACAAUCUCACCAAAGAUGCAGUGAAAUGGCUUAAAAAAAAACUUCCACUCCAAUUAUUUUAUCCAAUUAUUUGUUUGUUAAAUGUUGCGAAACCAUAUGAAUAUAUAUUAAUUAUACAAUUAUAAAUAUUGUUUAUAUUAAAAAAUUGAUACAGAAUAACGUAUUUCGAUGUUCAAAUGAUUUUCAAAAAUGUACCACGCUAAAAAUUAUUGAUUUUCCGGACAUUAUGACAAAUUUAAUGAAACCAAGAAAAAAUUAAUAACUAUCAGAUAGAAAGUGGCAUAGAUGCAGGAUAUACUUUAACUUUUAGUUUACAAAGUAACUUUUUCCGAUAAUUUAAACAUUUUUACGGUUGCUUGCUUUUUUUUUCAAUUAAAAAAUAUUCGAUCGAUAUUGAAUAUGAAAAAAAAUCGACCCUGCUCGCAUUUAGGCCGUUUUUGUAGAUGAAAAGGUCCGCAUUUUUUUAGGUAUGAUACGAAUAAUUUGUAGCCUUUUUACUAACCGAAAAAGAGAUUUCCGAGAAAAAAAGAAGCUAGGAUAUAAACUUUAAAAAAUGUCUAUAGAUAUUUCAAAUAAAGUAUCUACGGGCAUCUUCUGAGGUGAACAAAUUGAAACAUUUAACUAACUAAAAAAAGUGUUAACAUGAAAAAAACCCACACAAACACAUCAUAAUAAAACGAAAAGCUUCUUCACUCUACUCAAAAGCUUAAAUAUUAAAAAAAAAAAAAAAAACGAAGGAAUCUUUCAUGUUAUUAUUUCCUUAACAUCUUAAAAAAAUGAAAAAAUCAUAUUUUCGAUGAAAAAACUAGACACAAUUUCCUAACAGAAACUACCCUUGAAUUAGAUAAUUGGAGUAAGAUUUAUGUUUGAACGUAAUAGAAAAAUCUAACAAAAAUGUAACUUAAAUCCUGUAUGUUAUAUUUCAGAAAUAUAAAAUUGCACAAUAGUUCAGUGUCCAUUUGUAUGCGUAAUAUGAAAACGGAAUGCAAUUUAUAAUUAUUAAUAAUUAAUAUGGUAUGAGAGAUAUAUUUUAAAUGGAAGACGGGUUUUAGAUUAGUUAUAAUAUCCAUUGUAUUGGGUUAUCAAAUUUGCAAUAACUAUUAUUGUGAUUAUAAAAUAUAUUGUCGUUAUCAGAAAUUCGAGGGAUUGGAUAUAUGGAGAAGGCGGAGAGUGGGACGGAGAGAAAGUACAAUACAUUAUAUACUUAAAUAUAGACUGUGGAUUAUGGGUAUUUACCUACUAUAUAUACUUCCGUCGCUCGUGCAGUUUACGCUGUUAGAGAGUAUAGAAACUCACCUAAUCCUCUACAAUUCAUAUAAUAAUAUAUUUAUAUAUAUAUAUGUAUGGCGUGUGUGUGUGUGUGUGUGUGUGUGUCUGUAGUUUAUUAUGUUUUCCACUUACGAAGUAAUUGCCUUUUGUCGGUAAAAAAUAAUAAUAAAAUAAAAAAAUUCCAUACCGGGCGUUCGAUACUGAUCCAAGUAUAUUUAUAUAUCUAUACAUUUUAAAAUCAACGUCGUAUUGCGAUUGGUUGUUGUUCAAGGUGCUCAGACCAGAACGUAUUUUGGUCAUUGUAUAGUACGUCGUUAAUUUUUUUAUUUUUUUUUUUUUAGACAAUAUAAUAAUAAUAUAACACUAUUUUGUAUUAUUAUUUUAUAUUAUAUUUAUAUUUUAUUUAUAUUAUUAUUAUAUAGUCUUAUCUGAGAAAUGGAAAUAUCGGUUAGAAACCCAUUACCACGAACACUAUGGGACGUUACACAAAAAAUCCAGAUAUUUCUAGAUAUUGUGUGCAUUUUUUUGUCCGUAAACAAAUUUUCGAUCAGAAUGUUUGCUCAAAUCUUCAACUUAGGGCCGGUAGUUUCGAACAAAAAAAUUUGCCUGAUUAUUAAUGAUACAUUUUGUAGAUUAUUAUUAUUUUUUUUUAUUUUUGUAUUCUUUGAACUUUUAUAAAUUAUGAGGGAAAACAGGAACAUUGAUACGACAAUUUUAUUAUUCAGUAUUGCUCCAUUAUCAAGAAAAUUACAAAGAAAAUAAAAAAAUGAUAUUCUCUAUGCACAAAAUUAGACAAAAAUUUAAACCACACCUUAAGUCAAUGAUCGGAGCAAUAGGUAUCAUUAAGUUAUAGAUUUCUAAAAAAAAUUAAAGCAUACAUUAUAUAAAACCAAUACAUUUUUUCGCUACUCUCAGGAUCUAAAAAAAAAUUGAAUUUUUUAAUACGUUUCUCCGGGCCUUGUUUCAUUGAAAUUAGAAAAUCCAUUAGAACCAAAAGCUUCUAACGUCAUAUACGAAUACGAAAAAACCGCUGCAUCUCUAAAUCAUCCUUUUCUAUAUAAUGUUCUCCUGUUGCGCUUCAUAUACAGGAUGAUUGUGUUAAUUAGAUAUAUAUUUAAGUACUAUCAUUAUGAUUAAUGCAUGCUUAUUUCAUAUUCCUCUUGUUGAUCUGAAUUCUAUAAACGUUCAUAAUAUAAUAAAUUCAAUAUUAAUUAUGUCAUUGUACUAUUUUUGUAUAAAUUGUUAAAAAAAAAAACGAUUCUGAGUUUAGUUUGAUUAAAUAUAUAUCAAAAUAUCGUGACCUUUACUAUUUUCAUCACAGUUUGUGUUUAAAACAUUUAUAAAAAAGAUAAAAUGUUAUGCUCGAUUUUUUUUUACCACCAAGUAACACUGAUAAAUCACGUAUUGGAUUUCCAAAUAAUAUUGUUCACAUAACAUGGAAAAUAAAUUUUUAAAAAAAUAUGAAAUUUAAAAUGCCUAAUAGUUCGAAAAUUGCUGAAAUGUUUUUUUUUUUUUUUAGAACUCAUGAUUGGAUAGAAUUUACUGUACUUAAAGUGAGAUUUCUGGUAGAAAGUCGUUUAUGAAUAGACAAAAAAAAAAAAAAAUUAAAAUUCAAAAAAAGCAUACGUAUUAUACUAAAACCAAUAUGCCCUAACCGAACCUAACCUAACCAAUAUAUUUCGUUUUGCUCAGAAUCUCGAAAAAACAAACAAACAGAACUCAUAUGUAUACGUAAAAUCCUCGGAGGAAAUCGCCGCUGAAUCGUUAUGAUAAAAUGAUCUCUCUGUAUUCGCUCGGCCGGAGUUAUAAUAUAUGUAAUGUGUGUGUUUAUGAGAGUGUGUGUGCACGGGCCGUACGUAACGAGUGUGUUUAUAUGGUGUGUGUAUGUAUGUGUGUGUGUUUAUGUGUGUCUGUGCGCACACGCGUGCGCGUUGGCGAAAUAUAGCGAGACCUCUCGCGGUGCGUUCGGUGGGGUGUGGGCCAAAGAAAUUCGGCAUUAAUCUCUUUAAUGGAGGAGAGCGCCGCGUAAAAUGAUUAAUGCGCCACUGACGAGGGAUCGUCGGGCACGCGACAACGUUUUCUCGCCCAAAAACAUACGCGCAAAAUAAUAUACAAUGAUAAUACGGUUGUUAUCUCCUCAAGUUUAUACAGAAAAUAAUACCCGUGUGUUUAUACCCGCGCGGUUCUUUUGUCUAUCGCGCCGUUUGUAUUCAAACACGAUGUUUUAUUGUAUAAUAAUAUACACACACACGAGUAUAUUAUGCGAGCAAUCUUAUAUUUUUAUAUAACCCGCAGUACGGUUUGCCAAUCGAAAACACACGAAUGGUGUACGAAUAAUGUACGAGGGUUAUAAAUAAAGUAAUCGGACAGCAGGUUGCGUACCGUGCUCAUCUGAAAACGCUAGUGAUUUUCCAUUUCGUCGCGUGGUAGAUGUGAUCAUCUUAUACGAUUUAAUGAUGAAAAUAUCAACGAAAUUCGGGUUUUUGAAAAAACCACCUGAGCCCUCAAAAAAAUACGUUUACGAAAACAUUUUCUAAGGACUAAUACGUGACUCUAAGGAGAUCGAAUUAAUACUGAAAUAGAGGAGAGGUUAUAUAGGACGCGUUCCCGAUCCGUUCCGACUGUCCAACUAGUCAGAAGAUAAACAAAAAUGUGUAUGUGCCGUGUUUCACGAUCACCUGACACUUGAAAUAAAUUUGGCUCUAUUCAUUAUUUUUUUUUUUUUUUUUUUUUUUAAUAAUUAGUACGCCUCUGCGCUACAGUUAAUAUAUUAAUUUGGGUUUUUUAGGUGGCAGAACUUAAAUUAAAAAACUUAAUAUUUAACUAUAUUUUUUUUUUAAAAAAGCCAUUUUGUGAGUUAUUAGCAUGAGCUUACAAUUAUAAUUUUUAAACCAUUUAUUACAUUUUUAUCUAGGUACUUACUUAUAAUUUAUCACUAUUAAACUUUUGCUAAUUAAAAGGGUGGUGCAGGGGUAAGGUCACCCACUUGUUCACAUAACUUUAUAACUGGGCAGAUAUUUCUAGGAAACUAUUUUUAUCUUUUUUUUUAUGAAAUUUUUUUUUGAAAUGUUUGCAAAUUUAAAUAUUUUGGUUUAUAAGCUGUUAUAAUAUUUAAUCAGUAAUCAGAACAUAUCAAAUUACGUGAAUUUUCUUUUUCGUGGGUUAAUGUCACACAAAAAUACAAUUAUGGUCUGUAGAUUGUGAUUAUUACUCUUAAACCAUAAUAAUAUUCAUAUUUGCUUAAACUUCAGAUAAUUGUUGAAAAUAAAAGACGCACGGUUUUUUUUUUAAACAAAAAUUUCAACCACAAAAAAGAUUCAAAAAAUAUAUUUUCCCUCACAUAAAAUUUAAAAAAAAAUUUAUAUAUUAACUGUAGUGCAGAGGUAUAUCAAUUAUUUUAAAAACAAAUAAUUAACAGAACAAAAUUUCUUUCAAGAGUCAGAUCACUAUGGGACACUAUUAUUAUUGUUGUUAUUGGUAGUUGCUAUAUAUUUAUUUGCAGCAUCUGUUUCCAACAUACCGAAUAAUCGGGUACAUCGGACGAAAACAAAUAGGUUUGUUUUUUUUCCGACAAGUCAGACUCAAUUAGAUUAAAUUAUCAGGAUAUUAUCAGGAAAUUUAAUACAUAUUUUAAAAUAUUCCUCGUUUUUACAAUAUUUUAAUAAAUUAUGUUUUUAAUAAGACCUUGGAUUAUUGAAAUAUAAUAUAAUGUCCGGUAAAUCAUCUCAUUCGUCUUCUGAGCUGCUGUAACUUGAAAAAAUAUCGCAUAAAAACUAUAUAGUACAAAAUAUCACUAAUACACAUACGAACUCUAAGAGAUGGUAGGUACAUACUAAUAAAUAAUUUUCGCAGUAGACGAUGAUAUGAAUAGUCGGUAUGAAAUAGGUAAUGAUAUAGCCACACAUAUCAGAUGUAGGGUGUUGCUCGAGCCGGUCGUCUCGGAUCGGAUCAGAAGCGGGUCCUAGCUUACCUUCUGUCCAAACGGAAACCCACCAAUGAUGACAGAUUGCACGUUACACUACCGGUCUCAUUAAUUUAAUAAUACGUCUCAUAUAUUGUAUAAGUUUUAUGCGAGCAUUGACACGGCUACGGGAAUUCACAGGGUGCAGUUUAGUUGCGAGCCUGUGAGUCGUGUUUAGAUUCUUGAAUUGGAAACAUAAUAUGAUUACGGUUUUAUAAACAAAAACUGAAAAAGUUUAAUAAUACUGCUAUUGCUCUUCGUGCGUGAUAUUAUGUUACGUGUUAGCGCUAAUUUCAUUUGCCUCGUGAAUAGGUAUACUUUUGUGACCGUUAUAACGGUCAUAAAGCCGCUUUUGUAAACGGCCAUUUUUCAAAUUAAAUAAUGUGAAAAACAAAGUUAACAAUUAAUAUGACGCACUCAUGUAAUACUUGACUCGACACUUAUGAUAUUUGCGGAUCAACAUUUGGCCACACUGCAGAAGUUGACUAUAAUUUUUCAAAUGAAAUUAUUGAAGAAUUUAAAGUGUUAAAUCCAAAUAUUUAAUGACGUUUAGAGUUGUAAAGUAUGAAGCGUAAUUAAAUUACUUGAAAGCAAUCAGUUUUUUUUUUCUAAGAUUUCAGAGAGAUUUUAUCGGUGUAGGGUGUUUAUGAUAUUUUUGUUUGCUCUUCUGCAAAACAUACCUGGCCAUGCCUGUGAAUUUAGUAUUUUGAGUAAAUAAUAAUAAGUUUUAUUGAAACGAGUAUUUCUAUCUGUGAGUAAAGUAGGGAUACUUUAUUAAAUCCGAAUCGAUGAAAGUUAGACGUAAAAUACGAUAACACGAUUUCACAUGCAUAUUAUAUUAUAUUAUAAUUUGUCACCAUGUGAGUCAAAAUCAUGAAUUAAGUUGGAACAACACGAUUAUUUUCAUUGGAUACUAGGUUAAGUUAUAUUAUUAAAAAAAUAUUUAUUUUUUAACUCAUAAAGAGUAUUUAGAUUAAAUAUAAGUUCUUUAUUUUCAAAUCAAAUAUAUUCGAGUAUAAUACUGAAAACAACAUUUUAGUUUAUAUUAAGUAAAUAUAGUUGUAUCAAAAAUACAUUGUAGUUUAUACACGACUAACACUAUAUACUUUCAGUUUUAACUAUUAAAUUUCGUGAGUAGAUUUAAUUAGGUUGACUACAAUUAGACAGUCAACUAAAUAUGGUUAGUAGAUUUAGGUUUUCUUUCCUGAAUUCUUGUAGUUAGACAAUUUGAAAAAUAUAUAACAUAAAUUAAAUAUUACGAACUACGGUCAGAAAUAAUUUAAAAAACUACCAAUUUGAGUUUCACAAAUAUGUUUUUAAAAUAUGUAUUGCUAUAAAACGUUACUUUUUCUUACCUAUACAAAUUGUACGUAUCGAAUAAAUUAUUCUUUGUAACAAAUAAAAAACGUACGUAAAAAAAAAAUCAAUAAUUGCUAUAAAACAUAAUUAUAUAUUUAAAAUUGCAUUGAUUUAUCAUUUUGCGCUUAAAGAAUCUAUUUGUGGAGGAGGGGAAUGAUACGACCUGGUCCAACGCCCAAAAUCCAAUAAUGGAUUUUUUUUUUUUUUCCCGGAGCAUUCAGUAGAUAACAUGUUAUUUUAAAUCGACGAUGAUCUGAAAUAUUAUUGCAAUUCUCCACUGUGGCAGACGGAUCUACGAGAAUUAAAAACGUGGCAUUUCUUAUGUCCCGUGGGUUUAAUGGUUUUCACACCGUUUUCGUGACAAGAAACUGGGAAUUCGAUUUGUGUAAAACACCACACGCCAGCGUCCAUGUUAAAUUACCCGCAAUCUACAAAGUUGUUAGGUGGAAACUUUUUCGAGCAUUUUUACCAGAAGUUCAAUGAUGUGUUUUCCGAGACGCAGAAAAAAAAAACAAAAAAACACAUAAUUGUAAAACUAAUAGCUCCGUAGCUCGUAGUCCAUAAAACGGUUCGGAACAUAAAAUAAAAAUAAAUGAGUGAUUAUAUCGAUUGCCCGCGUUCCAGUAGGUUUCUUAUUUCUCGGGGCGUGACGGAGAUAACGGAGAGGUCAACGUGUAUACCCAAAAUGUUUACCUUAAAAAAAAAAAAUCUACAAUAAUUAAAUAUGUAAAAUCCGUUUUAUUUAUAUUGAAAAUUUUCUUAUAGUUUACAUUUUGUCACUGUACAAAGUAAAUUACUAAAUUGCUCUAGACUUUAUAUAUUUUGUUUUGUUUUUCUUUCAAUUCCCUACCUAUUCUUAAUACGACCUGCCGCGUUAGAAUUAGAAAAAAAAAAAUAAAAUAAAAAGGACUAAGAGACGUAAAAUAAAAAGGAAAUGAAAACGAUUGUCCCUUUUGCAAUGAUUAAACACGACCUGUAAAAUUAAUUAUAUUAAUUUGUAUAACUAUACAAAUUUACACAACAUUUUUUAUUCAAAUAAAAAAAAAAAAAAAACGACAGGAAUGUUUCAAAUAGAUAUAAUAACUCUAAAUGCCAGAGUAUUUUUGAAAUUGCACUAUAUAAAAUGGAUAGUGUUAAUAUCUAGAUAAGUAUUUCAGAUCUUUAAUAUUACUUUGCAGUGAAUUACAACAUAAUCACUAUAUCGAAAUUAACAUAAUCCGUUUAUUGUGUAAAUAUUCUCGUUCUUCUGACAGUGUUUUUGUCAUUAUUAGGUAAAAUAUAGAGAAAAUGAAAAAAAAUGAUCCCGGCAAUAUGCACUAAUAGACAGGAGAUGGUAAAAUCCUACAAAUUAGAUUAUCUCGUACAUGGGAAUAAUGUAAACUCCUGGAAGAUAGUUCAAUUUCCUACACUAGACAGUAUAAUAGAAUGCUUGGAAAAAAAAUGUUAAUCAUAUCAUUAUUGAUAUUUUUUUUAAAAAUAAUAUCAGUCUUAUUAGUAAUAAUACAUUAAUGCAUAGUAACUAAUAAUAAAUUAAAAAUAAAUUUCCUAUAAAAGUAUGAUAACUGUAUUUACCAUAUAUAGUAUAUAAAAAGCGAUUUGUAACAUAUAUUGAACAAUUUGAAACUUAAAAAGAUCCGAUUAGAUUAUUCGUGUAGGAGUUUACACGAAUACAAAUAGUCCAGAUACCAGAAACCAACCCCGAUGUUAAAGGUUGGUGCCUUUGAUUCAAAAAAAUAUUUACAGAGGCGAAAAUAUAAUUACGUUUAGUUUUCUACCGUAGCUUCCACUGCACAGUGCGUUAUAUUAAUAUAUUUUGCACUAAUGAUGUAUUUUAAAUGCAUUUAUUUUUCUUCACAAUACAUCUAUAUUGCCAUGUGUUAUUGGAUGCGAAUAAUAAUAAAUACCGAUAAUACUAUGAUAUAUGCAUGCACGUUAAUUAACGUCGAUAUUAUAAUUACCGCGUAGGUGAAUAAAUAUCACAUUUCCCCUAUACAGGGACGGGUGUGGUAAAUAUAUAAAAUAUAUAUGAUUUUAAAUACACGCUUAUAAAUUAUUCUCGAUUGUGUCGAGAGCCCGAAAAGUUAACGCAUAAAAAAAAAAAUACCUGUACUCAUACAGUAGAUUUAUAGAAACCGUUUUCUUCGACUUUCAAUCGAAUAAAAUGAUAUUUACACUAUUAUUAUGUACAAUAACUGAAAUAAAUUACUUUUUCGGCUACGCGAUAUGUAUAUACUUGAUUUAUUUCACGUCCAAAUUGAAAUGUGAUGAAUUUUUCGCGAUGACGUCGCGUAAAACGUUAAAAUUAUUAUUUGCCGGAUCAAAUUAUUAUGUACACUGCAGCUACUAUACUGGCUAUACAAAUCCGUUUCCGUCUUAAAUAUACGAGUCGGUGUAUUAUGAUUUUAUGAACGUAAAUUAUAGUGGCGAAAUGUGCAUAAUAAUAAGAAAGUAUAGUGUACACAUUUUUGCACGUUUCCGGAACAUGUCGAGAACGUAUUCAAGAAAUAUUUUUAUUAUCGCACAAAAGAAAAACUACGACUUUCUGCGAUUUAUACUAACGUGACGAGGAGACAGAUUCAAAAGUCAUUUUAUUCCAAAAAUAUUUUAAUAUUAUUUUUGUGCGGGAGCGUACUUCUACUAAAAAUUUCUAUUUUAUCAAUUUCCACUCAAUUAUUAAUGAAUUCAAUUUAACAAAAGAAAAACUUAAUGUAUUGUACCUCAGGGGUGAACUGUUGAGAAUGCCGAUAUAUUUUUCAAAUAAACUAUCAUCGAAAAAAUAUAUUGGAUCUUAUUUGGGGUGAUUCAUGAACAAAUUUAAGCAUUUACAAAUCAAAGUGUUAUAAUUCCGAAAUGAUUUCUAACCAAAUUAUCGUAAGGUGAAAAAUCUACAACUUUUAGAUAUCACUUGAACAAAUAGAAGAUUUUUUACAAACCGAAAAUAUUUUUUCUGAGAAAUACAAAUAACAGUAAGUUAACCUCUCAGAAUUAUAAAAUUAACUGAAAAUCCUAUAAUCAAAUAGAAGUAAAUAUUCAGCUCUCGAUGAAAUAAUAUAGAAGAUCAAAUAAGUCUACAGAUUAAUAGAUUAAAUAUUAGUUCAAACGACAGUGAAGAGAUUAAUGUUCUUGUGUCUAGGAAAUCUUGCAGUUUUAAACAUGACGUAUAACGAUUUGUAGUAAAAUAUUCUCGGGUAACAAUUACUUAAGGUUAUGAGUAGAUAUUAAAUUGGUUUAUUUCAUUAUGUUUUAUAUAACUGUAAUACCGACUAAAAUAAAUUGUAGUAUUGUAUUCAAUUUAAUUUCCAAACGUCUUAUUUUAUUUUCAAAUUGUAAUUGUACUGUAGUAAACGAAUAUUUACAAUGUCAAGGUAAAUAAUAUAUUUUAACUGUAUACAAUGUUUUCAAUUUGUUGUUAACUUUUUUUUUUUAAUCAUACAAAAUGGGCCGUUUAAAGCCUUAAAUAGAUGUUUGCCGUAGUAAUAGUAGUUUUAAAUUCUAAAAUAUUAUAAAUUAUUCCAUCAAAUUUUUUAUUUUCAUAAAAUUUAAAUAUUACAUGCGAUUUUCACGAAAUGUUUUAUGAAAUAUUUUUAAAAAUACAAUUUUAUACUCCUAUAAUUUCAUAAUGUGCUAAUAGAGAAAAAUGGUUUGGAUUUUCGUUUUGUUUCUCUUAGGAAAAAAACCUAGGGCCUACGAGCAUAUAUUUAAAAUCGUAUUUCCUUGCCUGCAAACGAAUUCAUCGAUUGGAAAAAGUAAUGAAGUCAUCAUUACGCGUUCACAGGUGUCGGAUAUUGUUUUAUUUCAAAAUAUCUUGCGAUUGUUGUUAUCGUGAUCGAUUUUCUCGAAACAAUGGAGAGAAGGUAAACAUUAAUAAUUUUUGUCGCGACACAGGUGUACUAAUACUACCUUUACAGUAAUUGAGUCGGUCAUUUCAAAAUACGACAUCAUAAGUCACUGUUUUUAAUUUUAUUUUUUAUAAAAAUAACAUUUUGUCACAUUUGAUCCUUAUCGUAUUAUAUACUUACUUAUAGUCACGUAAAAGCGCAUAAUAUUUUGUCAAAAACGUAUAUUAGAAUUUUAUUAAAAAACGGUAUAUCGAAAAUAAGACCUACAUCACUAAAGUAACUGCAAAACCAUCAUCGAUGUAAUUCAAUUAUUUUUUGAAGCUAUUUAAAAAUUGAAAUAUAAUAUUAAAUGUUGGUUUUUAAAAUUAUCGAUUAUACCUAUACCUUGGUUGGUAUAGUUUAAACCUGUAGAUAGAAGAAAUAAAAGUAAAUAUUUCUCCGACCAAUAGAAUGCAUGUGUUACGCAAGAAUAUUUAUUCUGAUUACUUUUAAAAAUAAAUUUUCCGAAUUUUAAUAUCAGUAGUUUAGACAGUAAUACAAUAAUGAAGAAUAAUAAACAUAAUCCUCUCAAAUCUAAAAAAAUUAAAAAAAUUAAAAUCCCACAAAAAUUCGACCCUUUUUUGUUUUUUUUUUUUUAACUCUCGCCUUUUCACGACCAGAUGUACACUUUUCACCCUCGACGUUGACGUAUCGCUUAUGAAUUUUACUGUAUUUUUUUUUUUUGAAAUAUUCUGUUUUAAAAGCAUUCAAAAUAUAAUGCGUUUUUUAAAAUUAAAUUUUUAUAUAUAUUUCAUCAACUCGUUCAAAGAAAAACGCUUUUUAAUAUAUUAACAUAAUAUUUAAUAUAGUAAUGUUUAUGACUAAAAUAUUACAAUUUAUGCCCAAUACUACAAAAUGAAAACUAAAGGUCUGUUAAGACAAGUUUCACUGUAUACUGAUAUUACUUAAUAAUCGAAUGAACAUACAUUUCUCUAUAGGCGUUUCAUAAUUAUUUUAUUAACAUUCGAACGGAUCAUUUACCUAGCAUCGCUGUAAAUUUAAUGUUAAUCUUAUUAGCCUCAGGAAGAAGUGCUUAAAUCAUUAUUUAGUGGUUUUUAUUUAUGUAUAUAAUAAUAUGCAUACAUAGUUUUGUCUAACGCUAUAUUUUCGCCCUUUAUUCUUCGGUCUGAACUGUAUACAAGUGUGUAUUUUCAAAAAUAACGUGUUCGGUACUUACUUUGUUUAUUAUUAUUUACAAGUGUACACCAGGGUCGCGGAGAGAAAAUUGGGCCCCGGGGAUAGUGACAUACAGACCCUCCUUUUUGUCCCAUACUCUACAAGUAUGUUCGAUGUUUCCAAUUAAAAAUUAAAACAUAACAUUAUUUAAAACUAUAUUUUUAUUUAUCUAAGAGUCACGACAAAAUAAAAGACAAACAAAAUAUAAAAUAUAUCAGAAUGUACAGUACCGUUCUCUGACGUUAUUGUUUUUUUAUCAACCCGAUAUUAUUUUGCUUUUUCGGUUCACAUACCGUCCCCCAUGAAAAUCCUGGACCCGGGGUGAUUCACCCUCAACAAUCGUUUCUCGUCGGUUCCGGUGUAUAUAUGUUCAACAUUUAAUUUGCUCGUGUUGAAAACUAUACGAAAUUGACUUAAGCCUUUCAUUCGUUGGAUCAAAGAUGCGCUCGAGUUAGGCGUGAUAAAAAACCGUGCGAAAUUUAAAUUAUUUCUACAAAAAUAGUUACUUUUUUAUAUUUCAUACACGUAUGGCAUGGCUCUCUCUCUCUCUCUCUAUAUAUAUAUAUAUAUAUGUAAAGAUAGUUUUAGUAAGAAUUUCUUGGUUUCUCUUUUAUUUAUAAAAGCCGUAUAAAAAAUAAUAUAAUAUAUUGUUUUUCCCGGGGGUAUAAAUACUAAAUAAUAUUAUAAUCCUCAAUUAUAUACGGUUAUGAAUAAACAUCUUAAGUUUCUAUAUUUUCAGCCCGUGAAUAAUGUGAUAUUUUUACUGUGUAUUUCACUCGAAUUUAUACUAACUAUAUACAAAUAUUAUCAUUGUUUAUUAUGUAUAUAUUUUUUUUUUAUACGAUUUAAUAUCUAUUAUAUAUUAUAAUGUAAUCAUAAUACAGAAAUAUAUUUGAUCGGUAUACAAUACAAUAAAUAAGAAGUUCCAACAAUUUAUUGCCACGAAUAAAUAAUGACAACCACCACCCUGCUGAUAUUCAAUUCUGAUUAACUAACUAAAGGAGUAUAAAUUAAAAUUAUAUAAAAAAAAAAAACCCCAAUAUAAAUAUAUUAAACGUUCAAAAAAACAUUAUUAAGAAGAUAUAUAUACUUAAAGAAUAACGUAUCGAGUAUUCGGCAUAAUAGUAAUAUGCAUAAUGAUUUUUUAAGCACGUUAACCCCAUUUCUAUAGUUAAUUUAUACAUACAUUCAAAUUCUGUUUUAUUUAAAACUAAUAUGUUUAAUGAAAGGCGAAUUUUGAAUAUUUAGAUUUUUCACAAUAUUUAAGGAGUAGCAACUUUGUUUUUUUUUAAAUGAGAACCUAUAUGUUUUAAUUCAAAUAGUCAAUCAGAUCGAUUUCUGAAAAUAUUAACGUAUUUCAAUCAGUAUUUGCUUGAUUUAAAACUAGAAUUGCCUAUACACGACUAUAAUAAAAUGUUCGGUAUCCAAUCCCCUUAAAAGCCUAUUACUUUUAAUAUUAAAAAGCGCAAUAUCUCAGAAACAUGUUGUCAAAAUUUCGAUUGAAAUAGGUCAACAUUUUCAAAGAAUUAUCUGAUUGAAAAUUUUAAUUAAUACGUGUUUGGGUUCUCAUUAGAAAAAUGAACUUUAGUAUGGCCACAAGCUGUUCAUUGUUGUUAAAAUGUUAAAAAUGUUAAAAACGUUGUUAAAAUCUAAGUAGGUAUGUAAAAUUAUCGUAUUUCACUAAAAUUCAAAAUUCCAAUAAAUCAGUAUUUGAAGUUAUGCCUAAUAAUUUAAUCAUACAAAUCGAAGUUGCGUGAUUGAAAACAUCUUCUUGUACGUUAACAGUUUCCAAAGUAUACGUAUACAUAAUUUUUACUACAUAUUUUGGUUUUAAAAUCGACAUCACUGUAUUAUAAUAUGUAGACGCAGAGCAGUUAUGGAAUGUAAACCAGUAAAGAAAAUACUUCGAUGUCGACCGAGGAAUAUAUAACUAGACGUAGUAGAAGAGGAUUUUAAAGUUUUGGGAGUGUAAGUACGGACGACAAAUUGUCCAAGAUCGGAAGCAAUGGGAGGAUGCGGUAGUAAUGGUGUAUGUUAUGGUGAUGAUGUACAAAAGAGUCUGCAGAGCCUGACAUUUUUCAAACGGACGAAUGAUAACAGUAUUAAUAGUUAUAAAUUGAGUAUAGAAAAUUUCACAUCUUGUUUGAUGUUAAUUGUUAAUCGAAUUUAAUUAAAAUGAAAUAUUAUUGCAAUUUAAAUAAAAAAAUGUCCAAUGCUAUUAAUAUUCGCCGUUAUUGAAUAUUGACGUAACAAUGAAAAAUGGAAAACGGUCGUAUAGGCCCCCGGGAAAAUCGACGGAAAUCGCGGGUCUCCCGUGCGUAUAUACAGGGCCCGCUAUUGUUGGCGGUCCGGAGCGCAUGUAACGUCCGCCCGUCAUAAUGAUAAUAACGUCGGCGGCGGUGCGCGGUAAUAAUAAUAAAAUGACGAUAACGCGAUUUCGGCGAAUCGUCGGUCGUGUUUUUCGGACCGAUAAAAACCCGGGACCGCGAUCGAAAACCAGGGUUUACAUUUAGUAUAUUGUAUAAUGUCGGCCGGCAUAUCGGGGUGUUUUUAUCGGAAUCAACGUGGCCGUGGUACUAUUAAAUCCGUAUAUUAUACCGGAAUCAUAAUCGGUGUGGAAUUUAACGGGAAUUUUCGUACACAACGAUAUUAUUAUAUUAACGUGUCGUUAGCGAUUUUCGAAAAUCCCGCGCUCAUACCGUGGGGUCACGGCGUCCCGCGGAGAUCCGACAAACGCGGGAACGAAGAAUGCGUAGGUUUUUUUUUUUUUUUUUUUUUUUUUGGUCUGUAUACAAAUAUUCUACCAGAAAUUCAAAUCGAAUAAUACCGGGAGGAUUCUUUUCGUUGAAUUUCACAUUCAAUCGGUGAGCAAGAGAAUCAUUUUUGUUUUUUCUAUUCUCAACAAUUUAGAAAAACCGAGAAAAAGCUUAAUUUUCGGUUUUUAUUUUGUAGGUUGGACCAUUUAACACUCGGUUCAUUACAAAUUGUACUUAGUGAUAAAUGAAAAAACCAAAAAAAUAACCACAAUGUAGCAUUUUAACAAGCGUUUUAGUAUAAAACUUUGAAGAAAACCGUAAAUAUUACUGCAUUUAAAAACAUGUAAGUAUAAUCGAACUUCGCUCAGAAUUGUACGUCGUUUGACCGUUCAUUACGGUUUAUCGUUACAAAAAGAUAUAAAUUAAAAUAUAUUCUUAGCUACAUCUAAAACAUUAUAUAUCCUGCUUUCACAACUUCGCACCUAAAAGAAAGGCACAUCCAUCAGCACUAUCAGCUUUUUUUUUAAAUAAAUAUUUUUUUUUCCGUAAUAAUAACCAGAGCUAUAUCAUGCUUCUUAUAAAAUAUAAUUUUUGUCUUGUACAAAGUCAAGUAAUAUUAAAGUAGUUAUUUUAUACAUUUGCAUUUGAAACUCCAAUGUUGGUGUUAAGAUAAAAUUUAUAUCAAAUUAAUAUGACUUAUGUUUUCUAUAAUAAAUAUUGCUCUAAUAGAAAAAAGACAAGAGAUCUUUUUUGUUUAAUUCUUAAUUUAAUUAAUUUAGUGAUCAAGAAAAUCAUUUUUUUUUUUUUUUUUUUUAAUAAUUUAGUAAAACCGAAAAAUACGUGGAAAAUUCUGGAAAAUUUACGAAAAUAAUUCUUUAAUUGUUUUAAAUUUUGUUUAUUCAAUGUAAGUUAUUUAAUAAUAUUCUUAGAGAUUUGAUAUUUUUAAAGAAAACCUAUAUUUGUUUUUUCUAGAUUGGAUAAAAUGUUAAAAAUAUUUUAGCCAUUUUUGAGCUAUUUAUAGAAAUUAUAAUUUUACUAGAUUCUUAUUUGAUAGAUACUCCGUGGAUAAAAGUGGUAGACUCAACGGGGAUACUUCAAAAUUUGACAUGUUCAUUAUUUUCAUUAAUUUGAUUGGGAAGGUACAGAAUACAGACGAGAAUUCAAUGUAUAUCUGUAAGCAACGAUAAACGAUUGCUAACGAAAAAAGAUUCUAAGCGAAGUUCAAUUGAUAGUGAUAGUGAUAGUGAUAGUAUUGUUAACAAUAUAUAUGUUAUAUUAUAGUAAAAUAAUUAAAUAGGCUUUGUUUUCUUUAAUAAUAUUUGUUUAAUGUUUUACCGAUAUCCCCGGUUACCCCGUGUUUUUUCCCAGUUUUUCACAUUUUCUGAGAAUAUUCCAAAAAAAAUCGAAAAAUGAUAUUUUUAAAGUACCUCCCCAGUGAAAUUUCCUUUUAGAAAAAUUGUUAUCAUUAAAAGUUGGGGAGCAAAAUUUCUGGUAUAAAAGUUAUCCACAGAAAACUAAAUAAACAUUUUUGUAAAACUAUAAACUUCUUUGCUCCACUCAGAAUCUAAAAUUGUAUCUAAUUUAGUAAUUUUUUUUUUUUUUAAAGAGAGUUUUAAUAUCAAAGCCUUUUAAACGUGUAUCGCCAAACUUUGCUAUGGAUAGUUUUUCGUUAGGGAUUGCAUAUCGUUUGUUACAGGUAUAAAUUAAAUAACUAUGUUAUGUAUCUCACUUUCCUAAGGUUAGGUUAGAUUAGCCCACCUGCGACAGUAGCCGCUCCAUUCCGUAGUAUCAGCUCUUUUUUUUUUUUACACUUAUUUCAAGUGCACCUCUCAAAUUUUGAUUUUCAUAAAGCAAUAUUCUUUCUUUUCAAUUCGAAUCCAAAGAGAGAAUAUUUAUACAAAAAAUCUAUAUGCAUAAAGCAUUUAAGUUACAACUACACAAGAAGUACGAGUAAAAAUGUUUAAACCCGAGUGUUAAAAAUAAAAUUUAAACAAUUCUGAAAGUAUGUAAAAAACUAAAACAUAAAUCGUAUUUCUUUUGAAAAAAGUACAAAAUCUUCAGAAAUAAAUAAAAACCGCUGUGUGCAUAUAGAAUUUUUUUUCUUAUUUACCCAUUUUCCACGAAAUCUGUGACAUUUUGACAUCGAUACGUCAAGAGAUACGCCGGAUCUGAUGUAAUAAUUUUCGGUCCGGACGUAUGGGUGCAAUCAUCGACGAUCGUUAUCCCCGUUUCAUCCGCGUUAUGUUUAUUGCCAGCGGCGCACCGUUCCACUGGAAGAUAAAUCGACGUAAUAAAAUAAUAGGUAAACUAAUUUGUUGUUGGUCGGUUCGUUGCCGGAACGGUGAAAUAAUGUUAAUUUACGGAUAACGAAUGGUUUUCUUUUUUCGUCCUGUGAAACAUGGCCACCCUCAUUAUAUCGAGUUGUCUGUGAUCGGAUCAAGACGUUCGUUCGUAGGCCUUAUGCACAGUUUAUGUCGUACUUUGACUGUGUCAUAAUUUACCAUACUGGUACAUUUUACUAUUUAUUCAUUAAUUUAUUUCUAAUGAGAACACUAAUAUACAAUCACAAUAAUAAUACAUUUCUCAGCGCAGUUUAGCUAAAAUUCAAUAAUAAAUUGUUUCUAUAAAAAUAAGUACACUAUUUUUUGCCAAUUUUUUUGUUCACCGUCUAGUUCUAAUAGGCACUAGGCACAGUGCCUAAUGGUUCUGGAGGUGUCGUCUGAUUCUACGACGAAACACUGAUUUCUGUUGCGACAGGCGAUAUUAAUAAUAUUAAUAUGAUACAUAUGGAGAUACCUCUCAAUUUCGGUAUUUUUGAUUUUGGUAUAAUGUCUGCCGCCAUCUAGCGAACGAAAUCUAGCAGUUAAAAUGUUUACUGUUAAACGCCACUAGAUGUCGCGGAUAAUAUCAAAGAAAAAAUAACUAUUAGUAUUUUGUUUGUUUCAGUUUUGUUUAGACGUCAAAUUAAUUAUUUGUUUUAUACUUUACCGGCAUGUUGAUAAUUAUUAUUGCACUGGUAUUACAAUAAAAAUAAAUUCAAUUUGUCAUGAGCUUUAGGCGAAUGAUGAUGGCUGACGUACAUUUUUUAUCCACUCAUCCGUUUUCAUGUUGGUUUUUGUGGUGUGGUCCUUUUUGUGUUUCGACACUGUACCUAUAUCAAAUAAUAUGAUAAUAAUUAAAAAAAAAUUUUUUUACUUAUUUUCCAUUUAAAAAAAAAAAAAAAAUAAAGCAUACAAAGUAUAAAUAAUGCAUCCCUAAUUGAAAAAUAGUAGAAUUUAAUUUAUUUUGUUCGCAAUAACGUUGUUUACUGAAAAAAGUUAUUAAAAACAUUAUACCUACUACGAUUAAUUUUUUUUCAAGAGAAAAUCAAAAUAUCGCAGUUUCCGUAUUUUUUUUUUUUAUGAAAAUUGUAUUUUAUAACUUUGAAUAUUGUAAAUUAUUAAAGUAUUUAAGUUCUUGGUUUCCCAUUCGAUCGAAUGGGUUUAAAUAAAACCCAAUCAAUCAUGCGUUGUAGUGGCUAUCUGUUUUUUAUGAUGAAUACUUGCGUGAAAACCCAUUAUUUAUUAUUAUUUGGUUUGUCAAUGAUUUUACGACGCCAGUAGAUGACGUAUGACAGAUUCAUUCAAUCGGCCAAAUGUUAAAAUAUUAUUGAUACAUUUACAGAAUAUAACAUGCCAUAAUAUCCGUUAAGGUUCUCCGGCUCAGUGGGGUACCCUGAGGGACCCAAUCUCCAACAUUUUUUCUCCCAUUCCUUAUUGGCAGUUUUACAAUGCAAAAAACAUAUCUGUAUUAAUAAAAGAAAGAAAUGUUUAUUUGUAGUUUGUCUGUGUACGAUACACAGCCGAAUCAAUCGUACCACAAAACAAGAUUUCCGAAAUUCGAUUUCAGUGAAAAAUUCAGGCUAUUUGGUACUAGACACGUUGAGAUGUAAAAAAAAAUAAUACUGUGUACGCCACUGCUCCGACUUCUCGAUGGCUUACAGAUUACCGUAAAAUAUAUAAUAAUAUUAAAAAUAAAAAUAGCAGACUUAUACACCGUCGUAGAAGUAUCUCGGAAAGACACUUAGAUAAAAAUCGUAAAAGCUAUGGAUAAUGUUUAUUAUAAGGAGUAAAUGGUAUCUUGAAUACGUAUUUAAGAUGCAAUUGUAUUAUGUGUUUUCUAUUGUGAUACAAAACUGUGAAGUAUCGAGCGUAGACGUAUUGCACUACUAAAAUCAUUAAUCACUAAAACUACUCUAACCUAAAACCUACCACAUGCCUGAAAAAUGUAAUUAUUCGUAUUUUUAUUUUUAAUCUUUCGAGUGCAUACUUUUUCAAUGCAUAAAAUAUAAGUAUUCGGUUUCUUGUUUUAAAGUACAUUUUAUAUAAUAAUCUAGUAUCUUGUAAACGGAUACGAAAAAUCAAUGCAUCAAGCAUGUCGAGUAUAGAGAUAUUAAACUUGAAGUAUCUUGCCCAUCUCCGCGUGUACAUUAUAAUAUGGUAUCUUGGUGAUGGUGAACGUAGCACUUGGUAUAAUUAGUAUGAUCAUAAUAUAUUAAUAUAAUAUGUACCUGUACUUAAACAAUAUUGUCAAAUCGUACAUAUUUUCGAAAGCUGAUAUUUUUUUUCAUUUCUUUUUUCAUCGUCAUCCUUUUUAUAUUAUUUCGUUUGUAAUGUUUUUCAUUAUUAUCAUUAUUAUUUUUUGUUUUAAUCAUACCCAUAGCAAAAAAAAAAAAACCGAAAAUUAGCAAAAAGCACGAUGUGUGUGUGUUACAGUUGUGAUGGUGAGAUAAAUCUGUAGAGUAGGACGCUGCCACAGUCACAUAUCGCCACUAGAAAAUGAAUUAUGGCGUAUCCGAGGCUUCGUCAUUACAGGUCCCGAUCAUCAUUCACCAUU